AGUUUUGGUAGAUCUUGGAGUUUCAGAGUGGUGAGCUGUGGAAAGACAAAAUAAGGGAUCACUUGAUCUGCUCUGUUUUCAGAAAUGAUCUCCUGUAAAUCCUCACAGAAGCGUAUAUCUAGGUGUUGGAGCUGCUUAAGGCUUCCGAUCAUAGAUGCUGAAAAUAUGUAUUUUAAUUUGUGACAACGCCACACAAUCAAUCGUGUUAAACUCUGAAAGUGAGGAAACACGGCCGCCGGAAUUUGAUUGCAAUGCCAAAUCUUGGCGACAUCAAUUUGAGAUAUCUCCAAAGCCUCCAAGUUAGGCAACGCAACCUUAAAAAAUAAGAAUUUCUCGUUAGAUCCAAUAUCCAUAUGGGAAGCACUUGUUGAAAUUUCCUUCUUUGAUUACAAAUUAAUGCAAGUCAGAAUCAAUUUCCAACUGACAGCUGAGUUUGAUGCAUUCUAAUUCAUACUACUUGUUAAGAGCUCAAUUAGUAAGCGUGUGAGAUUCUUUUUAUCCUUUUUUCCAUUUUCUUGCAAUUCUUUAAAUGAUUUAAUUAUUUUCCACGUAUGACGUCAAAAGAGAACGCAUGAUAGAAUAAAAUCUGUUAUAUAUAUAUAAAGAAAAUGUUAGCCUACGCACCUUCUCGUUGAAAAGCAGAGUUGAAGUAUCCAAAGUGAUUUCGCUGGAGCUAUACGUAGUCGUCGAUUCCUCUUGCGACGCUCGUCUGUUCGGUGAUGCUGAAGGAGUCUUUACUUCACGGCAAAAACUUGUAACCUCUGGAAGAUUCCCCAGACUCAAAGAUCUUAAUUGAGCAAACUCUAUCUUCUCAAUUGCAUUAUCAACUUCUUCCCCAAUUGCAAAAAUCUCUUUCAUCUUGCUGCAAUUAAUAACUGCAAUUCUCUCAAGUCUUGGAAGGCAUUUUGUUGUAGAGAGCCAAAAGAUAUUACUCAAUUUAUCACAAUUAUAUGCUUGUAUGAUUUUGAGUUCGUUGAAGGACUCUACUUUGAGCCGAUCAAUACAUAUCCUCUCCAUGUUGAUCAAAUUGUGAAGGCCAAGUGACUCCAAAAGAGGAAAGGCAUCAGAAGCGACCAUCUCCUUUGAAUCGACGAUGCAAAAGAAGUCAGGAUUAUUUUGAACCCCGAGAAGCUUCAAUUGUGAAAAGCCCUCCGUGUCCAAAUUGAAAAUAACGUUCUUGAUACCUCGCAGCUUGUCCAACAAUAAGUAUUCAACUUUAUUGAUGCCCUGCAAUUUGAUGGAGCAAAUGUCCAUAAAAUCAAGCUUGAGCUUCAAUGCUCUUGAAAACUUGCGAUUACUGUCGAUCAAAAAGUGCGGCCGACUUUCAAACCAAUAUUGUCCAAAAAGCACGGGAUGCCUGAAUGACUCAUUUCCAAUAGAUAUUUUGAACCUUUCGAGCUUUCUGGCCAAAAAACCUUCUGGUAAAAUACUGUCAUUUUUAACGUCAAUUUCUAGAGCGGUUAGCCGAGGUAAAUGCAUCAAUUCGUCAAGGCUAGCAUUACUUCUUUUGCUGUUGGCUCUUUCAACCUCCCAUUCAAUGAAGCAAUUACCCAUAUACAAUUCUUCUAAUCGGAUUAAGCUUGAUAUGACAUUUGGGGCAAUAACUUUCAGAAGGAAACAGUCUGUUAAAUCUAACAGCCUUAGCUUAGACAGUUGACCUAGUUCUUCGGGCAACUUCUUAAUAUCAGACUUCAAAAAGCUAAGGACUUCUAGAUUCUUCAACUUCCCAAUGAUUGCUAUGUCGCCCAACGCACUUUGAUCCAGACAUAGUGUGUGAAGAUUUACUAGAAGAUCAAUUGAAGAUGGAAAUGAAGAAAACUGCAUUCGAGUAAAAUCUAGAACUCUAAGCUUUUUCAUCCCUACAAAAAAGUUCUCAGGAAUAUUGAUUUCAAGAGAAGAAUCUUUGAGAGAGAGAUAUAAAAAUUCAAGGUUUGGGCAUUCUAAUCCUUCAGGAAAUUCACGAUUACUAUUAUUUCUUAAAGAGACAGCAUUGCAUUUUCGAAGUGCAUCCUCAUCUGGCCAGUCCCACACAUCCUCAUUUUCGGCCAAAAAUACAUGUUGGUGGCGGCAUGCAAUUGAUAUGGCGACAUCGCGAACAACAUCAUGCAUUGAAAAUUCUUCAUUGCUAUCACCCUCAAGCAACAAACAAGAGUCUCUAAGUUCAUGGACCAAUGCAUAUAAUUUGUCUCGUGCAUCUUCCAUCUUAUUGACUCCUUUAAAUAUACCCAAACCCAUGGAGUACUUAAACAGGUCCAAAGUAUGAAUACCGUUACCCAUUAGACUACCGAGGAGAAAAAUUUUCUUGAGUUGCUCACCUUUUAAAUGGUUGAAACUCAGCUCAAUACUUGAAUAAGUCUCUGCAGAUACUCCUUCGAAGUUCACCAUUGAAGGCGUUCGGAGUUCGCGCAAGGAAUUCUUCCAUUGAUGCGGACUCUUGCUUCUCAGUGCCUUUGCUACCGUACUCAAGGCAAUGGGCAAACCUCCACAUGCCCUGGCGACGUCUAUUGCUGUAGAUUUCAACUCACGAUUUUCAACAUCAUCACCGGCCAUCAUCUUAAACAAUCUCCAAGCUUCUUCUUCAUUUAAAUUGUUAAUCAAGAAGUUGUCUUUAGAUCCCAUUUUCAAGAGGACACUACGAUCUCUUGCCGUCAGCAGUAGUUUGCAUCCUUUAUGAUCUUCCCCAAAAGGAAUUCCAACGGUCUCCAAAUCAAGGUGUUUCCAGAUGUUAUCCAGAAUCACAAGGAUCUUCUUCUCAUUUCUCAAUCGCUCAUAUAGCCUACUUGCUCUUCUAGAUUCAACUUCCUCGUGCAACUCCAGGCCCAACUUCUCGGCAAUUUCCUGUUGAAUCUUUUUUAUGUCUGGAGUUUGCGAAACCUCUGAAAAGACCACCAUAUCAAAGUGCUUGUCUUCCAGAGCUUGCCUGGCGACCUUCUUCACCAGUGUCGUCUUUCCAAUGCCGCCCAUGCCGUACACCCCAAUGAUGCUGACAUUAACAUCGAUCAAUGCGUUUUUUAUAGCCUCCAAAGUAGAACGUCUUGAUUCGAAGGCCUCGUAGCCUUUGUGAGACUUGAGCCAUAUAUCCUCCGGAACAGUACGGUAGGAAAUUCUAUCAUCAAAUCUCCCAGCUUCUUCUCGGAGUUUAAAAAGGGCCUCCUUCUCUGUUUCUGCUUCCUUUCCAUGCUGAUAGCGAGUAAUCCAAUUAGGAAACAGCCCCAUGAGACAUCGUUCAUUUGCUUUCUCUUCGUCUUGAAUGAAUUUGGCUGCCUGCUCAAUGCUCUUGUUCGCAUUAACUAGCCAUUUCUCAACCUUCUCUUCAAUCUUUUCACUUUUUCUUUCAGCCUCAGAAACUCUGCGCUGAAUGCUUUCUCUUUCAUCCUUGAGCCUAUCGAGUUCUGCCUUGAGAUUCUCAAAGUUGGCAGAGGAGUUAUACCAAUAACUAAAUUCGCGUUGUGCGUGAGGAGACAAGCAGUUUACAACUCCUGGAACAAUGCUUUUCAAAAUGUCCAUUUUUUUUUUCUUUUUUGGGGAAGUGAACGAAAUAGAAAUAGAACAGAGUCAACGACCGCGCAAUUGAUAAUUAAGUAGAAAACAAGGCAAAAUUGAAAAAAGAAAUUAUAUUUGUACAAAACAAGGGGAAAAUCAGUGUAACAGAAGAGAAUCAAAGUGUUUUUGAGAUCAGAAAAUUGAACCAAGAAAAGGGUUGCUUGAUCCAAUGAAAAUGCAAAGAGCAUGGCAAAAGGAAACAAAGCUAAAUAAGAAAACGGUUAGCACGAGCAGUGACCACGAUCAACAGAAGCAAAGUGUGUAUGAGAUCAAAAGACGAAAAUCAGGAGAGGUUUUCUUGAUUGAGAAUUGAAGGCAAAGAGUAGGAGCUGACGAAUACGGGGAUCAAGAGGGAAAAACUGCUUGCUCGUAAAACUGCUUUCAAGCGAAUCUGAUAAAAUUAUUUCAGUACAAGUGGGCGACUCCCUUUUAAACUGCAGAAGGAAAAAAAAAAAAAUUCUGAUUUUCAAUAUAUUAAUCUCGUAAUCAAUGAUUAAUUAGUAGAUAAUCUUUCUAACAAAUAUGUGUUGAAUAGAUAUAUUUCUUGAUUAUUCGUAGGUUCGAUAUACUUUAGUAUAGGAAUGAAAGUACAAAUUGUGUCAUAUUAGAAUAAAAAUUAGACCUAAAAAUAUUGUCAUAAAACAUGUGAUCCUCAUCCAAAGGCCAGGUGAACAAAUAUAAACGACAAAUUCUUUUCAAUUAAAUAAUCAUCAAGUGAUAAUAUUCUAUUUCAGUACAAAUAGCGAGUGCAGAACAACUGUCAAGAGAUAAUCAUUGUUUAUGGAGCCAUAUAUAUUUUCUAUUAAAAUAGUUGCGUGAACAAUAGCCAGAAUCCGAAAAAAUUGUUGAAAGGUCUAUUAUUUUCGUUUAAAAUUGUUGAAAGGUCUAUUAGUUUCGAUUAAAAUAUUUUCGAUAAAAAUAGUUGUGUGAACAAUUACCAUAAAUAGUGUUUACAUUUUGGAUUGGACUGAGAAUCUUGAAGAGUGGAAAUCUUAGAAUUGAGAGUAUGGAGUAGAAGUGGGUGUAAGUUGUUUACUUACACUGAAAUAUAAGCAUGGAAUGAAGAUUAUAAUCCAAUUUAUGUAUUUACUUUAUCUUGGAUUGGGAGUAAAUAGUUUCAAAUUAUAAUUUUAUCUUCAUUUAAAGAAUUAUAGUUUUUAAUUACAAAGUUAAUAAAAAUAUAUAUUUAAUGAAUAAACAUUUAUUUUAUUAUAUUUAUAAAUUUAUAAUAAUUAUUAAUAUUCUUAAUUAUGUACAUCAUAUUUUUUAUUAAUUUUAAUUUUAAAUAUAUAAAUUAAAAAUUAUUGAUAAGAGCAAUGUAAAUGAAACAUUUUUACUAUUAACAUAGUACAAAAUUAAUAUUUUCUUAUAAUUAACUAUUUAUUAUUACUAAUUAUUGAUAUUAAAUAAAUAUAAUACUAUUAUUUUUAAAUAAAUAUAAUAAUAUUAUAUUUUCAAAUAAAGAUAGUAUAUAGUAAUAUUAUUAAUUCUCUAUUAAUAUAAUAAUAUUAUUUUAAGUAAUUUAAACUUAGAAUCAAACCAAAUUAUUAUUUAGUUAAAUAUAAUAUUAUUAUUUAAAUAAAUAAAAUAUUAUUUAUUUUAUUUUAUUAAAAAUAAUUAUAGUAAAUUUAAUAAAAGGGGGUUAAAAAAGGAAGGUAAAUAUAAAAUGAAAUAUUAUUUUAUUUAAUUAUAUUAAAUUUAUUAUUAUAUAAAUAAUAAUAUAAUAUUAUUUAGUAUAAAAUUAAUAUUUUCUUAGAAUAAACUAUUUAUUAUUAUUAAUUAUUAAUAUUAAAUAAAUAUAAUACUAUUAUUUUUAAAUAAAUAUAAUAAUAUGAUAUCUUCAAAUAAAGAUAGCAUAUAAUAAUAUUAUUAAUUCUCUAUUAAUAUAAUAAUGUUAUUUAUUUUAUUUUAUUAAAUAUAAAAUAUUAAAUUUAAUUAAAUAAAGGUAGAAAAGGGAGAGGUGGGAGUGGAUUUCCCAUGGGAGUCCCACUCACACUCCCCACUCCAAAAAUGGGUGGGGUCCACGGAGUGGGAUUUCCAACCCCUCCUUAAAAUGGUGAAGUAAACACUGGAGUGGGAGGAAUGCACACUGCUCACACUCACCCCAGAAAAUAAACACCGAAAAGGCCAGAUGAUGAAGAACCACUAUAAGUUCUUUUAUGAAUUUAAAAUGCUAAAGAAACUUGACACCAACGCUAAGCUAACAAGUGCAUAUUUUUCUGUGGCCCUUGCCUCAAUGUCUUUUGGGCAUUGCUCGGGGGUAGUUGAUAUAUUGAUUAAAAUAUGAAUGAAUUGGAAUGGAAUGAGUUGGAAUUAAAAUAUGGAAUAGUAAUUAAUUAAUUAAUUUAAAUUGUAAAAAUUAAAAUAAAAAUAAAUUAUAUCAUCAUUGAUAUAUUUAUUUUAUUUUAAAAUCACGAUGAGUUGUUACAAAUUACAAAAUAUCUUUAAUUUUUUAUCAUAAUAAUAAUAAUUUAUUAUAAUAUUUUGUUGGCCUAAAUGGUUAUAUAAUCCUUGAUUUUGAUGAUAACAAACUACAUAGAGUACAAUAGUAAAUUUAUUUCUCACAAUCUCACAAGUUUUUGAAGGGCAAAAAUCAUUCAAGUGGGAUCAAGAUCAAGAUACUCAAUAGACAAUGACAAUCAAGGACGAAUACUAAGGGUACUAGUUUAAGCCAUCUUUAUUGUUAAAUUUCUUGUAAAGCCAGUGUAAUUUAACGUGUGCAUGAUGUAACAUUUAAAAGCUCAAGACAUUUUUCAUGACAUUUUCAAAUUAAAUCAUCAUUUUCUAAAAUAUAAAAGUUUUAACGAUUUUAUAAAAUUAGUUGCUUUUUCCAAAUUUAUGAACUAAAUUGAAAAGUUUUGAGAACUUUGAAAUCAACUAAUAAUGUUUUAAAACAUAGAAAUUGACAUAUUUGUAAAUAUUUCAAACGUUUUGGGUCGUAAUAUAAUUUCAAAAAAAUUAGGUCUAAUCUAUAAAUCCUGGAACAAUAGUGGCUAAUCGCUUAACCAAUAGCGACUAACUACUUCAAGUCCAAAAACAUAGCAGCUAACCGCUUAAAUCAAGUGACAAUCCGCUUGAACCAAAGUUUUCAAAUUUGAUUUGCAACUGUAACUUACCAUAUCAACAUAGUGGCUAAUCGCCUCAUUUUAACGGCGAUCCAGCAAGUCCCUAGAAAAGCCAAUAAUUGCUAGUUUGAUUAUUUAAACUAUAAAAUUCAAAUCUAACAAUUUUUUUUUUCAAUCUCAAUUAAGCUAAAACUUAUUCAUAUAUCUUGAGCUUUCAUUUUGCUUAUCUACAUACAUUAAUCAUUAUAGAGCUAUCAUUUGCUUAUACACUCUUAUAGAGUGUAAUCUUUGUAAUCUUCAAUUAAAUAUCAAAAUUGAGUGAGUAUAAGUGUGGGAAACACUUGGGAAAAGAGGUGUGUGUAUACAUAAUUACUUGUAAAGGUUUAUUGACACCUUAGAAGUCAAUUGUAAAAUUUUGGAGCCUUGGAAGGUUUGGAUAGUAGAAUUCUCAAGUUUGGAUUGCUUGGAGGCGUAGUCAUAGGCGGGUUUGCCGAACCACAUAAAAAUUCAUGUGUUUGUUAUCUUCUCCCUUAUCUUUUUAAUUUCACGUAUAGUUAAAUUUACCAUUAUUAAAUUUCUUGAAGUAUUUGUUUAAUUUGUAUUGUGUUUUUGUUAGUAUAAUUUUUAAUACCUAAUUCGCCCCCCUCUUGGGUUGCUUAGCUAGAAUUUCAUUUGGUAUCAAAGGAAGUUCUCUUGUUAGGACUUAACCAUCUAGAGUAAAAGAUCCAUAGUAAUCCAAAAUGAUCCCAGAUUUGGGGAAGGUUAAUCCCUUACUAGAUCACCAUUCUUUGAUGGGAAUGAUUAUCCAUGUUGGAAAAUUAUGAUAAGAAUUUAUUUGCAAGCAUUAUAUUAUGAAAUAUAGGAAGUUGAUUGUGAUGGUCCAUUCAUGCCUACUGCUAAAAAUGAAGAAGGGAAAGAAAUUCUAAAACCUUCACAAGAAUGGAAUGAGUCGGAAAAGAGAAAAGAUUCUCUUAAUUUCAAAGUCAUGAAUGCUUUGUUUUGUGACUUAGAUAAAAAAGAAUUCUAUAGAGUUUAAGGUUGUUCCAAUGCUUAUGAAAAUUGGAAAAAACAUAAAGUCAUUUAUAAAGCUACAAAUCAAGUCAAAUAGUCUAAAAUUAGUAAAUAUACUAGGCAAUACGAAUUGCUAUAAAUGGAACAAAAUGAGAGUGUUAAUCCCAUAUACACUAGAUUAACAGACAUUAUAAACACUUUAGGAGCUCUUAGAAAGACUUUUUCAAACAGCGAAAAGGUAAAAAAAAUCAGUAGGUCUUUACCAAAAGAAUAGAGACCUAAGAAAAUUCCCAUUGAGGAAGCCAAUGAUAUUUUAUCUAUUGAUGAUUUAAUUAGUUCAUUUAUUUCUUAUGAAAAGGAUUUGACAACUGAAAAAUAUAAUGAAGACGAGAAGAAGAAGAGUUUUUCCUUAAAAGCAUCAAGAUCUAAAAGUGACAACGAAAGUGAGAUCGAAAAUGAAGACAUGGCUAUGAUAGCUGGAAAAUUCAAAAUAAUUUUCAAGAAAUCCAUCGAGCGAAGGAAAUUCAAAAAUUAGAAAGAGAAGAAGGAGGCAAUUAUUUUCUUUAAAUGCAGGAAGCCUAGACACAUAAAACUAGCAUGUCCUUUUCUCAAAAAAUUAAAGAAGAUAGCCAUGGUAGCAACACGGGAUGAUAGCGAUAAGGAGACUAUAGAUGAAGAGUAGUCCCAUGAAGUGUCAAAUUUGGCACUUAUGGUUAUAGGAGAUGAACUUGAUGAGGUAAACCUCUUAGGAUGAGUUGUUUGAAGUAUUCUCUAAAUUGCAUAAAGAUGUAAAGAAGAUUGAAAUGUAAAAUGUUUCUCUUGGAAAGAAAAAAGUAGAACUUUUAAAUGAGAAUGACACUUUGAAUAAAAAGAUUAAGUGCCUAGAAGUAUUUGUGAAGAAAUUGCAUCUUUUAAAGAAAAAACAAAAUGUUUCAUCUAAGAAUAAAGGUUUACUUGUAAAUGAUUUGAAAAAGAAAAAUGAAAUAUAUUGCUUUAGAAUUUGCUUAGUAUUAGUCAAUUGUGUGAUAAAUGUUACAAAGUUAUUUUUAUGUGAUAAAGACUAUAGAGUUAUUUUUUAUAAAACAAAAUGUGUUAUUAAAAAUACAUGUGAUGACAAAGUUUUAUUUGUUACAUAAAGAUGUGUUAAUGUAUACACCAUUGAUAUAGAUAGUGUAUCAACUCAUGAUAAAUGUUUUUUUCACAUUACAUGAUGAUAGUUGAUAUGGCAUGGAAGACUAGGUCAUGCGAGCAUGGAUUUGUUUUCAAAAUUUUUUAAAAAUGAUUUGGUUAUAGGUCUUCUAAAAAUUGGUUCUAAAAAAGAUAAAAUUUGUGAAGUUUGCCAAUUUAGAAAACAAAUAAAACGUCCUUUAAAAAAAAUUCAUAUUUCUACUUCAAAACCACUUUAACUUUUUCACAUGGAUUUGUUUGAAUUUUCUAAAUAUGCUAGUUUAAGUGGUAAAUAUUAUGCAUUUAUAAUUAUAGAUGAUUAUUCUAUAUACACAUGGUAUUACUCUCAACUAAUAAAGAUGACACCUUUAAUGCUUUCAAAGUUUCUAUAAAAAGGUUCAAAAUGAAAAAUGAUAUGUUAUUUCUUGCAUUAGAAGUGAUCAUGGUGGAGAAUUUGAAAAUUAUAUUUUGAAAAUUUUUACAAUAACUUUGGCAUUGAGCAUCAAUUCUUGUUACCAAGAACUCCAUAAUAAAAUGGAGUAGUUGAGAGAAAGAAUAGGUCUAUCCAAGAAAUGGCUAGGACCAUGUUAAAUGAAAAUGUUUUACUAAAAUAUUUUUGGGUUGGAACCGUCAACAUUGUUUGUUAUAUUUUAAAUCGUGCAUUGAUUAGACCUUACCUCAAUAAAACUCCUUAUGAGUUUUGGAAAAAUAGAAAAACAUUGACUAUUUCAAAGUUUUUGGUUGCAAAUGUUUUCUAUUGAAUACAAAAGACAAUCUUGGUAAAUUUAAUCUAAAAUCUGAUGUUGAUAUUUUUCUUGGGUAUUCAAAUACAAGCAAAACUUAUAGAGUGUAUAAUAAAAGAUCCUUGGUCGCUAAAGAAUCUAUACAUGUUAUAUUUGAUGAAUCUAACUUUUCUUCUAUGAAGAAAGUUGUUGUUGAUGAUGAUGCAUAUGAAGAGUUACAAAAACAAAAAGUCUUUAAAAGACAAACAAGAUGAUUUACCGGUAAAAAUCAAGAUGAGCAACAAGAAAAACAAGUUAAACAGAUUCAAAAUGAAGGUAAUUCACAAACACUCUCUAAGGAGCUAAGGUAUGUCUCUUCACACCCUAAAGACUUAAUCUUAGGAGAUCCUUCAUGAGGUGUAACUACUAGAUAAUCACUUAGAAAUACAUGUGAACAUACUGUAUUCAUAUCUCAAGUUGAGCCAAAAUCCUUUUCAGAUGUGGAAAAUGAUGAAUCUUGGAUUAUAGCAAUACAAGAAGAGUUAAAUCAAUUUGAAUGAAACAAUGUAUGGAAACUUAUUCAUAAACCAUAACAUCAAUCUGUAAUAGGCAAUAAAUGGGUAUUUAGGAAUAAAAUCGAUGAAUCUGGUGUAGUUGUAAGGAAUAAAGUUAGAUUAGUAGCUCAAUGAUGCAACCAAGAAGAAGAAAUUGAUUUUGAUGAAACCUUUGCACAUGUAUCGAGAUUAGAAUCCAUUACAUGCUUUUAUCAUUUGCAUAUCAUAAUGAUUUUAUUUUAUAUUAAAUGGAUGCUAAAAGCACCUUUCUAAAUAGUUGUAUUAUGAAGGAAGCUUAAGUGAAACAACCCCCUCAUUUUAAAAAUGAAAAAUGUUUUUGGAUCAUGUUUACAAGUUGUCCAAAGUUUUAUAUAGUUUAAAGUAAGCAUCUAGAGCAUGAUAUGAUAGACUUAGUAAAUUUCUUUUAGAAAAUAGUUUUUCAAUGGGUAAAGCGAAUACUACUCUAUUUGUUAAAUACAAGGAUCAAGGUAUACUUGUUCAAAUUUAUAUUGAUGAUAUUAACUUUAGUUCUAUUAAUGAGUUUCUGUGUAAGGAAUUUUCAUCUUGCAUAAGUAGAGAAUUUGAGAUGAGCAUGAUGGGAGAAUUGAAGUACUUUCUUGGACUUCAAAUUUAAAAGAAAAAAAAGAAUUCAUUAAUCAAGCCAAGUAUUUCAGAGAUCUACUCAAAAGAUUUUGCAUUCAGGACUAAGGACACUCCAAUGAGAACUACAAUCAAUCUCGAUAAGGAUAAAAAAAGUAAAGAUGUUGUAUCAAAAGAUAUCGAGGUAUGAUCAUAUUUUUACUUUACUUUACUACUAGUAGACAUUACUUUAGUGUAUGUUUGUGUGCAUGAUUUCAACCAGAUCUCAAAGAAUCUCAUUUGCUUGCGGUUAAAAGAUUUUUUUCAUUAUUUAUGAGGAACAAUUGAUCUUGGUCUAAGGGAACUCAUAUAAAUUAUUAGCUCAAUAAAUUUUUCAAAGAAUCCCAUUCAACAUUCUAGGACCAAACAUAUUGAAAUUAGGCAUUAUUUCUCACGUGAUCAUGUUCAAAUGAGAGAUAUUGCUUUAGAAUUUGUUUCUAUAGAAAAAUAUCUUGCUGAUAUUUUUACAAAUCCUUUUUGUGAAGAAUAGUUUUCAAAGAUUUGGAUUGAGUUUGGAAUGAUGACAUUUUCACAUCAAUAUUUCAUUGCAUGAUAUUGAGACUACAAAUUUGCUUGAUUUUCUAUCUUGAUUUUAAUGUGUUAUAUGCUUGAAUUUACUUCUUUGAAUGUUUAUCAUCAUAUCUUAUGCAUUAAAAAUGGCUUUUGAAAUACUUCGGGAUCACAAAAUGGUCUCAAAAUUAAUUAAAUUUUGGCCAAAAAGCAAAAUCGUGCAAAAUUUAGGGGAACUAGCUAACCGUUAACAACAAGCGACUAGCCAAUUAUGAGGCAGAAACUAGCUGGUCAGUAGGGUUGGCAAUGGGACGGGAUGGGAUGGGAUUUACCAAUCCCAGUCCCAUCCCGUAUAUGCAAAUGGGAUGAAAAAACGUCCCAAUCCCGUCCCUAUAUUUUUUUUGGGACAAAAAUAUGUCCCAAUCCCGUCCCAAAAGAGAUGGGAUCCUGCGGGAUCCCAUCCCAAUUGGAAAAUUUUUCAUUCUUAAUCGGUAAUGAGACGGGAUGGGACGGAAUUUAUCAAUCCCACUCCCGUCCCGCAUAUGUAAUUGGGAUAAAAAAAAUGUCCCAAUCCCAUCCCAAAUUUUUUUAUGGAACAAAAAUAUGUCCUAAUCCCAUCCCAAAUGGGAUGGGAUCCCGCAGGAUCCCAUCCCAUCGGGAAAAAUUGCCAUCCCUACUGGUCAGCCGGCUUAAAGCAAACGGUUAAUUGCUUGGUUUCUAAAAAUGAAACGGUUAACCGCUUUCUUCAAGAGGCUAGCUGGCUUCACGUUUUAAAUGUUGUUCAUCUUCUUUUUCCCACUUUCAGUUGUUACCCUCUCUCUAUCACUGUCAUCUCUCAUUUCUUUUACUCUCUCUCUAAAAUCUUCCGUUUUUACAUCACUUUUGUGUCAAAUUAAACUUUCCAAAUCAUUUCCCAUCAAUUAAUCUUCACUCAUUUGCUUUUAAAACACAAUCUAAUCACUCUUCUCUCAAAAUCUUAAAACCUAAGUCACCAAUUUCAACAUUCUCAAAUUUGAACCAUUAUUUGACCAUUUUUGACCAAAAUAAACCCAUACAUUCCUUAGAUCUUCUCAAAGAACAUUUUAAUCGGUUCAAAAUCAUCUAUUUCUGUAAAAACUUUGUGAACUCGAAUUUGUGCAAUUUUGGACACAUUUUGAUAAUUUCUUAAUGGCUAGUGGUGAGAAGUCUAAGGGUAAGCAUAUGCCUAAAAUGUAAAAAAAAGAUUCAUAAAGACAUUUUCAAAUUCAUUUCCACCCACUUCCCAAAUCCGCCCCAAUGGAAUGAUUCUCUGAUCGAUUUAUGACAAGGUCAGUCCUCCCAUACUAUAUAUGUUAAUCUUGAUUAAUUAGAAAAUUUGUCAAGUUGUAGCAAAACUCUUAGAACUUUACUUGCUGAAUUGGGUUGGACAAAUGUCUUAGUUCUUAAGGAACAUAUUUGUCCUAAUUUGGUACGAGUAUUUUAUUCGAACAUGCUUAUUUCUACAAAUACUGCCAAUAUGAUUAUUACUAAUGUUAUUGGGAUUCCUAUUAAGUUUACUGUAGAAGAUUUAAACAUGAAUCUCAGAUGAUAGGUUGCAUUUGUAUACAUCUAGGACUAAAAUUGAUUAUCCCUGGUAUUUAGUUGUAGAUGAUGUUUGAAACAUAGAUGUUCGAAACAUAUGUAGGUGAUCUGAUCUAUCCAUGGAGCUUUUUAACUCCUCUCUUAGAUCACAAGUGUUGCCUCUUCAAGUUCGGAUCCUACAUAAUGUUCUUUAGCUUGUGAUCAGUCCUCGCAAGGGACAUGGUGCUGAGGUUACACGCUUAGAUGUUACUUUAUUAGAUAGCAUCCUUGAGGGUAAAAGCUAAAUGUGCGAAUAUUAUCAUUCAGCACAUGCUUAAUACACUGAGUAUAGGAAACCAAUCCUUUUCGGUCGGUAGUGUCAUUACCCACAUCCUUCAAUAUUUUUGGGUCCCUAUAGCUGAACCAUCUCAUAAUGAACCCAAGGAGUUAGGGGAUGAGGUCAUUGCUAGCUUAGGAUUUGGGUGGGUAGAUGACCAAUAGGUUAAAAAUUAGAACUUGUUGAGCAAACCCACAAAGCUGGCUCUUUUUUAUCAUUGCAUCUUUAACGAUGUGCUUCCCCUUACUGGGUUCUUGAUCUUAGUUCUUCCAUGAGGUCACAAGCUCUACAUUGGCCUUCUGAUGCUCCACCAUCAUCAUCUUCAGCCAUUCCCAAUAACCCAAUCCAACAGUUGUUGAAUAAAGUGCGUUCCAUAUCCGAACAAUAAAGCAAAUUUAAGAUAUCGUUCGCAGCAUUCCAGGAUCAUUUUCUUUCUGAGCAACAACGUCUCUUUCUUCAACAAUAACAAAUUCUAGACCAUCACUAGCUUAUUUUCAUUGCUCUCAAAUUUUCGCCACCAUCCUUAUUAUCUUGUUUGCUACCUCAUCAGUGAUUUUCUUUUAUCUCUUUUGCUUCAUUGUUUUAUGCACCGACAUUAUUUAUCAUAUGCAUUUUCGUUUUUAGCAUCAUGGAUACUUGAUGGAUGUUAUUUUACUUAUGCAUUAUAGAUACUUGAGUUGAUAUGGAUUAUCUUUAUGCAUUCUAGUUAUUGAUUGUGGUAUCUUUAUUAAUUAUCUUUAUGGAUUAUCUUUAUUGAUUAUGGAUUAUGUAUAUGGAUACUUGAUUAAUGGUUAUGUGUGGAUUUUCGAUUGAUGAUCUUUGUGGGGGAUAAUUAUUGAUAAUAUUUGUAUAAUAGAGGAGUGAUUUUUCAUGAUGAAGGGGGAGAAGAUAUUGACAUGUAUUUUGAAGUGUUUUGACAUGUUUUUGGCUCAUGGGGGUUGAUUGAGUGUUUGUAGUAUUUUAGUUGCUUUCUGAGUCACUCAAGGAGAGUUUACAAAUGUUGUACAAUUAUUGUUAGCCUAUAUGGUUAUAAAUAUUGAUUUUGAUGAUAACAAACCACAUGUAUUGAUUAAGAAAAGAUUUAUUAAUUGUACUUUUAUAAUAAGAAAAUGAUGUUAUGGAAUUAAAGUAUUUUGGACUAAAAUGAAAGUAUUUUAAAAUCUUUGAUAGUGUUUUAAAUUUCGGAUUUGGACCUGUUUGAAACUAUUUAAAUAUUUUUUGAUUAUUCUAUAAUUUCAUAUAGUUUGGGUGAAAUCAUAAUUUCAGAAAGUUUUGGGAUUGACAAAGCAUUAUUUAAAAUUCUGAAAUUGGACCUAUUUGCAAAGUUUCAUAAAGUUUUGAGCCAUAAUAUAGUUUUAUAAAGUUUUGGGGUCAAACUAUAAAUUUAAAAAAUAUUUCACUGUAGCAGUAACUGUAGCAAGCGGCUUACCGGAUAUGGUUAAACGACAAACUGGAUAUUGGGCAGUAAGCGUCUGGAGCAUAAACGGCUUACCGGAUUUUGUAAGCAGCAAGCCGGAUAUUCUGAAAUUCAAAAUUUUGCCAUAACGGUAACAUAAAAGCGGCUUACCAGAUUCCUAAAUGGCAAGCCGGUUAUAACAGAAAAUGUGCAUAACAGCUAGUUUUUUAGCUCAAACUAUAAGAACUCAAAUCCAAAUCAUUUUCAAGCUCUCCAACAAGCAUAAACAAAAAGCACACGAGAUAUCUUGAGCUUUCAAGUUGCAAAACACAAAACAUUUAAUCAUGUCUUGUUUUUCAUUUUUGAAUAUCUGCUUUUUGAGUGAGUUUUAUUGUAACUUUCAUUUCUUCAUCUCAAUUGUAAGAGUUUGAGUGUGUGAGACACUUGAGUGAAGAGAUUGUUAGAUAAUCUCUUUGUUGUAAAGGUUCAUUGACACCUUGAAGUCAAUUGUAAACAGUUAAAACCUUGGAAAGGCUUGGAUAGUGAAAACCUCAAGCUUGGAUCGCUUGGAGGUGUGGACAUAGGCGGAGAUUGCCGAACCACGUAAAAAUUCGUAUGUUUGUUUCUUUUCUCCCUUACUCAUUAGUUAUUGUGUUUUUAUUGAACUUAUUGCUUUUAAUUUUUAUUAAGACAUUUAGAUUGCUUGUUGUGUGGAUUUGCUAAGAAAUUUUUUAAAAUUCCAAUUCACCCCCCUUUUUGGGUUGCACACUUAUAUUUCAUUUGGUAUUAGAGCGAGGUGCUCUUAUUUGGACCUAACCGUUUAGAACUAAAUAUCAAUGGCAACUCAAAAUGAUUCCACAUUUAGGGAAGGACAGUCCACUACUAGACCACCUUACUUUGAUGGAAACGAUUACCCAUAUUAGAAAACUAGGAUGAGAAUUUACUUGCAAGUCUUAGAUUAUGAAAUUUGGGAAAUCGUUAAUGAUGGUUCUUUCAUGCCUUUGACUAAAAAUGAAGUCGGAGAAGAUAUUCCAAAACCUUCACGGGAAUGGAAUGGAUUCGAAAAGAGAAAAGCUUCUCUAAAUUCCAAGGCCAUGAAUGCCUUAUUUUGUGCACUAGAUAAGAAAGAGUUUCAUAGAGUGUCUAGUUGCGAAAGUGCUAAUGAGAUUUGGCACAAACUUGAAGUUGUCUAUGAAGGCACGAACCAAGUGAAAGAAUGUAAAAUAAGUAGGUGCACUCGACAAUAUGAAUUGUUCCAAAUGGAACAAAAUGAAAAUGUGUACUCUAUGUAUACUAGAUUUACAGACAUAGUGAACACUCUAGGAGCCCUAGGAAAGACCUUUUUAAAUAGCGAGAAAGUCAAGAAAAUCAUUAGGUCGCUACCUAAGGAAUGGAGACAAAAAAGGACUGUCAUUGAGGAAGCCAAAGAUUUAAAUGUAUUACCUAUUAAUGAUUUAAUUGGUUCUCUCAUUUCAUAUGAAGAAGAUUUGGCAGCUGAAAAAGGGCAUGAGGAAAAGAAGAAAAACAUUUCUCUCAAGGCUUCAAAAUGUGAGAGUGAUGGGGAAAGCGAAAUGGAUGAUGAGGAGUUGGCAAUGUUGGCUAGAAGAUUUAGAAAAUUUUACAAAAAGAAUAAUGAGCAGAGAAAGUUCAGAGGCUACAAGAAUAAGAAGGAGAAGAAUGAGUCAAUCACUUGUUAUGAAUGCAAGAAACCCGGAUACAUACGACCGAAAUGUCCUCUUUUCAACAAACUCAAGAAGAAAGCUAUGGUGGCCACAUGGGAUGAUAGCGAUGAGGAAACAAGUGAUGAUGAUGAGCAACAGGAAAUGACAAAUUUAGAUCUCAUGGCCAUUGGGGAAGAAUCAUGUGAUGAACUUGAUGAGGUACGUGUUCUUCCUACAUAUGAUGAAUUACAUAAUGCCUUUAAGGAUUUGCAUGAUGAGCUGAUGAAGAUUGGUAAAAAGAAUAUAUGUCUUAAAAAGAAGAUAAUAGAGCUUAAAAAUGAAAAUGAAUCAUUUAGUGCAAAGAUUACAUGCCUAGAAUUAGAAAAUAAAACAUUGCAUGAUAGCAUUGCAUUAUUUGAGAAUUCUAGCACUCCACAUGAGCACUUAGAGUCACACAUGAAUGACUUGAAAAAUGAAAAUGAAAUGCUUAGAAAGAAGAGCAAUGAACUAAAUGAAAUUCUACUAAAAUUCACAAAUGGGAGAAAGAUGUUGGACAAUUUGCUAAACUCACAAAAAUGUGUAUUUGACAAAAGUGGCAUUGGUUAUAAACCAAAUUUGAAACAAAAAUUUUACAAGAGUUGUUUUGUGAAGAAUACAUCUAUUAACAAUCAAAUUGUAUGUCAUUAUUGUAAUCAAAAUGGUUAUAUGAAAAAUAGAUGUGCAGUGAAGAGAAAUGCAUAUUAUGGUGUGAAAUGUGUUUGGGUUCCGAAAGGAACCAUUGUUAACUCUUAAGGACCCAAAAAGGUUUGAGUACCUAAAACUUGAGAUUUUCUCUACAGGGCUUGAAGAAGAAGAAUAAUAAGUGUUACUUGGACAGCGGUUGUUCAAGACACAUGACAGGGAAUUAUUCUUGGUUUUCAAGUUUUACUAAGAUCGAAAAUGGUGGAGAUGUAUCAUUUGGAGAUAAUUCAAAAGGAAAAAUCAUUGGGAUUGGAAAUGUCGGUAAUGCAUCCUCUACUCUCAUUGAAAAUGUGUGUUUGGUUGAAAACUUGAAAACACAACUUGCUUAGUAUUAAUCAAUUAUGUGAUAAAGGAUAUAGAGUUAUCUUUGAUAAAUCAAAAUGUGUUAUUGAGAAUGCAUGUGAUGGGAAAGUUUUGUUUGUAGGAAAUAAAUGUGUUAAUGUCUAUACUAUUAAUAUAGAUUGUGUAUCAACAAAUGAUAAAUGUCUCUCUGCAUUACAUGAUGAUGGUUGACUGUGGCAUAGAAGAUUAGGUCAUGCAAGCAUGGAUUUGAUUUCAAAAAUCGUGAAAAAUGAUUUAGUUAAAGGUCUUACAAAAAUUAGUUUUCAAAAAGAUAGAAUUUGUGAAGCAUGCCUAUUUGGAAAAAAAAUCAAAACUUCCUUCAAAAGCAAGAAUCAUGUCUCUACUUCAAAACCACUUCAAUUACUUCACAUAGAUUUGUUUGGACCUUCUAGAUAUGCUAGUUUAAGUGGCAAAUUUUAUGCAUUUGUAAUUGUGGAUGAUUAUUCUAGAUACACAUAGGCAUUGUUCUUAGCUAAUAAGGAUGAUGCCAUUGAUGCAUUUCAAAUUUUCUCUAAAAAGGUUCAAAAUGAAAAAAGGUUAUUCUAUUACUUGUAUUAGAAGUGAUCAUGGUGAAAAAUUUGAAAAUCAUGCAUUUGAAAAUUUUUGUAAUGACUUUGGCAUUGAACAUCAAUUUUCAUCACCUAAGACUCCACAAUAAAAUGGAGUAGUAGAGAGAAAGAAUAGGUCUAUUCAAGAAAUGACUAGGAGCAUGUUGAAUGAAAACUCUAUGCUUGAGUAUUUUUAGACCGAAACCGUCAACACCGCUUGUUAUGUUUUAAAUCGUGUGUUGAUUAGACCUAAUCUUAAUAAAACUCCAUAUGAGCUUUGGAAAGAUAGAAAACCCAACAUUGGCUAUUUUAAAGUUUUUGGAUGCAAAUGUUUUGUUUUGAUCACAAAAGAUAAUCUUGGUAAAUUUGAUCCAAAAUCUGAUGUUGGUAUUUUUCUUGGUUAUUCAAAUUCAAUCAAAACUUAUAGAGUUUAUAAUAAAAGAACUUUAGUUGUGGAAAAAUCUAUGCAUGUUACAUUGAUGAGUCUAACCCCUCCUCUACGGAGAAAGUCGUUGUUGAUGAUAAUGCAGAAGAAGAACUACAAGAAGAAGCAUCAAAUGACAACCAGAAGAUGCACCACAUGAAAUUCAAGAGGAACAUCAUGAAGAAAACAAAUGUAGAGCAAAAUGAAGUACUUCUCAAACACUCCCAAGGAGUGGAGGUGUGUUUCCUCUCACCCUUAGGAUGUAAUUUUAGGAGAUCCCUCACGAGGUGUUACCACUAGAUCAUCUCUUAGGAACACAUGUGAGCAUGCUGCAUUUAUUUCUCAAAUUGAACCAAAAUCCUUUGCGGAUGCAGAAAAUGAUGAAUCUUGGAUUAUGGAAAUGCAAGAAGAGUUGAAUCAAUUUGAGAGAAACAAUGUGUGGGAGUUAGUUCUAAAUCCAGAACAUCAAUCCAUUAUAGGCACUAAAUAGGUAUUUAAAAACAAAAUGGAUGAAUUUGGUGUGGUUGUAAGAAAUAAAGCUAGAUUAGUGGCUCAAGGUUACAACCAAGAAGAAGGAAUUGAUUUUAAUGAAACUUUUGCACCUGUAGCAAGGUUAGAAUCCAUUAGGAUGUUGUUAGCAUAUGCAUGUCAUAAGGAUUUUAUUUUAUAUCAAAUGGAUGUCAAGAGUGCUUUCUUAAAUGGUUAUAUUAUGGAGGAAGUUUAUGUGAAACAACCUCCUGGUUUUGAAAAUGAAAAUUUUCCAGAUCAUGUGUAUAAGUUAUCUAAGGUUUUGUAUGGUCUAAAACAAGCACCUAGAGUUUGGUAUGAUAGGCUUAAAAACUUCUUGUUGGAUAACGAUUUUUCGAUGGCUUAAAAAUCAGAAUGCCAAAAUAUAAAACAACAGUUAAAUUCCAUUUAAACUCCAAGAAAAGUAAUUCAAAUUCCGGCCACCGAGCCAAGUUCUCCAACAAAAUUUCCAAAGAUUAAUGGAAAUAUUCCAAUAGCAAGACUUCCAGAAGCAAUACCCUCUUCCAGCGGCAAUACAUUGUUUAGAACUACAACACUAAAACAUAAAAGCCAAAUACUAUAUUAAACUCAUAAAAAGCUUAUAAUUUACAGGAGAAACUGAAAGUAUCAAUCAAUUUUGAGGCAACCAAUUUGACAAUUUAAUAUUAAACUCAUAAAAAGCAUUGCCAGUAGUGAGUUUAAAUAUACCUGCAUCUGUGUCCUUGCCAAUUCAAUGGGGUAGCAACUAAUACAUGCUAAUGAACGUGCAACAGACCCAGCAACUAGGGGAACAUAUUGUGCCAACAUUGGAGCAUUGUCAAUAGGGAAUUUUCCAUCAAAUUGCGAAAACUGUCAUAACAAGGAAGGUAAAUUCCCACCUGAAAAGAGUAAUUAACAGAAAAAAAAGAAAAUAAUCAUCAUAAUGCAAAAAAAUUUCAAUGCCACACUGAUGUAUGGGAUGAAAUAUUUGAAGAAACACAAGCAAUUUAUGUACAAGAGAGACUUAUUGUUGGCAUAGACAACGCUAAACUUGCAUAAGUGCCUCUCCAUAGUCGGGCAAAUCCCUCCUGCACAUGUUUAGCUCUUAUGAAACCUUUGAUAUUAAAGAUCAAAAUUUAAGAUUCACUAACAGUAGCACCAAGAAAUCUAUUUAUUGAAGGCACAUUAACUACACAAUACAAAAUCUCUUUCCAUAAUAUAUGUAAUCACACUGCAAGUAUAAUGCAGUACACUAAAAUGCCAUCAGUUGACUUGUUCUAAAAAAUGUCUAUAAGACAUUCUGUACAAAUCCCAGUUCUUACGGAGUUAUUUUGCCCAUGGAUCAAAUCACUUUAGGACUGGAAAAAUGACGUCAUCUAAAUAGGAAAUUAGGAGUAAUAACAUGUAAUUCCAAUUGAAUUUAGUUUUUCUUCUUCAUAAUUUUCCUGUGAACUAUAACAACUGCUUUCUAGGAUCUCUUUCUUCUUUAGAGAUACAAUAGUUUUACAAAGAUCCAAUAUAAAACUCUUUAGGAUAAAAAUAGUCCAAGGAAAGCUUUUCUCAACAGCAUAAACUAUACACUUUUGGAAAACUUCAGUUCUUUUUAUUAGAUAUAUGUGUAAUUUAUUCAUAAAGUCCUUGUAUCCACCAACCUGGCAUACGAAUUUGUAGAAAACAUCCAGUGUUCCUUUAUAUUUAUUACAUUCUGGAGCUGGUUUAGAGCCUGGAACUGCACACGUGCAUGAUGGGGAAUUUCUCAUAUCUGGAAGCAUCUACAGAAACAAUUUGAAAGACAACACUUGUCACAAGAUCAUAUAACAAAGAGCAAUAAGAAUAGUAAUUGUUGAGUGUUAGAAAAUGUAUAUUUAUAAAGGAGAAAAUCGUCAUUUUACAUUUCAAGUCUUACUAACAACCCUUACUUUUAUGUAUUUAAGCCUCUUGUAAUUUAAUUAUGUGUGUUUUAUUUUAAUUAAGUAUUUUAUGUAUUUUAGGGACAUCAUAGUCAUUUCACAAUAAACGAGAGAUCAAAUGGCAAAACGACAUCACUUUUGAACUCAAGACGGUCGAAAACCUUAGGAGGAGCAUAAAAGGAAAAAUGGUAUUGUUCACAUGUACGAUACUAUUCACGUGUACGGUACUGUAUACGUUACUGUUCACGACAUGUUCACAUAGACGGAAGAUGACGUGGCAUUGACCGAUGAUGUGCAUUGACUGAUGAGGUGUCACGAUCCUGUUGGACUAAAAUUCUUAUGUACUGGAGGUAACGUGGCAGCAUAUAGUGGACUAAAAAUCUCGCGUACGGUACAUGCAUACACAUGAUUAUUUUCAACCAAACCGCGUUACUGUUCAAACCCGGUCAAAUCGUGUUACUGUUCAUCCGCGUGGUCAAACCGCGUACUGUUGACUGAUGACGUGGCGCAAUCCUGAGUAUCCAAACUGUUUUUAAUCCGAUGACCAUGAUUUACUCCAUGUAUCUAUAAAAGGGGCCUUCCCCCCUAAUUUGCAUCUUGAAUCUAUUUUUGGGAUCCAUUUUCUGUAAUUCCUUCUCCAUUUUGUAUUUUCUACGUAUUUUAAUAAAUUACCAUUUUGCCCCUAGUUCAAUUAUGAGUAGCUAAUUUUCUUUCAAACUUGGGUUGAAGGUGAAAUCUCAACAUGUGUCAUGGGCUUUAUUUGGGAAAUUUAUUUUCUUUUCCCCUCUAAUUUUUGUGGAUGAUUUGACUUUUUCGUCGACAAAUAAUAAUAAUCUUGUCUAAAUACCGCAUUGGUUACACCGGCUCUCUAGUACAAUGUUAUUAUUAUUUGGCACGAUAAGCCCUUAGCACCAUAUUGAUUAGAGCGUGGUUCAUGAGGUGUGGAUUCCCCCCUCAUGAUUUAAUUGCAUUAAUAUGGAUUAUUUAGCCCAUGUUGCAUGUUGAUACGGAUCCAGAUACCCAAGUACAUCAUUUCAAUAGAUUUCACUUCAAUUUAUUCUCACCAUUUCAAUUCCAAUUUUAGAAUAAUCUAAAGUUACUUUCACCACAAAUCCAACCACCCAUUUACAAAAUUAAUUCUACACACAAUUAAAAUCUACCUCCUCGUGGGAUCGACACUCGUCACCAUUGAUCUAUACUACAAUAGAUUCGUGCGCUUGCGAGUACAUUAAAAUUUGCACAACACUAGCCUCCACUUAUAAAUGACUUAUUCACCUAAUUAGGGCAUGUCGUCAUCUCUUUGCUUCCUUUUCUUCAAUUUUCUCUCUAUCUUUUAAAUCAUCAGUCAUUUCUCCACUUUAGGAGGCCAUUUUUAUUCUCCACCUUUAUCAUAUUCUCUAAGAUAUUAUCAUUCUCAAUAUCUUAUUAACAAUCUUCAUUUUUAUCAAUACCAAACAUCUCUGUAUUGCUAUCUAGCUUGUGUUAUUCAUUUUGAAUAAUGUAAAAUCUUAUAUAACCUCUCAUUUAUAUAAUGGAUUGGUGAUGAUCUGCUCUCAUGGAUGUAGGCCAAAAGGUGAAACAUGUAAAUACUGUGUGUUCUUUAUAUUUAUGUUUUAUUUUGCUAUUUUCAAUUUGAGGUCGAGAUUGUUUUUCAUGUAUGAGCUUAUCAAUAGAUACCCAGUUACACCAAGUAUUCUGUGAGACUAUCUAUACUAUUCCUUGAGUAUAUCUGAGCCAUACCUAAACAUAUAUUAGCCCUCUAUCAAAUCCUACAAGACUCCAUUGAGCUCUCCCUAUUUUUCCUCCCACCUGAACUCACUAUAUCUACUACUUUUGCUCACUAUCUAGGAUAAUUCAGCUAAACUACCUGGCCCAAAUACUAUAAAAAUACACGUAAACCCAAACUUAUCACAAGCUCCCUUCAAAUAUAAGUUUAUUUGUUUGAAUCAAAUUUAAACUGGGUCCAAUGAGAAUCAGCCAAUUGGUACGAAUAAGAUCUUAAUGAAAAUUUGGUGAACACAUAUAUUAAAUUAUAGAGUAUGAUUGCUACAACUAUUUUAUUAUACUUAGAAUAAGAAAAGAUAAAAUAUUGUGUGCAUUAUUUUAAUCCAUAUUCCAAGAUACUCAUUGCCCAAAAGAUACCAAAAUCAGUUUCAAGAUUCCAAUAUGUGAAUAUAUAUAUAUACAUAUUUUUAAAUUUCAUCCGUUAAUGCAUACAUACGCAAGAUUCAAAAUCCCAACUACAUCCAUAUAAUUUUUAUUAAUUUAUGAAAUUAAUAGUACCUAUCGAAAUGAUGAAUGAUACAUGACCCACCAUAUUGUCACUUUUUAUAUUUUCUUUAUACAAACAUUUAUUCAUAUCUCUAAAUACCCACUUUGUCAUAGAGUUCGGUUAUACGGUUCACAGCUUAUACAAAUAUAGUGGUUGAUUUUUUAAUCAAAUUUUAAAUUCAAUUUCCCAAAUUGGUUUAAAUUGAACUUUAAAGAUAAAACAGUUAUUUUAUUUUAUUUUAUUAUCACUGCUACACAAAAAGAUAAAAAAUUGAUACAGUUUAUAAAUUUGGAGUUAAAUCGUUAUUCGUUAAACAAUGUAUAUUUUUUGAUUUUUUAAAACUAGAGAAAGUAAUAACUGGACAAUUAAAAUUAAAAAAAUCCAAACUUACAUAAUGCUUGCACAUUAUACAUUGUUGCAACGGUUGUUCCAUGGUCAAAUUUACAUCUGCAUAAAAAGUAUCAUACUUUAACACAUGUAUAUUAUAUCAUUCAUAUACUGAUCUAAUAAAAUUUUACUGUAUACAUAUUCAAUUUUGAGAUAAAUCAUGAUGUGUGAUAGGGAUUUUAUUAAGAAUAUCUGAGGAUAUGAAAAACAAGGAUUUUUCUAGUUUAGCAAGUCGUGAGAGCAUAUCAGGAAUAAGGUUGUGGUCUCUUUUAUAUGUUUCACUGAGAAAUCAUAUUUUGAAAACCAGUCUUUGAGCCUAAGCAACUUUUACUUUUCUAAAAGCUUGUGGCUUGUAAUUAUGACUUUGCUUUUCAAAAAGUGAUAGGGGUCCUGUCCUAUCCUUUUUCUUGGUUUGCCUCCUAUUUAAGCUCGGCUUCUCUUGGUUCCCAUAUGCCUAAUAAGGAUAUCUUGUUAGGAUUUGAUAUCAUUCACCAGAAUAAAACACCUUCAAAUCAUUCCUAUUGAAAUUCGAGUCAAGUCCAUGUUUAAACCAUACAUAGUAGCUAUGCUUAAAAAUCAUUAAACGUGUAAGGUGUAUUUGACACAUUAUAUUACAAUAUAGUGUAUUGCAUUAACAUGCAUUGCAUUAAGUUGUAAUGCAAUACUAUGUUUGGGUAAUAUGGACUCUAUAUAUAAAAUAAUAUUAUAUUAUAUAAAUGUUAAAAUUAAAUAAUAUUUAUUAAUAUUUAAGAUUUUAUUAUUAAUUUUUUAAAUUAAGUACUUACUAAUUACUUUUAUAUAUUAUUAUUAUAAUACAAAAAUGACCUAAUAAUAACUAUUAUUAAAUAAUAAAUAUUAAAUUGGUAAAGGAAAUUAUGCAAGAAAACGACGAGCUCGAAGAAUUUCUGUUGCUUGUCAUAAGUGUGCCAGAAUGGAGUUGCGAUAGAAACCCAUGUUCUUUAGGAAUGGUGUCUGAUAACAGGGAAGAUAAGAUUCAAUUCAUUAGGGAUGGCUUGAAUAAGGAGUCAUUGGAUGAUAUCCUUUUGUCUCUUGAAACGCAUCCCAGUGGAUAUGUGCAAGGAGCGAUUCUCCGGUUAUGGCCAUUAUUCCAGAAAGAGCAUGCACGAUAUAGUCUCGGGAAUCUGACUAUAAACGACCCUGUUUGCCAGUUUAUAAGAAAACUGGAUGGGAAGCCCAUCCUCGACCUAUAGAGGGCGUUCAAGCCGUUUCUGGACGUAAAACCAGAGGAAGAUGUGAGCCACAGUCGCAACUACGUGUAAAUAUCCUUUUACUUUACUGUUAUUUUAUUUCAUUUCACUGUUGUUUUAUUGUUUGCAUUAUUGUCUUUAAUAAUUUUAUUACUGUUUGUUUUUUCCUUUUUACUAUUUCCUUUUUGACUCGCGAGCCACGUGCUUUACGCGUUAUUUGACACUGACAUGUUACCUCAUUCACAGCUGUGAUCCAUUGUCACCAAGAUUCUUAAAUGUGAUUUAUCUUUUGUCAAGCACUCACAAAUUAUUUUUGAGAAAGUAUCACAAUGGCAGCUACUCCCAAUAGACAAUUCAAGAACAUUUGUGUGCUUUCUGGAUUUACCUAUGGCAAACAUAAAGAGUUCGUGGAGGCAGCCAUAGAUCUUGGUCGAAGCAUAGCAGCGAGAAAAUUACAUUUGGUGUAUGGAGGAGGUAACCGAGGGUUUAUCAAAAAUGGUCUCAGAAGCAGCUUUUAUCAGAGGAAGUCAAGUGUUAGGCAUCAUCCCAAGAGUCCUAAAACCAUUGGGCAGUUCGUCUGACUCAUCAACUGGAGAAGAGUUAGUCGUCUCAGGUAUGCAAGAAAGAAUAACUGAAAUGCUUAAUCAUGCUGAUGCUUUUAUUUUCCUUCCAGGAGAUCUUGCAACACUAGAGGCACUUUAUGACACUAGCAUCUUGGGCCCAUCUGCACAUCCACCAGAAACCCAUCGGUUUGUUAAAUGUCAAUAACUUUUAUGAUGGCUUUAUCGCAUUUCUUAACCAUGCAAUAAAAAACUAUUUCAUUCCUUCUAAUGUGAAAAAACUCUUUAUUUGUGCUCACACUGCUAAUGAGCUACUUGAUAUGUUACAAGCUUAUAAACCGGAGCCAGACCCCUGGACCUUUGUGUUGGAGCGACCAAAUAAUGAUGGUAACAGUAGCCGCAGUAAGAAGUACAAAUUAGAUUUAACUCUCCGCCUGUAAAUAUUUUCUUCUGUGUUGCACCACCCAGGUGAUGUCUUCUAAACUCUACUUCUUUCCUUUAAAACAUUGAGGACAAUGUUUCAUUCUGGUUGGGGGGAGGGAAUAGUCGACAAUUGUGGAAUCUUGGUUAAGUUUUUACUGAUUUUUUGUUGUAGAAACUAACUGUUGCUAACGUUUUGUGUUGAAGAUGGCUGAAUAUGGAGUGUAGUUACUCUAGAAACGCAUUUUUUGUUGUAGAAACUAACUGUUGCUAACGUUUUGUGUUGAAGAUGGCUGAAUAUGGAGUGUAGUUACUCUAGAAACGCAUCUUCAUUGUUUAAAAAAAAAAAAAAAAAACCGUUUUCUUCCUCUUUCUCCUUUAUAAAUAUGCAGUUUCAAAUUUUUUAGUCGAAGAUGGCUGAAUAUGGAGUGUAGUGCCUCUAGAAACGCAUCUUCUUAGUUAAAAAAAAAAAAAAAAAAAAAUUCUUUUUCUAAUUAAUUUUUUCUACAUCAUUUUCACAUUUCUGCAUGCAUAUUUUCCUUUCAUGUUUAGAAUAGGUUGGGGGGUAGAAUGUUGUUUAAAAAAAAAAAAAAAAAAUUUUGUGUUAUUUGUUUUAACAUUGGAUGACAUGAUUAAUUUCAAAUUUUAGUAUUUGUAUUAUCUUUGGUCUUAAGUGAUGUUACGCUAUGUUUGCUACUUUACAUGUUGAUGUCAGAGACAAAUAUGAGUUGCUUGAAGGAAUGAACAUGUCAUAAAUAAGUGCCAAGUGAGUAGUUGAGCCUAUCAUUUUUCUUGGAGAGUAACCAUUUUGCGCAUUCUCUAUACAGCUUAGCAGUUUAUUAUUUUAUACACGAUCUCUAGAUUUCUUUUAAGUUAACCCUUUAAAAAAAAUAUGGUAAAAUUAAAAAAAAAAAGAAAAAAAAAAGAAAAAAGAAAAAAAUGUGUGUUGCUACAUUGGGAGGCCCAUCUAACUAGUAGAUAUGGAUAAUUAUUUAGAGCCCUAAAAGACGAUGGAAAGGCCAUCUUUGAUCCGUUUGAGCCUUUCUAGCCAUCCCUUUUAUUAAAUAUCCAUAGUUACCCCUUUUGAGCCUUUAAAAAAAAAAAAAAAAAGAACAAAAACCUUUUCUUUGUCAACUUAUCAUCUUGACCCACUCCGAUUUGGAGUAUUACCCAAUGUCUUUUAAGUUCCAUCACCUAUUUAUGUUUGAGAAAAUGUAAAUAAUUAUGUUGUUCAGUGAAGUUAUGCCAAAUAAAAGCAAAAAGAAAAAAAAAAACAAAAACAAAAGUUGUUGUUUCAAAAGAAUAAAAAUAACAAUAAUAGGUGAAAUCCACCUUGCAAGUUCCAAAAAAAAAAAAAAAAAUUCUGCAUUUUUCUCAAACAUACACUUUGUUUUCCUUAUUUCCUUUCUUUGUUAGCCAUAUCCCUAGCCUACGUUACGUCCUAAUAAAAGUCCUUCUUGAUUUUAGGGAACUAUAGUUUGAAGUAGAAGCUAGUUAUAUGGGCUAAAAAGAUGUAGUGAUGCAUAAUAAAAAAAAAAAAAAAAGAUAAAUAAAGUGGGUUGACUAACAUUUUAUUUGACUUGAGAUCGUAUUAUUUCUAAGCUGAGGGCAUAUUUAUUUCAUCUUGGUGAGAGCAUGUGAUAUCAUUUCUUUAUUAUUUUCUCUCUCAAUUACCAUUCAUUGGAGUGACUAUGUUUAUUGGGUUUUAAUUUCUUUGUGAGAGUGUCAUUACUUCCAGUGAGAUUUUGGGGUUUGACAUGUCAUUCUUGAAAGUAGCUAUAACAAAGUCUACUGGGCUAAUUCAUGUGGAUGGUUGAUGUGGGUGUGAUGUUGCUUUAGACUGAAGAUAAUGCUUAUACUUUUAUUUGAUUGCUAUCAUUAAUCUGAUUGAAUAAACACGAGUGUUUCCCAUAAAAAAAAAAAAAAAUCAUUUUGAAUUUGAAUUUUGUUUUCGCUUUAUUUGCUAGGGACUAGCAAUAAGCUGGUUGGGGGGUGUAUUGAGUGUUAGAAAAUGCAUAUUUAUAAAGGAGAAAACCGUCAUUUUACAUUUCAAGUCUUAUUAACAACCCUUACUUUUAUGUAUUUAACCUUCUUGUGAUUUAAUUACAUGUCUUUUAUUUUAAUUAAGUAUUUUAUGUAUUUUAGGGGCAUUAUAGUCAUUUCACAAUAAAGGAGAGGUCAGAUGGCAAAACGGACAUCACUUUUGAACUCAGGACGGUCGAAAACCUUAGGAGGAGCAUAAAAGGAAAAAUGGCACUAUUCACAUGUACGGUACUAUUCACGUAUACGGUACUGUCUACGUUACUGUUCACGACACUGUUCACAUAGACGGAUCGAUGACGUGGCAUUGACCGAUGAUGUGGCAUUGACUGAUGAGGUGUCACGAUCCUGUUGGACUAAACUUCUUAUGUACUGUUGAUGGUGACGUGGCAGCAUAUCAGUGGACGAAAAAUCUCGCGUACGGUGCAUGCAUCACACAGGAUUAUUUUCAACCAAACCGCGUUACUGUUCAUCCGGGUCAAACCGUGUUACUGUUCAUCCGCGUGGUCAAACCGUGGACUGUUGACUGAUGACGUGGCGCAAUCCUGAGCGUCCAAACUGUUUUUAAUCCGAUGGCCAUGAUUUACUCCAUGUAUCUAUAAAAAGGGGGCCUCCCCCCCCUAAUUUGAUAUCUCUGAAUCCAUUUUUGGGAUCCAUUUUCUGUAAUUCCCUCUCCAUCUUGUAUUUUCUUUGUAUUUUAAUAAAUUCCCAUUUUGCCCCUAGUUCAAUUAUGAGUAGCUAAUUUCUUUUCAAGCUUGGGUUGAAGGUGAAGUCUCAACAUGUGUCAUGGGCUUUAUUUGGUAAAUUUAUUUUCUUUUCCCCUCUAGUUUUUGUGGAUGAUUUGACUUAUCGUCGACAAAUAAUACUGAUCUUGUCUAGAUACCGCCUUGGUUACACCGGCUCUCUAGUAUAAGGUUAUUAUUAUUUGGCACGAUAAGCCCUUAGCACCAUAUUGAUUAGAGCGUGGUUCAUGAUGUGUGGAUUCCCCCAUCAUGAUUUAAUUGGCAUUAAUACGGAUUAUUUAGCCCAUGAUGCAUGUUGAUACGGAUCCAGAUACCCAAGUACGUCAUUUCAAUAGAUUUCGCUUCAACUUAUUCUCGCCAUUGCAAUUCCAAUUUUAGAAUUUAUUAUCGCAAUUUCAAUUCCAAUUUUAGGAUAAUUUAAAUCACUUCCACCACAAUUCCAACCACCCAUUUUGCAAAAUUAAUUCUAUACACAAUUAAAAUCCACCUCCUCGUGGGAUCGACACUCGUCACCAUUGAUCUACACUACAAUAGAUUCGUGCGCUUGCGAGUUCAUUAAAAUUUGCACAACAGACAAAUAAUAAUAAUUUUGUCUAGAUACCGCUUUGGUUUCACCGGCUCCCUAAUACAAGGUUAUUAUUAUUUGGCACGAUAAGCCCUUAGCACCAUAUUGAUUAGAGUGUGGUUCAUGAGGUGUGGAUUCCCCCCUCAUGAUUUAAUUGACAUUAAUAAGGAAUAUUUAGCCCAUGGUGCAUGUUGAUAUGGAUCCAGAUACCCAAGUGUUUCAUUUCAAUAGAUUUAUCUUCAAUUUAUUCUCGCCAUUUUAAUUUAAGUUUUAGAAUAUUCCAAAUCAAUUUCACCAGAAAUCCAACCACCCAUUUACAAAAUUAAUUCUACACACAAUUAAAAUCCACCUCUUAGUGAGAUCGACACUUGUCACCAUUAGUCUAUUGUACAAUAGAUUCGUGCGCUUGCGAGUUCAAUAAAAUUUGCACAACAGUAAUGUCUAUGCAUAAUGAUCAUAACAGAAAAGAGAAUUCAUCUAUCACAUUUAUCAUUCCAACCCUCUCAAAAUACUAACUGAAGGAAAGGAGGAGACAAAUUUAACAAAAGCAAACCAAGGGGGAAAACUAGAGGAAAGCAAAACAGAUGACAUGCAUUUUUAAAACAUUUGGAUUCAUUCUCUUAACAAGUUAUCUAACACUUAAUACAUUUAGUACCUAUAGAAGUUAGACGAUGGCAAGAGCUUAGACCAUAAUAGCAAUUGAUGAAAUUUCAUUACGUAAAAUACCACUCAGUUUUGGUAAGACUGUUAUGUGUGCUCAAUAUAAGUCAUUUUGAUAUCAGUACACUAAGAUUUUUUUUCUUGAUAUGGCUGUUCAUGUAUAGAGAAGAUACCCCACUUUCUCUAAUAUCAAUGUUUCAAGCAUUUUCUUUCCUCAUAAGAUACCAUUUCGGAUAGUGUACAAUGCAAAGUAAAGAAUCCCAAAAAGGGCAGUUCACAUACCAUGUUACUUUCAAAAGAUGCUGUACAACAUAGACCCUCAUAAGGGACGCCAGCAGCCUGGGCUUGCAACCUUGUCUGAAGAUGAAGGCAGGAAAUCUAUUAGCUUUGUAGCUUCAUCAUGAAAUCUCAAAAGAUGAAGCAAUGUGAAGACUAGGAUUUCUGAAAAAAACUGGAGAAGAGAUAGAGGAUCCAUGCAACAAGCAUCACUCAAAUUUAGAAAAUAAUUGGGUGACUUUAGCCCACGUUUAAAAUAUUUAUAAUAAUUAGUAAAAGAAUAGUGAAAAGUAGCUGAAUAAAGAAAAUUUAAUUUUUCCAUCUUUUUGCUUCCUUUUCUUUCAUUCUCCGAAAGAAUCAUAGCUUCUCAAGGACUGAGAAUAAUGACACAACAUUUGGAUUUUAUUCUUGAGAUAAAGAGAAACAAUAAUUAACAUCUAUCCACAAUACCAUUCUCAAAAGUAGAAAAAAUAAUAAUAAUACUAACAAUAAUAAAAAAUAAUGAAAAUGACAAUUAAAGGGAAGAAAAUUUUUGAUAUAACAGACAAAAUUAGCAAUGAAUAAGUUAAAUAAAGAAAAAAUGAAAUGAAAAUUUAGGUGGAGUAGAGUCAUUAUAAAACCUUAGUGACAUCGAGAGGAUUAAUAAUAACGGCAGAAACAAUAGCAGCGCCGUUAGCAGAGAAAGCCCUUUCUGCAAACCCCAAACUGAAAUCUUUUAUGGCUUCUGAAUGUCGUAAAGCUUCCUCUUUAGACGAAGUCUCUGAUGAUACUGAGAUAGACAAAACGCUUCCCUCCAAAUCAACCCUAGUCGCCGCCAACCUGAAACGGAAUUAAGAAGCGGCAGCGAGCUGACUGAGGAGAUCGAAAAUACGCUUCUGAAAAGUAAAAUAAAUUGAACAAAUCUUGAAAAUUUGAACAAACACCCAUAAAUUUGAACAAUUUUUACAAAACAAGAAUCAUCAAAACCUAACUCUAGCAAAAAUUGAAAAUUAAAAAACAAAACAAACAAGAACAUCGAAAUCACACAAGCUAACCCUGAAUAGCGCGAACAAAUCAAAGCUUGAAAUUAUGAAAACACAAUUGAAAUCAUGGCAUAAUGGAUUCACAUAAGCGACGAGAAACAACAUGCAAAUGAGAAAUUGGACAUGAGGAGUGGCUAAGAGGCCGUUGUUGAAGAAGUGCUUGCUGUACCAGUGCUUCUUGCUGCUGCUGAUGCUGCUUCAACCUCUAGUACUGCAUUUUCCUUCAGAAUCGAAGGAUUUGUAAACUGUUUGUCGAAGGAUUUGUAAACUGUUUGGUUCCCAAGAAAAUUUCGUUAUGGUUUCUCGAGAAAAUGAAAUAAAAGAAAUAAACAAAGAAAACGAGAGACGAGAGAAGCAACGUUUUAUUUUCUAAGUGUGUAUUCGUUUAAUACUUAGGGAAAAAAAAAAGGAAGAAAUAAAGUUUAAAGUACCCAAAACGGUACAGUUUUGCUAGCAUUUUUUCUUAAUUAUUAAAAACCACCUUUUGUUUUUUAAAUAAAAUAAUAUAUAAAAUUUGAGUCAAAUAUAGUCAAAGUAAUUUUUCUAUCAUAAUUUCUUGAUAGAUUAAAUUUCUAUCACGAUUCUAUCAUAAGUUCGUGAUAAAUGAUAAUCAUAUCAUAAAGUCAUCAUAUAUUCAUGAUAGAAAAUAUUUCUAUCACAAGACCAUCAUUAAUUAAUGAUAGAUUGAAAAUUAUGUCAUAAGUUUAUCAUAAUUUUAUGAUAUACCUAGAAUCUGUCAUAAGUUGUUUGUCAUCUAUUAGCAAUUUUCUUGUAGUAUUCAAAAUGAAUAACUUUAUUCUACCAUCUCUCAAAUAAUAAAAACAUCAACAGCACAUCAUCGUCAUCAAUAAUAAUAAUAAUAAUAAUAAUAAUAAUAAUAACAACAACAACAACAACAACAAUAAUAAUAAUUUAACUUUGUAGGAUGGAGCUCUCGCAAAUCUUCAAGACACAAAAUGUGCUUGGCCCCGUUGUUGUUAUUAUAAUUUCAAAAUGACUUGAAUUAUAUAAAAUUUGGGAAUAAGACAUAGCAAAAUUGAUGGUACAUAUGUUGCAAUAUACUUGUUCAUGUAGCGACACAUUAAAGUAAAGCAAAACAAUAUACUUGUUCACUCAUUAUGUAGAUUUUCAAUAGAAGUAAUGCAAAUUUCACAAGGGCAAUGGCCUUAUUUCGAAUGUUGCACUUGUGGAAUGACAUGAACCUUCGAUACGUCACAAAUGUAUCAUGAAAGUGUGAUAAAUUUGUGACAUAUAUAUAUAUGUUCAGAGUUUAUAGCAUAUUCAUGACUUAUAAUUUAACUAACAUAAAUAAAUGAUAGAUAUAAGUGAUGCUCAAGUUUUGUGGAUUUAUAAUAUCUUAAAAUGAUGACUAUUUAAACGACAAGUGUUGAAUAAACCCCUCUCUCGCCGCAACCUAAAAUCAAUGAACUUUGAGCCAUUCUCAACAACAUUGUGUAGAACCCUAGCCCUAACCCUCACUUCCACCACCGAUAAAGCUAAGAAAGUUUUCCGUAUAUCAGAACCAUGGCGAAUUGCCUUCAGCUCGUAGGACCCAUAAUAAAUCUUGUAGUCCCUCGCUUUCACUUUGCUAAUUUUUUGUAUUAUUCCAUCUCUUUCACUUUAAUAACCCAAAAUCUUUCUCUGUUUCAAUUGAAAGAAGACCCUAGCUUAAAUUAAGUUGAAAUUUACGUAUCAAAGCUCUCGCUCAGCUUCCCUCCUUCAAUUGAAACAAAACGAAGCCAUAAGACCCCAAUAUGCCACGCCCUUUUGUCUCAGGCCAACAUUCAUUUAAACCCUACCUUUUGGUUCAAUGCCAUUUAAUGCGAUUGCAGAUGCCGUUUCAACUCAUUAUUUAGUUAACGCCAUUCAGUUCUUUGCGGUAAGCCUUAACCCUAAUAACUAAUCAACUGUGGUAGCACGUUGCUGACUGGGGUGGGAAUACAUUAAUUGAAUAUAUGAAUUGGGUGAUGUCAGUGAUUCAUCCCCCUAUUUGCCGUGAAUUGAGAUUUGUGUAUAAUGUUUGUAAGAUUGUUAAAAAUUUCAUGUUCCAGUCGAAUUUCUUGCUUGUGGAAGAUAAAACAAAAGUUUAAUCUAUAUAUAUAUAUAUAUAUAUAUAUAUAUAUAUUAUCUUCUUUAUAGUCAGGCUCUGGCUUUGCUGCUAUGCUUAGAGCAGUUCAUGGUUUCAAGAUUAAAUUAGGUUUAUUUGACGACAUCGAUAUCUUAUCUAGCUCUGCUUGAAAAUGAAAAUGUUUUACUAGCAAUCAUAGACUUUGUUUAUUCAGUUGAUAUUUUAAUUAUACGUAUAAGAAUGAAGGUUUAUUUGGGAAAAAAAGAAAUAAAGAAAUAGGCUCUGUUGAAGCUAAUUAAUACUUCAUUCUUUCUAUACGUGCGACCUGUGGUGGAAACAUGAUAUGAGAAUGUGUUACUGGUGAGGUUGCUGCUUGAGAUGAGAAUGAUGAGAAUGCCUUCUAUUCGGAAAUCCUUGGUAGGUAUUAUAUAAUUAUAUUUGAUGGAAUAUUAAAUAGCUAAAGAACCUGUGAUAAUGUCUUUGUUCAAUGGUUACUGUAGUAGUGUUUGUUGGUCUUUUUCUGGUUGGCGUUUGGAUGUUAAUGUCAUCAUCAGUUGUACUGGUGUGGGAUCCAGGAUGUUGUCCUCUUAAGAGCCUAUAAGCAAAGUGAAACAGAGAGGAUCUGAGAUUUUUCUGGGCCUUUCGUAGAAAAUCAAGGUGAUGAAUGACAGGAUUCAACAAAUGGGGAUGGGGAUGAUGUUCCUGUUGAAAAGUUAGAGAAUAGAGUGGAGGAUAAUCACGAAGAGAUGAAUAUGUAUGAGGGUGAUGGUGAGACGAGUGAAUCUAAGAAUAUGGUUAAUCAAAACCAGGAAGAGAAUUUAGUGAAGGAGAGUUUUGAUGAGAAUACUGAGUCUGAAGAGGAAUCUAAGGCGGUGUCUAAAAAUUACAAUGUUAGAAAAAGGGAAGAUAAGGAAUCUAAAAGUGAAGGUGGAGAUUCAAAUUCAGAAGCUGGAGAAACAGAAGGCGGCGAAUUGAAUAAAAUUGAGCAAAUUGAAUCAGAGAAUAGCUUGGAUGAAAAUAAAUGGAUGAGGCUAAUCAGAUUGAAAAGGAGAAGGAUUCUCAAGAUCAAGAUAAUGACACUGAGAGCCGUUGAAAGGAUCAGGCUUCAACUGAGAUUUUUCCUUUUGGUGACUAGUCAGAAAUUCUGAAGGAAACUAAUGCUCAGAAUGGGGCUUGCUCAACUCAACCUAUUGAGUCAUAGAAUCAGAAAAUAUCACAACAAUCUUCUAUAUCUAAGGACCAGUAUGGUCAUCGUUGGAAAGUGUGUAAUGCCACUGCUAGGCCAGAUUGCAUCCCUUACCUGGACAAUUUGCAAGCAAUUAGAAUGCUUUCCAGCACAAAAGCAUUAUGAACAUCGAGAGAGGUAUUGCCCUGAAGAAACUUGUACCUGUAUUGCUCCUUUACCGGAAGGAUACAAACACUCAAUUAAGUGGCCCCAAAGCAGGGAUAGGGUAUGAUCUUAUAUUAUGCAUUAUAAAAUAUAUACUUGACUACUUUUAAUUCACUUGGGCUAAGAUUUGUUCUCAUGCUGUGUGGGAUAGAUUUGGUAUUAUAAUUUUCCCCACACAAAGCUUGCAGAAGUUAAGGGUUAGCAAAAUGGGGUUAAAGUUACUGGUGAAUACCACAUUUUUCCAGGUGGCAGAAUUGAAUUUGAGAAUGGUGCUCUUCAUUACAUUGACUUCAUUCUGAAGGUGAGCAUUUUUCAUUUAUCAUUUUAUGUCUGUUGUUAGCUUCAAUUAAUAUGUGGCUUAUUCUUUUCUUUGUAUGAACCAUGGGCGGUCCAUUUCAUUUUAUAAGCUAUUUCUUGGGUUUUAGCAAGACAAAUAAUAAGAUUUGUGCUGUUUUUGUUUUAUGCGUCUAUAUAAAUUGUGUGCGCGCAUAUCAUACUAGGGGAGUAUUGCUUUAAUGCUAUAUACAGUCAAGGACACACGGUGGGUCACAUUCUGACUCGUUUCAAUGCUUCUUUUAUAAAUAUUUACUUGUAUAUAUUUUGUAGUACUUUUAGAGAUGUACUCUGCACUGGAUUUUUUAAGUGCUUUUAAUGUAGCCUACUGUCUUUGUCUUUAUCUCUCUUUUUGUGAAACUGAAAGGUUCAUAUAAUUUUUUAGAAACCAGUAAUCUUACAAAAAAUUUUAACCUGUUAAUUAAUGCGGUUUCAUUAUCUUGAAAAAUUUUCAAGCGUGCUUGCUUUUUUCUUUUCUUUCUUUUGAAAUAAUUGUUGAUAUUCCCCUUCUCUUCUAUCAAGUUUCUGAUUCUCUAAAGCCCACAUUAUUUUUGUCUUUCUUUAUACAGGCCUUUAUCAUUUAUUGGCCAGCACCCUUUCCUCGGUUUUAUAUAAGAAUGUAAUUUCGCCGGAAUCUGCCAAAAACCGUGUACUAUUGUCAACAACAAAUCAGAAUUCCAUCUCCACCUCCUGACAAACCAUGCGUCACCACCUGCUUAGGAAUCCGAAGCCUUUGCUGGUGUUGAUAGUAUGUUCUCUCUCUAUCUCUGUUUUUUCCUCAGUUGAGCAUUUAAAACAACAUCAUACUCAUCAUAUACCCUGUUUGGAUUCCUUGAAAUAAUAUUUUUUUUAAUUUUUAUUGUUAUUUUGAAUUGUUUUCUACAUAUUUUGAAUCAGAGUUGUUUGAGUAAAAUUUAAAUAUCAAUAUUACCGAUACGUGCCUAAUCUCAACUUCUUACCUUAAUAGCUUACUCACCUGUGCUUUUUUUUUCUCCCCCCUUUUAAGAAUUCAAAAGCUAUAUUAUGGAUUUUUGUUUUUGUUGUUUAUUGUCAUGAAGUAGGAGUGGGCAGAAAAUUGAAGAACUGUAUCAGAUUCCGUUUGAUAUUUGAUUCGGUUGUGCAAUAACCUAAAUUGGACAGUUUCAUUUCGGUUGGGAUGAAUGAAAACCGAAACCGAACCAAUAAUAAAAUUAACAAGCAAACCAAAUGAAAGUCCCAAAACAGUAACAAAACAAACACGUUGUGGUUUCUUAUCAAAUUUCACAGCACGACAUGGUCAUUCUCUUUGGUAAAAAAAUAGAAAAAAGAAUAAUGGGUCUCGAAAAUUUUUUAGAGCAUUUCUGUCGCUUACAUUUUUUUUCCAUCGAUUAAUGUUAGUUGUAGGUGAAUGAUUGUUGCAAAUGCAUGUUAGCUUGUGAUUGAUUGAAAAUGGCUUGUGAUUUGUUAUGCUGCCGUGUGACAGAUUGAAAAUGGCUCUGAAAUUUUUUUAUUUGUUUAAGGUAUUACUGCUGAUUAUUGAACAGAGAUUCAUGCUAGAUUUUGUUAAAUUGAAGAUGAGAUUUUUUUUAGGAGAUCUGCAAAACCUUCUCUACUAUAGAUUUGGCUUCUAGCAUACCUGGUUGGCUGGAAAUAAUUGUUUAUACAGUCAUUGCUGCCUAUAUUAAUCAGGAAUAUUGAUUAGCAAUGUACUGGGUUAGAGAUUGGUAUAAUUUUGGAAAAUUAGUUGUAGAUGCAACUAGGGGUGGCAAUAUGGGUCAGGAUUUGUUUAUUCGAUUCGAUUUGAUGCGAAUUAAAUGGGUUUGGGUUUGAAAAAAUUGAUUCGUUUAAUAAAUGGGUGAAUUCGAUUUGAUUCGCUAAUUAAACGAAUCGAAUGCGGGUUUGAAGAUUUUGAUUCGUUUAUUCGUUUAGGAUUCGUUUAAUAAACGGGUCAUAAACGAAUCGAAUAUAGGUCGAUUCGUUUAAAAUUUAUUUAUUAUUUGUUUAAUUAAAUUACUUUUUAUCCUUAAAUUUAUUUAAAAACUUUUUAAAAUAUCAAGGUUAAUAUUGUAAUUUUAAGCAUAACUCAUAAAGCCAAAAGAUCAACCCUAAUUUUACACUUCAUUUCCAUCUCCAAAUCCUUUUCUUUUUCUUUUUAAUUUUUGCAUCCAGCAAGUGCUACGUUUUGCCACUGCUCCAAAUCCUUGGAUUUGUGUGAGUGUGAUAAGUAAAAUUUUAUCUUGUUUAAUUAUUAUUUCCUUUAAAAUAUUACAAAUUUACUAUAUAUUUGAUAUUUUUGAAAUUUUACAAUGAUUAUUAUCAAUAUUGCAGUAUGUUAGAUUGUUAAUAACAUUUUAUUUACUUUUUGGUGUAGGAUUUUGUUUUCAAGGUGAAAAAGACAAAUGAAGAGAAUUAAAGAAAUUACCUUACUUUAUAAUUUGAAUUUGAAUUAUUAUUAUUUGUAUUAUUAGGGAUUUAUAAUUUGGUAUUUAGAUGACUGCAUAAUAUGGUUUGAGUUAUUUGUAUUUUGUUGUGGGAUGUUAAACUUGUGAUUUUUUUAUAUUUUAUUUUGCUUAAUUUUAUUUAUUAAUUAUAUUUUUCUAAACGAAUUGUAAACGAAUCCUGAUUCGGUUCGAUUCGUUAAGGAUAAACGAAUAAUAAACAAAUCCAGACUCGAUUCGAUUCGAUUCGUUUAUCAAUUAUUUUAAACGAAUUAAACGAAUCGAACCGAAUAUUCGUUUAAUAAACGAAUCGAAUCCGAAUCCUGAAAUUUCAAUUCGUUUAAUAAACGAAUCGAAUCCAAAUCCUCAUAAUUUUGACCCAAUUAGUUUACGAUUCGAUUCGUUUAUUCGUUUUGCCACCCCUAGAUGCAACCUGAUUAUGGUCUCAAAUAGUGUGAUCUGUCAAUUUUGUUUGCUCUGGCCUAAUAACCUUGAAUAUGAGCUAUGCCACUAUACAAAGUCUGACCUAAUCACACUUGUUAGCCAAUGUCCAAAAUUGCAGUGUCUUUAGAUAAGUCCUGUCUUUUUUGUUUGAGUUAUAAAUGAAAAUUGCAGUGUCUUUGGAAAAAUCACGCUGAAUGUUCAAGUUAUUGACGAGAGGAGACCCCCAGAUUCAAGGGCGGAGCUCCCUGUUAAGAAGCUUUACAUAUAUAGGAUUGUCGCCUGGCAGAGGAUUGAUAUGCCUGGUUUUGUUGUUUGGAAAUAUGGAUGAAGAUUUUGCAUUGAGGCUUUUUUGAUAGAUCAUUUGGCAAAUCAAGCUCCAUGUAUCUAUCUUCAGACUCUUGGAUAUUUAUAAAGCAGGUGCAUGCUCCAUAUGUUACUUAAUGUAUCACGAUUAUUUUUCUAUUGCUUAAUAUAUUUGCAGUCCUUGAUGAAGUUGAGGACAACUUAUGGAGGGUAUACAGAGGCUCAAGAGCUCGAUCGCCAUUCAUUUUACACUGGGCUGGGCUAUAGCAUACCAACUAGUGAUUAAUAAAGAGAAGGUAUGAAGGUCAUGUUGCUGGUGGUAGUAUCAAUCAGAAUUGUUAUUUUACUUAGUCAUACUUACCAUGUAUACUAAUCGUAGGCUUUUUUCAUUUUCAUGCAUUCGCAUCAUCUUCUGGUUAAGCUACAGAUGGUUGAUUUGUGUACUCAUUUGUAUCACUUGUAGCUCUUGAGGAAUAAAAUUUAAAAAUUAUGUUGCAUCUCUUGUACUAAAUAGUAAUUUUUGUUGGCUUUAUGUAUGGGAAAUGGUUUGUUGUCUUAUUUCUUUGAUGUGUAUGGUGUUACAUUGUCUAAAGUUAAGAAGUAUUUCUAUCACUUGUGUAAAAAACAACCUACUUUUUUCAUUCUUCUUAUAUUGAAUAAAAGAGGGACACCAAGAUUGAACGAAAUUUGAUUCAGAAAGCAUAGCAAUUAGGCCAGUGCAAAACAGCUUCCUUCUGAUUCUUUGAUAUUUGACUUAAAUCUUUUGUUUAUUUCAUUUAUCAAAGUCAUUUUGGAAAGUAACGGGGGUGAUUUGAUAUUUUAAUUGCAUUCACAUCCCUUGGCACCAAAACAAACAUGCUGGUACUAACCAAUAAUUUUUUAUUUUCAGUAUACAAAUUAUUUUUUUCUAAAUUAGGGGUAUUAAGAAAAGGUAUAUUAGCACCAGGGGAGGUAUUUGAGAAUACACAAAUAUAAUCUAUUAAACUAAGGUGGCAUUUGUUUUUUAAUUUAAUGACUUAAAGUGACUUAAUUAAUUAAGUUAAUUAGAGGUGUUUGUUUUAUAACUUAAUGAGAUUUUUUAGAUAAUUUAGACUUAAUAAAAUAAGUUAAUUUUUUUUGGCUUUUUUACUUAAUAGAGACAUUUGAAUUAAGUCAAUAACUUUCUAAUGUCAAAAAUAUCCUUGUUUUUAAUUUAUUCUUCAUGCCUAUUCCAAAAUUCACCCAUAGACAUUUAACUCCACAUAAUAAUCUCAUCAUUAUUUUUUUUAGCCGUCAUGAAAUCCCUCCUCACUUGAUAUCAACUCCUCGAGUAUUGAAGAUCAAAAUUACAUGCGAGAAUUUUGAGAUGAAAUGGCAAAUCAACUGUUUCAAGCAUUUUAUUAGUUUUUUUUUCUUAUAUUAUAUACGAUAAAAUUUGAAAUUUAUGAUAUUUUAUAUAUUAAAAUUUCAAAAUCAAUUAUGUAUUCACUUGAAUAUAAUUUUACUUAUAAACGUUAAAAUAUUGUGGUAUUUAAUAUAUUAUUUAUUUUGACAUUCAAAUUUAGUAAGGAUACAAAUGUAAAAGUACAUAUUUCAGUUUUUUAAGUUGAAAAAAACAUAAUUAUAUAAUUAUUUUUCAAGAUUCAAACGAAAAAACAAACAUAUUAUUCUGAUUCAGACAUUCAGAUCUAUUCAGAAUUCAGACUAAUUCAGGUCUAUUCAGAUUUUAAACAAAAAAUCAAACACCACCUAAGAAUAUGCCAAACUUCAGGGGAGGUUUCUGAUAAAUCUCUUUUUCUUUUUCCUCCAUUCACCAUAGGUUCAAUUUAGAAACUGUUGACCAAACGGAAGGUUUAGGUUGGUAAACGCACUAAGUGCCUGUUUGGUAUGGCUUAUUCAAGAGCCAUAAAUGCUUAUUUAAUCGCAUAAGCACUUUUUUAAAUUUUUAUGGUGUUUGGUUAUUUUUUUUAGUAGAGUUUUUUAGCUUAAAUAAGCUAAUUUACCUCUACUAGUAAAAGCCCAAAAUUUAAGCUUUUGGGAGUAGAGGUUAGAGAGCUUUUAAAAAAAUAUAUAUAAUAUAAAAAAAUAUCACACAUUUUAAUGGUUCAAAAGUGUUUUUUUUAUUGACAACCAAACACCUAAUGACUUUUUAUCCAAAAGCUCUAUGGUAUAAGCUCUACUGCUAUAAACUCUACUGUUAUAAGCUCUAUUUAAUAAGCUGUACAAACGGAGCCUAAGUGUUAAUGUCAACAACCCAAGGGGCUUCAUGGUCCUCUGGGCCGAAAUAAUUAUUAAUUCUCCUCUAGUGAAAAUCUUCAUCUUGGGACAAAUAAUUACAAAUUGACAUUAUAGCUGUGGAAAUUUGGAGGUGUAAUUACCGGAAAUUACAUCUAUUUCAAUUUGCUAAAAGUAAUGGUAUCAUUUCUUGUAUGGAAAAUGGAUGAUUAGAUUUUCUUUUUUGUUAUCCGACGAAGGAUAUUCAGUUGUUCUUUUUUGUUCAUAGGCAAGAGCAUGAGCAUAUGCAUAUUUAAUAUAUGCUUCUUGCAUUUUCUAAUUAAGUGCUCUCUUUCCUUGCCUUCUUAGUUUUGAAAGAAAGUUGUGAAGCAAAGCAAACCCAGUGAAAUACACAGAGCAACAGAACCAUCAGAGGAAAAACUAAAUAACAGAACUACAAUUGAACCAAACAAAAUCAAUAAACCGAGGCAACAGAUGCCCUGAAUCAGGCAUCCCUUUUUCUCCAAAGAAAAUAUUUUGCAUGGGUGGGAACCUAGUAAUUGUUGGGGAAAAAUUAGGUUUUUAAAUUUUUAUAAAACCUUUUGAAGAUCGCUCUCAUAUAAUAUAUAAGAAUUUGUAUUCUAGAAAUCGUACCUUGAAAAUUUGAGUUUGCUUUUUCCGCUGAAGUGAUUUAGGCUCCUAGAUCACGAUCCGCCACCACCACUCCUGUUAGAUCACGAUCCGUCACCACCACGCUUGUUAGAUCACGAACUGUCUCCAAUGAUUUUCCAGAUUAUGACUCAGGUUCGAUCUGCACUUGACGUGUGGGCGCCUUUAUCACUACCAAAGCAACUAGCACGAUAAAAUUUUCUCUCAACAAUAGAGAGAAAAAUCUUAUUCUCCGAUUUGUAUAAAGUGGCUUCUCUUAUUCUUUAGAGAAAAUAGCCUUUUAUAUCACCCUUUAGUGAAAACCUUAGGCUCCAAAUAAUGCCCUAAAUAAAUCACGUUACUUUCUUUUUCAAUAGGGGACCCACCUUGUAAAAUACAUAAGGCCCCUUAUACAAAAGCUAAUUAAAUGGAGCCUCCCACUAAAUGAUAUAUUUAGGCUUUUGACCCAAAUAGCUAGUUAUCUUACUUAUUAGUCCAGUAGUGGUGCAGUCAAUUAAAUGAGCUAACCCGGGGAUCAUUUGGGAACAUACAAUAGUGGCUACAAUAAUUAGGCCUGUAAUUAAACUAGCCCAAAUAUUUAAUUCCAAAUCUACUCCACUAAAAGAUUGGAACUGACUUCCAUAAUUGUAUGCUCGAAUAAUAAUUCGUCCCAAGCCACAUUGAUUUCUUUACUGCACAAUCCUUUGUACCACAUCGUUAAUUAAAUUGAUAUCUCAACUGUCCAAUCAAUUUAAUAACAUCUUAUUCCUUGAUCCUUACUGGUUUUCUAAUGAUCAUUUCAACAUACUAAAUAUGUUGACACACUCUGGCCAGAGAAUUCUAUGAUCAAGUGCCGAAAACCCAUCAAGAGAUGUAGAAACUGUUGACCAAACGGAAGGUUUAGGUUGGUAAACGCACUAAGUGCCUGUUUGGUAUGGCUUAUUCAAGAGCCAUAAAUGCUUAUUUAAUCGCAUAAGCACUUUUUUUAAAUUUUUAUGGUGUUUGGUUAUUUUUUUAGUAGAGUUUUUUAGCUUAAAUAAGCUAAUUUACCUCUACUAGUAAAAGCCCAAAAUUUAAGCUUUUGGGAGUAGAGGUUAGAGCUUUUAAAAAAUAUAUAUAAUAUAAAAAUAUCACACAUUUUUAAUGGUUCAAAAGUGUUUUUUUUAUUGACAACCAAACACCUAAUGACUUUAUCCAAAAGCUCUAUUGGUAUAAGCUCUACUGCUAUAAACUCUACUGUUAUAAGCUCUAUUUAAUAAGCUGUACCAAACGGAGCCUAAGUGUUAAUGUCAACAACCCAAGGGGCUUCAUGGUCCUCUGGGCCGAAAUAAUUAUUAAUCUCCUCUAGUGAAAAUCUUCAUCUUGGGACAAAUAAUUACAAAUUGACAUUAUAGCUGUGGAAAUUUGGAGGUGUAAUUACCGGAAAUUACAUCUAUUUCAAUUUGCUAAAAGUAAUGGUAUCAUUUCUUGUAUGGAAAAUGGAUGAUUAGAUUUUCUUUUUUGUUAUCCGACGAAGGAUAUUCAGUUGUUCUUUAUUUGUUCAUAGGCAAGAGCAUGAGCAUAUGCAUAUUUAAUAUAUGCUUCUUGCAUUUUCUAAUUAAGUGCUCUCUUUCCUUGCCUUCUUAGUUUUGAAAGAAAGUUGUGAAGCAAAGCAAACCCAGUGAAAUACACAGAGCAACAGAACCAUCAGAGGAAAAACUAAAUAACAGAACUACAAUUGAACCAAACAAAAUCAAAUAAACCGAGGCAACAGAUGCCCUGAAUCAGGCAUCCCUUUUUCUCCCAAAGAAAAUAUGUUUGCAUGGGUGGGAACCUAGUAAUUGUUGGGAAAAAUUAGGUUUUUAAAUUUUUAUAAAACCUUUUGAAGAUCGCUCUCAUAUAAUAUAUAAGAAUUUGUAUUCUAGAAAAUCGUACCUUGAAAAUUUGAGUUUGCUUUUCCGCUGAAGUGAUUUAGGCUCCUAGAUCACGAUCCGCCCACCACUCCUGUUAGAUCACGAUCCGUCACCACCACGCUUGUUAGAUCACGAACUGUCUCCAAUGAUUUUCCAGAUUAUGACUCAGGUUCGAUCUGCACUUGACGUGUGGGCGCCUUUAUCACUACCAAAGCAACUAGCACGAUAAAAUUUUUCUCUCAACAAUAGAGAGAAAAAUCUUAUUCUCCGAUUUGUAUAAAGUGGCUUCUCUUAUUCUUUAGAGAAAAUAAGCCUUUUAUAUCACCCUUUAGUGAAAACCUUAGGCUCCAAAUAAUGCCCUAAAUAAAACUCACGUUACUUUCUUUUUCAAUAGGGGACCCACCUUGUAAAAUAACAUAAGGCCCCUUAUACAAAAGCUAAUUAAAUGGAGCCUCCCACUAAAUGAUAUAUUUAGGCUUUUGACCCAAAUAGCUAGUUAUCUUACUUAUUAGUCCAGUAGUGGUGCAGUCAAUUAAAUGAGCUAACCCGGGGAUCAUUUGGGAACAUACAAUAGUGGCUACAAUAAUUAGGCCUGUAAUUAAACUAGCCCAAAUAUUUAAUUCCAAAUCUACUCCACUAAAAGAUUGGAACUGACUUCCAUAAUUGUAUGCUCGAAUAAUAAUUCGUCCCAAGCCACAUUGAUUUCUUUACUGCACAAUCCUUUGUACCACACGUUAAUUAAAUUGAUAUCUCAACUGUCCAAUCAAUUUAAUAACAUCUUAUUCCUUGAUCCUUACUGGUUUUCUCUAAUGAUCAUUUUCAACAUACUAAAUAUGUUGACACACUCUGGCCAGAGAAUUCUAUGAUCAAGUGCCGAAAACCCAUCAAGAGAUGUGUUGUACAAAUUCUAUAUUGUUAAUCCAUAACUCCAAUACUCAUAAUUGCUCCCACCAAGAUACCGGGUACUCUGACCACAAUGAUGUGUCGUGCCCAUUGGUAACUCAAAUGGAAUACAAUUACAAUCAUGAAAUCAUAAUUAACUCAAGAUUAAGAUUACAGUAAAAUCAACGCCUAUGAGAUUUAAUAAGUCUGACAGUUAUUACAAAGUUAAUUAAAUCUCAUAUGUGAUCCUGUUCAAUGUAGUCGUACUACAUCAAUAAAUUCAUACAUGAUUAAGACAAAUCAUUCAAUGAAUUUAUUACAGUCUAUACCUAAAUAAAGUGCCCAACUUUAUUUAUCAACUGCGAACUAAAUUUAUUUAAUCAUAAGAUAACUUGUAUUUAUGUCUUCUGUGAAUCCACAUGGUGAUCACAUAAAUACAUAUAAUAUGAUUAAAUGAACUUUUAAUACAAGUAUUAAUGCAAUUAAGAUAUUUGAAUAAAAUACCUCAUUUAUUUAUUAAUCAGAAAAAUUGUUUAUUACAAUUAAAUAAACACAUAUGCUUUAAAAGAGCAUAUUUUCCAACAAUCUCCCACUAGCUCUCAAAGCAUAUCUAGCAUAUUGCUCAUGCUCUAGGGCUCUAAGUGCAGGUUAUAAAGGUUUCCCACUAAUGGCCAUUGUAAUAAGAUCUGCCAUUUAGCAUCUAAUGCCAUUUGGGGUACUGUCAAGUGACCCUUCUGUCCACAUUUGUAACACUUGCCUUUUGGCUUGCCACUUCUUUUAAUGGACAGUUUGCCGAUCCCAACUCUUGCUUGCUCAUUCUUGUCUUUCGACUUAAGCCUUGAAGAGAAUCCUUUUUCAGGAAGUUUUCUGCUAUUAUAAAAUUCUUCUAUAGCAUGUAGUUCGUGCAUUAAUUCAAUUAAGGUCAUAUCUUUAUUGUUAAGAUAUAGCUGACCUUAAACUCUUUGAAUGUAUCAGGUAAAGAUUCAAUCACCAUGUUAAUCUUUGAUUUAUCAUUGAUUUGAACACCAUGAAUCUCUACCUCAUUCAAAUAGUCCAUCAUUUUGAGGACAUGAUCACGAACUUUUGUGCCCUCUUCCAUCUUAGUAUCCAUAAUACGUUUUAAUGCUGCUUCUCUGGCAAAAUGGGUAUUUUGCCCAAACAUCUGAUGAAGACUAGCCAUUAUUUCAGUGGCUGUUUCCAUGCUCCGAUGUUUCUUAUGCAGUUCCAUAGAAAUCGAAGCCAAUAUAUAGCGCUUAGCCAUUUUGUUAGCUUCGCACCAUUUCUCAUAAGGCUCCCUCUGAUUUCUAUAAUCGUAUAACGAUGGUUCAGGAGGGCAAGGCUGGGUCAACACAUAUUUGCUUCCUUUAGCAGUGAGAUAUUAAAUAGAUUGCGUUUCCAAUCUAAAUAAUUUUCGCCAGUGAGUUCAUUUUUAACAAGGAUAAAUAAUAAUGGGUUGAUGGAAGACAUUUUCUGAAAAAAAUAAAAUACACAUGCAUAAAUACUUUGAAACAAUAUUCACAAUAAAUGACAAAAAUGCAAAAAACCAUAAAUGCAUUUUAAUUUAUUGUAACGAUAAUCUAGUACCGCUUCGACAAGCUAUUCGUUGGGGAAGUCAUGUCUACACUUACUAGACCCAAUUAUCCAUUGGAUUAUUUCAUUUCACAUGAUAAAUAAUUAUCGUUAUCCCUUUGGACCUAAAUUUGUUAACAGAGCUUCGUUGGGAAGGUUAAUAACAAACUUUUAGUUGAGUGUAUAACCAUUGUUUCAAUCUACGUAUUUUUCAUAUCAAUAGUCACCGUUGGGGUGAACAAUCGAUUGAAAAAUAUUUCAAUUUUAUCUUUGAAGAAGUUCAUCAAAUAAAAUAUCUAAUAUAUAUACCCUCGAAGGAGCAUCACCGUAUCAUGAAGUCGAGGUAUAUAUAUAAUUUUAUUAUUGAACUAACAAUGGAGCCCGUGGGAAAAUUAUCUUGAAUUUUCCCUCUCCCACUCAAUAUUUUAAAAUUGGUUUUUCCUUUUUAAAACAUACAUAUUGUUAAUUGCAUGCUUCCUAUAAUAUUAUCUAGAUGAUAUCAAAUUAUUAAGCAUACGCAAAUUUCAAACAAUAUAAUGAAAUUCAUUAUUAAUGAAUGACAUGUAUCAUUAUGCAUAGAGUGGCACUACCUAUUCUAUAUGACAUGUUAUCAUGGCAUGUAAUCAUCCAAAACAUAACAUAUAGAAAAAAUAAUUAAAUAAUCUUAAUUCAUGGCUUUCCUAAUAAUGAAAAAUACAUUAACCCUAAGCCUAAUCUUCAUUGGGCUUCUUGUCAAUAUCCAUCUUCCAUAGCUUGUCUUUGUUGAUGGACUAGGGGAAAUUGAGCUUUUAAAUUUAUAAUUGGUCCAAUUUUAAUUUGGAAAGAAAAUAAAUAAUUAAAAUUAAAAUUUAUUAAAAUAAAACUUUUGGACCAAAAAUAAAUUUAAUAUAUUCAAUUUUAUCUAUGCAUUUUAAUCCAUUAAGCCCAAUUGAAAUUGGGCCUAAAACUAGGAUUCAUUAAGCCCAAAACUAUUUUUGGAUUUAAACGCAAAAAAUUAAAAAUGUUUCUGCCCAACUGAAAAAAUAUGAAACUAUAGGGACCUCCACGAUAAAAACCAUGAAACCCUAAAAUCACAUUUUCUUUUCCUCCUCUUCCCUAGCCGCCACCAGCACAAAAACCCAGCCGUUGUUUACUGUUUCCACACCGGACAGCCGUCAUCAACGCCGGAAAGACGCCAACCAAAACGCUCCGCGCCUUCAGCCCACGUUCACGCUGUUGCUUGGGUGCUGCAGCUGCUGCUCGCGCGCUGCGGUUGCUGCUGUGCAGCGCGCGCUGCAGCUGCUGCGUGUGUAGCUCGCGCUGCUAGCAGCGUGGCUGCUGGCCGCUGCGCGUGCAGCGCGCGCUGCUGGCAGCAUGUGCUACUGGCCGCGCGCUGCUCGCACAGCAGCUUGUGCUGCUGGCCGCUCGCUGCUGCGUGUGCUGGUUCGUUGCUGCAGUUUCCGGCCUCGAUUGUUUGCGCUCGUUUUCCAGUGAUGAUGCUUCGGUGAUUUACAAAUUUUCAACGCAAAUUUUUGCUUACAAAAUUUCAAUUACAGUAAAAUAAAUCAAGAGAGAAUUAUGGUGAUAAAAAACCACCCCUCUUGUUACAGAUCCAAACGAAAAAUACAAUAGAAAAUCUAACAAUGAAUUAACUGCGUUUACUUUUUGGAUUGGAGUGGGAAUCCUGAGGAAUGGGAAUCCUUGGAUUAGGAGUGUGGAGUGGGAGUGGGAGUAGGGUGUUUACUUAGACUAAAUGAAAGUAUGGAUUGUCAAUUAGAAUUCCAAUUAUUUGUUUACUUUGUCUUGGAUUGGGAGUAAAUUGUUUUAAAUUACAAUUUUAUCCUUAUGUACAGAAUUAUAAUUUGUAAUUAAAAAUUAAUAAAAAAUAUAUUUGGAAAAUAAAUAAAUAUUUUAUUAUAUUUAUAAAUUAUUAAUAAUUACUAAUAUUCUUAAUUAUGUAAAUCAUAAUUUUUUAUUAAUUUUAAUUUAAAUUAUGUGAAUAAAAAUUAUUAAUAAUAGCAACACAAAUGGAAUAUUAUUAUUGAUAAUAUAGUACAAAAUUAAUAUUUUUAGAAUAAAAUAUUUAUUAUUAUUAAUAAAUAAAUAAUUAAUUAAUAUUUAUUAAAAUUAAUGUUUUUAUUAUUAAUUUAAAUAUAAUAUUAUUUAUUUUUAUUUAUUAAUUUUAUAAAAAAAAAUAUGAAUAUAUAUUUUUUAAUAAAUAUGAUAUUAUUUAUUUUAUGAAAUUUAUUUAUUUAUUAAAUAUUAUUUAUUUAUUAAAAUAUUAUUUAUUUAUUUUAAUUUUAUAAGGAUAAAAUGGGAAGAGGGGGAGUGGAUUCCCACUCCCUCCCCCAAUGGGAGUGGGAAUCCCACUCCCCACUCCAAAUUUAGGUGGGACCCGGAUUCCCACUCCCACUCUCCCUAUUUUUAAAGUAAGUAAACACUGGAGUGGGAGGAAUCCACACUCCACACUCCCACUCCAGAAAGUAAACACUACCUUAAGACAAACCAUAAACAUGCUUUAUUCAUAUAUUAAACAAAUAAUAUAUAUCUGAAUAAAUUGUGCCACUCUAAUACAUAAAUUUCAAGAUUAAUUUCAUACGAAAUUCUUAUUUAUUAAUAUGAGAUGGCUCUGAUACCAAUUGUUAGGGAAAAAUUAGGUUUUUAAAUUUUUAUAAAACCUUUUGAAGAUCGCUCUCAUAUAAUAUAUAAGAAUUUGUAUUCUAGAAAUCGUACCUUGAAAAUCUGAGUUUGCUUUUUCCGCUGAAGUGAUUUAGGCUCCUAGAUCACGAUCUGCCACCACCACUCCUGUUAGAUCACGAUCCGUCACCACCACGCUUGUUAGAUCACGAACUGUCUCCAAUGAUUCCAGGUUAUGACUCAGGUUCGAUCUGCACUUGACGUGUGGGCGCCUUUAUCACUACCAAAGCAACUAGCACGAGAAAAUUUUUCUCUCAACAAUAGAGAAAAAAAUCUUAUUCUCCGAUUUGUAUAAAAUGGUUUCUCUUAUUCUUUAGAGAAAAUAAGCCUUUUAUAUCACCCUUUAGUGAAAACCUUAGGCUCCAAAUAAUGCCCUAAAUAAACUCACGUUACUUUCUUUUUCAAUAGGGGACCCACCUUGUAAAAUAACAUAAGGCCCCUUAUACAAAAGCUAAUUAAAUGGAGCCUCCCACUAAAUGAUAUAUUUAGGCUUUUGACCCAAAUAGCUAGUUAUCUUACUUAGUCCAGUAGUGGUGCAGUCAAUUAAAUGAGCUAACCCGGGGAUCAUUUGGGAACAUACAAUAGUGGCUACAAUAAUUAGGCCUGUAAUUAAACUAGCCCAAAUAUUUAAUUCCAAAUCUACUCCACUAAAAGAUUGGAACUGACUUCCAUAAUUGUAUGCUCGAAUAAUAAUUCGUCCCAAGCCACAUUGAUUUCUUUACUGCACAAUCCUUUGUACCACAUCGUUAAUUAAAUUGACAUCUCAACUGUCCAAUCAAUUUAAUAACAUCUUAUUCCUUGAUCCUUACUGGUUUUCUCUAAUGAUCAUUUUCAACAUACUAAAUAUGUUGACACACUCUGGCCAGAGAAUUCUAUGAUCAAGUGCCGAAAACCCAUCAAGAGAUGUGUUGUACAAAUUCUAUAUUGUUAAUCCAUAACUCCAAUAUAUAAAGUACUAGAUGUUUUACUGAGAAAAUGACUAGAUCAUUUACCAAAUUUCUUGCGCAUAUAUACGUAUGUAUACAGAAAUGGGAAUCAAUGAUUAUAAGACCUUGCAAUGAGACAAUAAUACAUCAUCAAAUCUAAAAAUACACAAGAAAUUCGGGACAUAUAUAUAACAAAGACCUCUCAUUGAGUCAUACAUAUUGAGAAUAAAAUGUCAAAAUGCAUACAAAGAGCUUAUACAGAAAAUGAAUUUACACAUAUUUAGAAUAAAUUGUCUUUGAACUUUUGAUGGUCAAAUAAAGGAAACAGACAGGAUAUAACACACACUAUCAUAGAUGUAGCGACACGGUGAAGUAAAUCAUGAAGAUGGAAACGGAAACCCUUCACAAUAUAAAAUUUGAAUAGAGGGGGGAAAAAAGGCUUCAUUUGGAAUGUUGCACAGAAGAAGAGUGACUUGAAUCUCCAUCAGUAUCCAGACAUUCUACAACACAGUGCUGAGAAUUUUAACAAGAAUAACAGACAAAAUAUUGUGCUUCUAUACUUGUCACAAAACUAGACCAAAUUAGUUCCCUUUUGGUUUGUGAAAACUUGAUAUUUUUGAAAAUUCUAUCCAAUGCUUUUAAACAAUAUUUCCAUAAUAUAGUUGUUCAUAGCUAACCUUUGAUGGUUUAAGCAUUUGUUGUAGGCAUGACGGGCUGAUUAGAUUAUUAUUUUUUUUAUCCGAUGAAUGAUAUUCAGCUGUUCUUAAUUAUGUGUUAAUAGGCAAGAGCAUUUUCUUAAGUACUUUCGUUGCCUUCCAAGUUUCCAAUGAACAAACAGAGCACAAACAAAUUUAACGAAACAAACAGAGCAUUUUCUUCAGUGUGCUUUCUUGAGACAUUUUGAUUUAGUCUCAUUAUGAUUAAAAAAGGAAGCUCGCUUCUCGAGACAUUUUGCUAUAGUCUCAUUAUGGUUAUAAAGAAGCGAUGGUCUAGGAGACAUAUUGUUUUCGUCUCAUUUUGCUAGACAUCUGGACUUUAUGGAAAUGAGCAUGUUGAUCACAUUGUCAUGUUAUUUCCAUAAUUAUACUUGUAUACUACUACAUGGUCACGUGUUUAUAAGUGUCUUGUUAUAUGGAGCAUCCUGUCGGUGCACAUAUGAUUUGAUAUUUAUGGCACAUUUUGGACUUGUUUAUGUUCUGGGUGAUUGCUUGUAUUUGACCUUUUGUUAUAGUCACAUAUUGAUUAAUUCGGUUGUUUUCAAAAUAUUAUUUUAUUUUAAAUUUAUCAUUGGAGUGAUUUCUGUCGUCCAAGUGGGAGAUUGUUAGAUUUAUUUCUCAUAUUAUGUGGACUGACAUAAAUCAUUCUAAUUGUUUUCUAUAUUUUACCGAAUUAAUACGUGACUAUUGUCAAAUAUUAUGGAGCAAUUUUGACAUACCUUGUACAGUAGUAUAUUAUGGACAAGUAUAUCCUUAAUUGUGUUAUUUUCGCCCAUAAUGGGAUGGGCAAUUUUGUACUAACACAUGAGGGGUCCCUGCGCUCAACCACUGUAUUUAAGUAACUUCAGCCCAUUGGAAGUUAACUGUUCAAGAAAUCUGUGGCAUGAGUGCAGUGCAUCUCUCUCUCCGUUUGUCUCCCGUGUGUGUGCACAGUAAAUUUUGAAGCAAGCCGAUCCUUGAGCUAAGGAAAAGAAAGCGGAAUUCAGAAGCUAAACCGAAGCAGCAGCAACUCUGUUGAAGCUCCAUAACAAGCUGCAAGCUUGGAUUCAUGGGAGAUCGUGGUAAAUUUCGAAAUUUACUACAAUAUGUGUUUAAUUUGGAAAUGCACGAUUAAAGGGCAUAAAGUAUGUUUUUGUUUCAUCAAUUGGUAUCAGAGCCCAUGGUUAUGCGUUUCCUUGUAAACCAUAGUUGUUUUGUUGAAGAAAUCUCACUCAUGGAAUUUUUUUUUUAUUUUCGGAUUUUUCGAAUUCUUCGAAUUUGGACAUAUUUCCUCAAACGGUUGUUAAAUAAUGCAUGAGUGAUGAUUUUGGAGCAAAGAUAUAAUUUUUUCGUGUUUUUUGGUGGCCAAAAUCGGGUUGGUAUGGAUGUGGAUGCUGUAAAUGUACUGUACAAUACUGUAGCAACAGCCCGAGGUUGAAGAUGAUGGGACAAUUUCAUUUGGAUCCCUAAAUUUUGUGAAUUGUCACUAUGGCCCAAAAUCUUUGCAAACUUUUCGAAAAGGUCCUUGACCGAGGGUCAACUAUGUAAAAGAUAAGUUGGUCCCUUGAAUUUUGGGAAAUUAUAGUAUGGCCCAACAGUUUAUUUUAUUUUAUUUACAGUUUGGGCCAAAAGUUUUAAUAGUUAAAACAGUAAAUAAUUCUGAAAAUUUUUCAUUUUAGUCCAAAAUCCUUUCAAUUUUGGCGAUUUUUCAGAAUUUAAAUUUUAAAAUAAUCCAUCAGUUAUUGAAUCUUAUGGGCAUAUCAUUUAUAUAUUUUAUUGAGGCAUGUAGAUAUUUUAUUUGAUUUAAUAUCUUGUUAAUUUCAUUUGACAAAAUUUAUUUAGCCUCAAUUUUGUUAAUAUACGAAAUAUAUAUAUGAUGCAAAACUACAAUUUAGAGUGAUUGUGUAUCUACUUAUCGUAGGACCAAUCAUGAUAAAUUAUUUGGUGGUUUGCAAUUGAUUGUCCAUUUACAAUUAUGAAUUAUGGAUUAUGUGAUGGAUUGUUAUUGUUUGACCAAGAUCCAUACGGGUGAUGAUACUGCCCUGUCGGCAAAUCACUACUUGGUACUUGGUAGGAUGCUUGGGAAGAUAAAGAGAUUUGUUGAGUAUUUUCUACUGAGUGGCUUAAUUACCCUGUCGGUAAUAGGUCAAUGUUGGUGUUAUAUUCAACUUGUCUGCUUUAUCUUUAGGUUAGUGCAUUCCUAUAUUGUUAAAGGAUGCCUAACAUAUUGUGUUGCUAUUGGAGAAACUUAGAAUGAGGAGCAAUUGAUUAUAGCAUGAUUUUAAUUUUUGCAUGCUUGAUAUUCUUUUGUUAUUGCUUCCUCAGCUCUAGAUAUUCUCUCCUUUCUCCAAGUAGCCUCCCUCAAGAAUUUAACUGGGACAAAUUUUGAGGACUGGCGUGAGUCCAUUUUGUUUUAUUUGUCUACACUGAAUAGAGACUUGGCAUUAAGAGUUGAUGAACCAGCCAAGCCCACAGAUAAGAGCACUGCUGCUGAAAAAGCAGAGUGGGCAGCUUGGGAUGAAUCCAAUAGACACUGUCUGGAUACAAUGAAAUACACCAUUGAUAGAACCACUAGAGAUAGCAUCCCUGCAUGUGAUAAGGCCAAAGAUUACUUGGCAGCUGUGGGAAGAACCUUUAAGAAGGUAGAUAAGGCAGAAAAGGGUAACUAUCUGAGGCUGCUUGCUAAUACCCAGUAUGAUGGUGUUUUCUGGGGUCAGAGAACACAUCCUUAAGAUGACUAGUUACCAUAAGAAGCUGAAGGACAUGGAUGUCACUUUGCCUGAUGACUACCUGGUCUUCCAAAUCCUUGAAUCUCUUCCACCACAAUUUGGCAAUUUGAGAAGCCAAUACAAUACUCAGAGAGACACUUGGAAUAUCACUGAGUUGACUGCUUAUGUGGUUCAGGAAGAGGAAUCAUUGAAGAAGGGGAAAUCUCACACUGUCAUGGUGGCAACUACUCAAGAGAGUGGAAGUGUGAAGAAAGGCUCUUCAAAGGGCAGCAAUAAGUUUUUUAAGAAGAAAAAGUUUGGCAAGAAAACUUCACGUGGUACUUCUUCUACCACUUCUGGUUCCACUUCUGAGAGCUUUAAGGGAAAGUGCCACUUUUGUAAGAAACCUGGGCACAAGAGAGCUGACUGCAGGGGAUUCAAAGCAUGGUUGGAAAAGAAAGGUAUUCCUGUAGCCUUUGUAGGCUUUGAAUCUAAUCUUAUUGAUGUUCCUUCUGAUACUUGGUGGUUGGAUACUGGUGCAACCAUUAAUAUAACGAAUUCCUUACAGGAAUUCAGAAGCAGGAGGGAGCCCAAUGAAGGGGAGUUGAUAGUUCACAUGGGCAAUGGAGUGACAGCCAAAGUUGAAAGCAUAGGAGUUGUCAGACUACAUCUAGCCACAGGCCAUGUUUUGGAUCUAUUAGAUACAGCUUAUAUUCCUUCUAUUAGGAGAAACUUGAUAUCUGUAUCUAUUUUGGAUAGAUGUGGCUAUACUUUUCAUUUUGGUGAUAGAAAAGUUUACUUAUUCCGCAAUUCAGAGUUAGUUGGUUCUGGCACUCUAUAUGAUGGCUUGUAUAUGAUUGAUUUAUUUUCUCGUGCUGUUGAAUCAUCAUCCAAUGCUCAUGUUAUGCAUGUUGUUAGCUCUAAUCGUGUUAGGGUUGAUGAAAAUUCCUCUAUGUUGUGGCAUAAACGGUUAGGUCACAUUUCUAAACAGAGGAUGAGAGGCUUAUUAAAGAUAUUCUACAUAAGUUGGAUUUCUCUGAUUUUGGCACUUGUGUUGAUUGUGUCAAAGGCAAACUUACUGCCAAAACCAGAAAAGAGAGAACUCAGAGGAGUCAACAGGUGCUGGAGUUGGUACAUACAGACAUUUGUGGGCCAUUUACUCCUAUUGCCAUUGGAGGUUAUAAGUACUUCAUCACGUUCAACGAUGACUUUUCUCGUUAUGGUCAUGUUGAACUUCUUGCUGAAAAGUCUAAAUCCUUAUCUGUGUUUCAAGCCUUUAAGGCUAAUGUUGAGCUCCAAAAGGGCAAGCAAAUUAAAGCAGUAAGGUCAGACAGAGGUGGUGAGUACUAUGGGCGAUAUGAUGAAACUGGGCGUAAUCCUGGACCUUUUGCUAAAUUUCUUCAGGAAUGUGGAAUAGAAGCCCAGUAUACAAUGCUCGGGACUCCUGAACAUAAUGGAAUUGCAGAAAGGAGAAAUCGUACCCUUCUUGACAUGGUGCGGUGUAUGCUGAGUAACUCCACCUUACCAGAUUUUCUGUGGGGUGAAGCCUUAAGAACUGCAGCUUACAUUUUGAAUCAGGUACCUAGUAAAUCGGUGCCCAAAAGUCCUUAGUUGUGGUCAGGAAAGAGACCGAGUCUUCGUCAUUUUCAUGUAUGGGAUGCAGAGCAGAAGUGAGGCCCUAUAAUCCACAAUCAAGGAAACUUGAUCCGAAAACAAUUAGUGGUCAUUUUAUUGGCUAUUGUAUCGGCUCAAGGGUUUCUAGAUUUUAUUGACCUUCCCACACUACUAGAAUCAUUGAGUCUGAUCGUGCCAUUUAUUUUGAGGAUGAUCACAAUGGUGGGAGUUCUGAGCCUCGCAGUCUGACAUUGAGAGAAGAACGUGUGGUUUUGCCUAUUCCAUCUUUUCCGACUUCUGCGAUGGGAUUACCACAUAUUGAUGAUUCUUCUGUUGAUCCUAAACUUCAUCAUAAUAUGGAGCCUAUGAUUGUAGAGGAUGAUGGUACUGAUGUGCCAUUGAGGAGAUCAGAGAGGAUCAGGAGACCUGCAAUUUCUGAUGAUUAUGUUGUUUACUUGCAGGAGCAUGAUUUUGAUGCUGACUCUUCAUCUGAUCCUAUUACCUUUCAAGAGGCCAUCAGUUGUUCAGAAUCAUCAUCUUGGAUACAUGCGAUGCAUGAUGAGAUGGCAUCUAUGUAUCAUAAUGAGGUUUGGGAUUUAGUUGAGUUACCAGAUGGAUGCAGACCAAUUGGUUGCAAAUGGGUUUUCAAAACCAAAAGAGAUGCCAGAGGUCAGGUAGAGAGGUAUAAGGCCAGGCUUUGUGGCUAAGGGUUUCAGUCAAAGAGAAGGCAUUGAUUACACUGAAACCUACUCUCCUGUUUCUACCAAGACUCUUUUCGUAUUAUCAUGGCAUUGGUAGCUCAUUUCAAUUUAGAAUUGCAUCAGAUGGAUGUGAAGACAGCUUUUCUUAAUGGGAGCUUGUCUGAAGAUGUAUACAUGGUGCAACCUGAUGGUUUUGUUGAGUCUGGUAUAGAAAACAUGGUGUGUAAGCUUAAAAGGUCCAUUUAUGGACUUAAGCAAGCAUCCAGACAGUGGUAUUUGAAAUUUCACGAUAUUGUCACCUCUUAUGGGUUCCAGGAGAAUGCCGUUGAUCAGUGUAUAUACUUGAGAGUCAGUGGGAGCAAGUAUAUCAUUUUGGUGCUUUAUGUGGAUGAUAUCUUGCUCGCUGCUAAUGACAGUAAUUUGUUACUUGAGACAAAGCAAAUGUUGUCAUGCAGCUUUGAUAUGAAGGAUCUUGGUGAAGCCCAUUAUGUAUUAGGGAUAGAGAUUCUUCAUGAUAGAUCUAGAGGAAUUCUAGGUUUGUCUCAAAAGACUUACAUUGAUCGCAUUUUGAAAAGGUUCAAUUUGCAGUCUUGUGCUCCUGGGAAAGCUCCAAUUUCGAAAGGUGACAAAAUUUCCAAGUCUCAAUGUCCCGAUAAUGAUGUAGACAAAGCUAGAAUACAAACAGUCCCGUAUGCAUCCGUUGUGGGUAGCUUGAUGUAUGCUCAAGUCUGUACUCGCCCUGAUAUUGCUUUCCAGUGGGAGUACUUGGAAGAUACCUGAGCAAUCCUGGAUUUGAACACUGGAAGGCUGCAAAGAAAGUACUCAGAUAUUUGCGAGCCACUAAAGAUUUUGUAUUGACAUAUCAGCAAUCUGACUUUUGAAUAUAGUUGGAUAUUCUGAUGCUGAUUUCGCAGGGUGCUUGGAAGACAAGAAAUCCACAUCUGGUUACAUCUUUAUGAUGGCAGAGGAGCUAUAUCGGAAAGUGUCAAGCAGACACUUAUAGCUUCUUCAACAAUGGAAGCAGAAUAUGUAGCAUGCUUUGAGGCUACACGUCAUGCUUUAUGGAUGCAAAAUUUUAUCACAGGGCUAGAUUGUAUAGUGGCCGUACCGAGGCCAUUAAAGAUAUACUGUGAUAAUUCUGCUGCUGUUUCUUUUUUCACAAUACAGGGAGUUCCUCACGUUCCAAGCACAUUGAUAUUAAAUACUUGUUUGUGAGAGAGAAAAUUGCUCUAUCUUGUGUAUCAGUAGAGUAUAUCCCUACAGAACUCAUGUUAGCCGAUCCACUUAUUAAAGCUUUAGCUCCAAAAGUAUUAGGGAGCAUGUAACGCAUAUGGAUUAUUUGAAUCCACUUAUAUAUGCUGAGUCAGUGGGAGUUCUGGUUGUAUUAUGAGUUGCAACUUAAAUGAGCUUAUGUAUUACUCAUUUUGUUAUCAUGCAUGCAUGUUGUUAUGUGAUAUUGAUAUGCCAUAUAUUGUGUACACAUUUGGCUGCGUAUGGCAUUAUGUAUAGAAUGAGGAUACGAUGGUCCGAGACAUUUUGCUCAGUCUCAAUAUGGACAUUAAAGACUGAAGCAUUAUGAUUUUCUUCAGUGUGCUUUCUUGAGACAUUUUGAUUUAGUCUCAUUAUGAUUAAAAAGGAAGCUCGCUUCUCGAGACAUUUUGCUAUAGUCUCAUUAUGGUUAUAAAGAAGCGAUGGUCUAGGAGACAUAUUGUUUUCGUCUCAUUUUGCUAGACAUCUGGACUUUAUGGAAAUGAGCAUGUUGAUCACAUUGUCAUGUUAUUUCCAUAAUUAUACUUGUAUACUACUACAUGGUCACGUGUUUAUAAGUGUCUUGUUAUAUGGAGCAUCCUGUCGGUGCACAUAUGAUUUGAUAUUUAUGGCACAUUUGGACUUGUUUAUGUUCUGGGUGAUUGCUUGUAUUUGACCUUUUGUUAUAGUCACAUAUUGAUUAAUUCGGUUGUUUUCAAAAUAUUAUUUUAUUUUAAAUUUAUCAUUGGAGUGAUUUCUGUCGUCCAAGUGGAGAUUGUUAGAUUUAUUCUCAUAUUAUGUGGACUGACAUAAAUCAUUCUAAUUGUUUUCUAUAUUUUACCGAAUUAAUACGUGACUAUUGUCAAAUAUAUGGAGCAAUUUUGACAUACCUUGUACAGUAGUAUAUUAUGGACAAGUAUAUCCUUAAUUGUGUUAUUUUCGCCCAUAAUGGGAUGGGCAAUUUUGUACUAACACAUGAGGGGUCCCUGCGCUCAACCUGUAUUUAAGUAACUUCAGCCCAUUGGAAGUUAACUGUUCAAGAAAUCUGUGGCAUGAGUGCAGUGCAUCUCUCUCUCCCGUUUGUCUCCCGUGUGUGUGCACAGUAAAUUUUGAAGCAAGCCGAUCCUUGAGCUAAGGAAAAGAAAGCGGAAUUCAGAAGCUAAACCGAAGCAGCAGCAACUCUGUUGAAGCUCCAUAACAAGCUGCAAGCUUGGAUUCAUGGGAGAUCGUGGUAAAUUUCGAAAUUUACUACAAUAUGUGUUUAAUUUGGAAAUGCACGAUUAAAGGGCAUAAAGUAUGUUUUUGUUUCAUCAAUUGGUAUCAGAGCCCAUGGUUAUGCGUUUCCUUGUAAACCAUAGUUGUUUUGUUGAAGAAAUCUCACUCAUGGAAUUUUUUUUUUUUUCGGAUUUUUCGAAUCUUCGAAUUUGGACAUAUUUCCUCAAACGGUUGUUAAAUAAUGCAUGAGUGAUNUAUUCUAUAUGACAUGUUAUCAUGGCAUGUAAUCAUCCAAAACAUAACAUAUAGAAAAAAUAAUUAAAUAAUCUUAAUUCAUGGCUUUCCUAAUAAUGAAAAAUACAUUAACCCUAAGCCUAAUCUUCAUUGGGCUUCUUGUCAAUAUCCAUCUUCCAUAGCUUGUCUUUGUUGAUGGACUAGGGGAAAUUGAGCUUUUAAAUUUAUAAUUGGUCCAAUUUUAAUUUGGAAAGAAAAUAAAUAAUUAAAAUUAAAAUUUAUUAAAAUAAAACUUUUGGACCAAAAAUAAAUUUAAUAUAUUCAAUUUUAUCUAUGCAUUUUAAUCCAUUAAGCCCAAUUGAAAUUGGGCCUAAAACUAGGAUUCAUUAAGCCCAAAACUAUUUUUGGAUUUAAACGCAAAAAAUUAAAAAUGUUUCUGCCCAACUGAAAAAAUAUGAAACUAUAGGGACCUCCACGAUAAAAACCAUGAAACCCUAAAAUCACAUUUUUCUUUUCCUCCUCUUCCCUAGCCGCCACCAGCACAAAAACCCAGCCGUUGUUUACUGUUUCCACACCGGACAGCCGUCAUCAACGCCGGAAAGACGCCAACCAAAACGCUCCGCGCCUUCAGCCCACGUUCACGCUGUUGCUUGGGUGCUGCAGCUGCUGCUCGCGCGCUGCGGUUGCUGCUUGUGCAGCGCGCGCUGCAGCUGCUGCGUGUGUAGCUCGCGCUGCUAGCAGCGUGGCUGCUGGCCGCUGCGCGUGCAGCGCGCGCUGCUGGCAGCAUGUGCUACUGGCCGCGCGCUGCUCGCACAGCAGCUUGUGCUGCUGGCCGCUCGCUGCUGCGUGUGCUGGUUCGUUGCUGCAGUUUCCGGCCUCGAUUGUUUGCGCUCGUUUUCCAGUGAUGAUGCUUCGGUGAUUUACAAAUUUUCAACGCAAAUUUUUGCUUACAAAAUUUCAAUUACAGUAAAAUAAAUCAAGAGAGAAUUAUGGUGAUAAAAAACCACCCCUCUUGUUACAGAUCCAAACGAAAAAUACAAUAGAAAAUCUAACAAUGAAUUAACUGCGUUUACUUUUGGAUUGGAGUGGGAAUCCUGAGGAAUGGGAAUCCUUGGAUUAGGAGUGUGGAGUGGGAGUGGGAGUAGGGGUUUACUUAGACUAAAUGAAAGUAUGGAUUGUCAAUUAGAAUUCCAAUUAUUUGUUUACUUUGUCUUGGAUUGGGAAGUAAAAUUGUUUUAAAUUACAAUUUUAUCCUUAUGUACAGAAUUAUAAUUUGUAAUUAAAAAUUAAUAAAAAAUAUAUUUGGAAAAUAAAAAUAAAUAUUUUUAUUAUAUUAUAAAUUAUUAAUAAUUUACUAAUAUUCUUAAUUAUGUAAAUCAUAAUUUUUUAUUAAUUUUAAUUUAAAUUAUGUGAAUAAAAAUUAUUAAUAAUAGCAACACAAAUGGAAUAUUAUUAUUGAUAAUAUAGUACAAAAUUAAUAUUUUUAGAAUAAAUAUUUAUAUUAUUAAAUAAAUAAAUAAUUAAUUAAUAUUUAUUAAAAUUAAUGUUUUUAUAUUAUUAAUUUAAAUAUAAUAUUAUUUAUUUUUAUUUUAUUAAUUUUAAUAAAAUAAAUAUGAUAUAAUUAUUAUUUUUAAUAAAUAUGAUAUUAUUUAUUUUAUGAAAUAUUAUUUAUUUUAUUAAAUAUUAUUUAUUUUAUUAAUAUUAUUUAUUUAUUUUAAUUUUAUAAGGAUAAAAUGGGAAGAGGGGGGAGUGGAUUCCCACUCCCACCUCCCCCAAUGGGAGUGGGAAUCCCACUCCCCACUCCAAAUUUAGGUGGGACCCACGGAUUCCCACUCCCACUCUCCCUAUUUUAAAGUAAGUAAACACUGGAGUGGGAGGGAAUCCACACUCCACACUCCCACUCCAGAAAGUAAACACUACCUUAAGACAAACCAUAAACAUGCUUUAUUCAUAUAUUAAACAAAUAAUAUAUAUCUGAAUAAAUUGUGCCACUCUAAUACAUAAAUUUCAAGAUUAAUUUCAUACGAAAAUUCUUAUUUAUUAAUAUGAGAUGGCUCUGAUACCAAUUGUUAGGGAAAAAUUAGGUUUUUAAAUUUUUAUAAAACCUUUUGAAGAUCGCUCUCAUAUAAUAUAUUAAGAAUUUGUAUUCUAGAAAUCGUACCUUGAAAAUCUGAGUUUGCUUUUUCCGCUGAAGUUGAUUUAGGCUCCUAGAUCACGAUCUGCCACCACCACUCCUGUUAGAUCACGAUCCGUCACCACCACGCUUGUUAGAUCACGAACUGUCUCCAAUGAUCUUCCAGGUUAUGACUCAGGUUCGAUCUGCACUUGACGUGUGGGCGCCUUUAUCACUACCAAAGCAACUAGCACGAGAAAAUUUUUCUCUCAAACAAUAGAGAAAAAAAUCUUAUUCUCCGAUUUGUAUAAAAUGGUUUCUCUUAUUCUUUAGAGAAAAUAAGCCUUUUAUAUCACCCUUUAGUGAAAACCUUAGGCUCCAAAUAAUGCCCUAAAUAAAACUCACGUUACUUUCUUUUUCAAUAGGGGACCCACCUUGUAAAAUAACAUAAGGCCCCUUAUACAAAGCUAAUUAAAUGGAGCCUCCCACUAAAUGAUAUAUUUAGCUUUUGAACCCAAAUAGCUAGUUAUCUUACUUAUUAGUCCAGUAGUGGUGCAGUCAAUUAAAUGAGCUAACCCGGGGAUCAUUUGGGAACAUACAAUAGUGGCUACAAUAAUUAGGCCUGUAAUUAAACUAGCCCAAAUAUUUAAUUCCAAAUCUACUCCACUAAAAGAUUGGAACUGACUUCCAUAAUUGUAUGCUCGAAUAAUAAUUCGUCCCAAGCCACAUUGAUUUCUUUACUGCACAAUCCUUUGUACCACAUCGUUAAUUUAAAUUGACAUCUCAACUGUCCAAUCAAUUUAAUAACAUCUUAUUCCUUGAUCCUUACUGGUUUUCUCUAAUGAUCAUUUUCAACAUACUAAAUAUGUUGACACACUCUGGCCAGAGAAUUCUAUGAUCAAGUGCCGAAAACCCAUCAAGAGAUGUGUUGUACAAAUUCUAUAUUGUUAAUCCAUAACUCCAAUAUAUAAAGUACUAGAUGUUUACUGAGAAAAUGACUAGAUCAUUUACCAAAUUUCUUGCGCAUAUAUACGUAUGUAUACAAGAAAUGGGAAUCAAUGAUUAUAAGACCUUGCAAUGAGACAAUAAUACAUCAUCAAAUCUAAAAAUACACAAGAAAUUCGGACAUAUAUAUAACAAAAGACCUCUCAUUGAGUCAUACAUAUUGAGAAUAAAAUGUCAAAAUGCAUACAAAGAGCUUAUACAGAAAAUGAAUUUACACAUAUUUAGAAUAAAUUGUCUUUGAACUUUUGAUGGUCAAAUAAAGGAAAACAGACAGGAUAUAACACACACUAUCAUAGAUGUAGCGACACGGUGAAGUAAAAUCACAUGAAGAUGGAAACGGAAACCCUUCACAAUAUAAAAUUUGAAUAGAGGGGGGAAAAAAAGGCUUCAUUUGGAAUGUUGCACAGAAGAAAGAGUGACUUGAAUCUCCAUCAGUAUCCAGACAUUCUACAAACACAGUGCUGAGAAUUUUAACAAGAAUAACAGACAAAAUAUUGUGCUUCUAUACUUGUCACAAAACUAGACCAAAUUAGUUCCCUUUUUGGUUUGUGAAAAACUUGAUAUUUUUGAAAAUUCUAUCCAAUGCUUUUAAACAAUAUUUCCAUAAUAAUAGUUGUUCAUAGCUAACCUUUGAUGGUUUAAGCAUUUGUUGUAGCAUGACGGGCUGAUUAGAUUAUUAUUUUUUUUUAUCCGAUGAAUUGAUAUUCAGCUGUUCUUAAUUAUGUGUUAAUAGGCAAGAGCAUUUUCUUAAGUACUUUCGUUGCCUUCCAAGUUUCCAAUGAACAAACAGAGCACAAACAAAUUUAACGAAACAAACAGAAGCAUUUUCUUCAGUGUGCUUUCUUGAGACAUUUUGAUUUAGUCUCAUUAUGAUUAAAAAGGAAGCUCGCUUCUCGAGACAUUUUGCUAUAGUCUCAUUAUGGUUAUAAAGAAGCGAUGGUCUAGGAGACAUAUUGUUUUCGUCUCAUUUUGCUAGACAUCUGGACUUUAUGGAAAUGAGCAUGUUGAUCACAUUGUCAUGUUAUUUCCAUAAUUAUACUUGUAUACUACUACAUGGUCACGUGUUUAUAAGUGUCUUGUUAUAUGGAGCAUCCUGUCGGUGCACAUAUGAUUUGAUAUUUAUGGCACAUUUUGGACUUGUUUAUGUUCUGGGUGAUUGCUUUGUAUUUGACCUUUUGUUAUAGUCACAUAUUGAUUAAUUCGGUUGUUUUCAAAAUAUUAUUUUAUUUUAAAUUUAUCAUUGGAGUGAUUUCUGUCGUCCAAGUGGGAGAUUGUUAGAUUUAUUUCUCAUAUUAUGUGGACUGACAUAAAUCAUUCUAAUUGUUUUCUAUAUUUUACCGAAUUAAUACGUGACUAUUGUCAAAUAUUAUGGAGCAAUUUGACAUACCUUGUACAGUAGUAUAUUAUGGACAAGUAUAUCCUUAAUUGUGUUAUUUUCGCCCAUAAUGGGAUGGGCAAUUUUGUACUAACACAUGAGGGGUCCCUGCGCUCAACCACUGUAUUUAAGUAACUUCAGCCCAUUGGAAGUUAACUGUUCAAGAAAUCUGUGGCAUGAGUGCAGUGCAUCUCUCUCUCCCGUUUGUCUCCCGUGUGUGUGCACAGUAAAUUUUGAAGCAAGCCGAUCCUUGAGCUAAGGAAAAGAAAGCGGAAUUCAGAAGCUAAACCGAAGCAGCAGCAACUCUGUUGAAGCUCCAUAACAAGCUGCAAGCUUGGAUUCAUGGGAGAUCGUGGUAAAUUUCGAAAUUUACUACAAUAUGUGUUUAAUUUGGAAAUGCACGAUUAAAGGGCAUAAAGUAUGUUUUUGUUUCAUCAAUUGGUAUCAGAGCCCAUGGUUAUGCGUUUCCUUGUAAACCAUAGUUGUUUUGUUUGAAGAAAUCUCACUCAUGGAAUUUUUUUUUUUAUUUUCGGAUUUUUCGAAUUCUUCGAAUUUGGACAUAUUUCCUCAAACGGUUGUUAAAUAAUGCAUGAGUGAUGAUUUUGGAGCAAAGAUAUAAUUUUUUUCGUGUUUUUUGGUGGCCAAAAUCGGGUUGGUAUGGAUGUGGAUGCUGUAAAUGUACUGUACAAUACUGUAGCAACAGCCCGAGGUUGAAGAUGAUGGGACAAUUUCAUUUGGAUCCCUAAAUUUUGUGAAUUGUCACUAUGGCCCAAAAUCUUUGCAAACUUUUCGAAAAGGUCCUUGACCGAGGGUCAACUAUGUAAAAGAUAAGUUGGUCCCUUGAAUUUUGGGAAAUUAUAGUAUGGCCCAACAGUUUAUUUUAUUUUAUUUACAGUUUGGGCCAAAAGUUUUAAUAGUUAAAACAGUAAACAUAAUUCUGAAAAUUUUUCAUUUUAGUCCAAAAUCCUUUCAAUUUUGGCGAUUUUUCAGAAUUUUUAAAUUUUAAAAUAAUCCAUCAGUUAUUGAAUCUUAUGGGCAUAUCAUUUAUAUAUUUUAUUGAGGCAUGUAGAUAUUUUAUUUGAUUUAAUAUCUUGUUAAUUUCAUUUGACAAAAUUUAUUUAGCCUCAAUUUUGUUAAUAUACGAAAUAUAUAUAUGAUGCAAAACUACAAUUUAGAGUGAUUGUGUAUCUACUUAUCGUAGGACCAAUCAUGAUAAAUUAUUUGGUGGUUUGCAAUUGAUUGUCCAUUUACAAUUAUGAAUUAUGGAUUAUGUGAUGGAUUGUUAUUGUUUUGACCAAGAUCCAUACGGGUGAUGAUACUGCCCUGUCGGCAAAUCACUACUUGGUACUUGGUAGGAUGCUUGGGAAGAUAAAGAGAUUUGUUGAGUAUUUUCUACUGAGUGGCUUAAUUACCCUGUCGGUAAUAGGUCAAUGUUGGUGUUAUAUUCAACUUGUCUGCUUUAUCUUUAGGUUAGUGCAUUCCUAUAUUGUUAAAGGAUGCCUAACAUAUUGUGUUGCUAUUGGAGAAACUUAGAAUGAGGAGCAAUUGAUUAUAGCAUGAUUUUAAUUUUUGCAUGCUUGAUAAUUCUUUUGUUAUUGCUUCCUCAGCUCUAGAUAUUCUCUCCUUUCUCCAAGUAGCCUCCCUCAAGAAUUUAACUGGGACAAAUUUUGAGGACUGGCGUGAGUCCAUUUUGUUUUAUUUGUCUACACUGAAUAGAGACUUGGCAUUAAGAGUUGAUGAACCAGCCAAGCCCACAGAUAAGAGCACUGCUGCUGAAAAAGCAGAGUGGGCAGCUUGGGAUGAAUCCAAUAGACACUGUCUGGAUACAAUGAAAUACACCAUUGAUAGAACCACUAGAGAUAGCAUCCCUGCAUGUGAUAAGGCCAAAGAUUACUUGGCAGCUGUGGGAAGAACCUUUAAGAAGGUAGAUAAGGCAGAAAAGGGUAACUAUCUGAGGCUGCUUGCUAAUACCCAGUAUGAUGGUGUUUCUGGGGUCAGAGAACACAUCCUUAAGAUGACUAGUUACCAUAAGAAGCUGAAGGACAUGGAUGUCACUUUGCCUGAUGACUACCUGGUCUUCCAAAUCCUUGAAUCUCUUCCACCACAAUUUGGCAAUUUGAGAAGCCAAUACAAUACUCAGAGAGACACUUGGAAUAUCACUGAGUUGACUGCUUAUGUGGUUCAGGAAGAGGAAUCAUUGAAGAAGGGGAAAUCUCACACUGUCAUGGUGGCAACUACUCAAGAGAGUGGAAGUGUGAAGAAAGGCUCUUCAAAGGGCAGCAAUAAGUUUUUUAAGAAGAAAAAGUUUGGCAAGAAAACUUCACGUGGUACUUCUUCUACCACUUCUGGUUCCACUUCUGAGAGCUUUAAGGGAAAGUGCCACUUUUGUAAGAAACCUGGGCACAAGAGAGCUGACUGCAGGGGAUUCAAAGCAUGGUUGGAAAAGAAAGGUAUUCCUGUAGCCUUUGUAGGCUUUGAAUCUAAUCUUAUUGAUGUUCCUUCUGAUACUUGGUGGUUGGAUACUGGUGCAACCAUUAAUAUAACGAAUUCCUUACAGGAAUUCAGAAGCAGGAGGGAGCCCAAUGAAGGGGAGUUGAUAGUUCACAUGGGCAAUGGAGUGACAGCCAAAGUUGAAAGCAUAGGAGUUGUCAGACUACAUCUAGCCACAGGCCAUGUUUUGGAUCUAUUAGAUACAGCUUAUAUUCCUUCUAUUAGGAGAAACUUGAUAUCUGUAUCUAUUUUGGAUAGAUGUGGCUAUACUUUUCAUUUUGGUGAUAGAAAAGUUUACUUAUUCCGCAAUUCAGAGUUAGUUGGUUCUGGCACUCUAUAUGAUGGCUUGUAUAUGAUUGAUUUAUUUUCUCGUGCUGUUGAAUCAUCAUCCAAUGCUCAUGUUAUGCAUGUUGUUAGCUCUAAUCGUGUUAGGGUUGAUGAAAAUUCCUCUAUGUUGUGGCAUAAACGGUUAGGUCACAUUUCUAAACAGAGGAUGGAGAGGCUUAUUAAAGAUAGCAUUCUACAUAAGUUGGAUUUCUCUGAUUUUGGCACUUGUGUUGAUUGUGUCAAAGGCAAACUUACUGCCAAAACCAGAAAAGAGAGAACUCAGAGGAGUCAACAGGUGCUGGAGUUGGUACAUACAGACAUUUGUGGGCCAUUUACUCCUAUUGCCAUUGGAGGUUAUAAGUACUUCAUCACGUUCAACGAUGACUUUUCUCGUUAUGGUCAUGUUGAACUUCUUGCUGAAAAGUCUAAAUCCUUAUCUGUGUUUCAAGCCUUUAAGGCUAAUGUUGAGCUCCAAAAGGGCAAGCAAAUUAAAGCAGUAAGGUCAGACAGAGGUGGUGAGUACUAUGGGCGAUAUGAUGAAACUGGGCGUAAUCCUGGACCUUUUGCUAAAUUUCUUCAGGAAUGUGGAAUAGAAGCCCAGUAUACAAUGCUCGGGACUCCUGAACAUAAUGGAAUUGCAGAAAGGAGAAAUCGUACCCUUCUUGACAUGGUGCGGUGUAUGCUGAGUAACUCCACCUUACCAGAUUUUCUGUGGGGUGAAGCCUUAAGAACUGCAGCUUACAUUUUGAAUCAGGUACCUAGUAAAUCGGUGCCCAAAAGUCCUUAUGAGUUGUGGUCAGGAAAGAGACCGAGUCUUCGUCAUUUUCAUGUAUGGGGAUGCAGAGCAGAAGUGAGGCCCUAUAAUCCACAAUCAAGGAAACUUGAUCCGAAAACAAUUAGUGGUCAUUUUAUUGGCUAUUGUAUCGGCUCAAGGGGUUCUAGAUUUUAUUGACCUUCCCACACUACUAGAAUCAUUGAGUCUGAUCGUGCCAUUUAUUUUGAGGAUGAUCACAAUGGUGGGAGUUCUGAGCCUCGCAGUCUGACAUUGAGAGAAGAACGUGUGGUUUUGCCUAUUCCAUCUUUUCCGACUUCUGCGAUGGGAUUACCACAUAUUGAUGAUUCUUCUGUUGAUCCUAAACUUCAUCAUAAUAUGGAGCCUAUGAUUGUAGAGGAUGAUGGUACUGAUGUGCCAUUGAGGAGAUCAGAGAGGAUCAGGAGACCUGCAAUUUCUGAUGAUUAUGUUGUUUACUUGCAGGAGCAUGAUUUUGAUGCUGACUCUUCAUCUGAUCCUAUUACCUUUCAAGAGGCCAUCAGUUGUUCAGAAUCAUCAUCUUGGAUACAUGCGAUGCAUGAUGAGAUGGCAUCUAUGUAUCAUAAUGAGGUUUGGGAUUUAGUUGAGUUACCAGAUGGAUGCAGACCAAUUGGUUGCAAAUGGGUUUUCAAAACCAAAAGAGAUGCCAGAGGUCAGGUAGAGAGGUAUAAGGCCAGGCUUGUGGCUAAGGGUUUCAGUCAAAGAGAAGGCAUUGAUUACACUGAAACCUACUCUCCUGUUUCUACCAAAGACUCUUUUCGUAUUAUCAUGGCAUUGGUAGCUCAUUUCAAUUUAGAAUUGCAUCAGAUGGAUGUGAAGACAGCUUUUCUUAAUGGGAGCUUGUCUGAAGAUGUAUACAUGGUGCAACCUGAUGGUUUUGUUGAGUCUGGUAUAGAAAACAUGGUGUGUAAGCUUAAAAGGUCCAUUUAUGGACUUAAGCAAGCAUCCAGACAGUGGUAUUUGAAAUUUCACGAUAUUGUCACCUCUUAUGGGUUCCAGGAGAAUGCCGUUGAUCAGUGUAUAUACUUGAGAGUCAGUGGGAGCAAGUAUAUCAUUUUGGUGCUUUAUGUGGAUGAUAUCUUGCUCGCUGCUAAUGACAGUAAUUUGUUACUUGAGACAAAGCAAAUGUUGUCAUGCAGCUUUGAUAUGAAGGAUCUUGGUGAAGCCCAUUAUGUAUUAGGGAUAGAGAUUCUUCAUGAUAGAUCUAGAGGAAUUCUAGGUUUGUCUCAAAAGACUUACAUUGAUCGCAUUUUGAAAAGGUUCAAUUUGCAGUCUUGUGCUCCUGGGAAAGCUCCAAUUUCGAAAGGUGACAAAAUUUCCAAGUCUCAAUGUCCCGAUAAUGAUGUAGACAAAGCUAGAAUACAAACAGUCCCGUAUGCAUCCGUUGUGGGUAGCUUGAUGUAUGCUCAAGUCUGUACUCGCCCUGAUAUUGCUUUUCCAGUGGGAGUACUUGGAAGAUACCUGAGCAAUCCUGGAUUUGAACACUGGAAGGCUGCAAAGAAAGUACUCAGAUAUUUGCGAGCCACUAAAGAUUUUGUAUUGACAUAUCAGCAAUCUGACUAUUUGAAUAUAGUUGGAUAUUCUGAUGCUGAUUUCGCAGGGUGCUUGGAAGACAAGAAAUCCACAUCUGGUUACAUCUUUAUGAUGGCAGGAGGAGCUAUAUCAUGGAAAAGUGUCAAGCAGACACUUAUAGCUUCUUCAACAAUGGAAGCAGAAUAUGUAGCAUGCUUUGAGGCUACACGUCAUGCUUUAUGGAUGCAAAAUUUUAUCACAGGGCUAGAUUGUAUAGUGGCCGUACCGAGGCCAUUAAAGAUAUACUGUGAUAAUUCUGCUGCUGUUUCUUUUUCUCACAAUACAGGGAGUUCCUCACGUUCCAAGCACAUUGAUAUUAAAUACUUGUUUGUGAGAGAGAAAAUUGCUCUAUCUUGUGUAUCAGUAGAGUAUAUCCCUACAGAACUCAUGUUAGCCGAUCCACUUAUUAAAGCUUUAGCUCCAAAAGUAUUUAGGGAGCAUGUAACGCAUAUGGGAUUAUUUGAAUCCACUUAUAUAUGCUGAGUCAGUGGGAGUUCUGGUUUGUAUUAUGAGUUGCAACUUAAAUGAGCUUAUGUAUUACUCAUUUUGUUAUCAUGCAUGCAUGUUGUUAUGUGAUAUUGAUAUGCCAUAUAUUGUGUACACAUUUGGCUGCGUAUGGCAUUAUGUAUAGAAUGAGGAUACGAUGGUCCGAGACAUUUUGCUCAGUCUCAAUAUGGACAUUAAAGACUGAAGCAUUAUGAUUUUCUUCAGUGUGCUUUCUUGAGACAUUUUGAUUUAGUCUCAUUAUGAUUAAAAAGGAAGCUCGCUUCUCGAGACAUUUUGCUAUAGUCUCAUUAUGGUUAUAAAGAAGCGAUGGUCUAGGAGACAUAUUGUUUUCGUCUCAUUUUGCUAGACAUCUGGACUUUAUGGAAAUGAGCAUGUUGAUCACAUUGUCAUGUUAUUUCCAUAAUUAUACUUGUAUACUACUACAUGGUCACGUGUUUAUAAGUGUCUUGUUAUAUGGAGCAUCCUGUCGGUGCACAUAUGAUUUGAUAUUUAUGGCACAUUUUGGACUUGUUUAUGUUCUGGGUGAUUGCUUGUAUUUGACCUUUUGUUAUAGUCACAUAUUGAUUAAUUCGGUUGUUUUCAAAAUAUUAUUUUAUUUUAAAUUUAUCAUUGGAGUGAUUUCUGUCGUCCAAGUGGGAGAUUGUUAGAUUUAUUUCUCAUAUUAUGUGGACUGACAUAAAUCAUUCUAAUUGUUUUCUAUAUUUUACCGAAUUAAUACGUGACUAUUGUCAAAUAUUAUGGAGCAAUUUUGACAUACCUUGUACAGUAGUAUAUUAUGGACAAGUAUAUCCUUAAUUGUGUUAUUUUCGCCCAUAAUGGGAUGGGCAAUUUUGUACUAACACAUGAGGGGUCCCUGCGCUCAACCACUGUAUUUAAGUAACUUCAGCCCAUUGGAAGUUAACUGUUCAAGAAAUCUGUGGCAUGAGUGCAGUGCAUCUCUCUCUCCCGUUUGUCUCCCGUGUGUGUGCACAGUAAAUUUUGAAGCAAGCCGAUCCUUGAGCUAAGGAAAAGAAAGCGGAAUUCAGAAGCUAAACCGAAGCAGCAGCAACUCUGUUGAAGCUCCAUAACAAGCUGCAAGCUUGGAUUCAUGGGAGAUCGUGGUAAAUUUCGAAAUUUACUACAAUAUGUGUUUAAUUUGGAAAUGCACGAUUAAAGGGCAUAAAGUAUGUUUUUGUUUCAUCAAUUGGUAUCAGAGCCCAUGGUUAUGCGUUUCCUUGUAAACCAUAGUUGUUUUGUUGAAGAAAUCUCACUCAUGGAAUUUUUUUUUUUAUUUUCGGAUUUUUCGAAUUCUUCGAAUUUGGACAUAUUUCCUCAAACGGUUGUUAAAUAAUGCAUGAGUGAUGAUUUUGGAGCAAAGAUAUAAUUUUUUCGUGUUUUUUGGUGGCCAAAAUCGGGUUGGUAUGGAUGUGGAUGCUGUAAAUGUACUGUACAAUACUGUAGCAACAGCCCGAGGUUGAAGAUGAUGGGACAAUUUCAUUUGGAUCCCUAAAUUUUGUGAAUUGUCACUAUGGCCCAAAAUCUUUGCAAACUUUUCGAAAAGGUCCUUGACCGAGGGUCAACUAUGUAAAAGAUAAGUUGGUCCCUUGAAUUUUGGGAAAUUAUAGUAUGGCCCAACAGUUUAUUUUAUUUUAUUUACAGUUUGGGCCAAAAGUUUUAAUAGUUAAAACAGUAAACAUAAUUCUGAAAAUUUUUCAUUUUAGUCCAAAAUCCUUUCAAUUUUGGCGAUUUUUCAGAAUUUUAAAUUUUAAAAUAAUCCAUCAGUUAUUGAAUCUUAUGGGCAUAUCAUUUAUAUAUUUUAUUGAGGCAUGUAGAUAUUUUAUUUGAUUUAAUAUCUUGUUAAUUUCAUUUGACAAAAUUUAUUUAGCCUCAAUUUUGUUAAUAUACGAAAUAUAUAUAUGAUGCAAAACUACAAUUUAGAGUGAUUGUGUAUCUACUUAUCGUAGGACCAAUCAUGAUAAAUUAUUUGGUGGUUUGCAAUUGAUUGUCCAUUUACAAUUAUGAAUUAUGGAUUAUGUGAUGGAUUGUUAUUGUUUUGACCAAGAUCCAUACGGGUGAUGAUACUGCCCUGUCGGCAAAUCACUACUUGGUACUUGGUAGGAUGCUUGGGAAGAUAAAGAGAUUUGUUGAGUAUUUUCUACUGAGUGGCUUAAUUACCCUGUCGGUAAUAGGUCAAUGUUGGUGUUAUAUUCAACUUGUCUGCUUUAUCUUUAGGUUAGUGCAUUCCUAUAUUGUUAAAGGAUGCCUAACAUAUUGUGUUGCUAUUGGAGAAACUUAGAAUGAGGAGCAAUUGAUUAUAGCAUGAUUUUAAUUUUUGCAUGCUUGAUAAUUCUUUUGUUAUUGCUUCCUCAGCUCUAGAUAUUCUCUCCUUUCUCCAAGUAGCCUCCCUCAAGAAUUUAACUGGGACAAAUUUUGAGGACUGGCGUGAGUCCAUUUUGUUUUAUUUGUCUACACUGAAUAGAGACUUGGCAUUAAGAGUUGAUGAACCAGCCAAGCCCACAGAUAAGAGCACUGCUGCUGAAAAAGCAGAGUGGGCAGCUUGGGAUGAAUCCAAUAGACACUGUCUGGAUACAAUGAAAUACACCAUUGAUAGAACCACUAGAGAUAGCAUCCCUGCAUGUGAUAAGGCCAAAGAUUACUUGGCAGCUGUGGGAAGAACCUUUAAGAAGGUAGAUAAGGCAGAAAAGGGUAACUAUCUGAGGCUGCUUGCUAAUACCCAGUAUGAUGGUGUUUCUGGGGUCAGAGAACACAUCCUUAAGAUGACUAGUUACCAUAAGAAGCUGAAGGACAUGGAUGUCACUUUGCCUGAUGACUACCUGGUCUUCCAAAUCCUUGAAUCUCUUCCACCACAAUUUGGCAAUUUGAGAAGCCAAUACAAUACUCAGAGAGACACUUGGAAUAUCACUGAGUUGACUGCUUAUGUGGUUCAGGAAGAGGAAUCAUUGAAGAAGGGGAAAUCUCACACUGUCAUGGUGGCAACUACUCAAGAGAGUGGAAGUGUGAAGAAAGGCUCUUCAAAGGGCAGCAAUAAGUUUUUUAAGAAGAAAAAGUUUGGCAAGAAAACUUCACGUGGUACUUCUUCUACCACUUCUGGUUCCACUUCUGAGAGCUUUAAGGGAAAGUGCCACUUUUGUAAGAAACCUGGGCACAAGAGAGCUGACUGCAGGGGAUUCAAAGCAUGGUUGGAAAAGAAAGGUAUUCCUGUAGCCUUUGUAGGCUUUGAAUCUAAUCUUAUUGAUGUUCCUUCUGAUACUUGGUGGUUGGAUACUGGUGCAACCAUUAAUAUAACGAAUUCCUUACAGGAAUUCAGAAGCAGGAGGGAGCCCAAUGAAGGGGAGUUGAUAGUUCACAUGGGCAAUGGAGUGACAGCCAAAGUUGAAAGCAUAGGAGUUGUCAGACUACAUCUAGCCACAGGCCAUGUUUUGGAUCUAUUAGAUACAGCUUAUAUUCCUUCUAUUAGGAGAAACUUGAUAUCUGUAUCUAUUUUGGAUAGAUGUGGCUAUACUUUUCAUUUUGGUGAUAGAAAAGUUUACUUAUUCCGCAAUUCAGAGUUAGUUGGUUCUGGCACUCUAUAUGAUGGCUUGUAUAUGAUUGAUUUAUUUUCUCGUGCUGUUGAAUCAUCAUCCAAUGCUCAUGUUAUGCAUGUUGUUAGCUCUAAUCGUGUUAGGGUUGAUGAAAAUUCCUCUAUGUUGUGGCAUAAACGGUUAGGUCACAUUUCUAAACAGAGGAUGGAGAGGCUUAUUAAAGAUAGCAUUCUACAUAAGUUGGAUUUCUCUGAUUUUGGCACUUGUGUUGAUUGUGUCAAAGGCAAACUUACUGCCAAAACCAGAAAAGAGAGAACUCAGAGGAGUCAACAGGUGCUGGAGUUGGUACAUACAGACAUUUGUGGGCCAUUUACUCCUAUUGCCAUUGGAGGUUAUAAGUACUUCAUCACGUUCAACGAUGACUUUUCUCGUUAUGGUCAUGUUGAACUUCUUGCUGAAAAGUCUAAAUCCUUAUCUGUGUUUCAAGCCUUUAAGGCUAAUGUUGAGCUCCAAAAGGGCAAGCAAAUUAAAGCAGUAAGGUCAGACAGAGGUGGUGAGUACUAUGGGCGAUAUGAUGAAACUGGGCGUAAUCCUGGACCUUUUGCUAAAUUUCUUCAGGAAUGUGGAAUAGAAGCCCAGUAUACAAUGCUCGGGACUCCUGAACAUAAUGGAAUUGCAGAAAGGAGAAAUCGUACCCUUCUUGACAUGGUGCGGUGUAUGCUGAGUAACUCCACCUUACCAGAUUUUCUGUGGGGUGAAGCCUUAAGAACUGCAGCUUACAUUUUGAAUCAGGUACCUAGUAAAUCGGUGCCCAAAAGUCCUUAUGAGUUGUGGUCAGGAAAGAGACCGAGUCUUCGUCAUUUUCAUGUAUGGGGAUGCAGAGCAGAAGUGAGGCCCUAUAAUCCACAAUCAAGGAAACUUGAUCCGAAAACAAUUAGUGGUCAUUUUAUUGGCUAUUGUAUCGGCUCAAGGGGUUCUAGAUUUUAUUGACCUUCCCACACUACUAGAAUCAUUGAGUCUGAUCGUGCCAUUUAUUUUGAGGAUGAUCACAAUGGUGGGAGUUCUGAGCCUCGCAGUCUGACAUUGAGAGAAGAACGUGUGGUUUUGCCUAUUCCAUCUUUUCCGACUUCUGCGAUGGGAUUACCACAUAUUGAUGAUUCUUCUGUUGAUCCUAAACUUCAUCAUAAUAUGGAGCCUAUGAUUGUAGAGGAUGAUGGUACUGAUGUGCCAUUGAGGAGAUCAGAGAGGAUCAGGAGACCUGCAAUUUCUGAUGAUUAUGUUGUUUACUUGCAGGAGCAUGAUUUUGAUGCUGACUCUUCAUCUGAUCCUAUUACCUUUCAAGAGGCCAUCAGUUGUUCAGAAUCAUCAUCUUGGAUACAUGCGAUGCAUGAUGAGAUGGCAUCUAUGUAUCAUAAUGAGGUUUGGGAUUUAGUUGAGUUACCAGAUGGAUGCAGACCAAUUGGUUGCAAAUGGGUUUUCAAAACCAAAAGAGAUGCCAGAGGUCAGGUAGAGAGGUAUAAGGCCAGGCUUGUGGCUAAGGGUUUCAGUCAAAGAGAAGGCAUUGAUUACACUGAAACCUACUCUCCUGUUUCUACCAAAGACUCUUUUCGUAUUAUCAUGGCAUUGGUAGCUCAUUUCAAUUUAGAAUUGCAUCAGAUGGAUGUGAAGACAGCUUUUCUUAAUGGGAGCUUGUCUGAAGAUGUAUACAUGGUGCAACCUGAUGGUUUUGUUGAGUCUGGUAUAGAAAACAUGGUGUGUAAGCUUAAAAGGUCCAUUUAUGGACUUAAGCAAGCAUCCAGACAGUGGUAUUUGAAAUUUCACGAUAUUGUCACCUCUUAUGGGUUCCAGGAGAAUGCCGUUGAUCAGUGUAUAUACUUGAGAGUCAGUGGGAGCAAGUAUAUCAUUUUGGUGCUUUAUGUGGAUGAUAUCUUGCUCGCUGCUAAUGACAGUAAUUUGUUACUUGAGACAAAGCAAAUGUUGUCAUGCAGCUUUGAUAUGAAGGAUCUUGGUGAAGCCCAUUAUGUAUUAGGGAUAGAGAUUCUUCAUGAUAGAUCUAGAGGAAUUCUAGGUUUGUCUCAAAAGACUUACAUUGAUCGCAUUUUGAAAAGGUUCAAUUUGCAGUCUUGUGCUCCUGGGAAAGCUCCAAUUUCGAAAGGUGACAAAAUUUCCAAGUCUCAAUGUCCCGAUAAUGAUGUAGACAAAGCUAGAAUACAAACAGUCCCGUAUGCAUCCGUUGUGGGUAGCUUGAUGUAUGCUCAAGUCUGUACUCGCCCUGAUAUUGCUUUUCCAGUGGGAGUACUUGGAAGAUACCUGAGCAAUCCUGGAUUUGAACACUGGAAGGCUGCAAAGAAAGUACUCAGAUAUUUGCGAGCCACUAAAGAUUUUGUAUUGACAUAUCAGCAAUCUGACUAUUUGAAUAUAGUUGGAUAUUCUGAUGCUGAUUUCGCAGGGUGCUUGGAAGACAAGAAAUCCACAUCUGGUUACAUCUUUAUGAUGGCAGGAGGAGCUAUAUCAUGGAAAAGUGUCAAGCAGACACUUAUAGCUUCUUCAACAAUGGAAGCAGAAUAUGUAGCAUGCUUUGAGGCUACACGUCAUGCUUUAUGGAUGCAAAAUUUUAUCACAGGGCUAGAUUGUAUAGUGGCCGUACCGAGGCCAUUAAAGAUAUACUGUGAUAAUUCUGCUGCUGUUUCUUUUUCUCACAAUACAGGGAGUUCCUCACGUUCCAAGCACAUUGAUAUUAAAUACUUGUUUGUGAGAGAGAAAAUUGCUCUAUCUUGUGUAUCAGUAGAGUAUAUCCCUACAGAACUCAUGUUAGCCGAUCCACUUAUUAAAGCUUUAGCUCCAAAAGUAUUUAGGGAGCAUGUAACGCAUAUGGGAUUAUUUGAAUCCACUUAUAUAUGCUGAGUCAGUGGGAGUUCUGGUUUGUAUUAUGAGUUGCAACUUAAAUGAGCUUAUGUAUUACUCAUUUUGUUAUCAUGCAUGCAUGUUGUUAUGUGAUAUUGAUAUGCCAUAUAUUGUGUACACAUUUGGCUGCGUAUGGCAUUAUGUAUAGAAUGAGGAUACGAUGGUCCGAGACAUUUUGCUCAGUCUCAAUAUGGACAUUAAAGACUGAAGCAUUAUGAUUUUCUUCAGUGUGCUUUCUUGAGACAUUUUGAUUUAGUCUCAUUAUGAUUAAAAAGGAAGCUCGCUUCUCGAGACAUUUUGCUAUAGUCUCAUUAUGGUUAUAAAGAAGCGAUGGUCUAGGAGACAUAUUGUUUUCGUCUCAUUUUGCUAGACAUCUGGACUUUAUGGAAAUGAGCAUGUUGAUCACAUUGUCAUGUUAUUUCCAUAAUUAUACUUGUAUACUACUACAUGGUCACGUGUUUAUAAGUGUCUUGUUAUAUGGAGCAUCCUGUCGGUGCACAUAUGAUUUGAUAUUUAUGGCACAUUUUGGACUUGUUUAUGUUCUGGGUGAUUGCUUGUAUUUGACCUUUUGUUAUAGUCACAUAUUGAUUAAUUCGGUUGUUUUCAAAAUAUUAUUUUAUUUUAAAUUUAUCAUUGGAGUGAUUUCUGUCGUCCAAGUGGGAGAUUGUUAGAUUUAUUUCUCAUAUUAUGUGGACUGACAUAAAUCAUUCUAAUUGUUUUCUAUAUUUUACCGAAUUAAUACGUGACUAUUGUCAAAUAUUAUGGAGCAAUUUUGACAUACCUUGUACAGUAGUAUAUUAUGGACAAGUAUAUCCUUAAUUGUGUUAUUUUCGCCCAUAAUGGGAUGGGCAAUUUUGUACUAACACAUGAGGGGUCCCUGCGCUCAACCACUGUAUUUAAGUAACUUCAGCCCAUUGGAAGUUAACUGUUCAAGAAAUCUGUGGCAUGAGUGCAGUGCAUCUCUCUCUCCCGUUUGUCUCCCGUGUGUGUGCACAGUAAAUUUUGAAGCAAGCCGAUCCUUGAGCUAAGGAAAAGAAAGCGGAAUUCAGAAGCUAAACCGAAGCAGCAGCAACUCUGUUGAAGCUCCAUAACAAGCUGCAAGCUUGGAUUCAUGGGAGAUCGUGGUAAAUUUCGAAAUUUACUACAAUAUGUGUUUAAUUUGGAAAUGCACGAUUAAAGGGCAUAAAGUGUGUUUUUGUUUCAUCAGGGAACUCUCAAAACAAAAUACUCAAAUUAAAUUAAAUUAGACCAAAAGACGCUCAAUGACGCAAAAUCUGCCCAUAAAAGCCUGAACGAAUCAUGAAAAGUGCAUUCCAUAUUGACAGUAAACCAAGUGACCCAUUCUAAACAAUUGAGAUGAAAUUGUGAAACAACCCACGAGAUCAAAUAAAUAAAAUAAGAAUUAAUUACCAGCUGGGACUUUCUUCUUCAAAUUCGUAACUCCAAGUCAUAAGAAGCCAAUGAAAUUAGUCGUAAUCCACAGAGUAUGACGACGACCCCGCCAACAGCUGAAAAUAAAAUUCUUAUUCAUCAAUUUAAACUAACUUUAUAACAAAUAUCUUAUCGAUAUUUUAUUUAAAAAGAAAAAGCAAAUUUUGUAAAAUUUUUCCAUGGGAGAUAGAGAGUAACACGUAUAUCCGUACCUUCUCAGCAUGUAAUUGUUGUAUGGUCGUGUUAAGAUCAUUACUAGCCCAACGCCGUUGAUUCGAUGUCUCUCCAUACCAGACGUUUACUCUUGGAGGCGUGCUUGAUUCUCCUCUAGUGAAAAUCUUCAAUUUGGGACAACCAAUCACAGAUAGAUCUUGCAAAGAUGGGAAUUUGAAGGUGUAAUUGGCAGAGCAGAAACUUGUGAGGCUGUCUAAAUCACGCAGUUCCAACCUCUUCAAUUUGCGGAAAACAAUCUCUUCUUUUUCAACCCCGUCUUUGUCAUUUAUUACCACCUCUGUCAUUGCUCUGCAUCCGUAUACACAAAGUGAUACGAGUCGCACUAGAGUUUUUGCUGUGGAGGAUGUUACUAAGUGUAUCAAUUUCUUGCAAUCGAAAGCUACAAGUUUUGUUAGGUUCCCAAAAGAUACCGAUGAUGUUGGCAAUAGAAUUAACAGACUUUGACAAUGAUAUACUCUUAGAAUUUCAAGAUACUGAAAAAUGGGGCCAAAUUUGGAGUCUUGUUUGCACAGCUGCUUCAGAUGAUAGUGCCGGUACAGCUCUAAUUCUUUUAUCAUUGCCAACUUCCCCACAUGUUUCUCUAAGCAUCCUUCCAUCGAAAAUACCUCUUCGUGGAAUGAAAAAUAACACAGUACGAGCAUUUCGAGAUUGUGAAAUCUCUCCAGUACAUUCCAGAUUGGAAAACAAGCUGAGUCAUCAGCAGCAAUCCCUAGAUCUCUAAGACUGCCAAAAAGGUGUUGUGGGAAAUCGGCCUGCAAAAUCAUCUUCACGUCUUUUCCGCAUAGUGAUAGUUCCGUCAAGUUGGGUAAGAUCUGAUCAUCAUCAAUCAUAAUAACUAAUAAGGUCAAUUGAUGUUUUCUCAAAUGAUUUUGAGUAAUCCAAUCAUAAGCAGUGAGUUUAUAGUAUUUGUUUUAUAUUAUAUUUUAAAAAAAAUUGUAUUAUUGAUAAAAUUUAUUAAAUGAUUUUUUAUAUGUUAAUUUUAGAGGUAAAAAAGAAAUUAGGGAAAAAAGGUUGAUUUAUACUGACUCGAAAUUAUUUUAUUGCACAAUAAUAAAUUACUAAUUUAUUUUGUAAGUUCUUCUAUAUGGAAAGACUCAAGAUUCUUUUACAAAUGCUAUACCUAAAAAAGUUUAUAUAAUCAUUAAUCUACCACAUUGAUCCCUUAGUCUAGACUAGCAAAGAUUAUUGUAUAAUAAAAGUUUUCAAAUUUAUUGAGCAUUAAUUUAUCAAAGUUAAAAAUAAGCUAUAGAUAAAAAAUCUAGAAAAUGGCUUCAUACCUUUUCCAACGGCAAUAGGGGCUGUUGUGCAGGAAUACCAAGUUGAUCAUUCCCAUUAUUCUGCGAUAAAUCUGCCGCGAAUAUCUUUAAUCUGUCACAACGAUACACUAAAAGAAUUUCUAGGGCGGGCCAUUCCGAAGUAUGCAUUCCAGGGUACAAACAUCUAAGUUUUGGUAGAUCAUGGAGUAUCAAAGUGGUGAGCUGUGGAAAGACAAAAUAAGGGAUCACUUGAUCUGCUCUGUUUUCAGAAAUGAUCUCCUGUAAAUCCUCACAGGAGCGUAUUUCUAGGCGUUGGAGCUGCUUAAGGCUUCCGAUCAUAGACGCUGAAAAUAUGUAUUUUAAUUUGUGACAACCCCACACAAUCAAUCGUGUUAAACUUUGAAAGUGAGGAAACACUGCAGCUGGAAUUUGAUUGUAGUGCCAAAUCUUGUCGACAUUAAUUUCAGAUAUCUCCAAAGCCUCCAAGUUAGGCAACGCAACCUAAAAAGAUAAGAAUUUCUUGUUGAAAAUUUCUCUUUGAUUACAAAUUAAUGCAAGUCAGAAUCAAUUUCCAACUGACAGCUGAGUAUGCAUUCUAAUUCAUACUACUUGUUAAGAGCUCAAUUAGUGAGUGCGUGAGAUUAUUUUUUUCCCCAUUGUUUUCAUUUUCUUUCAAUUCUCUAAAUGAUUUAAUUAUUUUCCACGUUUGACAUAAGAGAACGCAUGAUAGAAUAAACUCUGUUAUAUAUAUAUAUGAAUAAAAUGUUAGCCUACGCACCUUCUCAUUGAAAAGCAAAGUUGAAAUAUCCAAAGUGAUUUCGCUGGAGCAAUACAUAGUCGUCGAUUCCUCUUGCGACACUUGUCUGUUCGGUGAUGCUGAAGGAGUCUCCACCUCACGGCAAAAACUUGUAACCUCUGGAAGAUUCCCCAGACUCAAAGAUCUUAAUUGAGCAAACUCUAUCUUCUCAAUUGCAUUAUCAACUUCUUUCCCAAUUGCAAAAAUCUCUUUCAUCUUGCUGCAAUUAAUAACUGCAAUUCUCUCAAGUCUUGGAAGGCAUUUUGUAGUAGAGAGCCAAAAGAUAUUACUCAACUUAUCACAAUUAUAUACUUCUAUGUUUUUUGAGUUCGUUGAAAGACUCUACUUUGAGCCGAUCAAUACAUAUCCUCUCCAUGUUGAUCAAAUUGUGAAGGGCAAGUGACUCCAAAAGAGGAAAGGCAUCACAAGCGACCAUCUCCCUUGAAUCGACGAUACAAAAGAAGUCAGGAUUAUUUUGAACCCAGAGGACCUUCAAUUGUGAAAAGCCCUCCGUGUCCAAAUUGAAAAGAACAUUCUCGAUGCCUUGCAGCUUGUCCAACCGUAAGUAUUGAACGUUAUUGAUGCCUUGCAAUUUCAUGGAGCAAAUGUCCAUAAAAUCAAGCUUGAGCUUCAAUGCUCUUGAAAUCUUGCGAUUACUGUCGAUCAAAAAGUGCAGCUGACUUUUAAACCAAUGUUGUCCAAAAAGCAUGGGAUGCAUGAAUAACCCAUUUCCAAUAUGUAUUUUGAACCUUUCGAGCUUUCUGGCCAAAAGCCUUCUGGUAACAUACUCUCAUUUUUAACAUCAAUUUCUAGAGUAGUUAGCCGAGGUAAAUGCAUCAAUUCGUCAAGGCUAGCAUUACUUCUUUUGCUGUUGGCUCUUUCAACCUCCCAUUCAAUGAAGCAAUUACCAUAUACAAUUCUUCUAAUCGGAUUAAGCUUGAUAUGACAUUUGGGGCAAUAACUUUCAGACGGAAACAGUGUUAAAUCUAACAGCCUUAGCUUAGUCAGUUGACCCAGUGCUUUAGGCAACUCUACAAUAUCAGAUUGCAAAAAGCUAAGGAUUUCUAGAUUUUCCAACUUUCCAAUAAUGGCUAUGUCUAUGCCUCCGAAAAUGCUUUGAUUAAGACAAAGUGUCUGAAGAUUUACUAGAAGACCAAUUGAAGAUGGCAAUGACAAUAACCGCAUUCUAGUCAAAUCCAAAACCCGAAGCUUUUUCGUCCUUUUGAAGAAGUUCUCGGGAAUAUUAGGCACAGCAAAAGAGUUCUUGGGAGACCAUGAAUAGAAGUUCAAGUUGUAGAGAUUCCGACCCUUCAGGAAUGUCAUUAACAAUACUAUCUUUUAAAAGAAAUUGCAAAAUAUUUUUUAAUUCAUCUGCAUUUUGGCCAUUUCAAUCAUCCUCAUUUUCACCACAAAUGCAUUCAUGUCACGAAAUGCAAUUGAAAUGGCAACAUCGCGAACAACAUCGUGCAUAGAAAUGUAUUUACUGCCACCAUCCUCAAGCAACAAACAAGAGUCUCUUAGUUGAUGGACCCAUGCAUGUAAUUUGUUAUGUGCAUCUUCUAGCUUAUGGACACUUUUAAAUACACCCAAGCCCAUGCUGUAUUUGAACAAAUCCAUAAUUGGUGCUGGCGUAAUAAGACUACACAGUAAAAAAGUUUUCUUGAGUUGCUCACCUCUUAAGUACUUGUAACUCAGCUCAAUUGUUGAGUAUGCCUCUGCUGGUACUCCUUCGUCGAAGCUUGCCUCUGAAGGCGUUUUGGAGUUCUUGCAAGGCAUUCUUCCACACAGGCAGCUCUUUUUUUCUCAGUGCCUUUGCUACUGUGGUUAGGGCAAUAGGCAAACCUCCGCAUGCCUUGGCUACACUUGUUGCUGUAGAUUUUAACUCACGAUUUUCAACAUAAUCACCAGCCAUUAUCUUGAACAAUCUCCAGGCUUCUUGUUCAUUUAAAAUGCCAAUCGAGAAGUUUUUUUCAGAUCCCAUCCUUAACAGCACAUCAAGAUCUCUUGUUGUGAAUAAUAAUUUACAUCCUCUGUGCUCAACUCCAAAAGGAAUGCCAAUAGUCCCCAAAUCAAGAGGAUUCCAGAUGUUAUCGAGAAUCACAAGGAUCUUCUUCUCAUUCUUCAAUCUUUUCAUAUAGUCUACUAGCUCUUCUAGACUCAGCUUCCUCGGACAACUCUAGGCCUAACGUUUCCGCAAUUUCCUCUUGGAUCUUUCUUAUGUCUGGACAUUGGGUAACCUCCGAAAAAACCACCAUAUCGUAAAGCUUGUCUUCAAUGGCUCGCCUUGCAAACUCCUUCACCAGUGUCGUCUUUCCAAUGCCGCCCAUGCCGUACACCCCAAUGAUGCUGACAUCAACAUCGAUCAAAUGCAUUUUGUAUGGCCUUCAAAGUAGAAAGUCUUGAUUCGAAGGCUUCGUAGCCUUUGUGAGACUUGAGCCAUAUAUCCUCCGGGAAUGGUACGGUAGAAAUUCCAUCAACAAAUCUCCCAGCUUCUUCUCGGAGUUUAACAAUGGCCUUCACCUUUGUUUCUGCUUUCUUGCUAAGCUGAUAGCGGGUCUUCAAAUUAGGACACAAGCCCAUGAGACAUCGUUUAUUUGUUGUCUUCUCAUCAUCAAUGAAUUUGGCUGCCUGCUCAAUGAUGAUGUUCGCACUAACCAGCCACUUCUCAACCUUCUCUUCAAUAUUUUCCCCUUUUCUUUCAGCCUCAGAAACCCUGUGCUGAAUGCUUCUCCUUUCAUCCUUGAGCUUGUCUAUUUCUGCCUUGAGUUUCUCAACGUUGGCUUUAUAGUUACGCAAAUAACCAAGUCGGCGUUCUGUUGAGGAGCCAAGCAUUUCACAAAUUCUAAAACAAUAGUAACAAUGCUUUCCACCAUCCUGGAUCCCUUUUCUUUUUUUUCGAAGUUUCUGACAAGAAAAUAAACAAUGAGCGAAACACAGAGAGAGUGAGGAGAAAAAGAAAAAGAAACGCAAAGAUGGACAGUUUAUCUGGUUGUGGAAGCGGAGAAAUGAAGAAAUCGUAAUAGCUGUUAUGGAUCUGCUGAGAAGAUGGAAACAAGGAAAAGGUUUCUAGUUCAACAACUGGAUUGCGAGCGGAGAGACUAAUUAACAAAGACUGGAGAUUACAACAAAGCAGAUGCCAAGAGAAAAGUUGAUCCAGUGAAAUUCAAGAAGUUGACAGCAAAAGGGAGCAAAGAUUAAUAACAAAACAGCAGUGACUACAAUGAACAAAAGCAUAUGCGUUUCUUGAUUGAGAAUGAGUGCAAAGAAUGAUCCUUAAUCAAUAAAAUAUCUAACAAUAUCUUCACCGAAAGUUUGAGACAUGUGAUCCUUAUUCCACUUCGUCAAUUACACUCCAGACCAAUGCUGCCGUCAUUAUCGAACGGUCGAUAUCCAACACUUGCACGAAGAUUCCAAGAAGUUGCGUGGCUGCCGACUUUUAGAUGCAAAGCCUCAUUGUGUCGAUGUUACACGAAAGAGAGCAGUCCGGGUAAUUGCCAAAACUUAGAACUAAACAGUAGCUUAGUCAGAAAAUCAAACGCCCAGUACCGGUAAAAUGACCGAUAAAAUAUAAAAAAAACAAAAAUUUUAAAGUUUUACUUCAUUGCUUUUUUAAUCUUAUUACUAUUUCUCCUUGCACUUCUAAAGAAACCAAAGCUUUAAAAGAAAUCAGCCAAAUCACGAAGAUUGAAAACUAAAUCUAUGGUUUUAGAUUUUUAUUUUAUUUUUUUAGAUAAUAGAUAUUGUUGAGUAAUGAAAAGUACCAGCUCAGCUAUCCCCGCUUCCCUCACCUUGGGGCGAAUCCCCAGAUGAAUGGCACAAGCAGAUUCCUGGUAAUACAUCCUGUACGGGGCAUAUGCCAACUAGAAACGAGUACCGACCAGAUGUACAUACCGACCAAGUACUCAUUAUUCAAAGAAAGAGGACACGAACUCAACAAACUCACGACAAUUUUGUUAUGCCCCCAAACCGUUGGGGAGAACAUGACGCCCCACGUUUACCCACGAUUCGGUGGUUGGAGACCCAUGAAGGUUUGUCAUCACCCGAAAAUGAGGGGCAUGAAUAAGACUCAGAAAACAGGGGAUGAUUGCCUAUAAAAGGCCAAGAAAUCGAUGAAAAAUGGGAGACACAAAUUGAGAGUAAAGGGGAAACUCUGUCAAAUUAUAAUCAGAAAUUCAUAUAUCCAAAUCCUUGAUACAUUUGGUAUUGAGAAUAUUGCAACUAAUAUGUACAACACAAAUCAUUCACUUUUCUCGUAAACACCUUGUACUAACUUAAGUAUCGAAGGGUUUAUGCCCAAAAAACCAUCGGCGUCUCUGAUUUGUUUCUGUGAACGCAGGCCUGGAAGGAAGAAGACGGGUGAUUUGGGUCCCAGAAGCUCGGGAAAUUGCUGAAGCUAAUGGAUCGCAGCCUCUGUUCCUUUGCCAAUACAAGCGUUGGUGAACCAAUCUGGUCGGUCCAAAGGCGACUAGAUUUCAGCAUCAACAGAUAUUAUUUUGAUGAAUUUUUUAAUAUUAGAAUAAUGUUAGGAAUUCCAAUAAUAAAAUUCUAACUUGAGACCCAAUUGUUAUGUGUUAUUUUUUUAUUGAAUAAUGAAUUUCACAACUAAUAAAAUUUAUAUUUCCAUCAUCUAAUAAAUGACUACCAUAUCAGUUGGGACUCAAUUAUUAGGAUCCUUAACAUUGCUCUUAGUAUUAAAUUGGACAUCUUAGCUAAAUCAGAUUAAAAAUCAAAUUAGUUUUUAAGCUUUUAUUCAACAUCUCUUUUUUUUUUUUUGUCUAUUGGAAGUGAACGAAAUAAAAAUACAACAGGGUCAACGACUGGGCAAUUGGUAGUCAAGUAGAAGCAAAUCAAGGCUAAAUGGGAAAGAGAAAUGAUAUUUGUGCAAAAUAAGGAGAAAAUCAGUGUAACAGAAGAGAAUCAAAGUGCUUUUGAGAUAAAAAAUUGAAACAAGAAAAGGGUCGCUUGAUCCAAUGAAAAUGCAAAGAGCUGAUGGCAAAAGGGAACAAAGUUAAAUAAGAAAACAGCUAGCGCUAGCAGCGACCACAAUAAACAGAAAAUUUGAGAUGGAUUUACAAUAUUUCUGCCUUUCUUUAUGCUUUAAAAAAUAUUGCUCUAUCAAAAAAAAUAUUGAACAUUUUUAUUAUUGGAGUCACAAAUGACCUACACAAUAUAGCAAGUGACUAGGAAUAAAUAAGAAUAUAUAACUCUCUCUAAUUCUCACUCUGGCUUUUAAUUGUCACUCAAAACCCAGAAUUCAUCCUUAAAGUGUAGGCAAAUCAAGGAUGACACCGUUUGGUUGUCAUACGUGCCUUUUAGUUUUCGGAUGACAUGGCGUACACUUCUUCUGUAAACCCAACAAGACAUGUCGUACUCUUUUGUUUUGAGAUUCUAUUUCAAACUUUUCAUGCUAUGAAUGAAAGAUAAACUCCAAUCAUCAAAAUAUUUAGUGUUUGUUUGGUAAUGUAAUGUCAUAGUUGUGAAUUGAAAUUAUUUCUAUAAAAUAAAAGGAUUUGGGUCAUUGUUUGUUAUUUUCUGACAACAUUUAUUAAAUAUUAAAAAAUAAAUUUAUAUUUAUUAGGUAUUAAAAAUAAAUAAACAAACAAAAAUAAAAGUAAAAGUUUAUACAUUACGUAAAAUAAUGACAAUAUCAAUAUUUCGCACUCUAUAAUUGAGUGAUGUGUUGUCCAACUGGCAUACAUUGGUCCCAAACGGAGACUUAAAUAUCAAAGUCCAAAGUUAUUAUGAUGAUGACUUAUAAUCGCCAAACUUGACAUACGGGUAAUCAUGCAUUAUAAGGUGCUAAUUUCUUCCGAUCGGAACCUUAUUUUUCAUUUACAAAUAAAUAAAUGAUGUGACUUCACGGUUGGCGGGGUCCUUUGUGUCAUUUGGGCAUUUCACUAAAUGAUUGAUUGUAGCAGGAAGAUUCCUGGAAGUUGCCAUUUGCCAAUGCUACUAACAUUUUCAAACUUGGAAAACCCUUCAAUCAAUCUUUUAGUGGUAGGCUCUGGUAACUUGGUUUGAUUAUGACGUAUAAUUAUUUGAUAAUAAAGUUAGAGGAUGUAUUAAUAUAAAAUUUGUUUAUUGGUGUUGAAGUUAAUUAUCUCAUUAAUAAUAGUAUAAAAAGUUAAUUACUAAGAAACACAUAGCAAUAGUUAAUUGGUGUCAUAUUAUUGGGAUUCUGGGAUAUAAUUUUAUAUCAUAACUUUGUAAGUGUAUACUUACUCAUCAAACUAAUAAAAUUAUUUAAAAAUUUCAGUUGGAAAAAAUAAAUUAUAUUAUUUUCAUUUCAAAUAAUCUAUAAGUUAACUCAAAACAUAAUCAAGCUGAGAAUUAAAAUAAUGCUACUGUAUGAGAGGAUUUUUAUUUUUUCCCGAAGUUUCACUAGGAAAUUAUUGAUACAUAGCUUUAUUCGGAUCAUCUCAGUUCAAACGACAAAUAAUUGAAAGACUAAGCUAAAUAGACCAGCCAACAACUUUGUACAAGAGAGUUCAAAAAUUAAGGUCAUGGUAUUAAGGUGUUCUAUCUUGAAAAGUAUAGAGUAGUAAUAAAAUAAAAACUAAUAGUUUUUGGUAAGAUAUGACAUUUAAAUAAUAAUUUUCACAAAAAUACAAGGAAUAUUUAUAAAUUACUUUUAUAGUGAGGGGACCCUCACUCUGUUAAAGUGAAAAUAUCAAUAAUAUACAAAAGACAUAUAUUUUAACACAUUAAAAAUUGUAUUUUUUUAUCUAUUGGUGUAUUGAAAUAUGUGUUAUUUAGUUUGUUAGUGAUAUCAUUACUUUGUUAAAAUGAGAAUGUCGUUACUAGAGAAUCAUUAUGUAUACAUAUAUAAAGUGCUUCUGUCCAAGACCUAGACUUUAUUAAAAUUUGAGAAAGCAAAUAUAUUUUAUAUGGUAUAAUAGUGUAAUAACAUCACACUAUUAUAUCAUAUAGAGUAAUAGUUUUUCGAACUUUAAUAAAAUUCAAGAUUAUAGAAUGAAUGAUUUUUAUAUAUUAUAAAUUUUUUUAUCAUAAAUGGAGGACAAAAUUAACAUAUUUUCAAAUUAUAAUAAGCAUUUAUCAAAUAAUUUAACAUUGCAAUUUCUCCUAACUAGUAUAGUAAAUAAUACGACCUAGGAGAUACAUUCAAAGCAUUUCAUAAGUUAGUUGUUAAUAAUAAAUUAUAUAUGCAGCUCCAAUCAUCAUUGUACGGUGAGUAAUUUCCAGUUAUAAAUAGAUAUUACUCCCUUCCCAGCAAUUUUUGAUGACUUAAUUUAGUGGGAUCAAAAUCAACAUUGAAUUUUUGACCAGCUGCCAACAACUUGUGAGCAGUUCACAGUGGGUACUGCACAUGAUGCCUGUUUCUCCUUUUGCAUCUAUUUUUGUUGUUAACAUUAAUUUCAAUAGCAGCUCGUUAAUCCCAUUUGUUGAUUUGGGACUAGAUAAGAAUUUAUCUUGGAACUCCAAUUCUCCAAUUAUUUUAGUUGACAAUAUAUUUAACAUUAUUAAUUGCAUAUUAUUUAAUUAUCAGUAUAUAAUAUUCUUUAAUUUUCUAAUUUUAUAGGAUUAGACACAAAAUUGAUUAUGCCUUUUGAAAUUUAAGGGUUAUGUCAAUUGAAUAGAAAACUUGGAGGUAAACUUGUGGAUGUUUUUGUUGAUUAUCAAUUUAUGCAUGAAUUUUUGUACGUUUACUUUGGUUUAUAAUUAUUACUUUUAAACAUUUUUAUUGGUUUGAUUUAGGGUCAAUUUGGUAAUCCUGUAGCUUUAAAAUAAUUACAAUUAGCUAUGCUGUAGAAAUGAUCAAUCGUCAAGAGAAUCAGCUGAGCAUUUAGUAAAAUUUAUUUUUAAAAGUACUUUUAGUUUUAAAAGCGUUGUAUGAAUAAAACUGUUACACUAAAAAAUUAAAUGUAUUGCCCACUUGGGUAAAUAAAGCUAUAUAUUACAACUGUUACACUAAAAUUAAAUGUAUCUUAAACCCAAACUUCUUCUUCUUCUUUUUUGACUAACAAAAUUAAAAACAAUAGUGAACACAUUCUUUAAUAAACAAUAAGUAAUAAAUAAAAUCGUGUUAAAUUUCUUAAAAACUUUCUUUCACGGUUUGCUAAAUAUUUUUAUUAGUAUUUUAAAUAAAUAAAAAUAGUUGAUUUUAAUUUUUUUAAAUAAACUUAUUAGGUUUCAUGUAAAGAUGUUUUUGUUAUUUUAAAAAGUGUAGAAAGUACUCCUAAAAAAAAGCGUAGAAAGUAAAACUUAAUUUUUUAAAUUUAUUAGCUGAGUGCAUAAAUAAUUGAGUGUUCAUAAUGAUUUUUAAAGUAUAGAUAGUCGGACCCUAAUAUUUUUAAUAAAUGGAAAUUUUGCUAAUAUGUUAAUGAGAAUUAAAAAGAUAAUUAAGGGAGGCAAUCGAGACAUUCAGGAUAGUUAGGAUGGGACAUGAUUGUGAGCGGUUAGAUAUUGGUCCUAAUUUUGAUCACAAAUAUAUAAACAGGACGAGUUUAUCUCUACUUACAUUCCAUUUGAUAAUUAAGAUGAGAGUGGAAUUGUCAAAUCCCAAAUCAUCCCGGACCACUGCCACCAAGGGUACUCUCACUAAUAAUAUCUAAAGAAAAAUCUACAUCUAUUUCAUACUUUUUUUAAUGGAAAGAGCCCUCAUGGGGCUUGAAAUGGUAUCCUAAAUAAUAUUGAGAAUAUCAGGUCAUGAUUGGGUUUGUGACAAACAAAUACUACAUAGUUGGGAUACGUAGUUAUAAUGUCCCAAUUUAUGUAGUAUCUAUCAUUUAGCGCACAUAUAAAAUAUUAAUCAGCUUAAUUAAUUUAUAAAAUUUAAAUCUAAUUAAUAAGUGAUACAUAAAUGCCAAGUGCAAUACUGUAUAUGCAAAUCAUGUUUGUGGAUCAUUACAAAAUUGGCUCUUGAAAACAAGCAAGAAAGCUUAAUUAAGAACUUAAAACAAAAGAAUUAGAUUGAGAACAGUCAAGCCUUAUUUUUUCAAGGAUGGAGCUUAUAAAUCUUCAAGUACCAACAUACGCUUGGCCCAAUUGUUGUUAUUAAAAUUUCAAUAUACAUAUAUAAGUAUGAUAUAGCAAAAAUUUGAUGGUACAUAUGUCGGAAUAUACUAGUUCAUGGGUGCAUUUGAUUAUUGUUUCCAUAAAUUUGAACCAGGAAGGACGACACGAUAAAAAUUUGAUUUAUGGUAUGGUUGAUUUCAUAGCUCAUGCACUCAUUUCUUAAGAUAAUCAAAUUUUCUCUGACAUCUUUUUCAACUGUCGAAAUAUCAAUUAUGAUCAAUCAAAACGAUUUCAAAACCUUUCAACGAGACAUAUUUCUAAUACAAUAUUGUGAAAAUUACACUAAAAAAUAAUUUAUUAUAUAUUAUUAUCCAACGAGCACACAAAAAUGAUUUCGUACAAAUCUAAAAUACUAAGCAAUUUUCAAAUAGAAUUUACCAUGUACUACAAGAAAAUAGGGUAUAUGUGACCCCUACUGUGAAUGCAAAAGCAGCCAUUACGCAUAACCCCGAGUUGCUUUUGUUACCCUUUAUGUGACGGCCACACUGCUGUCACAUAUGUUACGACCGCGUGACGGUGAAGAGCCGUUCGGUAUACUAAUAUUUUAGAAUUUUAAAUUUAUUUCCAGUUAGAAAACUAUUCGCUGGACUCCGUGUUGCUGGCCACCAUCGUAAACAUAACUGGUUGCCAGCGAACGGCGUAAAACGCCGGCCAUCUUCUUCUUCAACGUAUUCUCCCUUCAUCUUUGAGGUAAGCUUGUGAUUAUGAGUUUCUUCUCUUACUUAGCUUGUAAUUAUAGAUUUUGAUUUUUUUUAAUUCGUAUUGUAGCCGUUAUUGUCAAUUUUUGUCCCGCCAGCAAUAUUUUUUUAUUCCUACAAGUUGAAACCCCUGUGUUCUUGUUCCAUUGGUGAGUUUGCUCACUCAAAUUAAUUUUGUUCUGCGGAAUUUACAAAGUUCAAAUGGAUUCAUUUGAAUUACUAUUGAAUUUAGCUUUAAUUCCAACAUCCAUUCUAAUGUUUUGCAAUUAGAUUUAAUUUAAUUUUAUGUUUAAAGCUUCUACAAUGAAUAGCGGAGCUUGGGUUUUAGUUUCAUUUUCUGGAUAACUUGUUUUUAGUUUAUCUUGUAUGCUCACCAAAUGCUUGUUAUAUUGUCUGAUAAGUUAUAUACAUUGCUGAUUCUACAUUAAUAAUGUUACGUUGUAUUUUCAGAAAUUAUAAUACAAAAGUUUUUUGCAAUGGCGUGCAUCUACAAACUGAAUUGACUUGUAGAAUAAGAGCUCGGAGUAGUGUUAUGUUCUUGAAUAAUUGAAAGUUCAUAUUGUGUAAGAGCAUUGUAGAUGUAAAGCAUCAUUACCAUUUCUACAAAGUGCUUUCAUUCUGUUCAUAUGCUCUUCUUGAACUUUGAAAGGUGCCUCGUUCAAGUCCUAGCUAUAACUACUAGCUUUGAUUAAUUAAGUUCCUAUACUAGCUGAAACAGAUUUAUUUAAUUAAUUAAUUGUGUAUGUACUAAUUAUAUUGAAAGUAUAUGAAUUUUUUUUUUAACAUGAAUGACUUCUAAAUGACUUAAAAACCUAAAGGGAUGUGUGAAACAAUGCUCAUUUCAUUUGAAUGAGCCCAUUAAUACUUUUAUGUCUAUGAUUUUCAAUAUUGGCUAAAGCAUUUCAGUUAAGUGGUUUACCUAACAGAGAAAAAAAUUUAAUAGAAAACUUCAGAGUUUCUAACAGAAAUAUAGUUCACUAUGCAGAUAUAGUUAUUUUACGGUAUACAAAUCAAGUUGUCCUAAUCUCAAUGUCCUAUGACCGAUUUUAUUUUAUAUAGUCAUUAAUUUUUUUCCUUGGUUUUUUGUGUUUAUGAGUAUGAAAUAGUGGGAUUUGGUGUACCUUAGCAUCUUUUGAAAAUUCUCUUUCAGUGUGGCCAACAGAAAUAUACAUAUAAUCAAGUUCUUAAUCGUGUAUAUUAGUUUUGGGUAUGAAUGUUCUAUUCUAGUUCGAGGCAAAGCUUCUUCGUUUUUGGUCUUCAGAUUUCCAGUAGGUUAAGUUAAUCAACUAUCAUAACUGGCUAGCUAGUUAUUGUCUGCCUUGGCGCCAUUACCAGGCCAUUAUAUUGCAUAGCAUAAGGAAUAGUGAUUAGGGGAUUAUUAGUGAUUUGUUGAGCUUAUUAUCGACCAAACAAACAUAUUCGCCUUUGCCCACAACUUAGUUUGAUUAGUUAUUAGACCAUAAAGAGCCUUGAUCUAUUCAUUGGCUUUAUUAUUUUUAUUUGGUUUUUCUUUCAACAAUAUUGUUGAUUUCUUAUAAAAAUAUUCAUUGGUUUUUAAACACCUAAUCAUUGGCUAUAUGAAGCUAAUUAAAACUGAGGCUUUGGAUCAAUUUCUUCUAACAAGAUACAAAUGAGCAUUAACCUAUCUCCUAUGAGUAAAUUUUUUUAAUAUCCUUGAUUUGUAAGGAUCUGGAGGCCUGAAAUCCUCUAGAUUUUUUUUAACACUGUCAAUGUUCUUUUAUUUCUGAGAAGGAAAUAAAAGGUUUUAUCUUUCAUACCCAAAUAGUAAGCUGGCCUUGUCUUAACAUGGCCUCCGAGGACUUGCAAGAUUCAUAGUGCCCCCACCCCAAAAAAAUAAAAAUAAAAAAACACAAAUAGGAAGAUUUUGCAAGAUUCACCACCAGGUUUUUUUUAAUUUGUUAAUUGUGUGUACGUGCUAGUUAUAUGUUGAAAGAAUAGGAAAGAAGUAUUUCAACAUGAAUGACUUAAAACUUAUUGCUCAGUAAACAUAAUCUGCAUGUAUUUAUCGUUUGUAUUUUUUAUGGUUUUGCUAAAGAAAUGAUAUGUGAAAUAAUGCUACAUUUGCAUCAGGAAUAAAUUGAAGAGAUUUAUGAUAUUUAUGUGUUAUUCAAAUUUCAGAUUCAAUUUUAAACUUUUGAUACGUGCAUUGAAAGCUUAGACUUGUUUAAGAAAUUAUUAAUAGACACAUGUUUUUAUUAGUGUCAUCUUUGGAUGAUAGUGAGGAUCAUAUGUCUAUUAAUAAUUCUUGAAUUGUCCAGGCUUGGACAGUUUGGGAAUGCAUAGUUCACUCUGGUAGCUAGUAGCUGAAGUUUUUUCCCACGUAAAAAUGGGUUUUUCAGUAGCUGCUCCUCGUGUUCUCUGGGUACGUACUAGGUGAAUGGGUGUCAUGUGUUGUUUUGGCAUAACGCAUAAACACUUAUAUAGCUAUGUCGUGUGCUUGGAGAAUUAUAGGGAGAUGGUGCCGAAAUUUUUAUAAACGUGGAAGAAAACUUUAGGUACUUGAGAUUGAAGAAACUUAUGCAUUCUUGAGUGGGAUAUGUAGGAUUACUUACCUUUUGUAAAUAUGAAGGGAAUGUUGGAUAUAUUGGGGAUAGUGUAGGAGCUGAGUUGGAUGAAUGUAAUUGGUGAUGAUUUUUGCUGAGCUGACCUUGGUUUUGAGCUUGUAAUUUUGUUUGUAAAUGGAGUGCUAUCUCCAAUGUUGGUUUAUAAAUAUGUUUCAGGACUUGCUGACCUAAUUUUUUGUUUCUAGGUUACAGGCUUUAUAUAUCUGUAAUUGAUGGCGAAGUGAAGUUCCCAGAACUUGGCGAGGAUGUUUCUUUACAGAAGGUAUUGGAAACUGUUUUUUACAUUAAUUAUUGUUGUAUAUAUACUUUGAUUUUCACAUCUUUUUCUCUGAUUCUUGUGGCUUUGCUUGCUUUCAUAUAUGUAAAUUCUAAUGAAAAUUAACCAUAAAAUUGUUUAAAAUGAUCUUUUUAUUAUAUUGCAAAACUGUGCACACACGAAAAUAUAUUGUUUAGUAGUAGAAAUGAAGAACUAAAAUGAUUUACUUAACUAAUUUUUGUAGCGCAUUAAAAGGAGAUAGUCAUGGACAUGUGUUGGGUUGGUUUGCCAAAUAGAUAUCCAAGUCAUAUACUGAUGGGGAUGAAAAAUUUAUAGAUUUUGCAUUUGAGAAUGUUGUUGGUGGUACAAGAAUUUAAUGUCCUUUUAAGAAGUGUUGUAAUCUAUAUUUCGUUAUAAAGGAAAGUGGCUGAUGAUGAUAUGGUUGGAAUGAUACAAUGCAUCACGUAAUCAAAUGUUCAAGUUACACGGAGCAUUGUUAUGGACUAUCAGUGACUUUCUAGCAUUGCCAACUUGUCUGGGUGGAGUAUUAAAGGUAAAUAAGCAUGUCUUGUUUGCCAACAAAACACUAGAUCUAAUUGGUUGAUACAUAGUAGAAAAUUUUGUCACGUGGGUCACCGUCGAUUUUUACCAACAAAUCAUAGGUUUCGAAAAUAUAGUGUCUUUUGAUAAAACUAGAGAGUAGGGACCAGCACAUUCUCGGUUGUCUGGAUCUGAAGUGAAAAAGCAGUUUAAUAUACUUACUGAGUAUAAGAUUGAAGACUUGAAAAUAGGAGAAUGAAUAAAAUGAGAGAAAUGAUAAGAUUACUUGGAAGAAGAAAAGCAUAUUUUAUGAACUACCGUGUUGGGAGUUCAAUUUGAUUCAUCAUAUCUUGAUCUCAUGGGCUGUUUUGAUUUUUGUUAUGAACUCAGAUCAAAAGUUUAAUGUGAUCAAAAUUUCUUAAAAAUAGUGAAAACGACUCCUAAUAAUAUGGAAGAUGGCUAUAAAAAGAUAAAAGGAAAGGCUUAAAAAGAAAAGCCAUGCCUGUCCAAAAAAAAAAAAAUCAACAAAAAUCAAAACGGUGCGUUUGAGAGUGUAUAAAAUACAUUUAGAGUGGGAGUUGUGUUGUUGCUUGAAGGCAGAAAGAUAUUUGUCGACGAAGCCAAAACCAAAGAUGAAGCCCAUAAAGCUCAAACUCCACCGGAGCAAAUUCAGGACAAUUACGAGGGUUAUGUUUGACAUAGUCAAGGAAGACGGUCCUCUCACCGUUGCCGAAACUUGGGAACGCGUCAAGGUGUGUGUAUCUGUUAAAUUGAAUUUCAACCGUUUGAUCUGUAAUUAUAAUUAAUCCAAUCGAUCUGACAGUGAUCACUGACCAUAAUACUAGUAGUUGUUUUACAUUUUCAGCAGGCUAGAGCGGGUGGAUUGACGGGCAAAAGCUCAGGCUCGUCUGCAAUCACAUGGGCCCUCAUAAGCAAAUCCUGUACACAACUUGGUUCACUAAACCCAACAACUUGAAGCAGCCAAAAUCAGGGAAUGAUCCUUCUCCGUCACAACCCUAGCUGCCUUAACCUUGUAGUGACACGGUGAAGAUGGAAGCCCCUCAGCAUGUAAACUUUUCAACAGCGACAGAGCUCUUAUUCCAGAGGCUGCACAGAAGAGCGACCUGGAAUCCUCUUCAAAACUUUCAAAUUUUUAUCAAGUAAAGCUUUCAAAAUUUCUCAACAAACUGAUUAUUUGGUGUGGUUGCCACAUUUUGUGCAACUGCUAUUCGUCUUCAAGUACAAAUUCCUUGCCUUCUAAGUUAGGGAACAUAGAUGUGGAGCAAACAGGGAAAUAGAUGUGGAGCAAACAGGGAAACAGCAAUGAUGGCAAUUAACAAACUAAUAGCAGUAUUACAUUUGAUUCUUUAGCCCAAUUUUGUUCCUUCUGUCAGCCAUUCUUCAAAAGUUUUUGAAAAUUAGAUGUGAAGCAAAAAAAAAACAAAUUUAGACAACAGAAGCCCUGUGCUCAACAUCAUAUAUAUACCUUGAAUACCUAAUAUACUAAAUUUCACAUAUAAAAUACUAGAGAUUUCAAACAGUACCAGCAAUAGAAUAAUGACAACGACAACAAUAACAGAAAAUUACAAGAUUGCUGACAAAAUUUAUGUGAUUUACUGUGCCUUUAUGCAUGCAAAAUGAAACUGAAGAUAAAAAAUUUAGGGAAAAGGACACAGAGACCCCCAACGUUUGAAUAAGGGACACAAAAUCCCUUAAUGUUUCAAAAAAGACACUCAGACCCCCAUUUGUUAACAUUAAAUUAUAAUUUUACCAUUGUACCCUUAUAGCAUAUUAAAAAAUAAUUAUUCAUUAUCCAAUUUAUUUCUAUAUUAUUAAUAAAAUUACGAAUAUAACUUCAUUACUCAAUUUUUCCAUUUAAUUUUUAUCAAAUUUUAUCUUCAAACUAAAUAAAUUUAAUCCAUUGCUCAAAAAUAAAAAUAAAUUAAAUUGAUUAUUAAUAUAAUAAAAAUAACAAUUCUCCAUAUGUUAUUUCUUAUAAUUUCUUAUAUAUAAAUUAAAUUGAUAAUUUCUUAAAAAUAACAAUUCUCCAUAUAUAAAUUAAAUUUAUUUUAAUUUAAUAUAUGUUAUUUUUAUAUUAAAUAUAUGUUAUUUUUAUUAUAUUAGUAAUCAAUUUAAUUUAUUUUUAUUCUUGAGUAAUGGAUUAAAUUUAUUUAGUUUGAAGAGAAAAUUUGACAAAAAUUAAAUGGAAAAAUUGGAUAAUGAAGUUAUAUUCGUAAUUUUAUUAAUAAUAUAGGAAUAAAUUGAACAAUGAACAAUUAUUUUUUAAUAUGCUAUGAGGGUAUAAUGGUAAAAAUUAUAAUUUACUGUUAACAAAUGGGGGUCUCAGUGUUUUUUUUGAAACAUUAGGGGGUUUUGUGUCCCUUAUUCAAACGUUGGGGGUCUCUGUGUCCUUUUCCCAAAAAUUUAUAAACUAGAAAUUUAUAAUAAUCUAACUUAUUCUCGUUACUAUUAAAAAAUAAGUAAACAUAUCAAUAACAAUAUAGUUUAUUAUGAUUAUAAUUCAUUCAAUUAAAAUAAAUAAUUUAUUCUUAUUUCUAUUCUCUAUUCUAAUUUCAGUAAAUUUUGAUUUUAGUUUAUUUUAAUUAUUGAUUAGUUGUAAACUUAACUGGAAAUUUAUUGCAUAUAUUACGAGAAGCAGUACACACCAAUGGUAAAUUGAUACAUCGUUUUUGAGCUUAAGAUAGUCAAAUGAAAGAAACACAACGUAGGGUUCAUGAAACACUUUCAAAGCUGCUGAUGACUUAAAGUGAAUAACCUCAGCAUGUAAACUUAACUUCAAAGGACGGAGCACAAGUUUCACAGAAAAACAGCUCUUAUUUCUGAUGCUGCGAACACAGAGGAGUGACCUCAAUCUUCUUCAUCACUUGGGAAUUCUGCAAUUAUAGAGCACGACAUUGAGCAUGAACUAGAAAAAAUAUUUAUUUUCUACAAUUUUCAUAUAACCUCACUAACCAAGAUUAAUUUUGUGGUAAUGUAUUGGGUCAUUAAUUCAUAUGUUUUUACUGUCAUCACUUUAGAAAAAACUAAUUUCUCAAUGUGAAAUGGCCCAUAAAAGGUAUUCUCAUUUAAAAACUAAAUUUGACAAACCCUCGAUUAAAGCAGGGGAGAGAAAAGAAAAAAAAAAGAUCUGAAGGCUUUCCACAUGAAAAUGUUGUCACUUUGGAUGAUAUUUUCAAGGGAUUUCAUUCUAAAAAUAAAAUACCUGGGACCUUAUUCUUCAAAUUGACAGCUCGCCCAGUACUAAACGCGUAUGAGAUCAGUACUGGGACAAGUAACGAGACGACCCCUCCAACAGCUGAAAAUAAAAUUCGCAUUCAUCAAUUUAAAUUGAAAUUCAUAUUAUGAAAUUAAAACUAAUGAUUAAUGAAUUUUCAAGGAAUUUAAUAAGAUUCUCAUAUAUAAACGUGAUAAAAAAUUCACUCAUCAAUAACAAAUAUUCUAACAUUUUGUUGAUGUAAUUGUUGUAUGGUUGUGUUAAGGUCAUUAUUAGACCAACGCAGUUUGUCAUCACUCAUUCCGUACCAGACGUUUACUCUCGGAGGCGUGAUUGAUUCUCCUUUGGUGAAAUCUUCAUCUUCGGACAACCAAUCACAGUAAGAUAUUCCAAAGAUGGGAAUUUGAAGGCGUAAUUGCCAGAGGAGAAGCUUGUGAGACUAUCUAAAUCAAACAGGGACAACGUAGUCAGUUUGCUGAAAACAAUCUCUUCUUUUAAAUAUGCUGUUUCAUUUCAAGACUGGCAAAAUUCAUUGUGUAAUCAAAGUUUUCAAUGAUCCAACUAAUAUAUAUAUAUAUGUAUGUAUAUUCCUUCUCUAGUGCAGACAUUCUCAUUUUUUUUUUUCAUGUGGACCAGUUUUUAGAUCCCCUGGUUUAAAAGAGUUAGUUUUUAACUCUUUAAAACCGCAUGGCUUCAUAAUUUAUUUAAAAACUAACUCUCUUAAACCGCACGGUUUAAAAGCGUGUCCACAUUAAAAAAAAAUACGGACCCCCACACCUGAGAAUGAUUAUAUAUAUAUAUAUAUAUAUAUAUAGACACACGCUCUUAAACCGUGGGAUUUGAAAGCUUCUCCGCAUGAAGAAAGUAAAAAAUAAGGGCAUUCCCACUAGAAACAAACUCCAUAUAGGUAUUUAUUAAACCUCCUGAUCUGUGAGUGAGGAACAACAAAUAUAAUUGAUAAAAAAAAUCUAAAAUUUGGUUUCAUACCUUCUUGAACGAGAACAGGGGUUGUUGUGCCGGAAUACCAAAUUGAUCAUUCUCGUUAUUCUGGGACAACGUUAUUUUAUCACAAUUACAGGCCUCCAAUGUUUUUUAGUGCUGGCCAUUCUGAAGUAUGCAUUCCAGGGUAUAAACAUCCGAGUUCUGGUAGACCUUCGAGAUUCAGAGUGGUCACUUGUGGAAAGACAAAAUAUGGGGUCACUUGAUCUGCUCUGUCUUUGGAGAUGAUCUCUUGUAAACCCAUACAUAUCCGUAUCUCCAGGUGUUGGAGGUGCUCAAGGCUUUGGAUCAUAGAAGCUGAAAAUAUGUAUUUUAAUUUGUCACAGCCCCACACUAUCAAUCGUGUCAAACUUUGAAAGCCGCAAGUUGAUUGUCAUGCAAAAUCUCGUCGACAUUAAUAGCAUUCAGCUCCAAAGCCUCCAAAUUUGGCAACACUACCUGAAGAUAAUUUUCUCUUUAGAUCCAAUAUCCGUAUGGAAAGCACUUGUUUUGACACAAUAUCCAUAUAAGAAGCACUUAAUUAAGAGCUUAAUUAGCGAGUGUAUGAGACUUUUUUUUUUUCAAAUGCCAGUGCAUGAUAGAACUAAAAAAAAAAAAGAAGCAUUAGCCUACGUACCUUCUCGUUGAAAGCAGAGUUGACGUUUCCGAACUGAUCUCGUUGGAACUGGCUGUCAAUUCCUCUUGCGACUCUUGUCUGUUUGGUGAUGUGGAAGAAGUCUUCACUUCACCGCAAAACCUUGUAACCUUUGGAAGCUUUCCCAGACUCAAAGAUCUUAAUUGACCAAACUCUAUCUUCCCAUCAACAUCAACAUCAGCUUCUCCUCCAGUUGCAAAAAUCUCUUCCAUGCUGCUGCAAUUGAUAACUGCAAUCCUCUCCAGUCUUGGAAGGCAUUUUGUACUACUAGAGAGCCAGAAGAUAUUACUCAACUCAUCACAAUUUUCUACUUUUAUGGUUUUGAGUUCAUUGAAGGACUCUAUUUUGAGUCGAUCAAUACAUAUCCUCUCCAUAUUGAUCAAAUUUUGAAGAGUAUGGGACUCCAAAAGAGGAAAGGCGACACAUGGUUCUCUCUCCAUUGAAUCGACGAUACACAGGAAGUCUGGAUUAUUUUGAACAUGGAGAUGCUUCAAUUGUGAAAAGCCCUCAGUGUCCAAUUCUAAAACAACAUUCUUGAUUCCUUGCAACUUAUCCAAACAUAAGUAUUCAACGUUAUUGAUGCGCUGCAACUUCUCGGAGCAAAUGGCCAUAGAAUCAAGCUUGAGCUUCAAUGUUCUUAAACUCUCAUGAUUACUGAUCAUAAAGUGCUGCCGACUUUCAAACCAAUCAUUCUCAAUAACCAGGGUAGAGUCGAAUGAUGCAUCUCCUAUUGAUAUAUCAAACCUUUCCAGCUUUUUGGAAAAAAAGCCAUCCGGUAAAAUGCUAUCAUUUUUAACAUCUAUCUAAGGUGGUCAAUCGCCUCAUAUGCAUCAAUUCGUCGAGGGUGGCAUUACUUCUUUCACUAUUGGCCUUUUCAACUUCCCAUUCAAUAGGGGAAUUACCCAUAUACAGUUCUUCCAAUCGAGUGAAGCUUGAUAAGACGUUGGGCACAAUAAAUUUUAGUUGCAAACAAUCUGUUAAAUCUAACAGCCUUAACUUAGUCAGUUGACCUAGUUCGCCAGGCAACCGUACAAUAUCAGAAUUUAAAAAGCUAAGGAUUUCUAGAUUCUUCAACUUUCCAAUUAUGGCUAUGUCUCCCAACAUGCUUUGAUCUAGACAGAGUGUUUGAAGAUUUGCUAGAAGACCGAUUGAAGAUGGCAAUGAAAAUAAUCGCAUUCGUGUCAAAUCUACAACUCGAAGCUUUUUCAGCCCUUUGAAAAUGUUGUCAGGAAUAUUGACCUCAACAAAAGUGUUUUGGGAAAUAUGUAAAAAUUCAAGUUGCAGACAUUCAAAUUCCUCAGAAACUUCAUGAAUGCUACUAUUUAGUAAAGAGAUUGCAUAGCAUUUUUUAAGUGCAUCCUCAUCUGGCCACUCCCACACAGCCUCAUUUCUCACCAAUAAAGCAUGUUGGUCUCGAUUUAAACUUUAACUCAAUUUGAAAAACUGAGCAAGUAUGCGUUACAGGAAAUCAAAAAAGCUCCACAUACCCAGAUCAUGAUCUCACGUUGAAUCCAGGUGGGAGAUAUAUUUAUGAUCAAGCCCAACAUCGAAGGGGCAAAAAAAAAAAAAAAAAAAAAAAUCUACCAGACAUAUGAUCAUAUUGACCACGAGCUUCAUACGCCGUGGAUUUAUUAACAAAAGUGGGAAUUAAUUAAUCAUGAGCAUGUGUUCUAGUUAAGUCAAAAGAGAGACUUAAUUAAGAACGCAUAUAUAAUUCAUAAUCAGCACAUAAAAAGAUCACUAGUGCUUGCCCCUCCUGCCCUUGCCGUGCUUGCCGUGCUUGCCCCUGCCCUUGCUCUUUCCAUGCUGGUAGUAGCCGCCGUGCUUGCCGUGUGUGUAUGCACCGUGAGCUCCAGGAUAUGCGUUAUUAUCUGCAACAAAAUAAGAAAUUAAAUCAUAAGCUUAUAAUUAGCUCGCUCGCUAAGAGUGAUUAAAAUAAUACCGUGCGGAACGGAUGGGCCAGGAUAUCCCGUUGGUGUGUAACCACUGGCGAGUGCUGCUCCUGUAGGCGGGUAGCCGGCACCGGCUGGGCAGCAUGAUCAGCACCUUCCAUGAUUUUGAUGAUCACCUAAUAAAUAAUAACUUGGUCCAAAAUAAACAACAAUAAAUAAUUGUGAUUAAUAAAAAGUAAUAUAUUCUCUAAUUAAAACAUUAAUGAUCAUUGGAGAGCAAGCGAGAAAUACUUACUGAAUGCGAUGGGACAGACAACAUCAUGCAUAGAGAAUUGUUCAUCUUCAACGAAUUUGGCUGCCCGGUCAAUGAUGCCGUUAGCACUAACCAGCCACUUCUCAACCUUCUCUUCAAUCUCUUCCCCUUUUUCUUUUGCCUCUGAAACUCUGCGCCGAAUGCUCGUACGUUCAACCUUCAACUUCUCCAUUUCCGUCUUGAGAUUCUCAAGGUUGGCAUUGUAGUUCCGCUUGCGCAAAUAAACAAGUUGGCGUUCUGUUGGAGGAGCCAAGCAUUUUACAAGUUCCAAAACGAGAGUAACAAUGAUUUCCAGCAUCUUGAAUCCUGACAACAAUGUAGAAGUGAAGAAGGCCAAAGGACAGUCAAAACAGAGAGACAGCGUUACGACAAGCAGUUAUGGAGCUAAAAAUAAAUAACAAACAAACAGAAGCAAAGUGUUUUUCGAAUGAGAAGAAGGAAGCAAGAAAAACUUAAAACUAGUAUAAUAAAUUUAUACUAAAACUAGUAUAGUAAAACAAGAAGUCAAGAACCAGCAACUUUUACACACAAAAUAAAACCUUAAAACUAGUAUAAUAAAUUUAUCAUCAAGUUGCAGCCUUCUUAUUCAACAAUUACAGCAUUAUCUUGAGCUCUGUGUUUCUUUUUUUAAAAAUUAUUCAAAAAAAUCUGCAUUUGUUUUUCAACGAUAAAAAUUAUAUUUUUGUCUCAUAUAAUAUAAAAUUAAAAAAAAAACAAACAUAUAUUAAAGGUCUGUUUGGGAUUAUUUUUAGAGGCUCAAAAGUAAUUUUAAAAAGUUAAAUGCUAAUUUUGGUAUUUAAUAAAAUUUUUAGAAGUCACCUUUGGUAAAAUCAUCAAUCCUACAACAAAUUUUGAAAGCAAAUAGUUUUUCAAAUUUUUAUUUUGAUAAUUAAUUUUAUACUUAAUAUAAUUCCAUAUACAUCCCUACAUAUAUUAAUUAUCCUUAUUAAUUAGAAAAUAAAAUUAUUAACUUUAAAGAUAUUAUCAACAAUUACAUUGAGAUAACAAACUAAAAAAUAAAAUUAAUAAUAUAAAAUAUUUAUUUUAGUAAUCAAUUAUUAUACUUACAAGAUAAAAAAUAUUUUAUUUAAAUGUUUAUAAAUGUACAAAUAAAUUUUAUUUAAUAUUAUAUUCAAUUUAGUCAUUUACAUUGUCAAUAGGACUUCUAAAAAUAAAUUUUCCUAAAUGUUUAACUAAUUCUCUUCAUAGUGAUUAUUUCCAAACAUAACUACCAAAAAUUACUAUAAUAGAUACAACAUUACCAAAAAAAUAUUGAGAUAGAUUUUAAUUAGGUAAUUGACUUAAUUAUGAAUCAAUUUAUUAUUUCCAUAUGUGUUAUCAAAACCAGCUCAAUAAUGAGAUCACUCUUUUUCUUAAAUAAAAAUAUUUGUGCCAAACAAUUGUUGCAAAAUUUCAAAUAUAAAUUACAAACAACAAAAUUUUUCUAAAAUCAUAACAAUAAUUUAUGUUGUGAAUACAUGUAACUAAACCACAUUGAAAUUUUAUUGUUAGUAAAAUUGUUUUUCACGCAAAUGCAGUGACGGAUUCAGUUUCAUGUUUCACCCUCAAUAACUUAAUUUUCAUAUCUAACAAAUCAUCCAUAUUAUUAACAAUAUCAUCACCAAACAUAAUCUACCUAAACAUAAACUAAACAUAACACAUACAUAUAACUAUAUACAUACCGAAUCAGGAAAACAAUGAAAGCUACACGUAUCCGGCUCUACAAUUCCUUCUUGAUACCCUUGUGCUUCUGAAAUAAUCAACCAAUUAUAAAAAUUAGCUUAGGCGCAACUUUACCCCUUUUUUGGAAAACUUAACGAUAAAUAAAGUAUACAAAUCUCUAAAUUAACUUCGUCCCCAUGAAAUUCAGCAUAAAUAGAAAUAGAAUUAUAGAAACCUUACUACCUUUUAUGAGAAAUCCAACUUAUAUAUUUGAGACCUCUCUCUCUAAACACGCGCUUCCUCUCUCUGUACACUUUCCACCUUUGAAUUUUCCUUCACUAAGUCUACCUAAAUGAAUUUAGCAUUCUUCCAGUUUCUUUAGCAUUUUUUCUCCGUGAAAAUAGGUGAAAAAGAGAAAGUGGUUUGAUUAUUUUAAUGUAUGACAGAUCUGGUUUCCAUCUCUGUAAUUUAAGUUUGUCAAACGAGAUAAUCAACUCUUUGUCGAGUCAGUCAAAUAUAAAAGACAAAUUACUAAACCAAGCAGAGCCCAAAAAAAAAAUAUUUCCAAUUAAAUAAUCAUCAAGUCUUUUUCAAUUAAAUUAGGGAGUGCAGAACAACUGUCGAGAGAUAAUCAUUGUUUAUGGAGCCAUAUUAUAUUUUCGAUUAAAAUAGUUGCGCGUGAACAAUUGGCAGAAUUCGUAUAAAUUGUUGUCAGGUCUAUUAUAAUUAACAAGCGGAAUGGCCAAUGGAUGAAGAACCACUGUAAUUUCGUUUAUGAAUUCAAAAUGCUAAAGAAACUGGACAUCAACGCUAAAUGUCAGCCUGCGGCCCUUGCCUCAGUGUCUUUCAGGCGUUACUCUGGGUAGUUGAUAUACUGACCGUCCCUUUAUCAAUUAAUAAUCGAAAUAGGUUAAAAAUAUGAAUGGAUUGAAUGGUAUGACUUGGAAUUAAAAUAUGGAAUGACGAUUAGAUUAAUUAAUUUAUUUAAAUUGAGAAAUUAGAAUCAUAAUAAAUUAUAUUGUUAUUGAUGUAUUUGUUUUAUCUUAAAAUUGCGAUGAGUUGUUACAAAUUACUAAUAUGCCUUUGAUUUUGUAUUAUGAUAAUUAUUAUUUAUUAUAACAUUUGUCAUAUAAUAAUAAUAAUAAUAACAACAACAACAAUUAAUAUUGAAAAAUUUUUAUUGUUAAUAAUAAAUAGGCAAUUAUCCACCGAUCAUGUGAUCUUUUGGACGUUUUAAAAAAUAUACAAACACUUUUUUCUUUGCAGAAAUCCACCUGAAAUUUACAAGUGUUUCAAUUGUUCACUGUUCAUCUAAAUUUUGUUAGAAUUUUCUUGACGUUGUAAGGAUAAAAUUGUUAUUUUUACCUUGACUUCCAAAGAGGAUGUCUUUCAAACAUGAUGAAAAUAAAAAAAAAGGAUAAAAAAUUAUCUGUAAACUAUCUGAUCUUUUAGCCAUUAUACAAAAUAUUAAAAAAAUAUACGAACAUUUUUUAUUUUUUUCAACAAUCCAUCUGAUAGUUAUGAAGUGCAUUAGUGCUCCACUACUAUCAUAACCCUUUAAAAAUAUCGCUUAAACACGAGAACCUAUUGCCUAAAAUUAUUUUUCAAGAAAUGUAACUACAGAUUUGGUUUUGAUCUUCAUGACUUUUAAGUGUACAAGAACAAGAUGAACGAACCUUUGUCGAGUUGAUGAAUUAAGAUAAAUCAAUUACAAAUCGAGAACAAACUUACGGGUGACAUUUUAGUAUUAAGCAAACUAUAAUUGAUCAUCCAAUGAUAGGCUUAUUUUCAAUUAAAUUAGAGUAAAGAUAGACAUUCCAAAUUUUUCUCUCAAAUUUAAUCUAGAUAAUGUGUUAUUAAUUGAGUGCUUGGUAAUUCUUUCAAGAUCUAAGUGAAUUAAUUAUAUUAUCUCUCCAACCAAUUGAUGAAUAUUAUAUUAUUUGAGAUAAUUUUUUUUUAUCUCAAAUCCCAGCAAAGAAAACAGAACAAACGGAGCAAAAAUAUUUUUAGAAACCUAAAAUAACAAAAAAAAACUUUUUCUUGUUUUUCUUAUUUUCCACUGUUAAACUUCAAAAUGAACAACUUUAUUCUACCAUCUCUCAAAUAAUAAUAAUAACAACAAUGUCAUCAUCAUCAAUAAUAAUAAUAAUAUAUUAACUUUGUAGGAUGGAGCUCUCGCAAAUCUUCAAGACACAAAAUGUGCUUGACCCCAUUGUUGUUAUUAUAAUUUCAAAAUCAUCUGUAUUAUAUAAUAUUAGGGAAUAUGACAUAGCAAAAUUGAUGGUACAUAUGUUGCAAUAUACUUGUUCAUGUGGCGACACAUUGAAGUAAAGCACAAGCAAAACAACGAAAAAUGUAACGGGAGAGCUCUCAUUAUGUAGAUUUUCAAUAGAAGUAAUGCAAAUUUCACAAGGAAUGGCCUUAUUUCGAAUGCUGCACCUGAGGAAUGACUUGAAUCUUCUUUAGAACUCAAGCAUUCUGUAAUCAUAGGGUAUAACAUUUCAACAAAAAUAUUAUAUAGGUCGUUCCUUUAUAUAUUUUCUGGGUACACAUACAGAAAUAUUAUUUUAGGUACAUUUCUCACAAUAAAGCCUGCCCAAUCUAGCAUUUUCGUAGUUGGGUUUCUUAUUUACAUGUUUUUUCCAUUGGUUAAUUAUCACAAACCUCCACUGAGAUUUAGCAUGUUUUUAGUUUGAUAGAUUGUAUUCGCGUAUUCUCAAAUACCUUUUAGUUUACCACUUCGUAUAAAUUAAGUUGGUGAGGAUAAAAUCAUAAAAGUACACAUUAAUGAUAAAAAAAUUCAAGUAAACUUGAAAUUUUCAAGGGGUAAUUUUUCGGGACCUCCCCUGAGGUUCGGUGUAUUAAAAGUCUCAUAGAAAGUAUUCAUGUAAUUAUAAGAACCUCCCCUGACGUUAGUACACAGUUAACUUGACUGUUAGUGGACUGAUAAAAAGUCAAAAAUGCCAUUGGCUACAAAAAUGAGUGCAACAAUUUGGAGUUAAAUAGUAAACACCACAUUGGAGCACUAAAAAGUCUAUAAUAAUCAUGGAAAAAAAUCAUUGACAUUUACAUAAUAUAAAAAAAAAAAGUAAAAUAUAAAUUAAGAAAAUCAACAAAAUUGUCAACGUAUAGAAUAUUUACAGCAGCAGUGGCUAUAAAUACAACCGUCGUCAAAUUAAAAUAUCACCAUUAGUAAACUACUUCAAUAAGACAAUAAACCAUGAUUCACUCUUCAAAGCAUUCAAAAUACACAACCCGCACAAUAGAAUCACAUACGCACACCUGCUAAUGAAAUAUAAGAACAAACAGGAAAUUGAACUGACAUGGCUAAGAUACUCCUUCCCCAUAGCUAUUAGAAAGAUAAUGAGCGAUUUAUGAAUCAUGAUGCUUGCUUUACUUUCUGGCAGUGUUAGCUUCAAAUUCAAUGAUAGUAAAUGAACAAUGGUUCAUUCAUUAUGAAAGUAAGUGUAAAGCUAGGAAUUUAUAAUAUUCAGAUGUUGGAAUUGGAAAAAUAUUCCUUAAUCGUUUCAAUUGAAGCCAAGGAAGAAAAGAAAUGAGUCUUCUUUUUUCAGGAGACAAGCCAUAUGAAGAAGGCAGACCAGAGCAUAAGAACGAAUGCUACUGCCACAGUAAAAGCCUGGAUCAAUGGGUAAUGGUACCUGCCAUGUCAAUUUCAAGACAAACAAAAAUCAAUUAUCAUCCCCAGACCACAACACCACCAAACCAACCUUUUGAAUCUAAAAUAACAAGUUAAUAAAUCAAAGAUUUCAAUUCAUUUAAGUUUGAAAUCAACUAAAAUAGAAAAAAAAAACCCAAUUUCUUUUUUGUUCAAUAUAACUCAUUCAGCAUCUUCUUCAACACAUUUUUUAUCAUUCUUCAUCAUCCACAACAAUAAAAAGAAAAAAAAAAACAUUGAGUCCAACAUGCAAGUUUUUUUUUUGGAAAACUAACCGUUUUUAGGUUCCAAUUUCUAGUAGUCUUAAACAGUAGCCGCCGACGAAAUUCGCUUGGCGACACCCUUUUGCCACCAUUGCAGCUUGUCAUGUUCAUACUCAGCUUAAAAUUACUUGAAGGCAGCAGGGAUUUUAUAGUUACAAAAGUUUCUUCAGAGCUUUUCAAGCUUGAAAAUGGCUGAGAGUUUCAUUUCAUGAGAGAGAAAAUGGAGUUUUCAUUCAUCUUAGAUAAAUUGAAGAUAAUUUGCAUUGUGGUAAUAAAUUGAUUGUCAGUGCCUAAAUUUGGGUCAUUCGACACAACUUGGAAUUUUUUUUAUUUUUUCUUUGAUUUUUAUUAUGAAACUACUAAUUUACCCUCAUAUACUAACAUAUAUGAAAUGGCAUACUAACGUCAGUUAUGUCAAGCAGCUCCCUGUAAUUACGUGAAUAUUUUUCAUGAGACUGUCAAUACACAAAAUCUCAGGGGAAAUCCCUAAACAUUACCUAAUUUUUAAGUUGUGUUCUGAAAUUGGUCUCAACUUUGUAAUGUGUAAUGCCCACAAAAAAAGAAAAGGAAAAAUGGUCAUCUCUUUCCUCCAUUCGAACUGAAGCCAUGAAACGCAAUAUCCCUUUCAUCUUCUCUCUAAUGCUUUGAUUAAAAAACUUGCUUACGAACGGGAGACCAUGACACUGAAUCCGAAGACAGAAAUACCUGAGAUGACUGAUUCACGCCGGCGAUGUGGAAGAAUACCGACCAGUGACUUUCGCCGUCGACCCACAAACAAUCCCAGUGUUUUCGAGCCGCGAAUGAGGUAUGAAUAAGAUUAUUUCCGUGCGUGUCAGUUUUGUAAGGAGAUUUGAUUAAAAAAAGAAUAAUGGGUCUCGAAAAUUUUUGAGUAUUUCUGUUGCUUAAAUUUUUUCCAUCGAUUAAUGUUAGUUGUAGGUGAAUGAUUGUUGCAAACGCAUGUUCGCUUGUGAUUGAUUGAAAAUGACUUGUUAUUUGUUAUGCUGCCAUGUGACUCAUUGAAAAUGCCUCUGAAAUUUUUUUAUUUGUUUAAGGUACUGAUUCUGAUUAUUGAACAGGGAUUCAUGCUAGUUUUUAUUAAAUUAAAGAUGAGAUUAUUUUUUAAGAGAUCUACCAAACCUUCUCUACUAUAGAUUUGGCUUCUGACAUACCUGGUUCGCUGGAGAUAAUUGUUUAUAUAGUCAUUGCUGCUCGUAUUAAUCAGGAACAUUGAUUAGCAAUGUACUGGAAUAGAGAUUGGUAUAAUUUUGGAAAAUUAGUCGUAGAUGCAACCUGAUUAUGGUCUCAAAUAGUGUGAUCUGUCAAUUCCGUUUGCUCUAGCCUAACAACCUUGAAUCUGAGCUAUGCCACUAUACAAAGUCCUGACCUAAUCAAGCUUGUUAGCCAAUGUCCAAAAUUGCAGUGUCUUUAGAUAAGCCCUGUCUUACUUGUUUGAGUUAUAAAUGAAAAUUGAAGUGUCUUUGGAUAAUCACGCUGAAUGUUCAAGUUAUUGAAGAGAAGGGACCCCAGAUUCAAGGCCGGAGCUCCCUGUUGAGAAGCUUUACAUAUAUGGGAUUGUCGCUGGGCGGAGGAUCGAUAUGCCCGGUUUUGUUUGGAAUAGGGAUGAAGAUUUUGCAUUGAGGCUUUCUUGAUAGAUCAUUCUGCAAAUCAAGCUCCAUGUACCUAUCUUCAGACUCUUGGAUAUGUAUAAAGCAGGUGCAUGCUCUAUAUGUUACUCAUUGUAUCACGAUUAUUUUUCUAUUGCUUAAAAUAAUUGCAGUCCUUGAUGUAGUUGGAGACAACUUAUGGAGGGUAUACAGAGGCUCGAGAGUUUGAUUGCCAUUCAUUUGACACUUGGCUGAGCUACAGCAUACCAACUAGUGAUUAAUAAAGAGAAGGUAUGAAGGUCCUGUUGCUGGUGGUAUUAUCAAUCAGAAUUGUUAUUUUACUUAGUCAUAGUUACCAUGUAUAAGAUUCGUAGACUUUUUGCAUGUUUAUGCAUUCGCAUCAUCUUUUUGUUAAGCUAGAGAUGGUUGAUUUGUGUACUCAUUUGUAUCACUUGUAGCCCUUGAGGAAUAAAAUUUAAAAUUUUGUUGCAUCUCCUGUACUAAAUACUAAUUUUGUUUGCUUUAUGUAUGGGAAAUGGUUCAUUAUCUUAUUUCUUUGAUGUGUAUAGUGUUACACUGUCUAAAGUUGAAAAGUAUUUCUAUCACUUGUGUAAAAAACAAACAAUUUUUUUUUCACUCUUCUUAUAUUGAAUAAAAGAAGGACACCAAGAUCUUCACCAAGAUUGAACGAAAUUUGAUGCAGAAAGCAUAGCAAUUAGGCCAGUGCAAAAUAGCUUCCUUCUGAUUCUCUGAUAUUUGACUUAAAUCUUUUGUUUGUUUCAUUCAUCAAAGUCAUUUUGGAAAGUAGCAGGCGUGAUUUGAUAUUUUCAUUGUAUUCACAUCCGUUGGCACCAAAACAAACAUGCUGGUACUAACCAACAAUUUUUUAUUUUUAGUGUACAAAUUAUUAUUUUUAAGACAAAUAAGCUGGUACUAACCAACAAUAUUUAUUUUCAGUAUACAAAUUAUUAUUUUUUUUUCUAAAUUAGGGGUAUUAAGAAAAGGUAUGCUAGCACCAGGGGAGGUAUUUGAAAAUAUACAAAUACAAUCUAUCAAACUGAGAAUACACCGAACCGGCAGGUUUCUGAUAAAUCCUUUUUUUCUUUUUCCUCCAUUCACUAUAGGUUCAAUUUAGACGCUGUUGACCAAACAGAAGGUUUGGGUUGGUAAACGCACUGGUGUUAAUGCCAACAACCCAAGGGGCUUCAUGGUCCUCUGGGCCGAAAUAGCGUAAUUAUUAAUUCUCCUCCAGUGAAAAUCUUCAUCUUGGGACAAAUAAUUACGAAUUGACAUUAUAGCUGUGGAAAUUUGGAGGUGUAAUAACCGGAAAAGUAAAAAUCUUAAGAGACUUUUUAAAUAAAAAAGAUACAACACCUUCAAUUUGCUAAAAGUAAUGGUAUCAUUUCUUGUACGGAUAAUGGAUGAUUAGAUUUUGUUUUUGUUAUCCGACGAAGGAUAUUCAGUUGUUCUUUAUGUGUUCACAGGCAAGAGCAUGAGCAUAUUCAUGGUUUCAUAUAUGCUUCUUGCAUUUUCUAAUUAAGUACUCUCUUUCCUUGCCUUCUUAGUUUUGAAAGAAAGAUGUGAAGCAAAGCAAACCAGUGAAAUAUACAGAGAAACAGAACCAUCAGAGGAAAAACUAAAUAACAGAACCACAAUUGAACCAAACAAAAUCAAAUAAACCGAGGCAACGGAUACCCUGAAUCAGGCAUCCCUUUUUCUCGAAAGAAAAUAUGUUUGCAUGGGUGGGAACCUAAUAAUUACUCAAGAGUUGGAGUUGGAAAGAUUUGGUAUUCAUAUCUUCACAAUUCAUAAGCUUUAAUGCAGAAUCGACAGCUUUAUAUUAAUUUAUUCAACCAAAAACGAUAAAGUAGGAAAACCACAAUAAUCCACCAACUUUUGCUACUUUUAGGAAUAAUUUUUAGUCAACUUUCAAAAAGUGAGAUGACGAUCUUUGAGUUGAUAAAUCUUGGCCUGCUGCUUAGUACCCUUCCAACAUAUAAAGUACUAGAUGUUUAGCUGAGAAAAUGACGAGAUCAUUUAUCAAAUUUCUUGCGCAUAUAUACAUAUAUAUACAAGAAAUAAGAAUCAGAGUGAUUAUAAGACCUUGCAAUGAGGCAAUAAUACAUCAUCAAAUCUAAAAAUACACAAGAAAUUCGUGACGUAUAUAACAAUAGACCUCUCAUUGAGUCAUACAUAUUGAGAAUAAAAUGUCAAAAUGCAUACAAAGAGCUUAUACAGAAAAUGAAUUUACACACAUUUAGAAUAAACUGUCUUUGAACUUCCGAUGGNNNNNNNNNNNNNNNNNNNNNNNNNNNNNNNNNNNNNNNNNNNNNNNNNNNNNNNNNNNNNNNNNNNNNNNNNNNNNNNNNNNNNNNNNNNNNNNNNNNNNNNNNNNNNNNNNNNNNNNNNNNNNNNNNNNNNNNNNNNNNNNNNNNNNNNNNNNNNNNNNNNNNNNNNNNNNNNNNNNNNNNNNNNNNNNNNNNNNNNNNNNNNNNNNNNNNNNNNNNNNNNNNNNNNNNNNNNNNNNNNNNNNNNNNNNNNNNNNNNNNNNNNNNNNNNNNNNNNNNNNNNNNNNNNNNNNNNNNNNNNNNNNNNNNNNNNNNNNNNNNNNNNNNNNNNNNNNNNNNNNNNNNNNNNNNNNNNNNNNNNNNNNNNNNNNNNNNNNNNNNNNNNNNNNNNNNNNNNNNNNNNNNNNNNNNNNNNNNNNNNNNNNNNNNNNNNNNNNNNNNNNNNNNNNNNNNNNNNNNNNNNNNNNNNNNNNNNNNNNNNNNNNNNNNNNNNNNNNNNNNNNNNNNNNNNNNNNNNNNNNNNNNNNNNNNNNNNNNNNNNNNNNNNNNNNNNNNNNNNNNNNNNNNNNNNNNNNNNNNNNNNNNNNNNNNNNNNNNNNNNNNNNNNNNNNNNNNNNNNNNNNNNNNNNNNNNNNNNNNNNNNNNNNNNNNNNNNNNNNNNNNNNNNNNNNNNNNNNNNNNNNNNNNNNNNNNNNNNNNNNNNNNNNNNNNNNNNNNNNNNNNNNNNNNNNNNNNNNNNNNNNNNNNNNNNNNNNNNNNNNNNNNNNNNNNNNNNNNNNNNNNNNNNNNNNNNNNNNNNNNNNNNNNNNNNNNNNNNNNNNNNNNNNNNNNNNNNNNNNNNNNNNNNNNNNNNNNNNNNNNNNNNNNNNNNNNNNNNNNNNNNNNNNNNNNNNNNNNNNNNNNNNNNNNNNNNNNNNNNNNNNNNNNNNNNNNNNNNNNNNNNNNNNNNNNNNNNNNNNNNNNNNNNNNNNNNNNNNNNNNNNNNNNNNNNNNNNNNNNNNNNNNNNNNNNNNNNNNNNNNNNNNNNNNNNNNNNNNNNNNNNNNNNNNNNNNNNNNNNNNNNNNNNNNNNNNNNNNNNNNNNNNNNNNNNNNNNNNNNNNNNNNNNNNNNNNNNNNNNNNNNNNNNNNNNNNNNNNNNNNNNNNNNNNNNNNNNNNNNNNNNNNNNNNNNNNNNNNNNNNNNNNNNNNNNNNNNNNNNNNNNNNNNNNNNNNNNNNNNNNNNNNNNNNNNNNNNNNNNNNNNNNNNNNNNNNNNNNNNNNNNNNNNNNNNNNNNNNNNNNNNNNNNNNNNNNNNNNNNNNNNNNNNNNNNNNNNNNNNNNNNNNNNNNNNNNNNNNNNNNNNNNNNNNNNNNNNNNNNNNNNNNNNNNNNNNNNNNNNNNNNNNNNNNNNNNNNNNNNNNNNNNNNNNNNNNNNNNNNNNNNNNNNNNNNNNNNNNNNNNNNNNNNNNNNNNNNNNNNNNNNNNNNNNNNNNNNNNNNNNNNNNNNNNNNNNNNNNNNNNNNNNNNNNNNNNNNNNNNNNNNNNNNNNNNNNNNNNNNNNNNNNNNNNNNNNNNNNNNNNNNNNNNNNNNNNNNNNNNNNNNNNNNNNNNNNNNNNNNNNNNNNNNNNNNNNNNNNNNNNNNNNNNNNNNNNNNNNNNNNNNNNNNNNNNNNNNNNNNNNNNNNNNNNNNNNNNNNNNNNNNNNNNNNNNNNNNNNNNNNNNNNNNNNNNNNNNNNNNNNNNNNNNNNNNNNNNNNNNNNNNNNNNNACAAUUUUGUUAUGCCCCAAACCGUUGGGAGAAACAUGACGCCCCACGUUUACCCACGAUUCGGUGGUUGGAGACCCAUGAAGGUUUGUCAUCACCCGAAAAUGAGGGGCAUGAAUAAGACUCAGAAAACAGGGAUGAUUGCCUAUAAAAGGCCAAGAAAUCGAUGAAAAAUGGGAGACACAAAUUGAGAGUAAAGGGGAAACUCUGUCAAAUUAUAAUCAGAAAUUCAUAUAUCCAAAUCCUUGAUACAUUUGGUAUUGAGAAUAUUGCAACUAAUAUGUACAACACAAAUCAUUCACUUUUCUCGUAAACACCUUGUACUAACUUAAGUAUCGAAGGGUUUAUGCCCAAAAAACCAUCGGCGUCUCUGAUUUGUUUCUGUGAACGCAGGCCUGGAAGGAAGAAGACGGGUGAUUUGGGUCCAGAAGCUCGGGAAAUUGCUGAAGCUAAUGGAUCGCAGCCUCUGUUCCUUUGCCAAUACAAGCGUUGGUGAACCAAUCUGGUCGGUCCAAAGGCGACUAGAUUUCAGCAUCAACAGAUAUUAUUUUGAUGAAUUUUUUAAUAUUAGAAUAAUGUUAGGAAUUCCAAUAAUAAAAUUCUAACUUGAGACCCAAUUGUUAUGUGUUAUUUUUUAUUGAAUAAUGAAUUUCACAACUAAUAAAAUUUAUAUUUCCAUCAUCUAAUAAAUGACUACCAUAUCAGUUGGGACUCAAUUAUUAGGAUCCUUAACAUUGCUCUUAGUAUUAAAUUGGACAUCUUAGCUAAAUCAGAUUAAAAAUCAAAUUAGUUUUUAGGCUUUUAUUCAACAUCUCUUUUUUUUUUUUUUUUGUCUAUUGGAAGUGAACGAAUAAAAAUACAACAGGGUCAACGACUGGGCAAUUGGUAGUCAAGUAGAAGCAAAUCAAGGCUAAAUGGGAAAGAGAAAUGAUAUUUGUGCAAAAUAAGGAGAAAAUCAGUGUAACAGAAGAGAAUCAAAGUGCUUUUGAGAUAAAAAAUUGAAACAAGAAAAGGGUCGCUUGAUCCAAUGAAAAUGCAAAGAGCUGAUGGCAAAAGGGAACAAAGUUAAAUAAGAAAACAGCUAGCGCUAGCAGCGACCACAAUAAACAGAAAAUUUGAGAUGGAUUUACAAUAUUUCUGCCUUUCUUUAUGCUUUAAAAAUAUUGCUCUAUCAAAAAAAAAAUAUUGAACAUUUUUAUUAUUGGAGUCACAAAUGACCUACACAAUAUAGCAAGUGACUAGGAAUAAUAAGAAUAUAUAACUCUCUCUAAUUCUCACUCUGGCUUUUAAUUGUCACUCAAAACCCAGAAUUCAUCCUUAAAGUGUAGGCAAAUCAAGGAUGACACCGUUUGGUUGUCAUACGUGCCUUUUAGUUUUCGGAUGACAUGGCGUACACUUCUUCUGUAAACCCAACAAGACAUGUCGUACUCUUUUGUUUUGAGAUUCUAUUUCAAACUUUUCAUGCUAUGAAUGAAAGAUAAACUCCAAUCAUCAAAAUAUUUAGUGUUUGGUAAUGUAAUGUCAUAGUUGUGAAUUGAAAUUAUUUCUAUAAAAAUAAAGGAUUUGGGUCAUUGUUUGUUAUUUUCUGACAACAUUUAUUAAAUAUUAAAAAUAAAUUUAUAUUUAUUAGGUAUUAAAAAUAAAUAAACAAACAAAAAUAAAAGUAAAAGUUUAUACAUUACGUAAAAAUAAUGACAAUAUCAAUAUUUCGCACUCUAUAAUGAGUGAUGUGUGUCCAACUGGCAUACAUUGUCCCAAACGGAGACUUAAAUAUCAAAGUCCAAAGUUAUUAUGAUGAUGACUUAUAAUCGCCAAACUUGACAUACGGGUAAUCAUGCAUUAUAAGGUGCUAAUUUCUUCCGAUCGGAACCUUAUUUUCAUUUACAAAUAAAUAAAUGAUGUGACUUCACGGUUGGCGGGGUCCUUUGUGUCAUUUGGGCAUUUCACUAAAUGAUUGAUUGUAGCAGGAAGAUUCCUGGAAGUUGCCAUUUGCCAAUGCUACUAACAUUUUCAAACUUGGAAAACCCUUCAAUCAAUCUUUAGUGGAGGCUCUGGUAACUUGGUUUGAUUAUGACGUUAAUAUUUGAUAAUAAAGUUAGAGGAUGUAUUAAUAUAAAAUUUGUUUAUUGGUGUUGAAGUUAAUUAUCUCAUUAAUUAUAGUAUAAAAAGUUAAUUACUAAGAAACACAUAGCAAUAGUUAAUGGUGUCAUAUUAUUGGGAUUCUGGGAUACAAUUUAUAUCAUAACUUGUAAGUGUAUACUUACUCAUCAAACUAAUAAAAUUAUUUAAAAAUUUCAGUUGGAAAAAUAAAUUAUAUUAUUUUCAUUUCAAAUAAUCUAUAAGUUAACUCAAAACAUAAUCAAGCUGAGAAUUAAAAUAAUGCUACUGUAUGAGAGGAUUUUUAUUUUUUCCCGGAAGUUUCACUAGGAAAUUAUUGAUACAUAGCUUAUUCGGAUCAUUCUCAGUUCAAACGACAAAUAAUUGAAAGACUAAGCUAAAUAGACCAGCCAACAACUUUGUACAAGAGAGUUCAAAAAUUAAGGUCAUGGUAUUAAGGUGUUCUAUCUUGAAAAGUAUAGAGUAGUAAUAAAAUAAAAACUAAUAUUUUUGGUAAGAUAUGACAUUUAAAUAAUAAUUUCACAAAAUACAAAGGAAUAUUUAUAAAUUACUUUUAUAGUGAGGGGACCUCACUCUGUUAAAGUGAAAAUAUCAAUAAUAUACAAAAGACAUAUAUUUUAACACAUUAAAAAUUGUAUUUUUUUUAUCUAUUGUUAUUGAAAUAUGUGUUAUUUAGUUUGUUAGUGAUAUCAUUACUUUGUUAAAAUGAGAAUGUCGUUACUAGAGAAUCAUUAUGUAUACAUAUAUAAAGUGCUUCUGUCCAAGAACUAGACUUUAUUAAAAUUUGAGAAAGCAAAUAUAUUUUAUAUGGUAUAAUAGUGUAAUAACAUCACACUAUUAUAUCAUAUAGAGUAAUAGUUUUUCGAACUUUAAUAAAAUUCAAGAUUAUAGAAUGAAUGAUUUUUAUAUAUUAUAAAUUUUUUUAUCAUAAAUGGAGGACAAAAUUAACAUAUUUCAAAUUAUAAUAAGCAUUUAUCAAAUAAUUUAACAUUGCAAUUUCUCCUAACUAGUAUAGUAAAUAAUACGACCUAGGAGAUACAUUCAAAGCAUUUCAUAAGUUAGUUGUUUAAUAAUAAAUUAUAUAUGCAGCUCCAAUCAUCAUUGUACGGUGAGUAAUUUCCAGUUAUAAAUAGAUAUUACUCCCUUCCCAGCAAUUUUUGAUGACUUAAUUUAGUGGAUCAAAAUCACAUUGAAUUUUUGACCAGCUGCACAACUUGUGAGCAGUUCACAGUGGGUACUGCACAUGAUGCCUGUUUCUCCUUUUGCAUCUAUUUUGUUGUUAACAUUAAUUUCAAUAGCAGCUCGUUAAUCCCAUUUGUUGAUUUGGGACUAGAUAAGAAUUUAUCUUGGAACUCCAAUUCUCCAAUUAUUUUAGUUGACAAUAUAUUUAACAUUAUUAAUUGCAUAUUAUUUAAUUAUCAGUAUAUAAUAUUCUUUAAUUUUCUAAUUUUAUAGGAUUAGACACAAAAUUGAUUAUGCCUUUUGAAAUUUAAGGGUUAUGUCAAUUGAAUAGAAAACUUGGAGGUAAACUUGUGGAUGUUUUGUUGAUUAUCAAUUUAUGCAUGAAUUUUUGUACGUUUACUUUGGUUUAUAAUUAUUACUUUUAAACAUUUUUAUUGGUUUGAUUUAGGGUCAAUUUGGUAAUCCUGUAGCUUUUAAAAUAAUUACAAUUAGCUAUGCUGUAGAAAAUUGAUCAAUCGUCAAGAGAAUCAGCUGAGCAUUUAGUAAAAUUUAUUUUUUAAAAGUACUUUUAGUUUUAAAAGCGUUGUAUGAAUAAAACUGUUACACUAAAAAUUAAAUGUAUUGCCACUUGGGUAAAUAAAGCUAUAUAUUACAACUGUUACACUAAAAAUUAAAUGUAUCUUAAACCCAAACUUCUUCUUCUUCUUUUUUUGACUAACAAAAUUAAAAACAAUAGUGAACACAUUCUUUAAUAAACAAUAAGUAAUAAAUAAAAUCGUGUUAAAUUUCUUAAAAACUUUCUUUCACGGUUUGCUAAAUAUUUUUAUUAGUAUUUUAAAUAAAUAAAAUAGUUGAUUUAAUUUUUUAAAUAAACUUAUUAGGUUCAUGUAAAGAUGUUUUUGUUAUUUUAAAAAGUGUAGAAAGUACUCCUAAAAAAAAGCGUAGAAAGUAAAACUUAAUUUUUUAAAUUUAUUAGCUGAGUGCAUAAAUAAUUGAGUGUUCAUAAUGAUUUUAAAGUAUAGAUAGUCGGACCCUAAUAUUUUUAAUAAAUGGAAAUUUUGCUAAUAUGUUAAUGAGAAUUAAAAAGAUAAUUAAGGGAGGCAAUCGAGACAUUCAGGAUAGUUAGGAUGGGACAUGAUUGUGAGCGGUUAGAUAUUGGUCCUAAUUUUGAUCACAAAUAUAUAAACAGGACGAGUUUAUCUCUACUUACAUUCCAUUUGAUAAUUUAAGAUGAGAGUGGAAUUGUCAAAUCCCAAUCAUCCCGGACCACUGCCACAAGGGGUACUCUCACUAAUAAUAUCUAAAGAAAAAUCUACAUCUAUUUCAUACUUUUUUUUAAUGGAAAGAGCCCUCAUGGGGCUUGAAUGGUAUCCUAAAUAAUAUUGAGAAUAUCAGGUCAUGAUUGGGUUUGUGACAAACAAAUACUACAUAGUUGGGAUACGUAGUUAUAAUGUCCCAAUUUAUGUAGUAUCUAUCAUUUAGCGCACAUAUAAAAUAUUAAUCAGCUUAAUUAAUUUAUAAAAUUUAAAUCUAAUUAAUAAGUGAUACAUAAUGCCAAGUGCAAUACUGUAUAUGCAAAUCAUGUUUGUGGAUCAUUACAAAAUUGGCUCUUGAAAACAAGCAAGAAAGCUUAAUUAAGAACUUAAAACAAAAGAAUUAGAUUGAGAACAGUCAAGCCUUAUUUUUUCAAGGAUGGAGCUUAUAAAUCUUCAAGUACCAACAUACGCUUGGCCCAAUUGUUGUUAUUAAAAUUUCAAUAUACAUAUAUAAGUAUGAUAUAGCAAAAAUUUGAUGGUACAUAUGUCGGAAUAUACUAGUUCAUGGGUGCAUUUGAUUAUUGUUUCCAUAAUUUUGAACCAGGAAGGACGACACGAUUAAAAUUUGAUUUUAUGGUAUGGUUGAUUUCAUAGCUCAUGCACUCAUUUCUUAAGAUAAUCAAAUUUUCUCUGACAUCUUUUUCAACUGUCGAAAUAUCAAUUAUGAUCAAUCAAAACGAUUUCAAAACCUUUCAACGAGACAUAUUUCUAAUACAAUAUUGUGAAAAUUACACUAAAAAAUUAAUUUAUUAUAUAUUAUUAUCCAACGAGCACACAAAAUGAUUUCGUACAAAUCUAAAAUACUAAGCAAUUUUCAAAUAGAAUUUACCAUGUACUACAAGAAAAUAGGGUAUAUGUGACCCCUACUGUGAAUGCAAAAGCAGCCAUUACGCAUAACCCCGAGUUGCUUUUGUUACCCUUUAUGUGACGGCCACACUGCUGUCACAUAUGUUACGAACCGCGUGACGGUGAAGAGCCGUUCGGUUAUACUAAUAUUUUAGAAUUUUAAAUUUAUUUCCAGUUAGAAAACUAUUCGCUGGACUCCGUGUUGCUGGCCACCAUCGUAAACAUAACUGGUUGCCAGCGAACGGCGUAAAACGCCGGCCAUCUUCUUCUUCAACGUAUUCUCCCUUCAUCUUUUGAGGUAAGCUUGUGAUUAUGAGUUUCUUCUCUUACUUAGCUUGUAAUUAUAGAUUUUGAUUUUUUUUAAUUCGUAUUGUAGCCGUUAUUGUCAAUUUUUGUCCCGCCAGCAAUAUUUUUUUAUUCCUACAAGUUGAACCCCUGUGUUCUUGUUCCAUUGGUGAGUUUGCUCACUCAAAUUAAUUUUGUUCUGCGGAAUUUACAAAGUUCAAAUGGAUUCAUUUGAAUUACUAUUGAAUUUAGCUUUAAUUCCAACAUCCAUUCUAAUGUUUUGCAAUUAGAUUUAAUUUAAUUUUAUGUUUAAAGCUUCUACAAUGAAUAGCGGAGCUUGGGUUUUAGUUUCAUUUUCUGGAUAACUUGUUUUAGUUUAUCUUGUAUGCUCACCAAAUGCUUGUUAUAUUGUCUGAUAAGUUAUAUACAUUGCUGAUUCUACAUUAAUAAUGUUACGUUGUAUUUUCAGAAAUUAUAAUACAAAAGUUUUUGCAAUGGCGUGCAUCUACAAACUGAAUUGACUUGUAGAAUAAGAGCUCGGAGUAGUGUUAUGUUCUUGAAUAAUUGAAAGUUCAUAUUGUGUAAGAGCAUGUAGAUGUAAAGCAUCAUUACCAUUUCUACAAAGUGCUUUCAUUCUGUUCAUAUGCUCUUCUUGAACUUUGAAAGGUGCCUCGUUCAAGUCCUAGCUAUAACUACUAGCUUUGAUUAAUUAAGUUCCUAUACUAGCUGAAACAGAUUUAUUUAAUUAAUUAAUUGUGUAUGUACUAAUUAUAUUGAAAGUAUAUGAAUUUUUUUUUAACAUGAAUGACUUCUAAAUGACUUAAAAACCUAAAGGAUGUGUGAAACAAUGCUCAUUUCAUUUGAAUGAGCCCAUUAAUACUUUUAUGUCUAUGAUUUUCAAUAUUGGCUAAAGCAUUUCAGUUAAGUGGUUUACCUAACAGAGAAAAAAAUUUAAUAGAAAACUUCAGAGUUCUAACAGAAAUAUAGUUCACUAUGCAGAUAUAGUUAUUUUACGGUAUACAAAUCAAGUUGUCCUAAUCUCAAUGUCCUAUGACCGAUUUUAUUUUAUAUAGUCAUUAAUUUUUUCCUUGGUUUUUUGUGUUUAUGAGUAUGAAAUAGUGGGAUUUGGUGUACCUUAGCAUCUUUUGAAAAUUCUCUUUCAGUGUGGCCAACAGAAAUAUACAUAUAAUCAAGUUUCUUAAUCGUGUAUAUUAGUUUUGGGUAUGAAUGUUCCUAUUCUAGUUCGAGGCAAAGCUUCUUCGUUUUGGUCUUCAGAUUUCCAGUAGGUUAAGUUAAUCAACUAUCAUAACUGGCUAGCUAGUUAUUGUCUGCCUUGGCGCCAUUACCCAGGCCAUUAUAUUGCAUAGCAUAAGGAAUAGUGAUUAGGGGAUUAUUAGUGAUUUGUUGAGCUUAUUAUCGACCAAACAAACAUAUUCGCCUUUGCCCACAACUUAGUUUGAUUAGUUAUUAGACCAUAAAGAGCCUUGAUCUAUUCAUUGGCUUUAUUAUUUUUAUUUGGUUUUUCUUUCAACAAUAUUGUUGAUUUCUUAUAAAAAUAUUCAUUGGUUUUUAAAACACCUAAUCAUUGGCUAUAUGAAGCUAAUUAAAACUGAGGCUUUGGAUCAAUUUCUUCUAACAAGAUACAAAUGAGCAUUAACCUAUCUCCUAUGAGUAAAUUUUUUUAAUAUCCUUGAUUUGUAAGGAUCUGGAGGCCUGAAAUCCUCUAGAUUUUUUUUAACACUGUCAAUGUUCUUUUUAUUCUGAGAAGGAAAUAAAAGGUUUUAUCUUUCAUACCCAAAUAGUAAGCUGGCCUUGUCUUAACAUGGCCUCCGAGGACUUGCAAGAUUCAUAGUGCCCCCCACCCCAAAAAAUAAAAAAUAAAAAACACAAAUAGGAAGAUUUUGCAAGAUUCACCACCAGGUUUUUUUUUAAUUUGUUAAUUGUGUGUACGUGCUAGUUAUAUGUUGAAAGAAUAGGAAGAAGUAUUUCAACAUGAAUGACUUAAAACUUAUUGCUCAGUAAACAUAAUCUGCAUGUAUUUAUCGUUUGUAUUUUUUAUGGUUUUGCUAAAGAAAUGAUAUGUGAAAUAAUGCUACAUUGCAUCAGGAAUAAAUUGAAGAGAUUUAUGAUAUUUAUGUGUUAUUCAAAUUUCAGAUUCAAUUUUAAACUUUUGAUACGUGCAUUGAAAGCUUAGACUUGUUUAAGAAAUUAUUAAUAGACACAUGUUUUUAUUAGUGUCAUCUUUGGAUGAUAGUGAGGAUCAUAUGUCUAUUAAUAAUUCUUGAAUUGUCCAGGCUUGGACAGUUUGGGAAUGCAUAGUUCACUCUGGUAGCUAGUAGCUGAAGUUUUUUCCCACGUAAAAAUGGGUUUUUCAGUAGCUGCUCCUCGUGUUCUCUGGGUACGUACUAGGUGAAUGGGUGUCAUGUGUUGUUUUGGCAUAACGCAUAAACACUUAUAUAGCUAUGUCGUGUGCUUGGAGAAUUAUAGGGAGAUGGUGCCGAAAUUUUUAUAAACGUGGAAGAAAACUUUAGGUACUUGAGAUUGAAGAAACUUAUGCAUUCUUGAGUGGGAUAUGUAGGAUUACUUACCUUUUGUAAAUAUGAAGGGAAUGUUGGAUAUAUUGGGGAUAGUGUAGGAGCUGAGUUGGAUGAAUGUAAUUGGUGAUGAUUUUGCUGAGCUGACCUUGGUUUUGAGCUUGUAAUUUGUUGUAAAUGGAGUGCUAUCUCCAAUGUUGGUUUAUAAAUAUGUUUCAGGACUUGCUGACCUAAUUUUUUGUUUCUAGGUUACAGGCUUUAUAUAUCUGUAAUUGAUGGCGAAGUGAAGUUCCCAGAACUUGGCGAGGAUGUUUCUUUACAGAAGGUAUUGGAAACUGUUUUUUACAUUAAUUAUUGUUGUAUAUAUACUUUGAUUUUCACAUCUUUUUCUCUGAUUCUUGUGGCUUUGCUUGCUUUCAUAUAUGUAAAUUCUAAUGAAAUUAACCAUAAAAUUGUAAAAUGAUCUUUUUAUUAUAUUGCAAAACUGUGCACACACGAAAAUAUAUUGUUUAGUAGUAGAAAUGAAGAACUAAAAUGAUUUACUUAACUAAUUUUUGUAGCGCAUUAAAAGGAGAUAGUCAUGGACAUGUGUUGGGUUGGUUUGCCAAAUAGAUAUCCAAGUCAUAUACUGAUGGGGAUGAAAAAUUUAUAGAUUUUGCAUUUGAGAAUGUUGUUGGUGGUACAAGAAUUUAAUGUCCUUUUAAGAAGUGUUGUAAUCUAUAUUUCGUUAUAAGGAAAGUGGCUGAUGAUGAUAUGGUUGGAAUGAUACAAUGCAUCACGUAAUCAAAUGUUCAAGUUACACGGAGCAUUGUUAUGGACUAUCAGUGACUUUCUAGCAUUGCCAACUUGUCUGGGUGGAGUAUUAAAGGUAAAUAAGCAUGUCUUGUUUGCCAACAAAACACUAGAUCUAAUUGGUUGAUACAUAGUAGAAAAUUUUGUCACGUGGGUCACCGUCGAUUUUUACCAACAAAUCAUAGGUUUCGAAAAUAUAGUGUCUUUUGAUAAAACUAGAGAGUAGGGACCAGCACAUUCUCGGUUGUCUGGAUCUGAAGUGAAAAAGCAGUUUAAUAUACUUACUGAGUAUAAGAUUGAAGACUUGAAAAUAGGAGAAUGAAUAAAAUGAGAGAAAUGAUAAGAUUACUUGGAAGAAGAAAAGCAUAUUUUAUGAACUACCGUGUUGGGAGUUCAAUUUGAUUCAUCAUAAUCUUGAUCUCAUGGGCUGUUUUGAUUUUUGUUAUGAACUCAGAUCAAAAGUUUAAUGUGAUCAAAAUUUCUUAAAAAUAGUGAAAAACGACUCCUAAUAAUAUGGAAGAUGGCUAUAAAAGAUAAAAGGAAAGGCUUAAAAAGAAAAGCCAUGCCUGUCCAAAAAAAAAAAAAAAUCAACAAAAAUCAAAACGGUGCGUUUGAGAGUGUAUAAAAUACAUUUAGAGUGGGAGUUGUGUUGUUGCUUGAAGGCAGAAAGAUAUUUGUCGACGAAGCCAAAACCAAAGAUGAAGCCCAUAAAGCUCAAAACUCCACCGGAGCAAAUUCAGACAAUUACGAGGGUUAUGUUUGACAUAGUCAAGGAAGACGGUCCUCUCACCGUUGCCGAAACUUGGGAACGCGUCAAGGUGUGUGUAUCUGUUAAAUUGAAUUUCAACCGUUUGAUCUGUAAUUAUAAUUAAUCCAAUCGAUCUGACAGUGAUCACUGACCAUAAUACUAGUAGUUGUUUUACAUUUUCAGCAGGCUAGAGCGGGUGGAUUGACGGGCAAAAGCUCAGGCUCGUCUGCAAUCACAUGGGCCCUCAUAAGCAAAUCCUGUACACAACUUGGUUCACUAAACCCAACAACUUGAAGCAGCCAAAAUCAGGGAAUGAUCCUUCUCCGUCACAACCCUAGCUGCCUUAACCUUGUAGUGACACGGUGAAGAUGGAAGCCCCUCAGCAUGUAAACUUUUCAACAGCGACAGAGCUCUUAUUCCAGAGGCUGCACAGAAGAGCGACCUGAAUCCUCUUCAAAACUUUCAAAUUUUUAUCAAGUAAAGCUUUCAAAAUUUCUCAACAAACUGAUUAUUUGGUGUGGUUGCCACAUUUUGUGCAACUGCUAUUCGUCUUCAAGUACAAAUUCCUUGCCUUCUAAGUUAGGGAACAUAGAUGUGGAGCAAACAGGGAAAUAGAUGUGGAGCAAACAGGGAAACAGCAAUGAUGGCAAUUAACAAACUAAUAGCAGUAUUACAUUUGAUUCUUUAGCCCAAUUUUGUUCCUUCUGUCAGCCAUUCUUCAAAAGUUUUUGAAAAUUAGAUGUGAAGCAAAAAAAAAACAAAUUUAGACAACAGAAGCCCUGUGCUCAACAUCAUAUAUAUACCUUGAAUACCUAAUAUACUAAAUUUCACAUAUAAAAUACUAGAGAUUUCAAACAGUACCAGCAAUAGAAUAAUGACAACGACAACAAUAACAGAAAAUUACAAGAUUGCUGACAAAAUUUAUGUGAUUUACUGUGCCUUUAUGCAUGCAAAAUGAAACUGAAGAUAAAAAAUUUAGGGAAAAGGACACAGAGACCCCCAACGUUUGAAUAAGGGACACAAAAUCCCUUAAUGUUUCAAAAAAGACACUCAGACCCCCAUUUGUUAACAUUAAAUUAUAAUUUUACCAUUGUACCCUUAUAGCAUAUUAAAAAAUAAUUAUUCAUUAUCCAAUUUAUUUCUAUAUUAUUAAUAAAAUUACGAAUAUAACUUCAUUACUCAAUUUUUCCAUUUAAUUUUUAUCAAAUUUUAUCUUCAAACUAAAUAAAUUUAAUCCAUUGCUCAAAAAUAAAAAUAAAUUAAAUUGAUUAUUAAUAUAAUAAAAAUAACAAUUCUCCAUAUGUUAUUUCUUAUAAUUUCUUAUAUAUAAAUUAAAUUGAUAAUUUCUUAAAAAUAACAAUUCUCCAUAUAUAAAUUAAAUUUAUUUUAAUUUAAUAUAUGUUAUUUUUAUAUUAAAUAUAUGUUAUUUUUAUUAUAUUAGUAAUCAAUUUAAUUUAUUUUUAUUCUUGAGUAAUGGAUUAAAUUUAUUUAGUUUGAAGAGAAAAUUUGACAAAAAUUAAAUGGAAAAAUUGGAUAAUGAAGUUAUAUUCGUAAUUUUAUUAAUAAUAUAGGAAUAAAUUGAACAAUGAACAAUUAUUUUUUAAUAUGCUAUGAGGGUAUAAUGGUAAAAUUAUAAUUUACUGUUAACAAAUGGGGGUCUCAGUGUUUUUUUUGAAACAUUAGGGGGUUUUGUGUCCCUUAUUCAAACGUUGGGGGUCUCUGUGUCCUUUUCCCAAAAAUUUAUAAACUAGAAAUUUAUAAUAAUCUAACUUAUUCUCGUUACUAUUAAAAAAUAAGUAAACAUAUCAAUAACAAUAUAGUUUAUUAUGAUUAUAAUUCAUUCAAUUAAAAUAAAUAAUUUAUUCUUAUUUCUAUUCUCUAUUCUAAUUUCAGUAAAUUUUGAUUUUAGUUUAUUUUAAUUAUUGAUUAGUUGUAAACUUAACUGGAAAUUUAUUGCAUAUAUUACGAGAAGCAGUACACACCAAUGGUAAAUUGAUACAUCGUUUUUGAGCUUAAGAUAGUCAAAUGAAAGAAACACAACGUAGGGUUCAUGAAACACUUUCAAAGCUGCUGAUGACUUAAAGUGAAUAACCUCAGCAUGUAAACUUAACUUCAAAGGACGGAGCACAAGUUUCACAGAAAAACAGCUCUUAUUUCUGAUGCUGCGAACACAGAGGAGUGACCUCAAUCUUCUUCAUCACUUGGGAAUUCUGCAAUUAUAGAGCACGACAUUGAGCAUGAACUAGAAAAAAUAUUUAUUUUCUACAAUUUUCAUAUAACCUCACUAACCAAGAUUAAUUUUGUGGUAAUGUAUUGGGUCAUUAAUUCAUAUGUUUUUACUGUCAUCACUUUAGAAAAAACUAAUUUCUCAAUGUGAAAUGGCCCAUAAAAGGUAUUCUCAUUUAAAAACUAAAUUUGACAAACCCCUCGAUUAAAGCAGGGGAGAGAAAAGAAAAAAAAAAAGAUCUGAAGGCUUUCCACAUGAAAAUGUUGUCACUUUGGAUGAUAUUUUCAAGGGAUUUCAUUCUAAAAAUAAAAUACCUGGGACCUUAUUCUUCAAAUUGACAGCUCGCCCAGUACUAAACGCGUAUGAGAUCAGUACUGGGACAAGUAACGAGACGACCCCUCCAACAGCUGAAAAUAAAAUUCGCAUUCAUCAAUUUAAAUUGAAAUUCAUAUUAUGAAAUUAAAACUAAUGAUUAAUGAAUUUUCAAGGAAUUUAAUAAGAUUCUCAUAUAUAAACGUGAUAAAAAAUUCACUCAUCAAUAACAAAUAUUCUAACAUUUUGUUGAUGUAAUUGUUGUAUGGUUGUGUUAAGGUCAUUAUUAGACCAACGCAGUUUGUCAUCACUCAUUCCGUACCAGACGUUUACUCUCGGAGGCGUGAUUGAUUCUCCUUUGGUGAAAUCUUCAUCUUCGGACAACCAAUCACAGUAAGAUAUUCCAAAGAUGGGAAUUUGAAGGCGUAAUUGCCAGAGGAGAAGCUUGUGAGACUAUCUAAAUCAAACAGGGACAACGUAGUCAGUUUGCUGAAAACAAUCUCUUCUUUUAAAUAUGCUGUUUCAUUUCAAGACUGGCAAAAUUCAUUGUGUAAUCAAAGUUUUCAAUGAUCCAACUAAUAUAUAUAUAUAUGUAUGUAUAUUCCUUCUCUAGUGCAGACAUUCUCAUUUUUUUUUUUCAUGUGGACCAGUUUUUAGAUCCCCUGGUUUAAAAGAGUUAGUUUUUAACUCUUUAAAACCGCAUGGCUUCAUAAUUUAUUUAAAAACUAACUCUCUUAAACCGCACGGUUUAAAAGCGUGUCCACAUUAAAAAAAAAUACGGACCCCCACACCUGAGAAUGAUUAUAUAUAUAUAUAUAUAUAUAUAUAGACACACGCUCUUAAACCGUGGGAUUUGAAAGCUUCUCCGCAUGAAGAAAGUAAAAAAUAAGGGCAUUCCCACUAGAAACAAACUCCAUAUAGGUAUUUAUUAAACCUCCUGAUCUGUGAGUGAGGAACAACAAAUAUAAUUGAUAAAAAAAAUCUAAAAUUUGGUUUCAUACCUUCUUGAACGAGAACAGGGGUUGUUGUGCCGGAAUACCAAAUUGAUCAUUCUCGUUAUUCUGGGACAACGUUAUUUUAUCACAAUUACAGGCCUCCAAUGUUUUUUAGUGCUGGCCAUUCUGAAGUAUGCAUUCCAGGGUAUAAACAUCCGAGUUCUGGUAGACCUUCGAGAUUCAGAGUGGUCACUUGUGGAAAGACAAAAUAUGGGGUCACUUGAUCUGCUCUGUCUUUGGAGAUGAUCUCUUGUAAACCCAUACAUAUCCGUAUCUCCAGGUGUUGGAGGUGCUCAAGGCUUUGGAUCAUAGAAGCUGAAAAUAUGUAUUUUAAUUUGUCACAGCCCCACACUAUCAAUCGUGUCAAACUUUGAAAGCCGCAAGUUGAUUGUCAUGCAAAAUCUCGUCGACAUUAAUAGCAUUCAGCUCCAAAGCCUCCAAAUUUGGCAACACUACCUGAAGAUAAUUUUCUCUUUAGAUCCAAUAUCCGUAUGGAAAGCACUUGUUUUGACACAAUAUCCAUAUAAGAAGCACUUAAUUAAGAGCUUAAUUAGCGAGUGUAUGAGACUUUUUUUUUUUCAAAUGCCAGUGCAUGAUAGAACUAAAAAAAAAAAAGAAGCAUUAGCCUACGUACCUUCUCGUUGAAAAGCAGAGUUGACGUUUCCGAACUGAUCUCGUUGGAACUGGCUGUCAAUUCCUCUUGCGACUCUUGUCUGUUUGGUGAUGUGGAAGAAGUCUUCACUUCACCGCAAAACCUUGUAACCUUUGGAAGCUUUCCCAGACUCAAAGAUCUUAAUUGACCAAACUCUAUCUUCCCAUCAACAUCAACAUCAGCUUCUCCUCCAGUUGCAAAAAUCUCUUCCAUGCUGCUGCAAUUGAUAACUGCAAUCCUCUCCAGUCUUGGAAGGCAUUUUGUACUACUAGAGAGCCAGAAGAUAUUACUCAACUCAUCACAAUUUUCUACUUUUAUGGUUUUGAGUUCAUUGAAGGACUCUAUUUUGAGUCGAUCAAUACAUAUCCUCUCCAUAUUGAUCAAAUUUUGAAGAGUAUGGGACUCCAAAAGAGGAAAGGCGACACAUGGUUCUCUCUCCAUUGAAUCGACGAUACACAGGAAGUCUGGAUUAUUUUGAACAUGGAGAUGCUUCAAUUGUGAAAAGCCCUCAGUGUCCAAUUCUAAAACAACAUUCUUGAUUCCUUGCAACUUAUCCAAACAUAAGUAUUCAACGUUAUUGAUGCGCUGCAACUUCUCGGAGCAAAUGGCCAUAGAAUCAAGCUUGAGCUUCAAUGUUCUUAAACUCUCAUGAUUACUGAUCAUAAAGUGCUGCCGACUUUCAAACCAAUCAUUCUCAAUAACCAGGGUAGAGUCGAAUGAUGCAUCUCCUAUUGAUAUAUCAAACCUUUCCAGCUUUUUGGAAAAAAAGCCAUCCGGUAAAAUGCUAUCAUUUUUAACAUCUAUCUAAGGUGGUCAAUCGCCUCAUAUGCAUCAAUUCGUCGAGGGUGGCAUUACUUCUUUCACUAUUGGCCUUUUCAACUUCCCAUUCAAUAGGGGAAUUACCCAUAUACAGUUCUUCCAAUCGAGUGAAGCUUGAUAAGACGUUGGGCACAAUAAAUUUUAGUUGCAAACAAUCUGUUAAAUCUAACAGCCUUAACUUAGUCAGUUGACCUAGUUCGCCAGGCAACCGUACAAUAUCAGAAUUUAAAAAGCUAAGGAUUUCUAGAUUCUUCAACUUUCCAAUUAUGGCUAUGUCUCCCAACAUGCUUUGAUCUAGACAGAGUGUUUGAAGAUUUGCUAGAAGACCGAUUGAAGAUGGCAAUGAAAAUAAUCGCAUUCGUGUCAAAUCUACAACUCGAAGCUUUUUCAGCCCUUUGAAAAUGUUGUCAGGAAUAUUGACCUCAACAAAAGUGUUUUGGGAAAUAUGUAAAAAUUCAAGUUGCAGACAUUCAAAUUCCUCAGAAACUUCAUGAAUGCUACUAUUUAGUAAAGAGAUUGCAUAGCAUUUUUUAAGUGCAUCCUCAUCUGGCCACUCCCACACAGCCUCAUUUCUCACCAAUAAAGCAUGUUGGUCUCGAUUUAAACUUUAACUCAAUUUGAAAAACUGAGCAAGUAUGCGUUACAGGAAAUCAAAAAAGCUCCACAUACCCAGAUCAUGAUCUCACGUUGAAUCCAGGUGGGAGAUAUAUUUAUGAUCAAGCCCAACAUCGAAGGGGGCAAAAAAAAAAAAAAAAAAAAAAAAAUCUACCAGACAUAUGAUCAUAUUGACCACGAGCUUCAUACGCCGUGGAUUUAUUAACAAAAGUGGGAAUUAAUUAAUCAUGAGCAUGUGUUCUAGUUAAGUCAAAAGAGAGACUUAAUUAAGAACGCAUAUAUAAUUCAUAAUCAGCACAUAAAAAGAUCACUAGUGCUUGCCCCUCCUGCCCUUGCCGUGCUUGCCGUGCUUGCCCCUGCCCUUGCUCUUUCCAUGCUGGUAGUAGCCGCCGUGCUUGCCGUGUGUGUAUGCACCGUGAGCUCCAGGAUAUGCGUUAUUAUCUGCAACAAAAUAAGAAAUUAAAUCAUAAGCUUAUAAUUAGCUCGCUCGCUAAGAGUGAUUAAAAUAAUACCGUGCGGAACGGAUGGGCCAGGAUAUCCCGUUGGUGUGUAACCACUGGCGAGUGCUGCUCCUGUAGGCGGGUAGCCGGCACCGGCUGGGGCAGCAUGAUCAGCACCUUCCAUGAUUUUGAUGAUCACCUAAUAAAUAAUAACUUGGUCCAAAAUAAACAACAAUAAAUAAUUGUGAUUAAUAAAAAGUAAUAUAUUCUCUAAUUAAAACAUUAAUGAUCAUUGGAGAGCAAGCGAGAAAUACUUACUGAAUGCGAUGGGACAGACAACAUCAUGCAUAGAGAAUUGUUCAUCUUCAACGAAUUUGGCUGCCCGGUCAAUGAUGCCGUUAGCACUAACCAGCCACUUCUCAACCUUCUCUUCAAUCUCUUCCCCUUUUUCUUUUGCCUCUGAAACUCUGCGCCGAAUGCUCGUACGUUCAACCUUCAACUUCUCCAUUUCCGUCUUGAGAUUCUCAAGGUUGGCAUUGUAGUUCCGCUUGCGCAAAUAAACAAGUUGGCGUUCUGUUGGAGGAGCCAAGCAUUUUACAAGUUCCAAAACGAGAGUAACAAUGAUUUCCAGCAUCUUGAAUCCUGACAACAAUGUAGAAGUGAAGAAGGCCAAAGGACAGUCAAAACAGAGAGACAGCGUUACGACAAGCAGUUAUGGAGCUAAAAAUAAAUAACAAACAAACAGAAGCAAAGUGUUUUUCGAAUGAGAAGAAGGAAGCAAGAAAAACUUAAAACUAGUAUAAUAAAUUUAUACUAAAACUAGUAUAGUAAAACAAGAAGUCAAGAACCAGCAACUUUUACACACAAAAUAAAACCUUAAAACUAGUAUAAUAAAUUUAUCAUCAAGUUGCAGCCUUCUUAUUCAACAAUUACAGCAUUAUCUUGAGCUCUGUGUUUCUUUUUUUAAAAAUUAUUCAAAAAAAUCUGCAUUUGUUUUUCAACGAUAAAAAUUAUAUUUUUGUCUCAUAUAAUAUAAAAUUAAAAAAAAAACAAACAUAUAUUAAAGGUCUGUUUGGGAUUAUUUUUAGAGGCUCAAAAGUAAUUUUAAAAAGUUAAAUGCUAAUUUUGGUAUUUAAUAAAAUUUUUAGAAGUCACCUUUGGUAAAAUCAUCAAUCCUACAACAAAUUUUGAAAGCAAAUAGUUUUUCAAAUUUUUAUUUUGAUAAUUAAUUUUAUACUUAAUAUAAUUCCAUAUACAUCCCUACAUAUAUUAAUUAUCCUUAUUAAUUAGAAAAUAAAAUUAUUAACUUUAAAGAUAUUAUCAACAAUUACAUUGAGAUAACAAACUAAAAAUAAAAUUAAUAAUAUAAAAUAUUUAUUUUAGUAAUCAAUUAUUAUACUUACAAGAUAAAAAAUAUUUUAUUUAAAUGUUUAUAAAUGUACAAAUAAAUUUUAUUUAAUAUUAUAUUCAAUUUAGUCAUUUACAUUGUCAAUAGGACUUCUAAAAAUAAAUUUUCCUAAAUGUUUAACUAAUUCUCUUCAUAGUGAUUAUUUCCAAACAUAACUACCAAAAAUUACUAUAAUAGAUACAACAUUACCAAAAAAAUAUUGAGAUAGAUUUUAAUUAGGUAAUUGACUUAAUUAUGAAUCAAUUUAUUAUUUCCAUAUGUGUUAUCAAAACCAGCUCAAUAAUGAGAUCACUCUUUUUCUUAAAUAAAAAUAUUUGUGCCAAACAAUUGUUGCAAAAUUUCAAAUAUAAAUUACAAACAACAAAAUUUUCUAAAAUCAUAACAAUAAUUUAUGUUGUGAAUACAUGUAACUAAACCACAUUGAAAUUUUAUUGUUAGUAAAAUUGUUUUUCACGCAAAUGCAGUGACGGAUUCAGUUUCAUGUUUCACCCUCAAUAACUUAAUUUUCAUAUCUAACAAAUCAUCCAUAUUAUUAACAAUAUCAUCACCAAACAUAAUCUACCUAAACAUAAACUAAACAUAACACAUACAUAUAACUAUAUACAUACCGAAUCAGGAAAACAAUGAAAGCUACACGUAUCCGGCUCUACAAUUCCUUCUUGAUACCCUUGUGCUUCUAAAAUAAUCAACCAAUUAUAAAAAUUAGCUUAGGUGCAACUUUACCCCUUUUUUUGGGAAACUUAACUAUAAAUAAAGUAUACAAAUCUCUAAAUUAACUUCGUCCCCAUGAAAUUCGGCAUAAAUAGAAAUAGAAUUAUAGAAACCUUACUACCUUUUAUGAGAAAUCCAACUUAUAUAUUUGAGACCUCUCUCUCUAAGCACGCGCUUCCUCUCUCUGCACACUUUCCACCUUUAAAUUCUCCUUCACUAAGUUUACCUAAAAGAAUUUAGCGUUCUCCCAGUUUCUUUCGCAUUUUUCUCCGUGAAAAUUGGUGAAAAAGAGAAAGUGAUUUGAUUAUUUUAAUGUGCGACAGAUAUGGUUUCCAUCUCUGUAAUAUAAGUGUAUCAAAACGAGGUGAACAACUCUUUGUCGAGUCAGUCAAAUAUAAAAGACAAAUUACGAAACCAAGCAGAGCCAAAAAAAAAAAAAAAAAUUUCCAAUUAAAUAAUCAUCAAGUCUUUUUCAAUUAAAAUCGGAGGUGCAGAACAACUGUCAGGAGAUAAUCAUUGUUUAUGGAGCCAUAUUAUAUUUUCGAUUAAAAUAGUUGCGCGUGAACAAUUGGCAGAAUUCGUAUAAAUUGUUUUAAGGUCUAUUAUAAUUAACAUUUAACAAGUGGAAUGGCCAAUGGAUGAAGAACCACUAUAAUUAGGGGGGUUUUGUGUCCCUUAUUCAAACGUUGGGGGUCUCUGUGUCUUUUUCCCAUAAAUUUAAAAUGCUAAAGAAACUGGGGAAAUUUACAAAAAUAACCAUAAAAUUUUUGUUAUUUUUACAAUUAACCCUCUCAACUUUUUUCUAUCAACAUUAGCCAAACACGUGCUUUUCUCCCCAAAUUACCCUUCUUUACAAACCAAAAGCAACAUUCUUUCUCCCCUUUCGUCAAACAAAGGCAGCUUCCACUCUUGAAUCAUCAACCAACGACAACGGCAAAAGGCAACGAUAAAAAGUGAAAUCCGAUCAUAAUUUAUUCGGAUCCAACACUAAUCGGCAUCACAUAGUGGUAUGAGUUAUUUUCUUGCUCGUGAGUUUGCCUGUCGCACCAAAAGCCAGAUUCAUUAUAAUUAACUAUUAAUUUGAUAGGGCUGAAAUAAUUUAUUUUUUUAUAAUUUCAGGCUUAAUGGAUUCAGUUGUACUUGAAUUGUGUUACGAUGGUUGUUGGGAGACAUUAGAGGAUGGGCGUAUGGAGUAUGUCAAUGGUAAAAAUAGAGCUUUUUUGGUUGGAAAAAAUUGUCUUUUUGAUCAGUUAUUGGCAAGAGUAUACGAUGUGUUACAAAUUAAUCCUAAUGAAUAUAGUAUCACAAUGAAGACAACUUUGAGGUCUAGUAACACAUUAUAUCGUGUAUGUGCACUGCCCAUGGAUAUAUUUGAUGAUGAAAUGGUGAGGGUUGUGUUACAUAUGGCAUCCGACGUAGCUAAUUUUGGAUGCAUUCCUAUAUUUGUUACCACAUCACCUCGAGUUCCGAGUGGAGGUAUUGAGCCACAUGUCGAUACAGAAACUUCGUUUAGAGCAAAUAUGUCUAGCCUCGAUAAUGAAGAAGAGGUGUUGCCAAGGACAAUAUCACUGCAGCAAUAUUACUCUCCAAUCCACGACAAUUAUGACAACAUUGAUGAUGACGGCGUUACGUUACAGGAUGUUGGAGCAACGGUAUUUCCAAUAACGACGUCGUUGGAGCAACGGUAUUCUCCGUAUCACAAUAAUGAUUUUCGGGACAAUGAUGAUUUUCAUGAUGAGACAGAGGGGGAUAAUGUUUGUGCAGAACCUUCUAAUAAUAUGAGGGGCACUCAUUUCAAUAAUGAUGGUGAUGAUGGAGGAGCCGGUCCUUCGAAUGUUCCGUCGUUUCAGCAUGAGGAUGAGUGUGAAGACAAUACUCCUGCGAAUAAUAGAGGCAAUAGACCUAUUCUAGCAAUGGUUCGAUCGAGAAGGAGAAUUGACCCUCUCACAAGUCUUGCUCCAACUUUGCCUUCGAACAUGGUUGCUCCAAGUUUUGUUAGCAGUUGUGACUCAGAUGAUAUCAGUGUCGGUAAGCUAUUUGCUGAGAAGAAUGAGUUUAUAUUACAACUACGCAAGGUUGCCUUUCAGGAUAAGUUUGAUUUCAAGAUUGCACGGUCUACUACGACACGUUUCGAGGCUCACUGUAGUUCAGAAUCAUGUAAAUGGCGUAUUCGAGCAACUAGAUGUUCGAACGAGGAAAAUGUUCCUUGGGUGGUGCGGAGAAUUGAUAAUGUACACACUUGUCAUAAUGAGGUGUUGGUUGCUGGAUGUCAUCAAGUCAGGAGCCGGGUUGUCAGUCAUAUUAUCGCAGAUAAAUAUAUUCAAGUCAAGAGAAUUUAUACUCCGAAUGACAUAAGAGCAUAUAUGCAACAAGAAUACGGUGUUCAGUUAACAUACCAGCAGGCAUAUCGGGCAAGAGAAGUUGGUCUUGAAAUAGUUCGAGGCAACCCUGCAGAGUCAUACAACUUGCUCCCUAAAUACUCUCGCGUACUAACUGCAGCGAAUGAGGAUACAGUCACUCACAUCGAGCUGGUGCGACAGCCGCGCCUGUUACACCAAAAAAUUGGUGCGACAGGCGCGCGCUGUCGCACUUGAUCUGGUGCGACAGUGGGGCACGCAUGGGCGCGCGCGCGCGCCCUGCCCCCCUCCCUCUCCACCCCCAAAAUUAAGCCACAACACUUUAAAAUCGAAAAACAAUACUCCCAAACACCACCAACCACCACAAACACCACCACUACCACCAUUAUUCUCAAGCUAUAACUAUUAUUAUUCUAAAAUCUCAUUUUAAAUUAAUGAAAAUAAGAAAAAUGACUAACCUAGGUUUUGUUGAAGGUUGUAGAUCGUAGAUCGGAUGCCGGUGAGAGAUGGAGCCACCGCCGACGAGGGUUGAUGUUGCCGCCGAUGAUGGGAGUUGGAUCGGUUUGGGAGAGAUGAGUGAAAGGGAGUGUUGGGGAAGAGAUGAGGGAGGGGUAUUUUGGUCUCAAAAGUUGUUUAAUGGCUAAUGUUGAUAGAAAUAUUUUUGGGGGGUUAAGAUGAAAAAAAUCAAAACUUUUAUGGUUAUUGUUGUAAAUUUCCCAAGAAACUGACAUCAACGCUAAACGUGAAUCUGCAGCCCUUGCCUCAGUGUCUUUCAGGCGUUACUCGGGGUAGUUGAUAUACUGACGAGCCCUUUAUCAAUUAAUAAUCGAAAUAGAUUAAAAUAUGAAUGGAUUAGAAUAGAAUGAGUUGGAAUUAAAAUACGAAAUCACAAUCAGAUUAAUUUAUUUUUUUAAAUUGAGGAAUUAGAAUUGGAAUAAAUUAUAUAGUUAUUGAUGUGUUUAUUUUAUUUUAAAAUUACAAGAGUUGUUGUAAAUUACUAAUAUGCCCUUAAUUUUUUAUUAUAAUUAUAAUUAUUUAUUACUACAUUUGUCAUAUUAUUAAUAUUAUAAUAAUAAUGAUGAUAAUAAUAAUAAUAAUGAUUGUAACAAUUAAUAUUGAAAAAAAUUUAUUGUUAAUAAUAGUAAAUAAAAUAAGAAUAAAUAGGCAAUUAUUCACUGACCACGUGAUCUUUCGGACUCUUUCAAAAAUACACAAAUACUUUUUUCUUUGCAGAAAUCCUCCUGAAGUUUACAAAGUGUUUCAAUUGUUCACUGUCAUCUUAACUCUAUUAGAAUCUUGUUGAUGUUGUCAGGAUAAAAUUGUCAUUUUACCUAAACAUCCAAAAGGAAGUAUAAGAUGAAGCUCAACUUGGAGAAGUGUGCUUUCGGGGUUGGAUUCGGCAAAUUCCUUGGGUUCAUGGUGAGUGAUAACUCUAUGAAAUGAGAGUUAUCAUGAAAUUUUUAAGUUUAAAUCAAGACUACUCAGAGAGUAAUUGAUAUGUUUUAGUGCACUUUAAUGAUAGUUUGCAUUACAUUCAUUUUAAUUUAAGUUUAAUAAAGUUUAUGUGAUUUCUGAAUAAUUGUAUGCUUAGAACAUAUGUUUAAUUGUAGGUCAAUGGAAACUUGAAUUUCAUGGAAAAGAUGCUUUUGCAAUGGACUUAUAAAGAGGACAAACGAGCAUGGCUAUAGUAGAAUUGGAGCAAGUUUGGAACAGUGGAGUUGCUGUAGCCAUUACUGUAGCAACCAUUGAUGUAGCAAUCCUCGAGCAUUGCGAUCUGCAGUUUCCUAAUCUGAAGAAAAAGUGGCAUAAGAGAGAGAGCCAUCAAUUAAGAUCAAAAACAGAAAAGAACCAAGGAAGUAACAGAAUUCCUGAGCAGAAUUCAAGGCUGAGCCAGUUGAAGAAAUUUGCAGAGUCAAUUGGAAUUCACUCUUUCUCAUUCUUUUCUUAUUUACUUGUUAUUUAUUGAUUAUGAAGAUGUACUAAAUGGCUAGAAUUUGGUUGUUUAAUCUCCUUUCACAAAUUAUGAACUAAAUUCAUUUGUGGUUGAGUAUUAAACUAUCUUGAUGGUUAAUUGACUAAAUAUAGGUGUUGCUAUAUGUUUGCUACAACAUUUUGCUUUAAUAACAUUUAUUUACAUUCAUUAUUUCGGUUGACCACCCAUUUAAUGAUACAAGUUAAGAAAGAGCUGUAAAAAGGGUCUAUCUUAUUGAAACAUAUUAGAGUAAUACUUGGUCUUAAAUUGGGUUUCCUAGAUUGAGUUUAACUUGAGACCAAAAAGGGUUGUACUUAAUUUAAGAUUAGUAAUGAACUAGAUAUAGGGAUUUGCCUUGUAGGGUAAAAAGAACAUAAAUGUGUAAUACUAUAUCUUACGUUGACAUAGUAACUGGUCACUGUUAGGUUGUAUAAAGAUAUAAAACAUUCGAACAUGCUACCGUUGAGGAUAAAGAUGGUUUCUGCCCAGUGCUGUAGCAGAUGCUGCAGCAACUGAGCUUGACAUGAAUAACACAGUCAACACCAUCAAGAGAGUUUAAUCACUCAACUACUCUAUUCUAAUUAAAUUUAAUUUCAUGUUUAAUGUAAAAAAUUUAUUUAUUACAUUUUUAAUUAUUGUGAUUUUAUUUUACCUAGUCAUUUAGUUGUAUUAGUUGCAUUGAUUUAAUUGAUAACAUAGGUUGCUCUGUGAAAUUACUGUAGCAAGUCUAAUAGCAUCAAUCCCUAUGGAGACGAUCUUGGAUACUUAUCCUUAUAUUACUUAUUGUGUACACUUGUGCAUUGACACUAAUAGCAAUGGAGUUAAAAUUAGCAACAAAUUUUUUGUGCUAUUGCUGGGGUUUGAUUGUUUACUUUUCAGUUGUGAAAUCAAUUUUGACGGUGCUAAUCUUUGAUUUUAUUUUGAAUUGUUUACUUUGUUAACAGAUCACUCUUGCAUGUGAAAAUACAAACUUGUUGAAUUUCAAUUUGAUCCAGAGAUUGAAAGAACUACAAGGAGAUUGAGAAGAGAGCAAAGAAAUUCAAAAGCUGCUGUAGCAAUAGAUGACUUGCAAAACUUAGGAAACUUAGACCCUCACGGACCAAUAUAACCUGUUAAUGCUCAAGAAAGUCAGAAUGGGAAAAUUAAUCAGAGACCAUCAGGGAAUAACAAUAUUAGCUACAUGGAAAAUGAUAGAGACAGGGCCAUUAGAGAUUAUGCUUUGUUAGCCCCUUAAGUUAUACAUCCUGACAUUGUCAGACCUGAGGUAAAAGAUGCCAAUUUUGAACUCAAACCAGUGAUAUUUCAAUUAUUACAAACAGUGAGGUAAUUUAAUGGAUUACCAUCAAGAGGUGAGUGAUGCUUUUAAAAUUAUUGGAGCAUCACAAGAUGCAUUGAGACUCAGAUUCUUUCCUUACUCCCUAAGAGACCGAGCAAGAGUAUGGUUGAACUCUUUACCACCAGACUCCAUUACAACAUGGAAUGACUUAGCUGAUAAGUUUAUGAUGAAGUACUUCACACCAACCAAAAAUACAAAAUUAUGUAAUGAGAUUACUUCUUUUCGUCAACUAGAAGAUGAAAACUUAUAUGAGGCUUGGGAAAGAUUCAAUGAGUUAUUCAGGAGAUGUCUUCAUCAUGGCAUUCCUUACUGCAUACAAUUUGAAACCUUCUAUAAUGGGUUGAACCCAAGCACUAGAUUGAUGGUCGAUACUUCAACAAAUGGGGCUUUGUUAUCUAAAUCUUACAAUGAAGCCUAUGAAAUUUUAGAGAGAAUUGCUAAUAACAAUUAUCAGUGGCCAUCACCUAGACAAAUUGUAUCAAGAGGAGCAGCAGGUAUACAUAAUGUGGAUGCAUUUACAGCAUUAUCAGCCCAAGUAACAUCAUUGACCAAUAUGGUGAAAGCUAUGACUACUGCUCUAUCGAAUGACAAUCAAGUUGCCGAUGUUUCUUGUCUGUAUUGUAGAGAGGGGCAUUUAUUUGAUAAUUGCCUAAGGAAGUCAACGUCAGUCAAUUAUGUGGGCAACUCCAAUAGAUAGAACCAGAACAAUCCAUAUUCCAGUACCUACAAUCCUAGAUAGAGGCAGCACCCAGUGGACAGAACAGACCUACUCAGCCAGUUGAUUUUCAUCAGCAAAAUCAAGGGUAAAAAAACACCAGCAAUGAUCAAUUCAGUUCUUUGGAGACCCUAAUUAAGGAGUACAAUGUGAAUAAUGAAGUAAUUGUCCAAAGUCAGGCUGUACCAUUGAGAAAUUUAGAAAAUUAAAUUGGACAGCUUGCCACAUUAUUAAGUAACAGACCUUAGGGGAGUUUACCCAGCAACACAGAAGAUCCAAGGAGAGAAGGUAAGGAAUAUUGAAAGGUGAUCAAAUAUUGCACAAACUAGAAGCCUCAGGUCGGCUGGUGAAAUGGGCAAUAGAGUUGAGUAAAUUCUAUAUAAGCUACAAACCCCGAGCAACAAUCAAAGCCCAUGCAAUGGUGAACUUCGUGGAAGAAUUUACAGAAUCACAUGUGGAACCUAGCCACAUUGAUAUUGCUAUAGGCAACAACAAAGGUCAAAUCUGGCAGAUGACAGUGGAUGGAUCUUCAGGUGAGCAAAGUACUAGAGCGGGGUGGUCCUGGAGAGUCCAGAUGGAGAGGAAAUCUCUUACGCUGUUAGACUGGAGUUCAAGGCCACAAAAAAUCAGGCUGAAUAUGAGGCUCUAAUUGCAGGGCUAGAGUUAGCUAAGGCGGUGCAGGCAAAUAAGGUGAAAAUUCGGACAGAUUCACAGCUAGUCGCCAACCAUAUUAGUGAAAUGUUCUAACCUAAAGACGAAAAGAUGGGGCAAUACCUGAGGAGGGUCAGGCAGAUGAUCAAAAAGUUCGAGUCGAUGGAUAUUGUGCAAAUUCCAAGGAGUGAAAACUAUCGAGCUAAUAUCCUAGUUGGAAUGGCUGCUACAGCGGACUAAAAAAUGCCAAAAUCAGUCCCUAUGGAAGUCAAGUCCUCCCCCCAGCAUUGUGUAAAGUCUGGAGAUGAUGCAGAUAGAGCAAAAAGGCUCAUGGAUAGACCCAAUAAUCUCAUAUAUACUGGAUAGAGUGUUACCAGCAGAUAAAACGCAAGCAUGAAAAAUCAAGGGCCAGCGUCUAGGUGUACACUAAUUGAUGGGGUGUUAUACCGACGAGGGUACACCUUGUCGCUCUGCGGUGUCUGGACAAAGACGACGCGAACUACGUUAUAAUGGAAGUACAUGAAGGGGUUUGUGAAAAUGAAUCUAGAGUUAGAUCUCUUGCCUACAAAGCCUUAAGACAAGGUACUUAUGGCCGACGAUAUACUAAGAUGCUCAAGAGAAAACCAGGAGUUACAGAAGUUGCCAGAACUUUGCUAGUUUCCCUACACAGCAAUAAAAAAUACUUACUACUAUGACUUCACCAUGGCCGUUUACUCAAUAGGGAAUCAACCUAAUCGAGUCUUUGCCAAAAUGAUGAAGAGCAGUUACACAUGCUAUCGUGGCAAUAGAUUAUUUCACAAAAUGGGUCAAGGUAAAAGCACUCAGAAGAAUCACAGAGAAUGAUAUAACUGAUUUCAUGUGGAGAAACCUUGUCAACCGGUAUGGAAUCCCAUACGCCUUGAUAGCGGACAACAACUAACAAUUUGACAAUCACAACUUUAGGGAGUUUUGUCAGAACUUUGACAUAGAGCUAAGUUCUGCUCCCCUGCCCACCCUUAGUCCAAUGGACAGGUGAAAGUGGCCAACAAGGUUAACAAAAAAACUCCUGAAGACCAAACUAUGAGAGAAGAAGUGUGCAUGGGUUGAUGAGCUUCUAGGAGUGUUGUAGGUAUAUAGGACUUCUCAUAAAACCGCCACCGAUGAGACACCCUUUGCUGUAGCCUUUGGGCAUAAAGCAGUCUUGCAUGCAGAGAUAGGGGUAACCACGCACCAAACUGAGCACUUUGAUGAGAGUGAGAAAGGUGAAUCAGAGUACCAAAGAUUCGACCCAUGGUGUGUAUCCGGAUCAAGAGCCUACAAGCUUGCUCUCGCGAAUGGACAUGAGCUGAAACAACCAUGGAACGUAACACAUCUAAAAAAAUACUUCCAAUAAGGCCCAUUGGUAGCGAGUUAGAGUUAUUUCUGUUCAUUUCUGUUGUUGUUUAAACUUUAUGAUCAGUCAAUUUCAUGUAUGUCGUAUGCCAUGAUUAAUAAAGUUUGGAGGAAGUUCAUUCAAUUAAUUUAAAGAAAAAAAAAGUUCGUAAGGUAAAUAAAUGCCUCAAAGUCUCAAAGCCUGCUCGAUGGUGAGACCAGAAGCCAGAUUUUCCAGACUCUGCUCUACCGAACGAUGACGAGCAGACAAUCAAAUAUUUCAAAAAGUUUCUAAGGCAGACAAAAGCUUCAAAGUCUCAAAGCCUACUCGAUGGCGAGACUAGAGGCCAAGUUUGCCAAACUCUGCUCGACCGAAUGAUGGCGAGCAGACGAUCAAAUAUUCCAAAAAAUUUCCUAAGGGAAAUAAAGGCUUCAAAGUCUCAAAUCCUACUCGAUAGCAAGAUUAGAAACCAAGUCUGCGAGACUUUGCUCGAGCAGGCUACAAGAAAAACCAAGUUAUUCGUUAAUAAUCUAGUGACAAUGACAACUAGCCUCAAAACUUGGCAUACAACGUUUACAAAAGAAAAUUAUGGUACAUUCACGAGGAUGAAGGAUCUAUAAGUAGAGCAGCUUUUGUUGGAUUUUCAAGCAGUAGAGAAUGAGGGGUCUGGCCAAUUCUGCCCGAGGGAGUGCUUGCUUCGAUCGGGGUUUUGCCUUUCAAGACCGGCAAUGAUGCAUCGACAGAAGUGCCUGAGCCCUUCGUUAAAUUGUCAUCAACUUCCUUUUCCAAGUUCUCAAUCUGAGUCUGGUGUGAAGCACAAAGUGAUUCCAACUAAGACUCGUAGGAAGCUUUUUAUGUCUCCAAAUUCUUAUUGACCUUGCUCAGCUACUCCUCAAGGGUGAUCACAUUGGCCUGUGCAAGAGAUGUCUGCUCCACUAAUUUCAAGUUCUCGAGGGUGAGGUCUCUUGCUUUCUUCUCAGUAGCAUCAACUUCGUUUUUAGUUGAUUGAAUAUUAUACUUCAUCUUGUGGUCAUAACGGCCAACUUUCACCUUGUAGUAGGUAGUCAUGCAACAUAGGUGGAAAACACUGAAUUGCAUAGCCCUAACUAGCUCACGAGGGUAAUGCCGUCAAAGUCCUCUAAAUCGUUUUUUUUCACGAGCCUAGAAAACUCACUUAUGUAAGGGCCAUAUGCUCUGGUCGAUCCUCAGGCAAUUGCGGUUCGGAUCUUGGUGGAGGAGGAGUGGUAACAAGACCAGUGCCGCUCGCAGCUCCACCAACUUCACCUGCCUUAGGACGGGGAGGAGGAUGUGGCAGCAUCUUCAGAGGGGAAGCUUUCCCUACAAUAUUGACCCACUUCUCAAGGGAGCAUAGUUGCUGCAACCCCCCUUUACACCACGAAAGCGAGGGCGUUUUCUGUUCAAAGCCCCAAUCACAGCAUCCUCUAUAGCAAUUCACCUUCGAUGCGGUAUUAGACACUCCAGGAACUUGCAACAUAGGCAGAGACUCUGUUAGAAAUUACUCAAUCACUUGAUCAGCUGGUGGUGUAAAACAACUUAAAUAAGCAGGCAACCUGGAACUAAGAAACGGAUGGGGACAUGGACAUUCUCAUCAUCAGUCGGCCACUUGACCCUAAGGACCCCCAGCAAAAAAGAAACUGCUUUUCUAAUUCUCACCACCUGUUAGGAGGCCAGUUAUAGGUUUCCUAGUCUUGGUACUUGACAUAAAAUAGUACCAACUAACAUCUUUAAGGCUACUCUUUAAUUGGUAUAAGUGUUUAACCUCAUCAAUUAUAGGCUCACUCUGACCACAUCUGUCCCAAAGUACGAGUACACCAGAAAGUACCCUCUAUCCAUUAGGGUUAAGCUGACCAUGAGCUAAGUGUAAUCUACCAAGCAUCUGGACGAAGUAAAGCGGCAAAGGAAGCCUCAUCCCUUGUUUAAAACUCUCUAAAAAUAUAGCAACAUACCCCCUGGAAGGUCGAUUAGGGGUAUCUUUUUUCUUAAGAACCCUAAGGUUUAUGUCAUCAGAAAUCUUGUAAGUAUUUUGGAGGGGUUUAAAGUCAUCUACUGUGGUCCUACAAGUCAUGAGGUCAAUAGGGUAGUUUUCGGCCGGAGUCCUACCACCUAAUUUCCUCCUCUUUGCUGGUCUUACUACCUUUAGUGAGGAUGCUUCACCAAACUCUUCAUCUGGGUACCCGCUUAGGGUCUCCUCUGAGCUAGAAGAUUCGUCAUUGUUACUUUUGCUAGAUGAGGUAGAAACCUCAGGAGACAUCCUCCUAGCACUACUUCUAACACUAGAAUGGCCUACAAGCUCUAAGGGGAUCCUAGGGUCGAAAAUGGGCUCUGUGAGCAAACCAGGUAGGAAAUCCAGUUCGUCAUCAUCAAUCUCAAUUUCUUUUUCCUUGCCUUUUGACAUUUUCUAAGCGAUAUCCAAGAAGAUACAACUAAAUCCCUCUUAACCCUAGAAAAAAAUGACAAAUAUCUAAGACAAGAGAGAAGAAGACCGUACCUAAAGCAGCGGCACCUCAAAAUCAAAAUGGAGGAAGUGACUUGAUAUUCGAUGGAGGAAAUAGCUGAGUCACCAAAGGGCGAAAGAAAAGCCGGAAAAAAACUUUCUUGUGAAGAUUAGGGUUCCCCAAGAGACACGGAGACCCCUAAUUUAUUACCAUUUAACGACACGCACUCCGAGGGUUCUUAACAGGCAGUUAAAAAUUUAAAUGAACGAGUGGAUUCCUGCCACAUCACCUGCUUUUAAUUAUGACGUGACUCUUUGGAUAAACAGCUAAUAGUAGCUUAAAGGAUCAAGUGGAUAAGGUGACCAGUCCUCAUUUCAAUGCCAAGAAGCCAAAGUGUGUUUUGAGCAAGAUAAGACUACCAAGUUUCUAGUGUUGAUCCAUUGCAUUAUCAGCACCAGAAACUGAGGGACUAGUAUUUGAGGCGUAUAACGACGCGACCAGCUACACUCGAGCGAGGAUUUCCUUUUUGUGGGCGAUGGGCUAUAUAGUGUCCGUGAGCAGAAGUGCUCUAUUCGACACCGAGGAGUUUUCUGCUAAACACCGAGGAUAUCUCCUGAUGGGGCCAAGGUCGGAAGACCCAGUCUAUGGCAGUUGUUAGAACAUGUGUCGCUCUCCGAGAAUCCAGGCACGAGGCCUAUUCAGCCACGAUCACAACGCCCGAGCAUCCAUGACCGGGAACUAAGGUAGAGUGGCAAACGUGGGUCAUGGUGACUAAAUUCUCAGGAGGGCUAUAAAAGGGGCUUGCAAAGAAGGUAAAGGGUUUAGACAUUUUUAAACUAAAAAUUAACCUAAGAGAAUUGGGGGGUGCAUCUUUAUUGGCGAGAAUUGGGAAAAUUUUUGAGAUUUUUCCAGUGUUUGAGAAAUUAUUACAGAGCCACGAGAUUAGUGGCAGGGUUUUUUCACAAUAAGCCCAGAUUGCUGACUUGAGCGUCGGAGGGUUUACGUCGGGAAAACCCUCAGCGUUCUUUGACCAAUUUCUGUGUGUACAGGAAUUCACAGAGGAGGAACGGUGAGCCUCAUAGUUCUGCUUAUCAAACAGGAGCAGAGUAAAGUUAUCCCCUACCACUACAAAUUUAAGUGUUGAAGAGAGAUCAUGGUCUCGAACGAGCAGAUGCAAAAUCCCGUAUCAAUAAUAACAACAACAACAACAACAACAUCAUCAAUAAUAAUAAUAAUAAUAAUAAUAUAUUAACUUUGUAGGAUGGAGCUCUCGCAAAUCUUCAAGACACAAAAUGUGUUUGACCCCAUUGUUGUUAUUAUAAUUUCAAAAUCAUUUGUAUAUAUAAUAUUAGGGAAUAUGACAUAGAAAAAUUGAUGGUACAUAUGUUGCAAUAUUCUUGUUCAUGUGGCGGCACACUGAAGUAAAGCAUAAGCAGAGCAACAACAAAUGUAAUGAGAGAGCUCUCAUUAUGUAGAUUUUCAAUAGAAGUAAUGCAUAUUUCACAAAGGCAAUGGCCUUAUUUUGAAUGCUGCACCUGAGGGUUGACUUGAAUCUUCUAUAGAACUCAGGCAUUCUGUAAUCAUAGAGUAUAGCAUUUCAACAAAAAUAUUAUACAGGUCGUUCCUUUAUAUAUUUUCUGGGUACACAUACAGAAAUAUUAUUUUGGGUACAUUUCUUGCAGUAAAACCUGCCCAGUCUAGCGUUCUCGUAAGUUGGGUUUCUCAUUUGCAUGUUUUUUCCAUUGGUUAAUUAUCACAAACCUCCACUAACAUUUAGCAUAUUCUUAGUUUAAUAGAUUAUAUUGGCGUAUUCUCAAAUAUAAAUUAAGCUGGUGAGGAUAAAAUCGUAAAAGCACCAUUAAUGAUAAAAAGAAACCAAGUAAACUUGAAAUUUUCAAGUUGUGUUUUGAAAUUGGUCUCAACUUUGUAAAUGUCCAUUGGGUAAAGAAGUAAAGAACAGAAGCAAGCUGUUCCCAGCACACAUAAGCAAGCUUUACGCAGCACAAAUUAACACCCACAAAAAAUGAAAAGGAAAAAUGGUCAUCUCUUUCCUCCAUUCGAAUUGAAGCCAUGAAACACAACAUCCCUUUCAUCUUCUCUCUAAUGCUUUGAUUAGAAAACUUGCUUACAAACGGGAGACCAUGACACUGAAUCCUGAGACGGCAAUACCAGAGACGACUGAUUUACGCCAACGGUGUGGAAGAAUACCAACCAGUGACUUUCGCUGUCGACCCACAAACAAUCCCAGUGUUUUCUAGCUGCGAAUGAGGUAUGAAUCAGAUUAUUUCCGUGCAUUUCAAUUUUGUCAGCUGACAUUAGGAGAUUUGGUUAAAAAAAAAAGAAUAAUGGGUCUCGAAAAUUUUUUGAGAGUGUUUUUGUUGCUUACAUUAUUUUCCAUCGAUUAAUGUUAGUUGUAGGUGAAUGAUUGUUGCAAAUGCAUGUUCGCUUGUGAUUGAUUGAAAAUGGCUUGUGAUUUGUUAUGCUGCCGUGUGACUGAUUAAAAAUGGCUCUGAAAAUUUUUCAUUUGUUUAAGGUACUGCUGUUGAUUAUUGAACCAGGAUUCAUGCUAGUUUUUGUUAAAUUGAAGAUGAGAUUACUUUUUAAGAGAUCUGCAAAACCUUCUCUACUAUAGAUUUGGCUUCUGGCAUACCUGGUUGGCUGGAGAUAAUUGUUUAUAUAGUCAUUGCUGCCCAUAUUAAUCAGGAAUAUUGAUUAGCAAUGUACUGGAUUAGUGAUUGGUAUAAUUUUGGAAAAUCAGUCGUAGAUGCAACCUGGUUAUGGUCUCAAAUAGUGUGAUCUGUCAAUUCCGUUUGCUCUGGCCUAACAACCUUGAAUCUGAGCUAUGCCACUAUACAAUGUCCUGACCCAAUCAAGCUUGUUAGCCAACGUCCAAAAUUGCAAUGUCUUUAGAUAAGUCCCGUCUUAUUUGUUUGAGUUAUAAAUGAAAAUUGCAGUGUCUUUGGAUAAUCACGCUGAUGUUCACGUUAUUGACGAGAGGAACCUCCAGAUUCAAGGCCGGAGCUCCUUGUUGAGAAACUUUGCAUAUAUAGGAUUGUUGCCGAGUGGAGGAUCGAUAUGACUGGUCUUGUUUAGAAUAGGGAUGGAGAUUUUGCAUUAAGGCUUUCUUAACAGAUCAUUCUGCAAAUCAAGGUCCAUGUACAUCUCUUUAAACUCUUUGAUAUGUAUAAAGCAGGUGCAUGCUCUAUAUGUUACUUAUUGUAUCACAAUUAUUUUUCUAUUGCUUAAUAUAAUUGCAGUCCUUGAUGAAGUUGAAGACAACUUAUGGAGGGUAUACAAAGGCUCAAGAGCUUGAUCGCCAUUCAUUUUACACUUGGCUGAGCUACAGCAUACCAACUAGUGAUUAAUAAAGAGAAGGUAUGAAGGUCCUGUUGCUGGUGGUAUUAUCAAUCAGAAUUGUUAUUUUACUUAGUCAUAGUUACCAUGUAUAAGAUUCGUAGACUUUUUGCAUGCUUAUGCAUUCGCAUCAUCUUUUUGUUAAGCUAGAAAUGGUUGAUUUGUGUACUCAUUUGUAUCACUUGUAGCCCUUCAGGAAUAAAAUUUAAAAUUCUGUUGCAUCUCAUGUACUAAAUACUAAUUUUGUUGGCUUUAUGUAUGGGAAAUGGUUCAUUAUCUUAUUUCUUUGAUGCGUAUAGUGUGACAAUGUCUAAAGGUGAAAAGUAUUUAUAUCACUUGUGUAACACUGUCUAAAGUCAAAAAGUGUUUCUAUCACUUGUGUGAAAAACAACCUACUUUUUUUUCACUCUUCUUAUAUUGAAUAAAAGACAGACGCCAAGAUUGAACGAAAUUUGAUGCAGAAAGCAUAGCAAUUAGGCCAGUGCAAAACAACUUCCUUCUGAUUCUCUGAUAUUUGACUUAAAUCUUUUGUCUGUUUCAUUCAUCAAAGUCAUUUUGGAAAGUAGCAGGGGUGAUGUGAUAUUUUCAUUGUAUUCACAUCCCUGGCACCAAAAACAAACAUGCUGGUACUAACCAACAAUUUUUUAUUUUCAGUAUACAAAUUUUUUUUUUUCUAAAUUAGGGGUAUUAAGAAAAGGUAUACUAGCACCAGAGGAGGUAUUUGAGAAUACACAAAUACAAUCUAUCAAAUUGAGAAUACGCCAAAUCUCAGGAGUGGUUUUUGAUAAAUCCUUUUUUUCUUUUUCCUCCAUUCACUAUAGGUUCAAUUUAGGGUGGUUGUUAAGUUAUAUCAUUGUGUAAUAUAGAUCAAUUCAACAGUUGUUAUCAGUAACACAAAAGUAUAACGAACAAAAACUAAUUGUGUGUUACUGAUAGUAACUAUUAAAUUGAUGUAUGUUACAUAAUUAUGUAACUUAACAAGUUCUUCAAUUUAGACACGGUUGACCAAACUGAAGGUUUAGGUUGGUAAACGCACUAGUUUUAAUGUCAACAACCCAAGGGGCUUCAUGGUCCUCUGGGUCGAAAUCGCGUAAUUAUUAAUUCUCCAACACUGAAAGUCUUUAUCAUCUUGGGACAAAUAAUUACAAAUUGACAUUAUAGCCGUGGAAAUUUGGAGGUGUAAUAACCGGAAAAAUAAAAAUCUCAAGAGACUUUUUAAAUAAAAAAGAUAACACCUUCAAUUUGCUAAAAGUAAUGGUAUCAUUUCUUGUAUGGAUAAUGGAUGAUUAGAUUUUGUUUUUGGUUAUCUGACGAAGGAUAUUCAGUUGUUCUUUAUGUGUUCAUAGGCAAGAGCAUGAGCAUAUGCAUGAUUUGAUAUAUGGUUCUUGCAUUUUCUAAUUAAGUGCUCUUUUUCCUUGCCUUCUUAGUUUUGAAAGAAAGAUGUGAAGCAAAGCAAACCCAGUGAAAUGUACAGAGAAACAGAACCAUCAGAGGAAAAACUAAAUAACAGAACUACAAUUGAACCAAACAAAAUCAAAUAAACGGACGCAACAGAUGCCCUGAACCUAGUAAUUACUCAAGAGUUGAGGAGUUGGAAUGAUUUGGUAUUCAUAUCUUCACAAAUCAUAUGCUUUAAUGCAGAAUCGACAGCUUUAUAUUAUUUUAUUCAAAAAACGAUAAAGCAGGAAAACCACAAUAAUCCACCAACUUUUGAUACUUGUAGGAAUUUUUUUUAGUCAAAUUAAGUUUCAUGAUGAAACAAGUGGCUCGUCCACACACUUGCACUUGCUUGAAUAUUUGUGCCGACAUUUUCAUAUGUGAUGGUACUUCUUAGCCAGUAGAUAUGUUGAAGUACUACAAAACAGAGUAUUUGAUGAAGUUUUGCUACAUUCGUAUCCCCUUUUUUUGUUGCAUAACUAAAUUCUUUAUAAACACAAAUUAGAAAGAUACAAAUAAUACAGUAGCUUGAAUUUAUAUGCUUUUAUGGUUAUUUGAUAAUCUAGUGCUGAUCAUAUGUGAUGAUAAACUUAGCUAGUAGUUUUAUAUUUGUUUUCGCAGUUUCCUUAGCGUUCACAUUUUGAUGAGUAAAUUAAGGAUUUCCAGAUGAAGUACAUAAUUAGAUGAAUGCUAAGGAACUGAAGUUUAAUUAAUUGAAAACAAAAAUAAUAAUGAACGUAAUUACGAAAAUGAACAAUGCAGAAGUAGUCCCUAUAGUAUUUCUAAAUUUUCUCUUGGGAUUUCUUAGUAUUCCUCAAUAUUUUAAAAAAAUGACAUGACGAUCUUUGAGUGGACAAAUCUUGGCCUGCUGCUUAGUACCCUUCCAACAUAUAAAGUACUAGAUGUUUUACUGAGAAAAUGACAAGAUCAUUUAUCAAAUUUCUUGCGCAUAUAUACGUAUGUAUAAGAGAAAUGAGAAUCAGUGAUUAUAAGACCUUGCAAUGAGACAAUAAUACAUCAUCAAAUCUAAAAAUACACAAGAAAUUCGGGACAUAUAUAUAACAAAAGACCUCUCAUUGAGUCAUACAUAUUGAGAAUGAAAUGUCAAAAUGCAGACAAAGAGCUUAUACAGAAAAUGAAUAAACUGUCUUUGAACUUCUGAUGGUCAAACAAAGGAAACAGGCAGGAUAUAACACACACUAUCAUAGAUGUAGCGACACGAUGAAGUAAAUCACAUGAAGAUGGAAAGGGGAACCCCUCACAGCAUAAAAUUUGAAUAGAGAGGGGAAAAAGGCUUCAUUUCAAAUGUUGCACAGAAGAAGAGUGACUUGAAUCUCCAUCAGUAUCCAGACAUUCUGCAAACACAGUGCUGAGAAUUUUAACAAGAAUAACAGACAAAAUAUUGUGCUUCUAUACUUGUCACAAAACUAGACCAAAUUAGUCCCCUUUUUGGUUUGUGAAAACUUGAUAUUUUUGAAAAUUCUAUCCAAUGCUUUCAAACAAUAUUUCCAUAAUAUAGUUGUUCAUAGCUAACCUUUGAUGGUGUAAGGAUUUGUUGUAGGCAUAAUGGGCUAAUUAUAUAUAUAUAUAUAUAUAUUUUACCCCCUGAAUGAUAUUCAGCUUCUUAAUUAUGUGUUCAUAGGCAAGAGCAUUUUCUUAAGUACUUUCGUUGCCUUCCAAGUUUCCAAUGAACAAACAGAGCACAAACAAAUUUAACGGAACAGUAACGAUGACAAUAAAUAAUUGGCAAGGAAAGAAAGAAAAAAGUUUGCAUGAUUUCAAGGAAUUAUAAAAUCUGAACACUUUCAACAUGCAAGUGUUGCCCCUUUUGAUGAAAUUUCAUCAUAAAAUGCUUGCAAAGAAUUAUAAAAUUUUAGAGAACAAGCGAACUCUCAAACAAAAUACUCAAAUUAAAUUAAAUUAGACCAAAAGACACUCAAUGACGCAAAAUCUGCCAUUCUAAAUAAUUGAGAUGAAAUUGUGAAACAACCCACGAGAUCAAAUAAAUAAAAUAAGAAUUAAUUACCAGCUUUGACUUUCUUCUCCAAAUUCGCAACUCGAAGACAUAAGAAGCCAAUGAAAUUAGUCGUAACCCAUAAAGUACGACGACGACCCCGCCAAUAGCUGAAAAUAAAAUACUUAUUCAUCAAUUUAAACUAACUUUAUAACAAAUAUCUUAUCGAUAUUUUAUUUAAAAAAAGCAAAUUUGUAGAAUUUUUCCAUGGGAGGUAGAGAGUAAUAUGUAUAUCCGUACCUUUUCAGUAUGUAAUUGUUGUAUGGUUGUGUUAAGAUCAUUAUUUGCCCAACGCCGUUGAUCCUCUGACUCUCCAUACGAGACGUUUACUCUCGGAGGCGUGUUUGAUUCUCCUGAAGUGAAAGUCUUCAUCUUGGGACAACCAAUCACUUCCAGAUAUUCCAGAGAUGGGAAUUUGAAGGUGUAAUUGGCAGAGCAGAAACUUGUGAGACUGUCUAAAUCACACAGAAUCAACGCCUUCAAUUUGCUGAAAACAAUCUCUUCUAUGUCAACUCCUUCUUUGUCAUUUAUUACCACCUCUGUCAUUGCUCUGCAUCCAUAUACUUGCACUGUUACGAGUCGCACCAGAGUUUUUGCUGUGGAGGAUGUUACUAAGUGUAUCAAUUCCUUGCAACCGACAGCUACCAGUUUUGCUAGGUUCCGAAAAGAUACCGAUGAUGAUGGCAAUAGACUUAACAGAUUUUGACAAUGAUAUACUUUUAGAAUUUCAAGAUAUUGAAAAAUGGAGUCAAGUUUGGAGUCUUGUUUACAUAGCUGCUUCAGAUGAUUAAGGUGGCCCAGCUCUAUACAUUUUAUCAUUGCCAACUUCCUCAAACGGUUCUCUAAGCAUCCUUCCGUUGAAAAUACCUCUUCGUAUGAACAAUGAUACAGUAAGAGUAAUUCGAGAUUGUGAAAUCUCUCAAGUACAUUCCUGAUUGGAAAACAAGCCGAGUCAUCAUAAGUUAUGUCUAGUUUUUUAAGACUGCCAAAAAGGUGUUGUGGGAAAUCGGCGUCCAAAAUCAUCUUCACAUCUUUUCCGCUUAACGCCAGUGACUCCAAGUUGGGUAAGAUCUGAUCAUCGUCAAUCACGUAGUAACUAAUCAGGUCAGUUGAUGUUCUCUCCAAUAAUUUUACCUUAGAGUACUUGUUGUAGAUUAUAUAUAUUUUACCAAAAAAAAAAAAGAAAAGAAAGGAAAAAUUGAAUUAGUGAUAAAAUUCAUUCUAGGAUUUUUGUAUGUUAAUUUGAGAGAUAAGAGAGAAAUUAGAAAAAAAAAAGGAUGAUUUAUACUGGCAUAAAAAUAUUUUAUUGCACAAUAAUAAAUUAUUAAUUUAUAUUGUAAGUGAUUAUAUAUGAGAAAACUGAGGAUUCUUUUUUAAUGCUAUACCUAAAAUAAUUCAUCUAACUAUUAAUUUAGUACAUUGAUCCCUUAGUCCAGACUAGCAAAAAUAUUAAUUUUGUACUAAAAGUUUUCAAUUUAUUGAGUAUUAAUUUAUUGAUGUUUAGUUAUAUUUUACAAAGUCAAAAGUCGCUAAUGAUCUAAUUGAUAAGAAAUCUAGAAAGCGGCUUCAUACCUUUUUGAACAAGAAUAGGGGCCGUUGUGCAGGAAUACCAAGUUGAUCAUCCUCAUUAUUCUGUGAUGAAUCUGCAGCGAAUGUCUUCAAUUUGUCACAACCAGACACCACUAAAAUUUUUAGUGCAGGCCAUUCCGAAGUAUGCAUUCCAUGGUAUAAACAUUUAAGUUCCGGUAGCUCUUGGAGUAUAAGAGUGGUCACCCGUUGAAAGACAAAAUGAGGGGUCACAUGAUCUACUCUGUCUUCCGAAAUGAUCUCUUGCAAACCCCUACAAUUCACUAUCUCUACUUGUUGGAGAUGCUCAAAGCUUUGAAUCAUAGAAACUAAAAAUAUGUAUUUUAAUUUGUUACAGUGGCACACAAUCAAUCGUGUUAAACUUUGAAAGCGAGGAAGCAUGACCGGACGAUGAUUGUAAUGCCAAAUCUUGUCGACAUUAAUUUCAGAUAUCUCCAAAGCCUCCAAAUUAGGCAACCCUACCUAAAAAAAUAUUAAUUUCUUGUUAGAUCCAACACCCAUAUGAGAAGGACUUAUUGAAAUUUUCUUCUUUGAUUACAGAUUAAUAAUUCAAGUCAAAAUCAAUUUCCAACUGACAGCUGAGUAUGCAUUCUAAUUCGUAUUACUUGUUAAGAGCUCAAUUAGUGAGUGCGUGAGAUUCUUUUUAUCCUUUUUUUUUCACUUUCUUUCAAUUCUUUAAAUGAUUUAAUUAUUUUCCACGUAUGACAUCAAAAGAGAAUGCACAAUAGCAUAAAGAAAGUGUUAGCCUACGCACCUUGCCGUUGAAAAGCAGUGUUUCCAAAUUGAUUUCGUUGGAGCAAGAACUUGUCAAUUCCUCUUGCAGCCCUUGUCUGUUUGGUGAUGCUGAAGGAGUCUUCAAAUUACGGAAAAAAGUUGUAACCUCUGGAAGAUUUCCCAAACUCAAAGAUCUUAAUUGAGCCAACUCUAUCUUCUCAGCAGCAUUAUUGUUGUCAACAUCAGCAUCUCCCCCAGUAGCAAAAAUCUCUUUCAUCUUGCUGCAAUUAAUAACUGCAAUUCUCUCAAGUCUUGGAAGGCAUUUUGCAGUGGAGAGCCAGAAGAUAUUACUCAACUCAUUACAAUUUUCUACUUUUAUUGUUUUGAGUUUAUUGAAAGACUCUACUUUGAGUCGAUCAAUGCAUAUCCUCUCCAUGUUGAUCAAAUUGUGAAGAGUCAGUGACUCCAAAAGAGGAAAGGCAUCACAAGCGACCAUCUCCAUUGAGUCGACAAUACAAAAGAAGUCAGGAUUAUUUUGAACCCAGAGAAGCUUCAAUUGUGGAAAGCCCUUUGUGUCCAAAUCGAAAAGAACAUUUUUGACACCUUGUAGCUUGUCCAACCAUACGUAUUCAACGUUAUUGAUGGCCUGCAAUUUCAUGGAGCAAAUGUCCGUAAAAUCAGGCUUGAGCUUCAAUUCUCUUAAACGCUCAUGAUUAUGGUUGAUCAAAAAGUGCGACCGACUGCGAAACCAAUCUUUUGUAACAGGCAAGGAAGCCAUGAAUGACUCAUUUCCAAUAGAUAUUUUGAACCUUUCGAGCUUUCUGGCCAAAAAGCCUUCCUGUAAAAUACUGUCAUUUUUAACAUCAAUUUCUAGAGUGGUUAGCCAAGGUAAAAGCAUCAAUUCAUCAAGGCUUGCAUUACUUCUUUCAGUGUUGGCUCUUUCAACCUCCCAUUCAACGGAGCAAUUACCCAUACACAAUUCUUCUAAUCGGAUUAAGCUCGAUAUGACAUUUGGGGCAAUAACUUUUAGAUGGAAACAGUCUCUUAAAUCUAACAGCCUUAGCUUAGUCACUUGCCCUAGUGCUUUUGGUAACUCUACAAUAUCAGACCACACAAAGCUAAGGAUUUCUAGAUUUUCCAACUUUCCAAUAAUGGCUAUGUCCAUGUCUCCCAAAAUGCUUUGAUCAAGACAAAGCGUCGGAAGAUUUACUAGAAGAUCAAUUGAAGAUGGCAAUGACAAUAACCGCAUUCUAGUCAAAUCCAAAACCCGAAGCUUUUUUGUCCUUUCGAAGAAGUUCUCAGGAACAUUAGGCGCAACAAAAGAGUUCUUGGGAGACAUGAAUAAAAAUUCCAAGUUGUGGAGAUUCCAACACUUCGGGAAUGUCAUUAAUAAUACUAUCUUUAAAAAAAUUGCAGGAUAUUUUUUUAAUGCAUCUGCAUCUGGCCAUUUCCACACAUCCUCAUUUCUCACCGCAAAUGCAAUUUUGUCACGACGUGCAAUUGAAAUGGCAACAUCGCGAACAACAUCAUGCAUGGAAAAGAAUUUACUGCCACCAUCCUCAAGCAACAAACAAGAGUCUCUUAGUUGAUGGACCCAUGCAUGUAAUUUGUUAUGUGCAUCUUCUAGCUUAUAGACACUUUCAAAUGCACCCAAGCCCACGCUAUAUUUGAACAAGUCCAUAAUUGAAGUUGGUGUAAUUAGACUACACAGUAAAAAAGUUUUCUUGAGUUGCUCACCUCUUAAAUACUUGUAACUUAGCUCAAUUGUUGAGUAUGCCUCUACUGGUACUCCUUCAUCGAAGCUUGCCUCUGAAGGCGUUUGGAGUUCUUGUAAGACGUUCUUCCACACAGGCAGCUCUUUGUUUCUCAGUGCCUUUGCUACUGUGGUUAGGGCAAUAGGCAAACCUCCACAUGCCUUGGCUACAUUUGUUGCUGUAGAUUUUAACUCACGAUUUUCAACAUAAUUACCAGCCAUUAUCUUGAACAACCUCCAAGCUUCUUGCUCAUUUAGAAUGCCAAUCAAGAAGUUUUUUUCAGAUCCCAUACUUAACAAAACAUUACGAUCCCUUGAUGUUAAUAAUAACUUGCAUCCUCUAUGAUCAACGCCAAAAGGAAUUCCGACUGUCUCUAAAUCAAGAUAUUUCCAGAUGUUAUCCAGAAUCACAAGGAUCAUCUUCUCUUUCUUCAAUCGUUCAUAAAGUCUACUAGCUCUUCUAGAUUCAGCCUCCUCGGACAACUCCAGACCUAGUUUCUCUGCAAUUUCCCCUUGAAUCUUUUUUAUGUCUGGAGUUUGGGAAACCUCUGAAAAAACCACCUGAUCAAAGAGUUUCUCUUCACUGGCUUGCCUUGCAAACUCCUUCACCAGUGUUGUCUUUCCAAUGCCGCCCUUUCCGUAUACCCCAACGAUGCUGACAUUGACAUCAGUCAAUGCAUCUUGUAUAGACUUCAGAGUAGAAAGUCUUAAUUUAAAGGCCUCGUAACCUUUGUUAGACUUUAGCCAUACCUCCUCCGCAAUGGUACGGUAGAAAAUUCUAUCAUCAAAUCUCCUAGCUUCUUCUUUGAGUUCAACAAGGGCCUUCACCUCUGUUUCUGCUUUCUUGCUAAGCUGAUAGCGGGUCUUCAAAUUAGGACACAAGCCCUUGAAACAUCGCUUACUUGUUGUCUCCCCAUCUUCAAUGAAUUUGGCUGCCUGCUCAAUGGUGUUGUUCGCACUAACCAGCCAGUUCUCAACCUUCUCUUCAAUCUUUUCUCCUUUUCUUUCAGCCUCAGAAACUCUGUGCUGAAUGCUCUUACUUUCAUCCUUGAGCUUGUCUAUUUCUGCCUUGAGAUUCUCAAAGUUGGCUUUAUAGUUUCGCAAAUAACCAAGUUGGCGUUCUGUUGGAGGAGCGAAGCAUUUCACAACUUCUAACAGAACAGUAACAAUGCUUUCCACCAUCUUCGAUCCUCUUUUUUUCAAAGUUCCGAAAUGAAAAUAAACGACGAGCGAAAAACAGAGAGAAAGAGAGGCAAAAAAAAAAAAAAAAAAAGAAAAAGAAAAAAAAGAAAAUGAAACAACAAAGAUGACAAGUGUAUCUGUUUGUGGAAGCGGAGAAAUCAAAGAAAGCUUAAAAACUGUUGUGAAUCUGGUGAGAAGAUGGAAACAAGGAAAAGGUUUCUAGUUCAAAACUGAUUGAAUUGAUAUAAGGAAUGAUUUAGAUAAUAGAGGAAAAUUGAAUCAGUCAAAAUAACUUAAGUAUUGACCAGAAGAAAGAUGCAAACAAUAUUAGAGACAACAACCGCGCUAUUGACUGGUAAUAGAGAUGGAGAAAAAGAAAAUAUCUUCACACGGUGGAAGUACAAAGGGUAGAUAUGGAACCAAACAGAGACAACAACAGGCCACAACUAGAUUGGGAAUGGAGAGAAACAAAUUAACAAAGACUGGAGAUUACAACAGAACAGAUGCCAAGAGAAAAGGGUUUCUUCAUCCAGUGAAAUUCAAGAGAGUUGACAGCAAAAGGGAGCACAUGUGUUUCUUGAUUGAGAACGAGUGCAAAGGAUGACUUUUUAAUGAGGUUCUGAAGCUGACGAAUAACGAUUUGCUAAAAUUUUGAGAAAGUUAUAUAUUCCGUAACUUCAACAAGUGAAGAAUAAAAGAAUAAUAGUUCGUCAUCUUCACAAUGAAGAUCAUGGACGAGAUUAAAAGCUAAAACUAGUCCAUUUGAAAAGCCAAAGUUCAAGUUCCUUGGCUAAGUUCAGAAGUGAAGCAAAGAAUAAAUAAAUAAAGAUCAAGGGAUGGGAAUAAAGUCACCCCCAGACAGUUGCAGAAAGAUUAUUAUUUGGUAAGCGUAGUUGAUUAUUAGUACAAAACAGAGUAGGUGAAACACAUCCUUUCUAUUUAGACUGAUCAGCAUCUAAAAUUUUAUGAAUUAUGAGUUGCAUUUUAUUUUGUACAUUCUGUUAACACAUUUUAAUUUAGCCAAUUUUGCAAUAAAUGUUAUUGAUGUAUUAAAUUGCAACAACAAAACACAAUUAUUGGUAUUAAAGAAUGAAAAAAAAUAAAAAUAGAAAAUGAAUUGAAUUCCACUCAUCGUCAUCUUGGGAAAUCAAGUCAAAAAAUAAAAAUCCAUAUGCUUUUGUUAAAGUUAAAAGCUACAUAAAUAAUAUCACAGAAGCUUCUGCUAAGGUUCAUGUGAAGUCACAGCUUUGAUACUUGUACUACAAGGAGCACGGAGAAACCAUAAACUUCAGUUUAGGUAUGUACAUUGCUUGUCUUUCAAACUUGAAUUGAUAAGGGGGAAAAAAAUAAUACUAAAGCAAACAGAAGGAUCAUUUAGUUGACAAAAUUAUUAUUAUUUUGAAAUUCGGGUCAUUCAGUUACUUUCAUUUCAGUUUCACUUCUGAUUCAAUUUAACCAGUUAACGUUGACAAAAAUAAAAUGCAAAUAUAAGGCUAAGGCUGCUAAUUUGAUGAACUAAUUAUCUCAGGAACCAAAGCAUCUAUAAGCAUGCAUGGGUGGCAACACCAUAAUUACUCAAGACUGGAGGAGUAAAAAGAUUGAAGAUGAUAAACAUUAAAUUUUAGGAAAAUCAUUCACAAAUAUGCUUUUAUAAAAGUAUUGUUGGUAAAGUUCGAGAAAUGCAUACAUGUCAAAUUUCCAUUUCUUGUGAGCAUUUCACCAAAUAGCUGAUAUGCAUUAAUAACUCCUAUCCUAUACUAUUGGCCAGUAGGUUGUUGCUGCUUCCCCAUUUUUAAUGAUGCGAACGUCUCAUACUUAGAAAUAAGGGCGGAGCCUGGAGAUUGAUGUAUAAGAUAAUCUUUUGAAUAAAAAUAAAAACAAUUACAGAUUUCAAAUGUGAGAAAAAUAAAAUUGCGUUAUAAAAUUAAUCCCACUAAGAAAGUCGUCUACGAAAUUGCCACAUUAAAAGAAAUUUUUUCCAUAAAUUAAAAUAAAAUUAAAUGAAAACUAUUUUUCAGUAAAGUCAAUUGCCCACGCUAGGCUAAGGCGUUUGUUUAUUUGUUUGUUUGUUUUUAUAAUCUGAAUAGGUAUAAAUUUUUCGUAAGCAUGAAUGAGCUGAGUACAAAUAUAUGAAUGAUAUAUUUAUUUUUCUUUUUCUUAAUACCCAAAUAUAAGUGACAUCUUAUUUAUCUUAAAUAUGGUUAUUUGAUAUUUAUAUUUUUACAAAUAAAAAUAAAAAAAGUAGUUAGAUUUUAUAGUUUAAGAAAUAAAUAUAUUUUAUAAAAAUAUUUUUAGAAUAUAUAUUUAAUUCUUAUUUAGACUUUUUUCUAUUCAAUAAAAGUCACAAAAGGUACUUUUUCUAUUCAAAUGUAAAUGCUUAAAAAUCAGAUAUAAGUUACAAAAAAAAUAAAUUUUAGAAAAAGUCAUAAAUUAAUAAAAUUUCAUAUAUUUAACUCCCAAUGCAGAUCCACCCCUAUCAGUGUGAGGAAAUUGACUGGUGAAGUAGGUUCACAGCUAAAAUGAAAUUGGAAGAAAAUGAAGAACAAGCACAUAGAGGACACCAAAAAUUACAUGGUUCGACUUUUAGCCUACGUCUACGGGUAAAGACAAAAGGAUAAAACUUUACUGGUGAAAUGAGGAUUACUAGUAUUAUAAUAUUUUGUUUCACUUCCCAGAACCCCAAUCCACUCAAUCUCUUAAAAUACUAAUCACUCAAGAGCAUUAAAACUCUUAGUCUCUCACUCUAGAAUUGAAGAAGAAAAGAAUGAAAUGCGGGGGUGAACCCCUCAUUUAUAGUUAAAAAUUUGGGCACUAUUUAUAUUUUUAUAUAUUUUUUUAAAUUAAAAGUUUGAACUUGACAUUCAAACUUUGAAUAUCAAAAGGUAUUGGUCACUCUUCUAGAAAAGUGACAUUGACUUUGACAUUCUCCCACUUAGAAAUUUGAUUGAGAAUCAAUCAAUCUCCACACCAUCCUUUCUGCUUCGCCGCUAUCAUGUUGCUUAUGUCUCUACUAGGCCAUAAAAUGAUCUACUCCAAACAAAUUUAUCAGCAUUGAUAGGCUUGGGCAAAACAUUUGUUAAGUUCUCCUUGGUAUCCACUCUUGUAUCUUUCACUACUUCACGAAGAAGUGAUAUUGUACUCCUAUAUUCUUUGUCCUAAAAUAAAAGGUUGGAUUCCUUGCAUUCUAACUAUCACAAACCAUAAAAAUUUUAUGCCCAAGCUCCUUCAGUAACCUUUGUAUCCAAAUAGCCCUUCCAAGCUUGUGUAGCUGCUAUGUAAUCUGCUUCUAUUGUUGAUAAAGCCACAAUGGUCUGCAAUUUUGAAAUCCAACUAACAAUUUCGCCUUCUGGUGUAAAUACUUAGCCAGUAGUGGGUUUCCUUUUAUUAAGAUUUUCUGCAAAAUCUGAAUGCACAAAGCCCUUGACAGUAAAUUCUAAUCCUUCGUAGCAUAAUGCAACAUCUGAUGUUCCUCUGAUAUUUCUCAGAAUCCUCUUAAUAGUCUUCCAAUGUUCUUUGCAAGGAUUCGCUAUGUAUCGACUAACUGCUCCCACUACUUGUACAAAUCAUAGCGAACCUUAAAUUUUCCACUGCUGAUGCAUACAGUUCUCAAGACAUCUCUUCUUCUCUACUUCAUUACUAUAUGAAUACUUAAGAAUAACUUGAAAUUAAUAGGAGGCGGGGUAGAAAGCCAAAUCUUCUUGCUAUUACUAUCUCGGUGAAUUUGCAUCCCUAAAAUCUUGUUUGUUGGUUCUAAGUCUUUUAUUUCAAACUCCCUAGUUAACUGUGCCUUCAGUUCUUGGACUCGAUCUUUGUUGGGGCUUGCUACCAAUAUGUCAUCCACAUACCACAGUAGAAUGAUGAAAUCAUUAUUAUCAAACUUGUUGUAAUAUGUACAAUAGUCUGAACUGAUUCUAUUGUAUCCAAGGUUUAUGAUGAAGGGAUCAAUUCUCUUAUAUCAACAUCUCGGUGCAUGUUUGAGAUCGUAUAGAGAUUUGUUCAACUUGCAAACCAAGUGUCCCUUUUUAGUAAAACCUUCUAGUUAGAGCAUAUAAAUCUUUCCUUCAAGUUCUCCAUGAAGAAAUGAAAAUUUCACAUCUAACUGCUCCAAAUAUAGGUCAAAUGUAGCACACAUCGACAAGAACACUCUAACUGUCCUGGGUCAAAUCACUGGAGAAAAUAUCUCAUUGAAGUUAAUACAUUCUUUCACCACCAAUCUUUCACGAUACCGCUCCACUAGGUUAUUACCAUCAUGUUUGAUCUUGUGAACCCAUUUGCAACCAAUGGUUUUUUUUUUAUAUGGUAGUAGUACGAGUUCCUAUGUCAUAAUCUUGUGUAGAGCCUUAAUUUCUUCCUGCACUGCUAUCAUUUACAAAGUAACAUCUAAGCUGUUUAAAAUUUCAUAGAAAGUUGAUGGCUUUCCAUUCUCUAUUAAAAGACAGUAUGCAAAAUUGAUAUCUGUGACAUAAUCCAAAUGCCACACAUACAGUUAUCUAUCACGAGUUGACCAACAAACUUUUAGGGCCUCAGACUCGAUUGGUUCUUGUUCUCAUACUUUAGUGCUGCUUCAAAAAAAUCUGAAUCUUCAUUUUCCAGAUUAUUUUCAAACAUAUAUUAGCACAAUCUCUAAAUUUUAAUAGUGCUAUCAUCCAUAUCUCUCUUUUGCAUUUGAUCUUCUACAAAGAUAAUAUCUCUGCUAAUAACGAUUUUGUGGGCAUUGAGGUCCCACAGAUAAUACCCUUUCACUCCAUCAAUAUAUCCUAAGAAGAUACAUCUCUUGGAUUUUGGAUCCAUCUUUAAUCUCACUUGGGUAUCGUAUAUCACGUAAAAGGACAUCAAAAUGCCUGAGAUGAGAGUAAUCAGUUGGCUUUCCUGUCCAUUUUUCCAUUGGAAUCUUCAACCCGAUUGCCUUGAAUGAUGACCCACUUACCACAUAAUAAGUAGUUUUUGCUACUUCCGCCUAGAAUGAGUUGGUAGACCAGCAGUUCUCAACAUAAUUCUUAUUUUUUCUAUAAGAGUCAUGUUCUUUCACUCCACUACUCUAUUUUAUUGAGGAGUGUAUGCCACUGUGAACUAUCUCUAGAUACUUUCUUACUUACAUAUGCAAGAAACAUGCUAUAUGUAUACUCUCCACCAUUGUCUGUCCUCAGGCACUUGAUCCCUUGCCCUGAUUUAAGUUCAAUCUAUGCUUUGAAUUCUUUGAACAAUGGAAAUACAUUUGACCUUUUCUUGAUUAGAUACACUAAAUAUCUCCUAGAAUAAUCAUCAAUAAAAGUCACCAAAUACUUUGCACCUCUCAUAGAUAUAUCAAUUGAUUCCCAAACAUUAGAAUGAAUCAAGUCUAAAAUACAUUUACUUUUGAAAGUGGAUCUGCUAAACUUUCAUCUAUGUUGCUUCAUUGUUUCGACAUGUGGCUAAGCUUAAGAUGCCACAUCAUCGCUGAAUUUUCUCUAUUUGAUGUGACACACACAAAAGCUUUCUGUAGUGUUUCCAUUUAAUUAUGAAUAGAUUAGCACCGAUCUUUUCCACCUUCAUUAAUGCAAGUGUGCCUUUGACUAUCUUUAUGAUCCCAUUUUCUACAUGAGUUUUGUGCACAAGGCUAUCUAUUUGUCCUAAAGACAAGAGAUAUUUUUCAAGUUUUUGACAUGUCUUACCUUCUCAAUUGUGCGAACCGUACCAUUAAACAUAUUUAUUUUGACAGUACCAAUAUCAAUGAUCUCAAAGGCAUGAUUAUCGCCUAUGUAUACAGAUUCUCUUGAAAUAGGUUCAUAUUUGUGAAAUCAUUCUCUUGGAGAGAUCAUGUGCCAGGCAACUAUUAAGUCUAUAAGCCAGACGUCAUAUAGUGGUUUUCUGCCUUCUGAAGCAGUUGUUGCCUUACUGUAGAGAAUUUUGCCAUCAUACGAGGUACUUACUACAUACCCUUGAGCAUUUGAUGACUCAGGAUCUUUACCCUCUCUUCUCUUCUAGUUGUUCCAAUACUCUUCCUUGACAUACUCUUUCUUGCCACAGUUGUUGCAUUCAACAUUCUUAUUACUUCUUGAUUUCGAUCUACUGUGAUUGUGGCUCUCACUAGGGCCACGUUCCAUGGAUCUUCCUUUCAUCAUCAAUAGUGUUUCUACUUGCUGCGAACUUGUCUGUCUAUCUUUUUUAUUUUUUGCUACUCUCCUCAUUUAAUACGGAGGCUGCCAUAUUGUCAAAGACUAACUUGUCUGCUCGAUUGUUAUUAGUUAGAUUAAUGACGAAUUGAUCAUACGAAUCUGGUAAACCUUGAAGUAAAAGCUCUACAUGAUCAUUUUCCUCUAUUUUAUGACCCAAUGUUGUAAGUUAUGAAAAUAAAGUCUUUAAAGUGUUGAUAUGGUCGAUCACUGAUGUAGAUUCCGUCAUUCGAAGAGUAUAAAGCCUCCUCUUUAAAAAGAUUUUAUUUUGUAGUGAUUUGACCUCGUAUAGUCUUGUGAGAGUAAACCAUAUUUCCUUUGCUCUCUUUUACUCUACUACAUUGAAUAAUACCUUAUUUGAAAGUGGUAUGUGUAGAUUUGCAAUGGCAUUAUUGUCUAUCUCAUUCCACUUGUCAUCAUCAGUUAUCUUUGUGAGCCUCUCUUCAAUUGCUGCCAAGCAAUUACUCUUCCUCAAUACAACCUUCAUCUUCAUUUUUCAUGACGAAAAAUUAUUUUUGUUGAACUUCUAAAUUUUGUAUUUUUCUGCCAUCACUGUUCACCACGAGCUACCUUUGCUAAGAUUGAUUCCUACCAUUUCACAUGAGCAGUAACUGUAUAUAUGAAUAAAGUGUUGUAUACAGAAACAAUAUCAUAGACAUGAACAGUACAAUAUAUGUAAACAGUAUCUCGACCCCAAAAAAUACAACCCGACUCUAAUACCACUAUUAGAAAAUUAAUUGGUGAAGUAGGGCCGCGACUAAAAUAAAAUUGGAAGAAAAUGAAGAACAAGCACACUGAGGACACCAUAAAUUAUUUGGUUCGACUUUUAACUUAUGCCCAUAGGUAAGGACAAAAGGAUAAAACUUUACUAGUGAAAUGAAGAUUAUAAGUAUUUUAGUAUUUUGUUUCACUUCUCAAAACCUUAAUACACCCAAUCUCUCCAAACACUAGUCACUCAAGAGUAUAAAACUCUUAAUCUCUCAUUAUAGAACUAAAGAAGAAAAUAAUAGAAUGAAUGAAAUGAGGGGGUGAACCCCUCUAUUUAUAGCUAAAAAUUUGGGCACUUUUUAUAUUUAUUAUUAUUUCAAAAUUUAAAGUUUGAACUUGAUAUUCAAACUUUGAAUAUCAAAAGAUACGGGUUGUUCUUCUAGAAGAACCGCACCAACAUUGACUCUUAGGCAGACCUUUAGAGCUUUAAAUAAAGAAAAAGCUUUUAAAAAUGCCAUGUGUACUUGAUUAUACAAUAAUCUCCACCACAUAGAAUGAUUUGAUAAAAGAAAUUUUUAAUUUUUAAUUUUACUUUUAUCAGGCACGGUGUAUUUCCCCUUGGGCUCAUAUGUAAGGAUGUCAAUAAGAUGGGAAGGAGAGGGGAUUGAUUUCCCCAUACUCAUCUUUAAUACUCUGUGUAUCUCUUUGUACUCUAGACAGUUCCUUCAAAAUUACUUGAAACGAGGGGAUGGAUGUUUCUAAAUAAUACAAAGGGAUCUCUUAUGGCAUCCGAUCUCUGAUUAUUUAAUUUCUUUUUUUUUUCUUAAUUUAAUCAUCUUAAAGUAAAAAUAUAAAAUCAUAUUAACACAAAAAAUAUCAAAUUAACUAAAGUGAUUAAAAUCAUUUCCAUCAAAUUAAGUCAAUGUCAUCAAAUUAGAAGAUAAUCUUUGAACUAAUUAAGCAAAAGUAAAUCUUCAAAGUUGAACUCAUCCAUAAAUGUCAUAUAGUAUAAACCAUCAAUUAAAUUAUCUUUGUCAAUUUUAAAGUGUUUAUAUUUACUUUAUAUUGGCUGUUAUUUAUAUUAUUUUUAUAAAUGUAUUAUGAUAUUUUUUAUUUACAUCACACUAUUACAAUUGAAAUUUUAAAUGUAUUUACUAUAAAUUUGAAAAAAAUGAAUUAAAAAUAGAAACUAAAGAUAGAAAUAAAAAAAUGUGGAGCCAAAUAAAAUAUUAGGGCAAACACUAAGUUAUAAUUCAAGUAACUUACACCCACACAUAUUAAUUUAUCACAGCCUUGUCUCCACAUAGAAAAAUUAGAUCUAAAAUUAUCAAACUCCCGAAUGAGGAAGAUCCCUCGGGGCCAUCGUCCCUGUGGAAAUUUCUGCAUCCCUGCAGUCUACAACGCCUAAUAAUGAAUUGAACGGUUGAAAUCCCUCUAAAUUUUUUAUAAUUUCUAAUCGCCCCUCCAUAUUUGAUUGAACAUCAAAACUAUGGAGUCCAAAUUUAUAACUUUGAUUUAUCUUCCAUUCCAUAGUUUUCAAGUUCUCUCUCUCUCUCUCUCUCUCUCUCUCUUUUAACCCUUUUUACUGCAACCACCAUCAAAGCCUAGUAGUUAAUAUGUAUGCUGCUUUGCUUUCAAAAUCGGACACUACUGGUAUUUAUGGUUUUUAUUCUUUAUUUGACACAAAAUUUGGCGAUAUCUCCGAGGAAAAACACUACUGGUGUAUUCAAUUUUAUCCGGUAAUGAUUAAAUUGAUUAUUACAUGAACCGUAACUUCGCCGAGCCCAAAAUACAUAUUAAGUUAUAAAGCGUUCGCACUCAUUAUUUUUCGCAAAAAGUUUCGCCCAAAAUACAUAUAUUUUUUUAAUUUUUUCUGUGAAAAAAACUACUGUUAUAUUCAAUUUUAUCAUUAAAGUUGUUAGUUACAUGAACCUUAAAUUAACACAAACCGUAACUUAGCCAAGCCCAUAAUACAUAUUUCAUAUUUGUAUGAAAUUUAAAGUUUUUCCACUUAUUAUUUUUCGCUAAAAGUUUCUAAAUUGUAUUGUAGUUUGAACUUGCCCAUCAUUCAAUUUUUUAACUCCACAAUUAUUUGACCUUACCAAGCUUGAAAAUAUCCUUCCAUACAUAUUUAAUUUUCUCCAAGUAUGAUGAAGAUUUAAUCAAGAGCCUCCGGGAUCUUAAAGUGCAAGAAAGGUCCGGAAAAUUUUUAAAACCCCACUGUUUAAAGUUUUUUUGGACUUUCUUGCACUUUAAAAUCUUGGAUUGAUAUAUAUAUAUAUAAUCAUUAUUAGGUGCUAGUGUUCUCAUUUUUUUUUUUAAUGCAAACACCCUUUUAAGCCGUAGGGUUUAAUAACAUUAAAAACUAACUUUCAACUAGCUCUCUUAAAUUGUACGGCUUAAAAGCAUGUUAGCAUGAAAAAAUGAACGUGUCUGUACCAAAAAAGGACUAUAUAUAUUAUUUACUUUAUAUAGACAUACGUGCGCGCGCUCGCAUAUAUAUAUAUAUAUCAUUUUAAUAUAUUCCAUUACUUUAAUAAUCAAUUUAAAAUAGUUUGUGAUAUUUCCAGCUAUUUAUUUAUCUACUUUUAGUUAGUUAUUUACACCGAAUGAAGUGAUAGGGUCCAACUUUUAGUAUCCUUCUCAGCUGUUUGGGGUUAGUAAAUACUAAUUAGCUUAUUCGUCCCGAACAGCCGCGUAAAUGCUGUUAGAUUUCGGAGAGAUGCUGAGGAUGGUACAAGAUUUAUCAAAUUGUGGCGACAUUUUUAUACCUUUAGAAUUUCAAGAUUUUGAAGAAAUAAAUGGAAUCUGUUUUCCAUAAGUGAUCCACUAUCUAUCAGGAGGAAUUCUAAAAUACAUUACAGAUUAAUGAUUUUUCAUAAUAAAUAAACAUAUGUUAUAAUAUUAUUUAUUUAUCAUAUGACUGAUAUAAUACUUCUGAUAUAUUUUGAAAUUUUUAAUUCACCAAAGUUCAUUUUUAGCUUUUAAGGUUUUUAUGUGUGAGCCUCUCAGCAUGUUCCCCAACCUCCUCACGUGAAAAUAUUUCUAUGUACGGUUACAAGCUUUUCCAGAUUGUGAGUAUUCCGAAGCAAUCCAACUUGAAAAACAGCUGGUUCGUAGAAAACGACAGUUUACGAAGCUGGCCCUGCUGCCAUACAUAUGAUGAUGAAGACCAUUUUGCUUUAUGUCAAUUCCUCCAAGUUGAAAUCUUUCUCGGUCUGGGACACUUCCAACACAUAAAGUACUACUAGGCUAGAUGAUUUUAAAAAAUGUCAAGGUCCUUUAUCAAAUUUCAUUUGCAUUCAAGACCAACCCCCUUUGAUGAAAAUCAAUAAUUAAAGACUUUCCAAUGAGAAAUUAUUACGUCUUCAAAUCUCAAAAAACGCCAGAAUAUUAAUUCGCUACAUAUAAUCAAGAUAUCUCAUUGAGACGCAUUAAUAAAAAAUGUCAAAAUGCAUAGAAAGAGCAGACACACGGAUGAUGAAUUUACUCAUCUUUAUUAGUAUUUGAAUUUGAGAGACAGAAUGAAGUACAUGUCAAGAAUAUCAUAAAGAUGGAAACCGGAAGUCCUCCGCACAUAAACUUUGAAGAAACUGGAAAACGACUUUAUUCCAGAUAAUGCACACCAGAGUGACCAAAAUUCUCUUCAGUAACUAUGGAGAAAAUAUUAUUUUGCAUGCAUUUCACGUAACUGGAUCAAACUACUCCCCUGUUGGUUUGUCAGACCACAUUUUUAUGGUGCAAUAUAAACCAUCUUUUCAAAACACUUCGACAAUGUGAGAAACAAAUGAUUUUUAUAUAGUUGUUCAUAGCUAACUUUUGAUGGUUUAAUGAUCUGUAGAUUUUGUUUUAUGCUGUUCAAGGAAUGAUAUCCAAUUGUUCCUAAGAGUUCAUAGGCAGGGGCAUAUAUGCAUGAUUUGAUAUAAUUCUUGCAAUUUCUAAGUACUUGCUCUUUUCAUCCCUUCUAAGUUUUGAAAGAAAGGUCGAAAUAAACAGAGAAACAGGACAAACAGAAGAAGACUGAAUUAACAGAUCAACAAAGAUGGCAACUAACAAAUGGAAAAGUUCUCUUGUAAUCAAACUAUAGCAAACAGACAAUACCAUUGCCAUAUAUCUUAAUCAGUAGAUUGAUUCUCAACAUAUAUGUUAGGAUACAUUUGGUUGUUUAAUAGUUCGAAAUAAAGAGGAUGAGAUGGUUUCCACAUAAAAGUGCUGGGCCUUUCAAUGACAUUUUCAAGGAAUUAUAAAAUUCAAAAUAAAAAAAAAAAUAGCACAUUAUAAAGCCACACCGUCAAAAAAAUAAAUAAAUAAAUAAGUGAAGACCUUUAAUGAUAUAAAAAUAAAUAAAUAGAUAAGUCACUAAGACCUUUAAUGAUAUAAAAUAAGCAUAUAAAUCUCAUAACAAAACAUUAAAACUCAUUCUAAAAGUAAAAAUAAACUAGUGGUGUAUUCCAAACAAUUUAGAUGAAGCAAUAAAACAAGCCAAGAAAUCAAAUAAAAUGAAAUGAAAUUGAAUUAACCGGGACUUUGUUUUUCAAAUUCACAACUCGCUUGUAAUUAAAGUAAAAUGCCAAUGCCAUUAGGACACAUACAUCGUUGAAUAAGAUGAGGACCCCUCCAACAGCUGAAAGUAAAAUUUUCAUUCAUUAGUUUCAAUUAAAAUUAAAGCACACAGAGAUUUGCAGGGAAGCAAGAGAUUUAAUAAAUUUAACAGCAGCAAUUUAAUUUGACAGGACUUCCAUACAGUAAUGAAGUUAAAAACUAAUGAUUAACGAAUUUAGUUUGGUCCCAAAGCUGUUGAUCAUCUCUCUCUCCAUAGUAGAAGUUUACUCUCAGAGGCGCGUUUAAUUCUCCUUUAGUGAAAAUCUUCAUCUUGGGACAACCAAUUAUAGAUUCCUUGAAGGUGUAAUUGGCAGAGCAGAAACUUCUGAGACUGUCAGCAGAAACUUGUGAGACUACCCAAAUCAUACAGAUACAAAAUCUUCAAUUUGGUGAAAACAAUCUCUUCUUCAAAAUUUGCUGCUCCAUCUUCGUCAUUUAUCACCACCUCUCUCAUUGCUCUGCAUCCAUACACCAACAUUGAUAAGAGUCGCUGUAGAGUUUGGAGUGACAGAUUCGAUAAUGAUCAACUCCAAAUACUCGCCAAGAUCGCAAAUCAAACAACCAAGAUGCAAAAAGAAUCAAUCCAGAACAAAUCACAGAGAAACUUAAGAACCGAAAAGAAUUAAAGAAUUAGCAGCAAAGACAAAAGAUAUAACAGAUUUUGACAAUAAUGUACAUUUAGAAUUUCAAGGCAUUGAAUAAAGGAGUCCAAUUUGGAGUCUUGUUUCCACAAUUGCUUCAGAUGAUUAAAUUUGUGCAGAUCUAAAUGUUUUAUCAUUGUAAACUUCCUCACAUGUUUCUUCAAGUAUCCUCCAUUCGAAAAUACCUCUUCGCAUGAACAACGACGCCGUAUGAGAGUUUCCAGAUUAUGAAAUCUCUCAAGUAAAUCAAGUGGAAAACAAGUUGAGUCAUCAUCCACUGUUUGUAGUAGUUUAAGACUGCCAAAAAGGUGUCGUGGGAAAUCGCUCUGCAAAGUCAUCCUCGAGUCUUUUCCACUUAAUGCCAGUUGGGUAAGCUCUGAUCAUCAUCAAUCACGUAAUAACUUAUUAAGUCAAUUCAUAUUCUCUCAAAUAACUUUUAAUAAUCCAAUCAUACACAGUGACUUUAAUAUAAAUGCAUAAUAUUUUACAAAAAAGAAGAAAAAAUCGAAUUAGAGGUAAAAGUUAUUCUACGAUUUUAUUUUUUAUAUAUAUCUUGCAUGCUAUUCCCAAAAGCAAUCCCAAACGACCCUUAAAGCAAUUUUACAAAAGCGGCCCGUACAUGUAUUGCCAACUUUGUUAGGAAUGGCAAUGGAAAGGGGAGGGGAAGAGACUGAUCUCCCCGUACCCAUUCCCGAUAUUCUGCAUAUAUCCAUGUCCUCUUCCCAUUCCCGACAAAAUUACUUUAGGGAAUCCCCCUCCCCUCCCCAAAUAAUAAUAGGGGAUCCUUAAAGGUCCUCGAUUGUCGAAUAACUGAUACGUUUUUAGUUUUAAAUUUUAAUUUAAUCAUAUUAAAAUAAAAAAUAAAAAUAAAGUUUGACGAUAUAUCUUACAUUAACAUUAAUCUAUUACAAAAGUCACAUUACAAAGUAUAAAUCACCAUAAUAAUUAUCUUCGGCAAUCUUCAAAAUCAUAUAAUAAAAAAAAAAGAAAUUACUUUUAUAUCAACAAUGAGAUAAAUGAAAUGAAUAUAGAUACUUAAUCAAUAUUUCUAAUAAAAGUAUUUACCUCUUGUGUCUCCUACUCUUCUUGUUCUUCCUCGAGGAAUGUGACAAAUUGAGAGAUAGCCUCAGAUUUCAAAUUUAAAACAACAAAAAUAAUAUAAGUAAUGUAAAUUCUAAGUGAAAAUAUUAAUAAUUAUAUAAUAUAAUUACAAUGUAAAAUAAACUCAUACUGCCAUUGUAAGCUUGUAGUCAACUUUGACAACAUAUUAAAGCCUCCAAUGUGCUUGAAUAAAGCGUGUUACAGUACUCUAACACUGGUGCUAAAAGCUAAUUCAAAAGCAACAUUUGUAAUUAGAAUUGCCAAAAUAUCUCUAGCAAUUCAUAUACCCUCCUUAUGUUACUAACCACGUGACGGUAGAGAGCCAAUUGGCAUACUAUUAUUUUGACGGUAGAGUUAUAAAUUUGUUUCUAAAUAGAAAACUAUUUGCUGAAGUCAAUAUUUUCAAAACCAAAGUCCCAAAUUCUCUCUCGUGCGUGCCUGGCCAUCCUAAACCUUACUGGUAGCCGGAGAAUGGCGUAAAACGGCGGCGAUCUUCUUCUUCAUCUUAUUAUCUCUCUCAUCGUUUCAGGUAAGCUUGUGAUUAUGAGUUUCUUCUCUUUCUUAGCUUGUAAUUAUAGGUUUUGAUUUCUUUAAUUCGUAUUGUAACCAUUAAUGUCAAUUUUUGUCCCGCCGGCAAUAUUUCUUGUUCCUAGAAGUUGAAGCCCUUCUGUUCUUGUUCCAUUGGUGACUUUGCUCACUCAAAUUAAUUUUGUUCUGCGGAAUUUACAAAGUUCAAAUGGAUUCAUUUGGAUUACUAUUGAAUUUAGCUUUCAUUUCAACAUUCAUUCUAAUGUUUUACAAUCAUGUAUUUAGAUUUACUUUAAUUUUAUGUUUAAAGCUUCUACAAUGAAUAGCGGAGCUUGGGUUUUAGUUUCAUUUUCUAAUUAACUUCUUUUAGUUUAUCUUAUAUGCUCGCCAAGUGCUUGUUAUAUUGUCUGAUAAGUUAUAUAACAUUGCUGAUUCUAUAUUAGUAAUGUCAUGUUCCAUUUACGGAAAUUAUAGCACAAAAGUUUUUACAAUGGCUUGCAUCUACAAACUGAAUUGACUUGUAGAGUAAGAGCUUGGAUUAGUGUUAUGUUCUUGAAUAAAUGAAAGUUCAUAUUGUGUAAGAGCAUGUAGAUGUAAAGCAUCACUACCAUUUCUACAAAAUGCUUUCAUUCUGUUCAGAUGCUCCUCUUGAACUUUGAAAGGUGCCUCAUUCAAGUCCUAGCUAUAACUAAUAGCUCUGAUUGCUUAAGUUCCUGUGCUAGCUGAAACAGAUUUAUUUAAUUAAUUAAUUGUGUAUGUACUAAUUAUAUUGAAAGUAUAUGAAGAAAUUGUUUAACAUGAAUGACUUCUAAAUGACUUAAAAGCCUAAAGGAUAUGUCAAAUAAUGCUCAUUUCACUUGAACGAGCCUAAUACUUUUAUGUCUAUGAUUGUCAAUCUUGCUUAAGUGUUUCAGUUAAGUGGUUUACCUAACAGGGGAAAAAAUUUAAUGGAAAACUUUAGAGUUCGAACAGAAAUAUAGUUGACUGCAGAUAUAGUUAUUUUACGGUACAUAAAUCAUAUUGUCCUAUACUCAAUGUCCUACGACCUAUUUUAUUUUAUAUGGUCAUUCAUUUUUGCGAUGGUUUUUUGUGCUUAUGAGUAUGGAAAUAGUGGGAUUUGGUGUGGCAAACAAAAAUAUACAUAUAAUCAAGUUUCUUAAUCAUGUAUAUUGGUUUUGGGUAUGAAUGUUUUCCUAUUCUAGUUCUAGACAAAGUUUCUUCAUUUUGGUCUUCAGAUUUCCAGUAGGUUAAGUUAAGCAACUAUCAUAACUAGCUAGCUAGUUAUUGCCUGCCUUGUCGCCAUUACCGACGCCAUUACAUUGCAUGGCAUAAGGAAUAGUAACUAGGUGAUUAUUGGUGAUUCCUUGAGUUUAUUAUUGGCCAAACAAACAUAUUCGCCUUUACCCACAACUUAGUUUGAUUAGUUAUUAGAUAAUAAAGAGCCUUAAUCUAUGCAUUGCUUUAUUAUUUUUAUUUGGUUUUUCUUUCAACAAUAUUGUUGAUUUCUUAUAAAAAAUAUUCAUUGGUUUUUAAACACCUAAUCAUUGGCUAUAAUGAAGCUAAUUAAAACGGAGGCUUUGGAUCAAUUUCUGUUAACAACAUACAAAUGAGCAUAACCACCCCCCCCCCCCCCCCCCCAACCACCACCAAAAAAAAAAAAAACCAAAUAGGAAGACUUUGCAAGAUUCACAACCAGGUUACAUUUAAUUUAUUAAUUGUGUGUACGUACUAGUUAUUUGUUGAUAGAAUAGGAAGAAGUAUUUUAAUAUGAAUGGCUUAAAACUUAUUGCUCAGUAAACAUAAUGUGCAUCAGUGCUAGAAAAUGUAUUUAUUGUUUGUAAUUUUUUAUGGUUUUGCUUAAGAAAUGAAAUGUGAAAAAAUGCUACAUUUUAUUAGGAAUAAAUUGAAGAGAUUUAUGAUUUUUAUGUGUUAUUCAAGUUUCAGAUUCAAUUUUAAACUUUUGAUACAUGCAUUGAAAGCUUAAACUCCUUUAAGAAAUUAUUAAUAGACACAUGUUUUAUUAGUGUCAUCUUUUGGAUGAUAGUGAGGAUCUUAUGUCUAUUAAUAAUUCUUGAAUUAUCUAGGCUUGGACAGUUUGGUAAUGCAUAGAUUUCUAUGGCAGCUAGUGCCUGAAAUUUUUUUCCCACGUAAAAAUGGGUUUUUCCGCAGCUGCUCCUCAUGUUCUCUGGGUGCAUACUAGACAAAUGGGUGUCAUGUGUUGUUUUGGCAUAACACAUAAACACUCAUAUAUCUAUGUCGUGUACUUGAAGAACUAUAGGGAGAUGCUUCCGAAGUUUCUAUAAACGUAGAGGAAAACUUUAGAUACUUAAGAUUGAAGAAACUUAUGCAUUCUUGAGUGGGAUAUAUAGGACCACUUACCUUUUGUAAAUAUGAAGGGAAUGUUGGAUAUAUUGAUGGGAGUGGAGGAGCUGAGUGGGAUGAAUGUAAUCGGUUAUGAUUUUGCUGAGUUGACUUGGUUUUGAGUCUUGUAAUUUUGUUUAUAAAUGGAGUACUAUCUCCAAUGUUGGUUUAUAAAUAUGUUUCAGCUGGCUGACCUAAUUUUUUGUUUCUAGGUAACAGGCUUUAUAUAUCUGUAAUUGAUAGCCAAGUGAAGUUCUCAGCAGUGGGUGAGGAUAUUUCUUUACAGAAGGUAUUGCAAACUGUUUUUUAGAUUAAUUAUUAUUGUAUAUAUACUUUAAUUUUCACAUCUUUUUCUCUGAUUCUUGUGGCUUUGCUUGCUUCCAUAUAUAUAAAACCAUAAAAUUGUAUAAUAAUUUUUUUAUUAUAUUGCGAAACUGCGCACACAUGAAAAUAUCUUGUUUAGUAGUAGAAAUGAAGAAUUAAAGUGAUUUAUUUAACUAAUUUUUCUAGUGCAUUAAAAGGAGAUAGUCAUGGACCAGAGUUGGGUUGGUUUGCCAAAUAGAUAUCCAAUUCAUAUACUGAUGGGGUCAAAAAAUUUAUAGAUUUUGCAUUUGAGAAUGUUGUUGGUGAUAAAAGAAUUUAUUGCCCUUUAGAAGUGUCGUAAUAUCGAUAUUUCAUUAUAAGGAAAGUAGCAAGAGACCAUAUCAUUAUAAAUGGCUAUUGGUUAAAGUAUUAAAACUGGAUAUUGGAGGGUGAGCCAUCUUCAUCUUUGAAAUCUAACUAAGAAACAGGUUAGUCAUGACUCGGGUAGUGAUGCUAGUAUGCUUGGAAUGAUGCAUAAUGCAUCACGUAAUCAAAUGUUCAAGUCACACGCAGCAUUGUUAUGGACUAUCUCCGACUUUCUAGCAUAUGCCAACUUGUUUGGGUGGAGUAUUAAAGGUAAAUAAGCAUUUCUUGUUUGCCAACAAAACACUAGAUCUAAUUGGUUGAUACAUAGUAGAAAAUUGUCACGUGGGUCACCGUCGAUUUUUACCAACAAAUCAUAGGUUCCGAAAAUAUAGUGCCAUCUGAUAAAACUAGAGAGUGGGGACAAGCACCUUCUCGGUUGUCUGGAGCCGAGGUGAAAAACCAGUUCAGUAAUGUACUUAAGAUUGAAGACUUGAAAAGAGGAGAAAAGAGGAGAAUGAAUAAAAUGAAAGAAAUGAUAAGAUUACUUGGAAGAAGAAAAGCAUUUUUUAUGAACUAACGUAUUGGGAGUUCAAUUUGAUUCAUCAUAAUCUCGAUGUCAUGCACCGUUUUGAUUUUUGUUAUGAACUCAGAUCAAAAGUUUAAUGUGAUCAAAAUUUCUUAAAAAUAGUGAAAACGACUCCUCCUAAUAAUAUGGAAGAUGGCUAUAAAAGAUAAUUUCUUAAAAGUUUAAUGUGAUCAAAAUUGCUUGUGAACGCAAGGGUUUUAGUUACACUGUCAACGCUGUCAAUGUAGUGAUACAAUGAAGAUGAAGUAAAGCAUUAGUAGAAUAAUGAAGUUGACCAGUAACACAGUAAAGCAAAUUUUAUUCCAGAGCAUGAAAACUUUUAAACAGUAACACAGCUCUUAUUCCAGAGGCUGCACGCGAGUGACCUGAAUCUUCUUCAGAACUUUCAAAUUUUAUCAAGCAAAGCUUUCAAAAUCCUUUGCCUUCCUAAGUUAGGAAAGAUAGAUGUGGAGCAAACUAUUUUUUUUAGAUAUUUUCACUUUGGGCUGUCAGCCCGAGGAAGUAGGGGGGUCUGAGUUAUUCAACUGAAAAUGUCGGCCAAGUUCUUGUGUUAGUUUUAGUAUAUUGUGUACAAAUGAUACACUAACUUGAAUUUAUAUGCUUUUAUGACUAUUUGAUAAUCAAAUGGGUAAAUGACACGAAUAACUUUGAGUUUAAAAAUCUGGCCCUGAUGCCUGGUAGCCCUCCAACCUAUGAAGCACUAGAUGUUUUAAUGAUAAAACGACAAGACCAUUUAUCAAAUUUCUUGUGGAUAUAAAUACAUACACAUAGACGAGACCAACCUCCUCAAAUGAGAAUCAGAGUGAUUACAAGACCUUUCAAUGAGACAAUAAUACACCAUCAAAUCUCAAAAUACAAUAGAAAUUCAUGACAUAUAUAUAAUAAAAGACCACUCAUUGAGUCAUAUAUAUUGAGAAUAAAUUUUUUUUAAUACAUACAAAGAGCUUAGCUAGAAUGAAAUGUCUUUGGACUUGCGAUGAAAACAAAGGAAACAGACAUGUUGCAACUCACACUAUCACAGAUGUAGCGACACAAUGCAGUGAAUCACAAGAAGAUCACGAAGAUGGAAACGGGAACCCCUCAGAAUGUAAACUUUGAAUAGAGGAAAAAAGGAAAACGACCUUAUUCACAGAGGACGAGUGACUUAAAUCUUCAUCAGUAUCCAAACAUUCUGCAAUCAUAGAGUAGAGAAAUUUUAACAGGAACAGCAGAGAAAAUAUUAUGAAUAUGCACUGAUUACGUUUUUUUUUUUAAUUUUUUUAAUCCGAUUAAUGAUAUUCAGCUGUUCUUUAAUUAUGUGUUCAUAGGGAAGAACAUUUUCUAAGUACUUUCCUUGCCUUCUAACUUUCCAAGGAAAUAUAGGUGUGAAGAAAAGCAAACCCAAUGAACAAACAGAGCACAAAGUAAAAUAAAAGAACAGCAAUGAUGACGAUAAAUAAUUGGCAAAGAAAGAAAGGAAAAAGUAUGCACGUUUUCAAGGAUUUAUAAAAUACGAAGGCUUUUAAUGGAAUUUUAUCAUAAAAACGUAUGCAAGGAGUUAUAAAAUUUUAGAAGACGAGGGGAGCUCGCAAAAAAAAAAAAAAAAGACUCAAAUUAAACUAGACUAAAAAGACAUUCAAUUAUGCAAAAUCUGUCCAUAAAAGUCUGAAAGGAUCAUUAAAAUUGCAUUGCAAAUUUAACAGUAAACCGAGGGAUCCAUUCUAAAUAAUUCAGAUGAAAUUGCGAAACAAGCCAUGGGAUUAAAUAAAUGAAAUAAAAAUUAAUUACCAGUUGAGACUUUCUUCUAAAAAUUCGCAACUCCAAGUCAUAAGAAGCCUAUGAAAUUAGUCGUACUGCGUAGAGUAUGACGACGACACCGCCAACAGCUGAAAGUAAAAUUCUUAUUCAUCAAUUUAAACUUUUACUUUAUAAAAAAUAUCUUAUCUAUAUUGUAUUUAAGAAAGCAAAUUUUGUAAAAAUUUAUCAUGGGAGAUAGAGAGUAAUAUGUAUAGACGUACCUUCUCAGCAUGUAAUUGUUGUAUGGUUGUGUUUAGAUCAUUAUUAGCCCAGCGCCGUUGAUCCGCUGUCUCUCCAUAGCAGACGUUUACUCUUAGAGGCAUGAUUGAUUCUCCUGUAGUGAAAAUCUUCAUCUUGGGACAACCAAUCACACACAAAUCUUGCAAAGAUGGGAAUUUGAAGGUGUAAUUGGCAGAGCAGAAACUUGUGAGGCUAUCUAAAUCACGCAGUUCCAACGUCUUCAAUUUGCGGAAAACAAUCUCUUCUUUUUCAACUCCUUCUUUGUCAUUUAUUACCACCUCUGUCAUUGCUCUGCAUUCACGCAUACGCACUGUGACGAGUUGCACUAGAGUUUUUGCUGUGGAGGAUGUUACCAAGUGUAUCAAUUCCUUGCAACCGAAAGCUACAAUUUCGGUUAGGUUCCGAAAAGAUACCGAUGAUGAUGGCAAUAGAAUUAACAGACUUUGACAAUCAUAUACUUUUAGAAUUUCAAGAUACUGAAAAAUGGGGCCAAGUUUGGAGUCUUGUUUGCACAGCUGCUCAAGAUGAUAGUGCUGGUGCAGCUGUAAUUCUUUUAUCAUUGCCAACUUCCCCACAUGUUUCUCUAAGCAUCCUUCCAUCGAAAAUACCUCUUCGUGGAAUGAAAAAUUACACAGUAUGAGUAUUUCGAGACUGUGAAAUCUCUCAAGUACAUUCCAGAUUGGAAAACAAGCUGAGUCAUCGCCACCAAUAUUUAGUUGUUUAAGACUGCCAAAAAGGUGUUGGGGGAAAUCGGCCUGCAAAAUCAUCUUCACGUCUUUUCCAUUUAAUGUUAGGUCCUUCAAGUUGGGUAAGAUCUGAUCAUCAUCAAUCAUAAUAAUUAUUAAGGUCAAUUGAUGUUCUCUCAAAUGAUUUUAAGUAAUCCAAUCACACGCAGUGACUUUAUAGUAUUUGUUUUAUAUUAUAUUUUACACAAAAAAAUGAAUUAUUGAAAAAAAUUAUUAAAUGAUUUUUUAUAUGUUAAUUUUAGAGGUAAAAAAGAAAUUAAGGAAAAAAUUUUGAUUUAUACUGGCUGGAAAUUAUUUUAUUGCACAAUAAUAAAUUACUAAUUUAUUUUGUAAGUUCUUAUAUAUGGAAAGACUAAGUAUCUCCAAAAGGCUCUAUAAAUUUUACUCUUUCAAAUUUCUAUUUGCUUACCUAUGUGGCAAAUAGAAAAGUGAAAAAAUAUGUUAUUCUCCAAAAGACUCUUCAAAUAGAAAUGAAUUAAUAUUAUUUUAAUUAAAUAACUAUUUUUAAAAAAUAAAAAGUCAAUAGUAAUUAAAACACCUCUCUCUCUUUCUCCAACAAAAAGUAAUAAAAUAUAAAUUGAAGAGGGGGAAUGCAACUCUCCAAAUUUGAAGAGAGAUGAUCAUUUCUUAUUUGAAGAAUCUUAAUUGGAGUAUCUUUUGGAACUUUAAAUGCUGAUGUGGCUCUUCAAAUAAGUAAUAAAAUCUUAUUUAAAGAGUCUUUUGGUGAUGCUCUAAGGAUUCUUUUAUAAAUGCUAUACCUAAAAAAGUUCAUAUAAUUAUUAAUCUAUCAAUAAAUCCCUUAGUCUAGACUAGCAAAGAUUAUUGUAUAAUAAAAGUUUUCAAUUUAUUGAGUAUUAAUUUAUUGAUGCUUUGUCAUAUUUUUUAAAGUUCAAACUAAGCUAUUGAUAGAAAUCUAGAAAAUGGCUUCAUACAUUUUCCAACGGCAAUAGGGCCUGUUGUGCAGGAGUAUCAAGUUCAUCAUUCUCAAAAAAAAAAAAAAGAUUGAAUUAUUGAUAAAAUUUAUUAAAUGAUUUUUUAUAUGUUAAUUUUAGAGGUAAAAAAGAAAUUAGGGAAAAAAUGUUGAUUUAUACAGGCUCGAAAUUAUUUUAUUGCACAAUAAUAAAUUACUAAUUUAUUUUGUAAGUUCUUCUAUAUGGAAAGACUGAGGAUUCUUUUACAAAUGCUAUACCUAAAACAAUUCAUAUAAUUAUUAAUCUACCACAUUGAUCCCUUAGUCUAGACUAACAAAGAUUAUUGUAUAAUAAAAGUUUUUAAUUUAUUGAGUAUUAAUUUAUCGAUACUUUGUCAUAUUUUUCAAAGUUAAAAAUAAGCUAUUGAUAAAAAAUCUAGAAAAUGGCUUCAUACCUUUUCCAACGGCAAGGGGGGCAGUUGUGCAGGAAUACCAAGUUGAUCAUUCUCAUUAUUCUGCGAUAAAUCUGCAGCGAAUAUCUUUAAUUUGUCACAACCAUACACAUAAAGAAUUUCUAGCGCGGGCCAUUCCGAAGUAUGCAUUCCAGGGUACAAACAUCUAAGUUUUGGUAGAUCUUGGAGUCUCAGAGUGGUGAGCGGUGGAAAGACAAAAUGAGGGAUCACUUGAUCUGCUCUGUUUUCAGAAAUGAUCUCCUGUAAAUCCUUACAGAAGCGUAUAUCUAGGUGUUGGAGCUGCUUAAGGCUUCCGAUCAUAGACGCUGAAAAUAUGUAUUUUAAUUUAUGACAACGAUGCACAGUCAAUCGUGUUAAAUUUUGAAAGCGAGGAAACAUGACCGGAAGAUUAUUGUAGUGCCAAAUCUUGUCGACAUUAAUUUCAUAUAUCUCCAAAGCCUCCAAGUUAGGCAACGCAACCUAAAAAAAUAAGAAUUUCUCGUUAGAUCCAAUAUCCAUAUGGGAAGCACUUGUUGAAAUUUUCUUCUUUGAUUACAAAUUAAUGCAAGUCUGAAUCAAUUUCCAACUGACAGCUGAGUAUGCAUUCUAAUUCAUACUACUUGUUAAGAGCUCAAUUAGUGAGCGCGUGAGAUUCUUUUUAUCCUUUUUUCCAUUUUCUUUCAAAUCUUUAAAUGAUUUAAUUACGAAAAAUUAAAUGAUUAAGCCCAUUUUAGUUGACCAAUUUUCUUAAUUAUAUGAAUAAAAUCUGUUAUAUAUGAAGAAAAUGUUAGCCUACGCACCUUCUCGUUGAAAAGCAGAGUUGAAGUAUCCAAAGUGAUUUCGCUGGAGCUAUACGUAGUCGUCGAUUCCUCCUGCGACGCUGGUCUGUUUGGUGAUGCUGAAGGAGUCUUUACUUCACGGCAGAAAUUUGUAACCUCUGGAAGAUUCCCCAGACUCAAAUAUCUUAAUUGAGCAAACUCUAUCUUCUCAAUUGCAUUAUCAACUUCUUCCCCAAUUGCAAAAAUCUCUUUCAUCUUGCUGCAAUUAAUAACUGCAAUUCUCUCAAGUCUUGGAAGGCAUUUUGUAGUAGAGAGCCAAAAGAUAUUACUCAAUUUAUCACAACUAUAUGCUUCUAUGGUUUUGAGUUUGUUGAAAGACUCUACUUUGAGCCGAUCAAUACAUAUCCUCUCCAUGUUGAUCAAGUUGUGAAGGAUAAGUGACUCCAAAGGAGGAAAGGCAUCACAAGCGACCAUCUCCCUGGAAUCGACGAUACAAAAGAUGUCAGGAUUAUUUUGAACCCAGAGAAGCUUCAAUUGUGAAAAGCCCUCCGUGUCCAAAUUGAAAAGAACACUCUCGAUGCCUUGCAGCUUGUCCAACCAUAAGCAUUCAACGUUAUUGAUGCCCUGCAAUUUCAUGGAGCAAAUGUCCAUAAAAUCAAGCUUGAGCUUCAAUGCUCUUAAACUCUUGCGAUCUCUGUCGAUCACAAAGUGCUGCCAACUUUUAAACCAUCUGUGUCUAAAAAGCAUGGGAUGUGUGAAUAACCCAUUUCCAAUAUGUAUUUGGAACCUUUCGAGCUUUCUGGCCAAAAAGCCUUCUGGUAAAAUACUAUCAUUUUUAACAUCAAUUUCUAGAGUGGUUAGCCGAGGUAAAUGCAUCAAUUCAUCAAGGCUAGCAUUACUUCUUUUGCUGUUGGCUCUUUCAACCUCCCAUUCAAUGGAGCAAUUACCCAUAUACAAUUCUUCUAAUCGGAUUAAGCUUGAUAUGACAUUUGGGGCAAUAACUUUCAGACGGAAACAGUCUGUUAAAUCUAACAACCUUAGCUUAGUCAGUUGACCGAGUGCUUUAGGCAACUCUACAAUAUCAGAUUCCAAAAAGCUGAUGAUUUCUAGAUUUUCCAACUUUCCAAUAAUGGCUAUGUCUAUGCCUCCCAAAAUGCUUUGAUUAAGACAGAGUGUCUGAAGAUUUACUAGAAGACCAAUUGAAGAUGGCAAUGACAAUAACCGCAUUCUAGUCAAAUCCAAAACCCGAAGCUUUUUCGUCCUUUUGAAGAAGUUCUCAGGAAUAUUAGGCACAGCAAAAGAGUUCUUGGGAGACAUGAGUAGAAGUUCAAGUUGUAGAGAUUCGGACCCUUCAAGAAUGUCAUUAAUAAUACUAUCUUUUAAAGAAAUUGCAAGAUAUUUUUUUAAUUCAUCUGCAUUUGGCCAUUUCCAAUCAUCCUCAUUUCUCACCACAAAUCCAAUUUUGUCACGACAUGCAAUUGAAAUGGCAACAUCGCGAACAACGUCGUGCAUAGAAAAGUAUUUACUGCCACCAUCCUCAAGCAACAAACAAGAGUCUCUUAGUUGAUGGACCCAUGCAUCUAAUUUGUUAUGUGCAUCUUCUAGCUUGUGGACACUUUUAAAUACACCCCAGCCCAUGCUAUAUUUGAACAAGUCCAUAAUUGGUGCUGGCGUAAUAAGACUACACAGUAAAAAAGUUUUCUUGAGUUGCUCACCUCUUAAGUACUUGUAACUCAGCUCAAUUGUUGAGUAUGCCUCUGCUGGUACUCCUUCGUCGAAGCUCGCCUCUGAAGGCGUUCGGAGUUCUUGCAAGGCAUUCUUCCACACAGGCAGCUCUUUUUUUCUCAGUGCCUUUGCUACUGUGAUUAGGGCAAUAGGCAAACCUCCGCAUGCCUUGGCUACACUUGUUGCUGUAGAUUUUAACUCACGAUUUUCAACAUAAUCACCAGCCAUUAUCUUGAACAAACUCCAGGCUUCUUGUUCAUUUAAAAUGCCAAUCGAGAAGUUUUUUUCAGAUCCCAUCCUUAACAGCACAUCAAGAUCUCUUGUUGUGAAUAAUAAUUUACAUCCUCUGUGCUCAACUCCAAAAGGAACUCCAAUAGUCCCCAAAUCAAGAGGUUUCCAGAUGUUAUCCAGAAUCACAAGGAUCUUCUUCUCAUUCUUCAAUCUUUCAUAUAGUCUACUAGCUCUUCUAGACUCAGCUUCCUCGGACAACUGUAGGCCUAACGUUACCGCAAUUUCCUCUUGGAUCUUUUUUAUGUCUGGACUUUGGGUAACCUCCGAAAAAGCCACCAUAUCGUAAAGCUUGUCUUCAAUGGCUCGCCUUGCAAACUCCCGCACCAGUGUCGUCUUUCCAAUGCCGCCCAUGCCGUAGACGCCAAUGAUGCUGACAUCAACAUCGAUCAAUGCAUUUUGUAUGGCCUUCAAAGUAGAAAGUCUUGAUUCGAAGGCCUCGUAGCCUUUGUGAGACUUGAGCCAAAUCUCCUCCGGAAUGGUACGGUAGGAAAUUCUAUCAUCAAAUCUCCCAGCUUCUUCUCGGAGUUUAAAAAGGGCCUCCUUCUCUGUUUCUGCUUUCUUUCCAUGCUGAUAGCGAGUAAUCCAAUUAGGAAACAGCCCCAUGAGACAUCGUUCAUUUGCUUUCUCUUCGUCUUGAAUGAAUUUGGCUGCCUCCUCAAUGCUCUUGUUCGCAUUAACCAGCCAUUUCUCAACCUUCUCUUCAAUCUUUUCACUUUUUCUUUCAGCCUCAGAAACUCUGCGCUGAAUGCUUUCUCUUUCAUCCUUGAGCCCAUCGAGUUCUUCCUUGAGAUUCUCAAAGUUGGCAGCGGAGUUAUACCAAUAACUAAAUUCGCGUUGUGCGUGAGGAGACAAGCAGUUUACAAUGCUUUUCAAAAUGUCCAUUGUUUUUUUGGGUUGGGGGGGGGGGGGGGGGGGGGGGGGGGGGGGGGGGGGGGAGGGGGGGGAAGGGAACGAAAUAGAAAUAGAACAGGGUCAUCGACCGCGCAAUUGAUAAUCAAGUAGAAGCAAAACAAGGCAAAAUUGGAAAAAGAAAUGAUAUUUGUACAAAACAAGGGGAAAAUCAGUGUAACAGAAGAGAAUCAAAGUGUUUUUGAGAUCAGAAAAUUGAAUCAAGAAAAGGGUUGCUUGAUCCAAUGAAAUGCAAACAGCUGGUGGCAAAAGGGAACGAAGCUAAAUAAGAAAACGGCUAGCACGAGCAGUGACCACGAUAAAUAGAAGCAAAGUGUGUAUGAGAUCAAAAGACGAAAAUCAGGAGAGGUUUUCUUGACUGAGAAUUGAAGGCAAAGAGUAGGAGCUGACGAAUACGGGGAUCAAGAGGGAAAAACUGCUUGCUCGUAAAACUACUUUCAAGCGAAUCUGAUAAAAUUAUUUCAAUACUCAUGGGCGACUCCUUUUUAAACUGCAGAAGGAAAAAAAAAAAAAAAAAAAGAGUUCUGAAUUUCAAUAUAUUAAUUUUUAUCCUAAUUUAUGUUGAGAUUCGUAAUCUCGUCUCAAUGAUUAAUUAGUAGAUAUUCUUUCUAACAAAUAUGUGUUGAAUAGAUAUAUUUCUUGACUAUUAGUAAGUUAGAUAUAUUUUGGCAUAGGAAUGAAAGUACCAAGUUGUGUCAUAUUAGAAUAAAAAUUUGAGCUAAAAAUAUUUUUCUAUGACCUUUUAAUUAUUUGUCAGCAAAUAAUUAAGUCAUAUAAAAAAAUUAAUAAUCUGAAUUAGUCUUUAAGUAUUAUAAAUAUUAUUUUUAUUUUUAAUUAUAAUAUCAUUAUUUAAAAAUAAUUGCUUGACUUAUAUUAGUAACAUUACGAUUGUCAUAAAACAUGUGAUCCUGAUCCAAUAUCCAUUAUUUGUGAUCCUUAAUCAAUAAAAUAUCUAACAAUAUCUUCACCUAAAGUUUGAGACAUGUGAUCCUUAUUCCACUGCGUCAAUUACACUCCAGACCAAUGCUGCCGUCAUUAUCGAACGGUCGAUAUCCAACACUUGCACGAAGAUUCCAAGAAGUUGCGUGGCUGCCGACUUUUAGAUGCAAAGCCUCAUUGUGUCGAUGUUACACAAAAGAGAGCAAGUCCGGGUAAUUGCCGAAACUUAGAACUAAACAGUAGCUUAGUCAGAAAAUCAAACGCCAGUAACCGUUAAAAUGACCGAUAAAAAUAUAAAGAAACCAAAGCUUUAAAAGAAAUCAGCCAAAUCACGAAGAUUGAAGAGUAAAUCUAUGGUUUUAGAUUUUUAUUUUAUUUUUUUAGAUAAUAGAUAUUAUUUUGAUGAAUUUUUAAUAUUAGAAUAAUGUUAGGAAUUUCGAUAGUAGAUUUCUAACUUGAGAUCCAAUUGUUAUGUAUCAUUUUUUUAUUGGAUAAUGAAUUUCAUAACUAGUAAAAUUAAUAUUUCGAUCAUCUAAUAAAUGACUAUCAUAUCAGUUGAGACUCAAUUAUUGGGAUCCUUAACAUUGCUCUUACUAUUAAAUUGGACAUCUUAGCUAAAUCAAAUUAGAUUUUAGGCUUUUAUCCAACAUCUCUUUUUUUUUUUUUUUGGUCUAUUUGAAGUGAACGAAAUAAAAAUACAACAGGUUCAACGACUGGGCAAUUGAUAGUCAAGUAGAAACAAAUCAAGGCUAAAUGGGAAAGAGAAAUGAUAUUUGUGCAAAACAAGGAGAAAAUCAGUGUAACUGAAGAGAAUCAAAGUGCUUUUGAGAUAAAAAAAAAUUGAAGCAAGAAAAGGGUCGCUUGAUUGAAUGAAAAUGCUAAGAGCUGAUGGCAAAAGAGAACAAUGUUAAAUAAGAAAACAGCUAGCUCUAGCAGCGACCACAAUAAACAGAAAAGUUGAGAUGGAUUUACAAUAUUUCUGUCUUUCUUCAUGCUUUAACAAAUAUUGCUCUAUAAAAAAAAAUAUUGAGCGUUUUUAUUAUUGGAAUCACAAAAGACCUACACAAUAUAGCAAGUGACUAGGAAUAAAUAAGAAUAUAUAACUCUCUCUCUCAUUCUCACUCUAGCUUUUAAUUGUCACUCAAAACCCAUAAUUCUUCCUUAAAGUGUAAGCAAAUAAGAGAUGACAGCGUCUGGUUGUCAUACGCGCCUUUUAGUUUUCGGAUGACAUGGGGUACACUUCUUCUGUAAACCGAACACGACAUGUCGUACUCUUUGUUUUGAGAUCAUAUUUCAAACUCUUCAUGCUAUGAAUGAAAGAUAAACUACAAUCAUCAAAAUAUUUAGUGUUUAUUUGGUAAUGUAAUGUCAUAGUUGUUGUGAAUUGAAAUUAUUUAUGUAAGAUAAAAGGAUUUGGGUCAUCGUUUGUUAUUCUCUGGCAAUAUUGUUUGGCCGUGACUACUUGAAAUUAUUUCUGUAAGAUAAAAGGAUUUGGGUCAUUGUUUGUUAUUCUCUGGCAAUAUUGUCUGGCCGUGACUAUUUGUUAAAUAUUUAAAAAAUAAAUUUAUAUUUAUUAAGUAUAAAAAAAAUAAACAAACAAAAAUAAAAGGAAAAGUUUAUACAUUACAUAAAAUAAUAAGAACAAUAUCAAUAUUUCACACUCUAUAAUUGAGUGAUGUGUUGUCCAACUGCCAUACUGAUAAACAGUGAACUCGAAACUCAAGUACUACAAGUCGUUUAGAGGAUUCAGUCUCGGAUGACUUGUCACUUGUAGAAGUUCCUGAAGCCAGAACCGACAUAAUCUUAGUCAUCUGUUCUAUCUUUAGUAGUACACGUGGUUUGCACAUGUGUUGAAGCUAACUCUUGCUUGGAUCAAGAAACGACGUCUCUGAGUGCAGUUUCUUAAUCACACUUAAAUCAGCGUGUGACAAGCACGUGAGGCAGAGCUUCUUGGAUAGAUUUGGCGGGAAUGGUAGUUGGCGUAACAACCCAGAAACAGAGGAUAAAAAGGUGCAGGCUUUGUCAUCGUCUUCACAUGAUUUGGGAAACACUGAGAGUAGAGAGAAGAUAGAGAGAGAAAGGGGUUUACAAGUUCUUGUUCUCUGUAAAUCAAUUCCUAUUCUUGUAUUGUUUUGUGAACGAAAUAGUGAAAGACUGUUGCUUUGUUUCCAGUGGAUGUAAGCACCACUUCUUGGUGCUGAACCACUUAUGCUUGGUGUCUUGUUUGUGAUCUUGAAAACUUUGAUUCGUGUGUGUAUUUGUUGCUGAAUAGUCUGUGUUAAUCAUUCUUAAAACCAUCGAUACAGAACUAAGUGUCUUGGGGAGAAUUUGGUUAAUCUUAUCAAAGCCAAAUUCACAACACAUACAUUGGUCCCAAACAGAGACUUAAAUAUUAAAGUCCAAAGUUAUUGUGAUGAUGACUUAUAAUCGCCAAACUUGACAUAGGGGUAAUCAUGCAUUAUAAGGUGCUGAUUUCUUCCGAUCAGAACCUUAUUUUUCAUUUACAAAUAAAUAAAUGAUGUGACUUCACGGUUGGCGGGGUCCUUUGUGUCAUUUGGGCAUUUCACUAAAUGAUUGAUUGCAGCAGGAAGAUUCCUGGAAGUUGCCAUUUGCCAAUGCUACUAACAUUUUCAAACUUGGAAAACCCUUCAAUCAAUCUUUUAGUGGUAGGCUCUGGUAGCUUGGUUUGAUUAUGACAUAUGAUUAUUUGAUAAUAAAGCUAGAGGAUGUAUUAAUAUAAAAUUUGUUUAUUGGUGUUGAAGUUAAUUAUCUCAUUAAUAAUGGUAUAAAAAGUUAAUUACUAAGAAACACAUAGCAGUAUUCUGGGAUAUAAUUUUAUAUCAUAACUUUGUAAGUGUAUAAUUACGCAUUAAAUUAACAAAAUUAUUUUAAAAUAUUUCGUUAGAAAAAAUAAAUUAUAUUCUUUUUAUUUCAAAUAAUCUAUAAGUUAACUCAAAACAUAAUCAAGUUGAGAAUUAAAAUAAUGCUACUGUAUGAGAGGAUUUUUAUUUUUUCCCGAAGUUUCACUAGGAAAUUAUUGAUAUAUAGCUUUAUUCGGAUCAUCUGAGUUCAAACGACAAAUAAUUGAAAGACUAAAGUAAAUAGACCAGCCAACAACUUUGUACAGCAGAGUUCAAAAAUUAAGGUCAUGGUAUUGAGGUGUUUUGUCUUGAAAAGUACGGCAUAAUGAUAAAAUAAAAACUAUUAGUCUUUGGUAAGAUAUAACUUUUAAAUAAUAAUUUUCACAAAAAUACAAAGAAUAUUUUAUAAAGUACUUCUAUAGUGAGGAGACCCUCACUUUGUUAAAGUGAAAAUAUCAAUAAUAUACAAGAAACAUAUAUUCUAACAUAUUGAGAACUGUAUCUUUUUAAUCUAUUAGUGUAUUGAAAUAUGUGUUAUUUAGUUUGUUAGUGAUAUCAUCACUUUGUUAAAAUACGGAUGUCAGAACCAUUAUAUUUUAAAGUUUUACUUCAUUGCUUUAUUAAUCUUAUUACUAUUUCUCCUUUGCACUUCUAAAGAAACCAAUUAACCAAAGCUUUAAAAGAAAUCAGCCAAAUCACGAAGAUUGAAGAGUAAAUCUAUGGUUUUAGAUUUUUAUUUUAUUUUUUAGAUAAUAGAUAUUAUUUUGAUGAAUUUUUAAUAUUAGAAUAAUGUUAGAAAUUUCAAUAGUAGAAUUCUAACUUAGGACCCAAUUGUUAUGUGUCAUUAUUUUAUUAGAUAAUGAAUUUCAUAACUAGUAAAAUUAAUAUUUCGAUCAUCUAAUAAAUGACUAUCAUAUCAGUUGAGACUCAAUUAUUGGGAUCCUUAACAUUGCUCUUAGUAUUAAAUUGGACAUCUUAGCUAAAUCAGAUUAAAAAUCAAAUUAGAUUUUUUGCUUUUAUCCAACAUCUCUUUUUUUUUUUGGGGUCUAUUUGAAGUGAACGAAAUAAAAAUACAACAGGGUCAACGACUGGGUAAUUGAUAGUCAAGUAGAAGCAAAUCAAGGCUAAAUGGGAAAGAGAAAUGAUAUUUGUACAAAAUAAGGAGAAAAUCAAUGUAACAGAAUUACAGAAGAGAAUCAAAGUGCUUUUGAGAUCAGAAAUUGAAGCAAGAAAAGGGUCGCUUGAUCCAAUAAAAAUGCAAAGAGCUGAUGGCAAAAGGGAACAAAGUUAAAUAAGAAAAUAGCUAGCGCUAGCAGCGACCACAAUAAACAUAAAAAGUUGAGAUGGAUUUACAAUAUUUCUGUCUUUCUUCAUGCUUUAACAAAUAUUGCUCUAUAAAAAAAAUAUUGAGCAUUUUUAUUAUUGGAGUCACAAAAGACCUACACAAUAUAGCAAGUGACUAGGAAUAAGAAUAUAUAACUCUCUCUCUAAUUCUCACUCUAGCUUUUAAUUGUCACUCAAAACCCAGAAUUUAUCCUUAAAGUGUAAGCAAAUCAAAGAUGACAGCGUUUGGUUGUCAUACGUGCCUUUUAGUUUCUGGAUGACAUGGCGCACACUUCUUCUGGAAACCCAACACUACAUGUCGUACUCUUUUGUUUUGAGAUCGUAUUUCAAACUCUUCAUGCUAUGAAUGAAAGAUAAUCUACAAUCAUCAAAAUAUUUAGUGUUUAUUUGGUAAUGUAACGUCAUAGUUGUUGUGAAUUGAAGUUAUUUCUGUAAGAUAAAAGGAUUUGGGUCAUCGUUUGUUAUUAUCUGGCAAUAUUGUCUGGCCGUGACUAUUUGUUAAAUAUUAAAAAAAUAAAUUUAUAUUUAUUAAGUAUAAAAAAUAAAUAAACAAACAAAAAUAAAAGGAAAAGUUUAUACAUUACGUAAAAUAAUAAGAACAACAUCAAUAUUUCAUACUCUAUGAUUGAGUGAUGUGUUGUCCAACUGCCAUACAUUGGUCCCAAAUGGAGACUUAAAUAUCAAAGUCCAAAGUUAUUGUGAUGAUGACUUAUAAUCGCCAAACUUGACAUACGAGUAAUCAUGCAUUAUAAGGUGCUGAUUUCUUCCGAUCGGAACCUUAUUUUUCAUUUACAAAUAAAUAAAUGAUGUGACUUCAUGGUUGGCGGGGUCCUUUGUGUCAUUUGGGCAUUUCACUAAAUGAUUGAUUGUAGUAGGAAGAUUCCUGGAAGUUGCCAUUUGCCAAUGCUACUAACAUUUUCAAACUUGGAAAACCCUUCAAUCAAUCUUUUAGUGGUAGGCUCUGGUAGCUUGGUUUGAUUAUGACAUAUGAUUAUUUGAUAAUAAAGCUAGAGGAUGUAUUAAUAUAAAAUUUGUUUAUUGGUGUUGAAGUUAAUUAUCUCAUUAAUAAUGGUAUAAAAAGUUAAUUACUAAGAAACAAAUAGCAGUAGUUAAUUGGUGUCAUAUUAUUGGGAUUCUGGGAUAUAAUUUUAUAUCAUAACUUUGUAAGUGUAUACUUACUCAUCAAACUAAUAAAAUUAUUUAAAAAUUUCAGUUGGAAAAAAUAAAUUAUAUUAUUUUCAUUUCAAAUAAUCUAUAAGUUAACUCAAAACAUAAUCAAGCUGAGAAUUAAAAUAAUGCUACUGUAUGAGAGGAUUUUUAUUUUUUCCCGAAGUUUCACUAGGAAAUUAUUGACACAUAGCUUUAUUCGGAUCAUCUCAGUUCAAACGACAAAUAAUUGAAAGACUAAGCUAAAUAGACUAGCCAACAACUUUGCACAAGAGAGUUCAAAAAUUAAGGUCAUGGUAUUAAGGUGUUCUAUCUUGAAAAGUAUAGCGUAGUAAUAAAAUAAAAACUAAUAGUCUUUGGUAAGAUAUAACAUUUAAAUAAUAAUUUUCACAAAAAUACAAAGAAUAUUUAUAAAGUACUUCUAUAGUGAGGACACCCUCACUUUGUUAAAGUGAAAAUAUCAAUAAUAUACAAAAGACAUAUAUUUUAACACAUUAAAAAUUGUAUUUUUUUUUAUCUAUUGGUGUAUUGAAAUAUGUGUUAUUUAGUUUGUUAAUGAUAUCAUUACUUUGUUAAAAUGAGAAUGUCGUUACUAGAGAAUCAUUAUAUAUACAUAUAUAAAGUGCCUCUGUCCAAGACCUAGACUUUAUUAACAUUUAAGAAAGCAAAUAUAUUUUAUAUGGUAUAAUAGUGUAAUAACAUCACACAAUUAUAUCAUAUAGAGUAAUAGUUUUUCGAACUUUAAUAAAGUUCAAGAUUAUAGAAUGAAUGAUUUUUAUAUAUUAUAAAUUUUUUUAUCAUAAAUGGAGGACAAAAUUAACAUAUUUUCAAAUUAUAAUAAGUAUUUAUCAAAUAAUUUAACAUUGCAAUUUCUCCUAACUAGUAUAGUAAAUAAUACGACCUAGGAGAUACAUUCAAAGCAUUUCAUAAGUUAGUUGUUAAUAAUAAAUGAUAUAUGCAGCUCCAAUCAUCAUUGUACGGUGAGUAAUUUCCAGUUAUAAAUAGAUAUUACUCCCUUCCCAGCAAUUUUUGAUGACUUAAUUUAGUGGGAUCAAAAUCAACAUUGAAUUUUUGACCAGCUGCCAACAACUUGUGAGCAGUUCACAGUGGGUACUGCACAUGAUGCCUGUUUCUCCUUUUGCAUCUAUUUUUGUUGUUAACAUUAAUUUCAAUAGCAGCUCGUUAAUCCCAAUUGUUGAUUUGGGACUAGAUAAGAAUUUAUCUUGGAACUCCAAUUCUCCCAAUUAUUUUAGUUGACAAUAUAUUUAACAUUAUUAAUUGCAUAUUAUUUAAUUAUCAGUAUAUAAUAUUCUUUAAUUUUCUAAUUUUAUAGGAUUAGACACAAAAUUGAUUAUGCCUUUUGAAAUUUAAGGGUUAUGUCAAUUGAAUAGAAAACUUGGAGGUAAACUUGUGGAUGUUUUUGUUGAUUAUCAAUUUAUGCAUGAAUUUUUGUACGUUUACUUUGGUUUAUAAUUAUUACUUUUAAAUAUUUUUGUUGGUUUGAUUUAGGGUCAAUUUGGUAAUCCUGUAGCUUUUAAAAUAAUUACAAUUAGUUAUGCUGUAGAAAUUGAUCAAUCGUCAAGAGAAUCAGCUGAACAUUUAGUAAAAUUUAUUUUUAAAAGUACUUUUAGUUUUAAAAGCGUUGUAUGAAUAAAACUGUUACACUAAAAAUUAAAUGUAUUGCCCACAUGGGUAAAUAAAGCUAUAUAUUACAACUGUUACACUAAAAAUUAAAUGUAUCUUAAACCCAAACUUCUUCUUCCUUUUUUUUUUUACUAACAAAAUUAAAAACAAUAGUGAACACAUUCUUUAAUAAACAAUAAGUAAUAAAUAAAAUCGUGUUAAAUUUCUUAAAAACUUUCUUUCACGGUUUGCUAAAUAUUUUUAUUAGUAUUUUAAAUAAAUAAAAAUAGUUGAUUUAAUUUUUUUAAAUAAACUUAUUAGGUUCAUGUAAAGAUGUUUUUGUUAUUUUAAAAAGUGUAGAAAGUACUCCUAAAAAAAAGCGUAGAAAGUAAAACUUAAUUUUUUAAAUUUAUUUGCUGAGUGCAUAAAUAAUUGAGUGUUCAUAAUGAUUUUUAAAGUAUAGAUAGUCGGACCCUAAUUUUUUAAUAUAUGAAAAUUUUGCUAAUAUGUUAAUGAGAAUUAAAAAGAUAAUUAAGGGAGGCAAUCGAGACAUUCAGGAUAGUUAGGAUGGGACAUGAUUGUGAGUGGUUUGAUAUUGGUCCUAAUUUUGAUCACAAAUAUAUAAACAGGACGAGUUUAUCUCUACUGACAUUCCAUUUGAUAAUUAAGAUGAGAGCGGAAUUGUCAAAUCUCAAAUCAUCCUGAACCAUUGCCAUCAAAGGUACUCUCACUAAUAAUAUCUAAAGAAAAAUCUACAUCUAUUUCAUACUUUUUUUUUUUAAACGGAAAGAGCCUUCAUGGGGCUUGAAAUGUUAUCCCAAAUAGUAUUAAGAAUAUCAAGCCAUGAUUGGGUUUGAGACAAACAAAUAUUACAUAGUUAGGAUACGUAGUUAUAGUGUCCCAAUUUAUGUAGUAUCUAUCAUUUAGUGCACAUAUAAAAUAUUAAUCAGCUUAAUUAAUUUAUAAAAUUUAAAUCUAAUUAAUAAGUGAUACAUAAAAGCCAAGUGCAAUAUUGUAUAUGCAAAACAUGUUUGUGGAUCAUUACAAAACUUGCUCUUGAAAACAAGCAAGAAAGCUUAAUUAAGAACUUAAAACAAAAAGAAUUAGAUUGAAAACAGUCAAGCUUUAUUUUUUCAAGGAUGGAGCUUAUAAAUCUUCAAGUACCAACAUAUGCUUGGCCCAAUUGUUGUUAUUAAAAUUUCAAUAUACAUAUAUAAGUAUGAUAUAGCAAAAAUUUGAUGGUACAUAUCUCGGAAUAUACUAGUUCAUGGAUGCAUUUGAUUAUUGUUUCCAUAAAUUUGAACCGGGAAGGAUGACAUGAUAAAAUUUGAUUUUAUGGUAUGGUUGAUUUCAGAUCUCAUGCCCUCAUUUCUUAAGAUAAUCAAAUUUUCUCUGGCAUCUUUUGCAACUGUGGAAAUAUCAAUUAUGAUCAAUCAAAACGAUUUCAAAACCUUUUAACGAGACAUAUUUAUAAUACAAUAUUGUGAAAAUUACAACAAAAAAUUAAUUUAUUAAAUAAUAUAUUAUUAUCCAACGAGCACACAAAAAUGAAUUCGUACAAAUCUAAAAUACUUAGCAAUUUUCAAAUAGAAUUUACCAUGUACUACAAGAAAAUAGGGUAUAUGUGACCCCUAAUGUGAAUGCAAAUUUGCAAAAGCAGCCAUUACGCAUGCCACUAACUUCUAACUUUGCAACCUCGAGUUGCUUACUUGCUUUUGUUACCCUUUAUGUGACGGCCACACUGCUGUCACAUAUGUUACUAACCACGUGACGGUAAAGAGCCGUUCGGUAUAGCACUAUUUUAGAAAUUUAAAUUUAUUUCCAGUUAGAAAACUAUUCGCUGGAAUAGCCACCAUCGUAAACCUAACUGGUUGCCGGCGAACGGCGUAAAACACCGGGCAUCUUCUUCUUCAUCGUAUUCUCCCUUCAUCUUUUGAGGUAAGCUUGUGAUUAUGAGUUUCUUCUCUGACUUAGCUUGUAAUUAUAGAUUUUGAUUUUUUUUUUUAAAUUCGUAUUGUAGCCAUUAUUGUCAAUUUUUGUCCCGCCAGCAAUAUUUUUUUAUUCCUACAAGUUGAAGCCCCUGUGUUCUUGUUCCAUUGGUGAGUUUGCUCACUCAAAUUAAUUUUGUUCUGCGGAAUUUACAAAGUUCAAAUGGAUUCAUUUGAAUUACUAUUGAAUUUAGCUUUAAUUCCAACAUCCAUUCUAAUGUUUUGCUAUUAGAUUUAGUUUAAUUUUAUGUUUAAAGCAUCUACAAUGAAUAGCGGAGCUUGGGUUUUAGUUUCAUUUUCUGGAUAACUUGUUUUAGUUUAUCUUGUAUGCUCACCAAGUGCUUGUUAUAUUGUCUGAUAAGUUAUAUACAUUGCUGAUUCUAUAUUAAUAAUGUUACGUUCUAUUUUCAGAAAUUAUAAUACAAAAGUUUUUACAAUGGCGUGCAUCUACAAACUGAAUUGACUUGUAGAAUAAGAGCUUGCAGUAAAUGAAAGUUCAUAUUGUGUAAGAGCAUGGAGAUGUAAAGCAUCAUUACCAUAUCUACAAAGUGCUUUCAUUAUGGUCAGAUGCUCUUCUUGAACUUUGAAAGGUGCCUCGUUCAAGUCCUAGCUAUAACUACUAGCUUUGAUUAAUUAAGUUCCAAUACUAGCUGAAACAGAUUUAUUUAAUUAAUUAAUUGUGUAUAUACUAAUUAUAUUGAAAGUAUAUGAAACUUUUUUUUUUUUUAAACAUGAAUGACUUCUAAAUGACUUAAAAACCUAAAGGAUGUGUGAAAUAAUGCUCAUUUCACUUGAAUGAGCCUAUUAAUACUUUCUAUGAUUGUCAAUAUUGGCUUAAGCAUUUCAGUUAAGUGGUUUACCUAACAGAGAAAAAAAUUUAAUAGAAAACUUCAGAGUUCUAACAGAAAUAUAGUUCACUCUGCAGAUAUAGUUAUUUUACGGUAUACAAAUUAAGUUGUCCUAAUCUCAAUGUCCUGUGACCGAUUUUAUUUUAUAUAGUCAUUAAUUUUUGCCAUGGUUUUUUGUGUUUAUGAGUAUGAAAUAGUGGGAUUUGGUGUACCUUAGCAUCUUUUGAAAAUUCUCUUUAAGUAUGGCCAACAGAAAUAUACAUAUAAUCAAGUUUCUUAAUUGUGUAUAUUAGUUUUGGGUACGAAUGUUCCUAUUCUAGUUCUAGACAAAGCUUCUUUGUUUUGGUCUUCAGAUUUCCAGUAGGUUAAGUUAAUCAACUAUCAUAACUGGCUAGCUACUUAUUGUCUGCCUUGGCGCCAUUACCCAGGCCAUUAUAUUGCAUAGCAUAAGGAAUAGUGAUUAGGUGAUUAUUAGUGAUUUGUUGAGCUUAUUAUUGACCAAACAAACAUAUUCGCCUUUGCCCACAACCUAGUUUGAUUAGUUUUAGACCACAAAGAGCCUUGAUCUAUUCAUUGGCUUUAUUAUUUUUAUUUGGUUUUUCUUUCAACAAUAUUUUUGAUUUCUUAUAAAAAUAUUCAUUGGUUUUUAAACACCUAGUCAUUGGCUAUAUGAAGCAAAUUAAAACUGAGGCUUUGGAUCAAUUUCUUCUAACAAGAUACAAAUGAGCAUAACCUUUCUCCUCUAAGUAAUUUUUUUUAAUAUCCUUGAUUUGUAAGGAUCUGGAGGCCUGAAAUCCUCUAGAUUUUUUUUAACACUGUCAAUGUCCUUUUUAUUCUGAAAAGGAAAUAAAAGGUUUUAUCUUUCAUACCCUAAUAGUAGGCUGGCCUUGUCUUAACAUGGCUUCUUGAGGAUUUGCAAGAUUCAUAGUUCCCCCAACACACGCCCCCCAAAAAAAAAGAAGAAAAAGAAAGAAAAAAGAAAAAAGGAAGAUUUUGCAAGAUUCACCACCAGUUUUUUUUUUUAAUUUAUUAAUUGUGUGUACGUACUAGUUAUAUGUUGAAAGAAUAGGCAGAAGUAUUUCAACAUGAAUGACAUAAAACUUAUUGCUCAGUAAACAUAAUCUGCAUCAGUGGGAAAAUGUAUUUAUCGUUUGUAUUUUUUAUGGUUUUGCUUAAGAAAUGAUAUGUGAAAUAAUGCUACAUUGUAUCAGGAAUAAAUUGAAGAGAUUUAUGAUAUUUAUGUGUUAUUCAAAUUUCAGAUUCAAUUUUAAACUUUUGAUACGUGCAUUGAAAGCUUAGACUUGUUUAAGAAAUUAUUAAUAGACACAUGUUGUAUUAGUGUCAUCUUUGGAUGAUAGUGAGGAUCAUAUGUCUAUUAAUAAUUCUUGAAUUGUCCAGGCUUGGACAGUUUGGGAAUGCAUAGUUCUCUCUGGUAGCUAGUAGCUGAAGUUUUCUUCCCACGUAAAAAUGGCUUUUUCGGUAGCUGCUCCUCGUGUUCUCUGGGUACGUACUAGGUGAAUGGGUGUCAUGUGUUGUUUUGGCAUAACGCAUAAACACUUAUAUAGCUUUGUCGUGAGCUUGGAGAAUUAUAGGGAGAUGGUGCUGAAAUUUUUAUAAACGUAGAAGAAAACUUUAGGUACUUGAGAUUGAAAAAACAUAUGCAUUCUUGAGUGGGAUAUGUAGGAUUUAUCACUUACCUUUGGUAAAUAUGAAGGGAAUGUUGACUCCUUGAAAUAUGCCCAAACCCAUGGAGUAUCUAAAUAAGUCUGAAAACCAAACACUGUUACCUACUAGACGACAAAGCAGAAAAAUUUUCUUGACUCGCUCACCUUUUAAAUAAUUGAAACUCAGCUCAAUACUUGAAUAAGUUUCUGCAGGCACAUCUUCGAAGUUUACCAUUGAAGGCGUUCGGAGCUCUCGCAAGGCAUUCUUCCAUUCAUGGAGACUCUAGUUUCUCAGUGCCCUCAACGCAAUGGGCAAACCUCCAUAUGCCUUAACUACAUUAAUUGCUGUAGACUUGAACUUACAAUUUUCAACAUCAUCACCAUUCAUUAUCUUAAACAAUCUCCAGGCUUCUUGUUCAGUUAGAUUGCCAAUCAAAAAGUUAUCUUUGGAGUCCAUACUUAAAAGCACAUUAUUAUCUCUUGCUGUCAGCAAUAGUCUACAUCCUUUAUGAUUAUUUCCAAAAGGAAUUCCAACCGUCUCCAAAUCAAGAUGUUUCCAGAUAUUAUCUAGAAUCACAAGAAUCUUAUUCUCACUCUUCAAUCGUUCAUACAGCCUACUAGCUCUUCUAUAUUCAGCUUCAUCGGACAACUCCAGACCUAACUUCUCUGCAAUUUCCCCUUGAAUCUUUUUUAUCUCUGGAGUUUAUGAAACCUCUGAUAAAACCACCCCAUAAAACAGCUUUUUUCCCUGGCUUGCCUAGCAAACUCUUUCACCAGUGUGGUCUUUCCAAUGCCGCCUAUGCCGUACACCCCAAUAAUGCUGACAUUCGCCUCCGUCAAUGCAUUUUUAAUAGACUGCAAAGUAGAAAGUCUUGAUUCGAAGGCCUCGUAACCACUGCUAGACUUAAGCCAUAUCUCCUCCGGAAUGGUACGGUGGGAAACAGUAUCAAACUUCUUAACUUCUUCUCCAAGUUCAAUAAUGGCCUUCACCUCCGUCUCUGCUUUCUUGCUAAGCUGAUAGCGACUCUUCCAAUGAGGACUCAAGCCCUUGACACAGCGCUUAUUCGUUGACUCCUCAUCUUCAAUGAAUUUGGCUGCCCGGUCAAUGAUGCCGUUCGCACUUCGCAGUAACCAGCCACUUUUCAACCUUCUCUUCAAUCUCUUCCCCUUUUUCUUUCGCCUCUGAAACCCUGCGCUGAAUGCUCGUAUGUUCAACCUUCAACUUCUCCAUUUCCGCCUUGAUAUUCUCAAAGUUGGCAUUGUAGUUCCAAAUAAACAAGUUGGCGUGCAGUUGGAGGAGCCAAGCAUUUUACAAGUUCCAAGACGAUAGUCACAAUGAUUUCCAGCAUCUCGAAUCCUGACAAAAACGUAGAAGCGAAGAAAGCCAAAGGAAAGUAAAAACAAAGAGACAGCGAUAGGACAAGCAAUUGUGUUUUUCAGAUGAGAUGAAGGAAACAAGAAAAGGGUUUCUAUCACGACGUAAAGAGCUAAAAGAGCUGAUGGGUACAGAAUAAGAAAUGAGACUGAGGAGUGAGCAAAGCUAAAUAAUAACAGAACAAGAACAAUGACGAAUAGAAGAAACAGUAGCAAAGAGCCGUUUAGAUGAUUAGAAUGAAACUAAGCGACUGGAAAUAGUAGAUGGUAGACUAAAGAGAAAGUGAUUGAUUAUUUUAGGAGGCCAAUUAACGUAAUGACAGAUCCGGUUUCGAUGUUUGUAAUUUGAGUAUGAGGUAAAUCGAUUCUUUGUCGAGCCAGUCAAAUACAAAGGCAAAUUAGUAAAACACGAGCCAGCAACUUUUACUCACACAAAAGCCAAUAAUAUAUUGAGAUCACGCAACAUUGCAAUAAAGUUAUCAUCAAGUUGUAGCCUUCUUAUUCAAUCAAUUAUGGCAUUAUCUCUAGCUCUGUAUUUUUCAAAAAAAAAAUUAUUAUUCAAAAGAUGUCUGUCAUUAAUUUUUCAAUGAUUAAAAUUAUAAUUUUUGUUUAAUAUAUAUAACGUAAAAUUUUAAAAGAAUCAGACAUGCAUUAGGGUUAAAAUAAAAAAUAUGGAGGUAGCUUUUAACUAGGUAAUUGGCUCAACUAUGGAUCAGUGUGAGAUCACUAUUUUUCUUAUUAAAAAAAAUUCCAGCCAAACAAUUGUCGCAAAAUCUUAAUAUAAAUUACAAAAAAAGACAAUAUUUUCUAAAAUCAUAGCAAUAAUUUAUAUUUUGAAUACCUGUAAAUAAACCACUUAGAAAGCUUUCGAAACACGAAUAUUGUUGUCGUUUUUAAAGACUUGACAUUUUGGGUAAUCUGAAUUAACAAUGCACAUCACUUGUUUGUCACAAUGUCCAAAUAAAUAAUUUUAAAAAAAAGUUAUUUUCAUUCUUUCUUUUCAGGUAUCCUAAUUCCUUUUGCAGUUUGAUUCCUCUUUUCCUGAAUUUCACACAGCGCACCCACAUUUUUUGACCAUGUGCACCUCCCCCUAUUUCUAUUAAAAAAUCAACUAAUCUAACUGUUUAGGCUGUUAUAAAUUUAAAAGACUAUACUACCCUUAUUUUGAAUGAAUUGGGUAUAUAAGUACUAAAAUACCCUUACAACUAAUAAAAUUUAAAUCAAAAAGUAAAAAUUUAUUAUAAUAUUUUUAAAUUUAUAUGUAUACGAUUUUUUCCCGGAUUACAAACCCAAGAUUAUAAACCUAGUAAAUUACAAAAUCAGAGGCAAAGCAUGAUUCCAAUGUGAAAGAAAAAAAUCAAACACACAUUCAUCAGUACAUUACAAAAUAAAUCCGAUAAUCCCACCAAAACAAAUAAAACCCAAUAGAAAGAAACCCUAAACUAAUGAUACCAAAAUCCCUGAGAGCAAAUUUCAUUGUAAAAUUCUAUUACAAAAUAAAUUCAUACUAAGAAAAUUCAAUAAAAAGAAACCCAAUAAUCAAAAAUCUUAAAACUAAAGAUAUCAAACCCAAAAUUAAAUUAUAGAGGUGGCGAAAGAAAAAGGGUUUUUUUAAUUAUAUAUAUUAUUUUAAUCUUGUGUUAAUUACCAUUCUACCCUUCUUUCCGUUAACAUUAGAUUUGAAAGAAAUGAGGGUGGUGGACAUGGUCUGUAGAUUGGGGGCACAAUGCAAAAUGUCAAAACAAUUGGGGCUAAUGCUAAAUUACACAUUAUUUAAAUUAAAUUAUCCUAAUUGUAUUUUUAUUAAUUAAUUAACAAUUAGUUUCAUUACUAUGAUAGUUUUGUCACUAUGUUUGUUACCAUCUCUCAAAAAAAAAAAAAAUUACUUUUACAUGUCGAAUUGUGUAACAACGAUUUAAUGAAAAAUUAGAAAACAGCACGACAUCUCGUGGCUUAACAUGGUCAUCAUGAAUAUCCCUUAUUAUUAAAAAAUGAACAAACAAACUCUUUUUUAAUACAUGUAGUCCUUUUUUUUAUAUUUCAAAAUAGUUAAACAGAUCCUGAAUUUGUGUGUUCCUCAAUAAAUUUUCAUGAUCAUUUUUUAAAAUAAGGGAUUUUUGUGAUUAUUUUGCCACGUCCAAGGAUGCCGCUGUUCUUGUCACCAAAAAUUAUUCUCAUAAGAGUCAUGAUUAAUUGGACGUCAGCAAUGAGGGCAUGUAAUGAAAAAAAUUUGUUUUGCAUGGGAUCCAAUAAUUUUAAUUACAAUGGUGGUGACAGACCCAGCUGGAAAAUCAACUGAUUUUAGAAUUCUGUUGAAAAUUCUUUAAAUGAUCACUAUAUCUCUAGUUCGAUUAUAUCCUUAAGCUCAUUGAUUCUUUUGUAUUGAUUUUGUUACUUCUUUUCUAAGAAAUAUUAUAAGAACUGCUCAGGCUGUAAGAUUGAUAAGCUUAAAGAGUCGGAACGAGGCUUACCAGUUCGUAAGCUUUUAAUUAUUUGGAUUGCUGUGCUUGCAACUGGUAAAUUUUUCAACUUCAACUCGAUAUAAUGAUUUUGGAGAGAACCAUUUACAGUGAUUUUCAAUUCUUUUGUGAUUUUUUUUUUCAGUUCUGCCAGUCUCAUCUCUCUUUCCCUUCCUUUAUUUUAUGGUGAGUGGAUUAUUAUUGCCUUCAGCGCAGUGGUUAUUAGUGAGAAAAUUUAUAUUUUCCUAUCAAGCUUGGUGAUUUUCUGAGAAAUAUAAGAAAAGACAAGUUUUAUAUGUCAAAUAAUUCAUUGCUUUUUCACAGCAGUCAUUUAUGAUUUCUUUUCAGAUUAGGGAUUUUCACAUUGCAAAAAGGGAGGAAGAUAUUGGAUUCUAUGCUGGUUACGUGGGUGAGUUAUUCUAUGUUUUUUUUUAUCGUAUUUAAUAAAUGACACACAGUAUGGAGUCCGUCUUGGGUACGAAUGUCCACACCUUAUAAAGUGCUGACUCACGCCUUUACAACUCUGGGAAGACAUUCUACCGAGACUUUACAUCACUGUAAACGCACUGUACAAGAGCUUUACAAUACGGACCCGCGUCUUUACAACUUUAAAGGGCCAAGUCUAUGCUUUAAAAAGUACAUAUGUUCGCACCUGGAAACGAUUUACAUAUGUAUGUAUAUAUGUAUAUAUGUAUGUAUGUGUGUGUAUAUAUAUGUAUGUAUGUAUGUGUGUGUGUGUGUGUGUAUGUAUGUACGACCAAUAAAACAGUUCAAAUUCCUCGAGAAGUUAUCCUAACAAGCAUCUUAAUACCUUGAUGAAAUUGAAGGGUCUUAAUACAUGCUUGGCAGAGCUCUAACAUCUGUUUUGUGGGGAAUGGUGGCUGACCGCUGUGGUCGAAAGCCUGUAAUAAUAAUAGGAAGCAUCACAGUGUUAGUGACUUCUAUUUUCAUAUGAUCAAGCUUGAAAUUGAUGAUACUUCGGCAAUUUCUGGAUUUCUUGUCUGUCUUAAAAUGCUCACAGGGUUAUUUUUAACACUCUUUUUGGGCUUAGUGUGAAUUUCUGGAUGGCCAUAGCUACAAGGUUUCUCCUUGGGGCUUUGAAUGGUUUACUUGGACCAAUAAAGGUAUUGAUUGGGGGUAUUUGUUGAUAAUUCCAAUUUAAUUCCUGCAAAUAUUUGUGCUCAAACUUCUCUUACACCACGAGGCAUAUGCAUGUGAAAUAUUGCGCGAUCAGCACCAAACUUAUUACGAAACCAAAAAUGUUACUUGUUUUCUGUACUUGCUUUCGCAUGCAUCACCCCCACAAAACUGCUUGACGAUUGUCCUCAUUUUGAACUUACUAUAGGUUUCAUUCUCCUUGUUUUUCAACUUACUCUGUACCCUUACGUCGAGAGGAUUAUUGGGCCAAUAAUCAUAACACGAAUUGCAGGGGGUAAUAUUUUGAACACCUCAUGCGGCAUUUGGACCAUUUGAUAGUUUGUUUCAAACAUAUCUGUUUAUAAAAUACUUUUCUUCAUGGUUUUGGUCCCAUAACUUUCUAUGUAUGUACAGGUUUUAUCGAUACCGCUUUUGACAAGUUACACUUACAUAGCAAUGCUAUCUGGGUUCAGCCUUGCCUUUUUGAUAAACUGUGCUUCUGUGAUGAAGAAUGUUUUAUCUGUAAGUGGAUAUCCUAAUCAUUGAUCCAUAUACUAAGGUUAUAUUAUCCAUCAGCAAGUAUGUAUAAAAUUAUUUUGUCUUUUUUAUUAGAAUUUUUGUAAUUCUUUUUUACUUUUCCUGAAUUGUAGCAUCAGGUGUCUAUAAUAACUGGAUCGUUCCUUCUGCAAAUCAGAGCAGUGGUAAAUAUAUUUUCUUUUGUUUGUUUAGUACAUUUCCAUGCUUUCAGCUUUUUCAAAUUUUGUAUGUGCCAAAGUUUAAAUUAAUUGGUUGGUUUAUGGUAUAAUAACAGGUAUGAUAAUUUACUAAUGAAAUUUCUCACUAGUUUGUGAAUUACUUGGUGCUAAUUAGCUUAAUCAGCUGCUUAAACUAAAGUGCAGGUAACCAGAUGAUUUUUUUCAUUCUGAAUUCGGUGGAGGCACUUGGAGUAAUAUUGACAUUCAAACCGUUUCUAACUCAACGUGCCCCGUGAGUGGAGAAAAGAUGCAUCUGUUGAAAUAUUCAAAUAUAUAUCAAGCAAAUUAAAGCUUUCAAAAUCUUUCAACAAUUUGAUUGUUUGAUGUGGUUGCCACUUGCCAUAUUUUGUGUUACUUUUCUAAAGGCUUAAAUAUGAAAAUGGUUGUUGGUGCUCACGCCAAUUGAUUGCUGGUAACAUUAAUUGUGCAGUACUUGUCAGAACUACCACAAUUUAUCUUCACAAUGAUGCUAGCUAGAAAGAAAAUUUCAUGUUAAGUAAAAUAUUGAAGCCAUAAAGAGUCUUAUUCCAGAGCCUCAUUAAGUACUAAGUUUUCUGCCAUGCUUUCAAAGUUUACAAAUUCGAAGCUUGGGGAUUCUGUAACAAUGGAGGAUAAAAAUUAUAUAAGAAUAUUUUUUGUACAAUUUUCAUACGACCAGACAGAAGCGAGCAUAAUUUUUUGAUCAUAACUCAGAUCAAAAGACCUUCAAUGAUGUAUAAUAUGCACAUAAAGCUAGCUCAGAACCAGACAUUAAAACUUAUGAUGAAAGGGAAACAUAGAUGUUGAGAUUGAAAACAUAGAGAAAUUUUUUUAAAAAAUCUGAAAUUUUAUUAAUAGAAGUUUGAAUAACAAAAUUAGGGUAUUGGACCCUUUUUAUACAAAUUCUAAAUAUUAUGUAUUUAUCAAAAUAGGCAAACUUGAAAUAUUAUUACAUAAUAACGUUCUCCUAACUGAAAUAAAAAAAAUAAAACAAAUCAUACUUAAAAUCUUAUAUUUAGAGAAAAAAUAUAAAAAUAUUGAAAAUAAUAAGAAAAAUAAGAAAAUAACUUAAACUUUGUAAAAUAACUACGAAAUAAACAGAAUUUCUUGCCGAAUAGAUACCCGCUCAAGUUAUGAUCUAGGAGUGAUAUCCUACUCAUCCUAUGCAACCAUCAGCUGCAUCAACUUCAUUCCAAAAUUAACAAAUAAACCAACUGACGCAUUGCAAAUAAUAAGAUGAAACGAUAAAAUAAACCUAGAGAUCAAACAACACAAGGUAAUAUAUUAAAAAGCCUAUGGGAUCAAAACACAUCGUACUAUGUCGAGAGAGAUGACGACUCCUCCAACAGCAGAAAAUAAAUUCUUUCAUUCAUUAAUUUAAAGUAAAUUUGGUGCUCCAUCUUCUUCUCCGUCACCUAUUACCACCUCUGUCAUUGCCCUGCAUCCAGCUACCUUCAUUGAUACGAGCCGCACUAGACUUUCUGCUGUAGUGGACGGAUGUUACAAUUCCUUGCAAUGGAAAAUCAACAGUUCUGUUAGAUUCCCAAAAGAUAUAGAUGAUCAUGGGAAUAGACUUAAAUGCUUGUAAAAUAGUCGUAGAAUGUCAAGAUAUUUAAAAUGGAGUCCAGUUUGGAGUUGCUUCAAUGAUUAAGUCUGGACAGGAUUAACCAUUUUAUCAGUGCCUACUUCCCCACUUGUUUUUAGCAGUAUCCGGCUUGAUUUAAGAAUCUCUUUGUAUGAACUAUAUUACCCAAAAAAAAAAAAAAUCUUAUUUCAAAUGAUGCACAGGAGAAGAGUUACUUGAAUCUUCAUCAGUAUCCAGACAUUCUACAAUCACAGAGUAAAGAGUUCUAGCAGGAAAAACUGAGAAAACAACGUACUUCUAUAGUUUUUCACAAUAUUUCCAACGUUUUCAAACAAUAUUUCCACAAUAUAGUUUUUCAUAGCGAAGAGUUUUGCUUUGGUGGUCUAAGGAUUUGUUCUAGGCAUAAUGCUCUGAUUAGAUUUUGUUUAUUUUUAAUUUUUUAUCCGAUGAAUGAUUUUCAGCUGGUCUUAAUUAUGUGUUCAUAGGGAAGAGCAUUUGGAAAGAUCAUCAAAAAAAAAAAAAAAAAAAGUUUCCAAAGAAAGAUAGGUGUGAAGCAAACCAAACUAAAUGAACAAACUAAAAUAACAGAACAGCAAUGAUGUUUUCAAGGAAUUAUAAAAUAUGAAGGCUUUUAAUGAAAUUUUAUCAUACAAAGUAUGCAAGGAAUUAUAAAAUUUUAGAAAACAAGGGGAACUCUCAAAAAAAGAAAAAAAGAAAAAAAUACUCAAAUUAAACUAGACUAGAAGACAUUCAAUGAUGCAAAAUCUGUCCACAAAAGUCUGAACGAAUCAUUAAAAUUGCAUUCCAAAUUUAACAGUAAGCCGAUUGACCCAUUCUAAAUAAUUCAUAUGAAAUUGCGAAACAAGCCAUGAGAUCAAAUAAAUGAAAUAAAAAAUAAUUACCAGCUGAGGCUUUCUUCUAAAAUUCACAACUCCCAAGUCAUAAGAAGCCUAUGAAAUUAGUACUGGGUAGAGAUCGCCGACUGCACCGCCAACAGCUGAAAAUAAAAUUCUUAUUCAUCAAUUUAAACUUUUACUUUAUAACAAAUAUCUUAUCUAUAUUUUAUUAAAAAAAAAAAUUGUAAAAUGUUUCCAUGGGAGAUAGAGAGUACUAUGUAUAUCCGUACCUUUUCAGCAUGUAAUUGUUGUAUGGUUGUGUUUAGAUCAUUAUUGGUCCAAAGCAAUCGAUCCUCUGUCUCUCCAUAGCAGACGUUUACUCUUGGAGGCGUGAUUGAUUCUCCUGUAGUGAAAAUCUUCAUCUUGGGACAACCAAUCACCCACAAAUCUUGCAAAGAUGGGAAUUUGAAGGUGUAGUUGGCAGAGCUGAAACUUGUGAAGCUAUCUAAAUCAAACAGUUCCAACGUCUUCAAUUUGCUAAAAACAAUCUCUUCUUUUUCAACUCCAUCUUUGUCAUUUAUUACCACCUCUGUCAUUGCUCUGCAUCCACAUACUUGCACUUUGACGAGUUGCACUAGAGUUUUUGCUGUGGAGGAUGUUACCAAGUGUAUCAAUCCCUUGCAACCGAAAGCCACCAGAGCUGUUAGGUUCUGAAAAGAUACCGAUGAUGAUGGCAAUAGAAUUAACAGACUUUGACAAUGAUGUACUUUUAGAAUUUCAAGAUACUGAAAAAUGGGGCCAAGUUUGGAGUCUUGUUUGCACAGCUGCUUCAGAUGAUAGUGCCGGUUCAGCUGUAAUUUUUUUAUCAUUGCCAACUUCCCCACAUGUUUCUCUAAGCUUCCUUCCUCCGAAAAUACCUCUUCGUUGAAUGAAAAAAAACACAGUAUGAGCAUUUCCAGAUUGUGAAAUCUCUCCAGUACGUUCCAGACUGGAAAACAAGCUGAGUCAUCUCCAGCAAUCUCUAGUUGUUUAAGACUGCCAAAAAGGUGUUGUGGGAAAUCGGCCUGCAAAAUCAUCUUCACAUCUUUUCCACUUAGUGAUAGUUCCUUCAAGUUGGGUACGAUCUGAUCAUCAUCAAUCAUAAUAACUAAUGAGGUCAAUUGAUGAUCUACGGUCACACGCAGUGACUUUAUAGUAUUUGUUUUAUAUUAUAUUUUUUUAAAAAAAUUGAAUUAUUGAUAAAAUUUAUUUUAUAUGUUAAUUUUAGAGGUAAAAAAGAAAUUAGGGAAAAAAGGUUGAUUUAUACUGGCUCGAAAUUAUUUUAUUGCACAAUAAUAAAUUACUAAUUUAUUUUGUAAGUUCUUCUAUAUGGAAAGACUAAGGAUUCUUUUAUAAAUGCUAUACCUAAAACAGUUCAUAUAAUUAUUAAUCUACCACAUUGAUCUCUUAGGUAAUGUUUAUAUAAUUAUGGCAAGGCAUGAUUAAAUUGAUCAUUUGUUUGGUAACAACUUUAUUAAUCGGGUUCUGGCAGAUUUUCUUGGUCACAAAAGCGUCAAGAUGCUGGUUUCCUCCCAGGUAUGAUGAUAUACUAAUGAAAAUUCCCACUAGUUUGUGAGUUGCUUUGUGCUAAUUAGCUUAAUUAGCUGCUUAAAUUAAAGUGCAGAUAACCAGGUGAUUUUUUUCAUUCUGAAUUUGGUGGAGGCACUUGGAGUAAUAUUGACAUUCAAACCGUUUCUAACUCAACGUGCCCCGUGAGUAGAAAAGAUGCUCUGUUGAAAUAUUCAAAUAUCUAUCAAGCAAAUUAAAGCUUUCUAAAUCUAUCAACAAUUUGAUUAUUUGAUGUGGUUGCCACUUGCCAUAUUUUGUGCUACUGUUCUAAAGGCUUAAAUAUGAACAUGGUUUUUGGUGCCCACGCCAAUUGAUUGCUGGUAACAUUAAUUUAUCUUCACAAUGAUGCUAUCUACAAAGAAAUUUUCAUAUCAAGUAAAAUAUUGAAGCCACAAAGAGUCUUAUUCCGGAGCCUUAUUAAGUACUAUGUUUUCUGCCAUGCUUUCAAAGUUUACACAUUCGAAGCUUGGGGAUUCUGUAAUAAUAGAGGACAAAAAUUUUAUAAGAAUAUUAUUUUGUACAAUUUUCAUACAACUGACAAAAGCAAGCAUAAUUUUUUUAUCUUAACUCAGACCAAAAGACCUUCAAUGAUGUAAAAUAUGCACAUAAAGCUAGCUCAGAACCAGACAAUAGAACUUAUGAUGAAACGGAAACAUAAACGUUGAGAUUAAAAACAUCGAGAAACACCCUUUCAAAAAAAAAAAAAAAAAAUCGAGAAACACAGCUUUUGAAAAGUCUGAAAUUUUAUUAAUAGAAGUCUGAAUAACAAAAUUAAGGUUUUGAACCCUUUUUAUACUAAUCCUAAAUAUUACGAAUUUAUUAAAAUAAGCAAACCUGAAAUAUUAUUACAUAAUAAGGUUCUCCUAACUGGAAUAAGAAAAAUAAAAUAAAUCGUAUUUAAAAUCUUAUAUCUAAAAAUAAAAUAUAUAAAAAUCUUGAAAAUAAUAUGGAAAAAUAAGAAAAUAUCUUAAACUUGUAAAAUAACUAUGAAAUAAACAAAAUUUCUGGUUGGACCAUGAGGCCAAUAGGGUGUCAUAGUAUUAGAUUAAUGGUAUAUUAUACGCCCUAGAUAGAUACUAUAGCUCAAUUUAUGAUCUCGGAGUGAUAUCCUACUCAUCCUAUGCAACCAUCGUCUGCAUCAACUUCAUUCCAAAAUAAACAAUAAACGAAUUGACGCAUUGCAAAUAAUUUAGAUGAAACGAUAAAAUAAACCUAGAGAUCAAAUAAAAUGAAAUGAAAAUGAUAGUUACCUCGGACUUUCUUCUUCAAAUUUCGCAGCACUAUGUAAUAAAUUAAAAAGCCUAUGGCAUCAGAACAUAUCGUACUGCGUCAAGAGAGACGACGACUCCUCCAACAGCUGAAAAUAAAUUCUCUCAUUCGUUAAUUUAAAGUAAAAUUUGUAAAUUUAGGUACUUGCUGAAGAAACGUGUUUUCAUUUCUUAAAUAAAGCAUUAUACAUUGAGAGUUAUUUAUAGAUGCAGAGGCUACAUUUUUUCAAAGAUUACAUAUGUGAAUACGGAAGGAAAUGUGUCAAUCCGUUCGGCGCGAAUCAUCCGUUCGGCGCGAAUCUUGUCUUUGACAAGUGCAGAUUACCCCUUUGACAAGUGCAGAUUCUGUCUUUGAAAGCUUCAUUCAAUGUCGUUUUAUUUGAUUUUCAACACUCCCCCUCAAGCUGGUGCAUAGAUGUCUUUCAUACCCAACUUGUCUAGGAAUUUUGUAAAUGCCCUGCUUGAAAUGGCCUUCGUUAAAAUAUCUGCAAGUUGAUCUUCUGAUCGAAUUUUCGGCAGUUCUAAGAUUUUUUCAUCUAAUUUCUCCUUGAUGAAAAAUCUAUCUACCUCCACAUGUUUUGUUCGAUCGUGUUGAACUGGGUUAUGAGCAAUAUCUCGUGCAGCUUUGUUGUCACAGUAUAGUUGUAUUGGUUGUUGUGAUGGAUAGCCCAUAUCGUUUAAGAUAAAACUUAUCCAUAGCCCUUCACAUAUCCCAAGGGCCAUGCCUCGAUAUUCUGCUUCAGCGCUCGAACGGGCAACGACAUGUUGUUUCUUGCUUCUCCAUGUGAUAAGGUUUCCUCCCACAAAGGUAAAGUAUCCUGAAGUAGAGCGUCUAUCACUAACUGACACGGCCCAAUCUGCAUCAGUAUAAACUUCUAUGUUGCUGUAAUCUUCAUUUUUGGAAAGUAAGAUUCCUUUUCCUGGAUUUGUCUUCAGGUACCUCAGGAUCCGCAUUACUGCUUUCAUGUGUUGUUCUCCGGGAUUAUGCAUAAACUGGCUUACAACACUCAAUGCAUAAGCAAGAUCUGGCCUUGUGUGGGACAAGUACAUCAAUCUUCCAAUCAGCCUUUGAUAUCUUCCUUUGUCUACUGGAACUUGGUCUGAAGUAAUACAAAACUUCAGUCCUUCUUCUAUUGGGGUGUCAAUAGGCUGACAAGCUGUCAUUCCCGUUUCGUGCAAUAGAUCUAAGGCAUAUUUCCUUUGAGACAGAAAGAUUCCUCCCUUAGAUCGAGAAACCUCAAUUCCAAGAAAGUAUUUUAAGGCACCUAAAUCCUUCAUCUCAAACUCUCUUGACAAGUACUUAUGAAGAGCCUCUGUUUCUUCCUCGUCGUUGCCUGUAACUACCAUAUCAUCCACAUAGACAAUAAGGGCAGUGAUUUUACCUUGUCGUUUUUUAAUGAAUAAGGUAUGAUCUGAAUUGCUUUGGUUAUAUCCAAAACGAACCAUAGCCUUUGUGAAUUUCCCGAACCAUGCUCUUGGGGAUUGCUUCAACCCAUACAAUGAUUUCUUCAAUUUGCAUACUUUCUGAUUGAGUCGUUCUGGUCCACUGCAUCCUGGUGGCAGAUCCAUAUAAAUUUCUUCAGACAGGUCUCCAUGGAGGAAAGCAUUCUUUACAUCGAACUGUUGCACUGGCCAAUCCAAGUUGACUGCUAAUGAUAAUAAGAUACGAAUAGUAUUAAUUUUUGCUACCGGUGCAAACGUAUCAGUAUAAUCAAUCUCGUAGGUUUGGGUGUAACCCUUAGCUACGAGUCUUGCUUUGUAUCGUUCAAUAGAGCCAUCUGCUUUGUAUUUUAUAGUGUAGAUCCAUCGACAACCCACUAGUUUCUUUCCUGGUGGAAGAUCAACUAGUUCCCAUGUUUGAUUUUUCUGAAGAGAUCUCAUUUCAUCAUUCAUAGCCGCUUUCCACUUUGGAUCUUUUAAAGCUUCCUGCACACUGUUAGGAAUAGAUACAGCAGAUAAUUGAUUCACAAAUGACUGAUUUGAUUCUGACAAGCAAUGGUUAGACACAAAAUGACUUAUAGGGUAUUUGACUAUACUAGAGAAGUCAGGCUCAUAUGUGGGUUUAGGGAUACCUCUAUUUUGACGCUGGGGAAGAAUUCUUCUGAUUGGACUUGUGGUAGGAACAUCCUCUGCAGACGAUUGGUUAGGUAUUUCUUCAUGUGACUCAUUCUCGAUUGCAGUUGUGUCUGAGUUAUUGUGCUCCCCAAAUGUGUCUUCACAUAUCUUAGCCUGCGAAUUAUCACCAUUUGCUUUUCCAGUAUCUUGAAGGUUUACUAUCUCAAUGGAAGAUUGACUUUCUUCAGGUGGAAGAUAUGUAAGAGUAUGAAUUUCCUCUUCAUUAUACUCCCCCUGAAAUUCAGACUCUGACAAGUAGUACAUGAUAUCUUCAUGAAAAACGACAUCCAUGGUGAUGUAUAUUUUUCUUGAUGGUGGAUGAUAGCAUCGGUAUCCCUUUUGAUGUAAGGCAUACCCUACAAACACACAACGUAGUGCUCGAGGAGAUAAUUUUUCUUGUUGCGGCAAAUGAACGAAGGCAACACAGCCAAACACAUGUGGGGGCAGAUUCGGCACAUUUGGUGACAUAAUUGCAUCAUUCAGAACUUGGAAAGAAGUCUGGAAUCCAAGGGAGCUUGAAGGUGUUCGAUUGAUCAAGUAUGUUGCGGAUGCCAGUGCUUCUCCCCAAUAAGAUAAUGGCAUGUGGGCUUGGAUUAGUGAUGCUCGAACAACUUCUAGUAAAUGUCUGUUUUUUCGUUCAGCAACGCCAUUUUGUUGGGGUGUCCCCACACAAGUGGUUUGAUGGACAGAUCCUUGUGAUUUCAAAAACUGUUGAAUUGCUGUGCUCAUAUACUCGCCUCCAUUAUCAGUAUGUAGAACUCGAAUUUGUGUCUGAAAUUGAGUUGUCACCAUCUUAUGAAAUCUUUGAAAUAAAGAGUUUACUUCGUCUUUCGAUUUCAUCAGAAAAAUCCAUGUCAUUCUGCUACAAUCAUCAAUAAAUGUAACAAACCAACGAGCACCUCCAAUUGUAGAAACUUUAGAUGGCCCCCAUACAUCAGAAUGUACUACCAUAAAAGGAACUGGAUUUUUAUUUAAGGACAAUGGAAAAGUAGUUCGAUGGCUUUUUGAAAGUUCACAAACAUCACAUUUAAAGUUACAAACAUCAAAUUUCAGAAACAAACUAGGAAAUAAUUUUUUUAAGUAACCAAAUGACACAUGCCCUAAACGUCUAUGCCAUAACCAAAUUUCUGAUUUCCCUUUUUUUAUGGAACUAUCUGCGACUAGUGCAGGGCUUAGCUUUCCAGUGUUUGUUGAUGACAUCUCCAAGUAGUACAAGUUGCCUCGUCUAAUACCAUAACCAAUCGUUUGCUUCGUUUGGAUGUCCUUAAACACACAAUGAUCAGGCCAAAAAAUUACAACACAUGAUAAGUAAGUGGUUAAUUGAGACACAGAUAAAAGAUUAUAAUCUAAAGAUGGAACAAUUAACACAGCGUCUAAAUUUAAUUCAUUUGUGAGUCGUAAAGAUCCUUCCCCAAUAACUGAGGUUGUGGUUCCAUUUGCAGUGGAAAUAUGUUUUUGUGAAGAUGGUUUCAAUUGAGAAACUUGUCGAGAAUCAAAAGUCAUAUGAUCAGUUGCCCCAGAAUCAGUUAUCCAUGUACUAUUAAUAACAGGUGUAAGAGUUUUAAGGGCCUUACCUGGACUGACAGAGGUUGCGAUUUGCACUGAAGAUUCUUUUUUAAGAUCUGUAGUGGAUGUGGAUUCAGCUACUGCAGUUUUUGAUCCAUGCUUGGUGUUCUUCUUUCGAGUAUCCCACCAGUCAGGAUAUCCAAUGAUUUCAAAACAUUGUUCUUUCGUAUGACCCUUCUUUCUACAAUGAGUGCAAUGGAGUGAUGACUUGUCAACAAACUUCCUUUGAGGUUGCUGUCGUGCUAUCAUAGCAGACGUUUCUGAGUCGACCUUCUUGUUUAGUUUGCUUUGCCAUAUAUCUUCUCUUCGGAUCAGAGAAUAACAUUCUUCUAAGUCUGGAAUAAUGUCUUUUCGUAGAAUUUCUCCACGAACUUGGUCAAAUUCUUCAUCUAGCCCAGCAAGAAAAAUGUGCACUCUCAAUCUUUCAACAGACCUUCUGUAUAUUACAACAUCUUCUGGAUCCUUCAUGACCACUUUAUCUCGGUGAUCAAGUUCUCGAAAUAUUUCGACCAAUUCUCCAUAGAAUUUAGAGAGUGGUUGUCCAUUUUGCUUGGUAGAGAAUGCCUUUUGGUUUAGAGUGAAAACUUGUAAUUCAUCGCUUCCAUCAUAGAAGGCUUUUGAUAAUGCAUCACAGAUUUCGUAGGCUGUAGAAAUUCGUAAAUAUUGCUUCAUGAUCUCCGGAGACAUGGAUAUGAGUAACAAUCUUUUUACUUUUUGGUUCUCACUAUACCAUUUCUCAUAUUCCUUUUAAGAUUCCUCAAAUGGCUUUGUGCUGCUACGAAUAUAUGAGAGUUUUUCUCUUUCUGCAAGAUGCAUUUCCAUUAUUUGAGACCAAACAUCGUAGUUUGUCUCAGUGAGGAUAAUUCCAGCAUUAAAUACUCCAUCAGAUUGAACAGAUUGAAUGACAACAGGACUAGAUUCAGUUGGAGUUUUCUCCAUUUUUUUUGUUUUUGUUUUUUUUUUCUUUUUCUUUUUUCUCUUUUUUUUCUUUUUUUUUGUUUUCUUUUUUUUUUUGUUUUUUUUCCCGUCUAGAUUGAAAGAAGAAAAAAAAAAUAACCUUUUUAGGUAACAAAACGACAGGUCGUUUAGCCACUGCUUACCAAACCGACAUGUCGGUUAUGGUGGAAUAUAAACGACAUGUCGUUUUACUCCUGCUGCACUUCUGGAAACUAAGCGUCACGUCGUUUUAUCUCUAAUUUAGAAAAGACAUAUCGGUUUUAAUAUAACACAAAACGACACGUCGGUUUUUGACUGCUGCACUUCUGAGAUAAAAAUGACAUGUCGGCUGACGUCUUCUUCAACCUCUGGAGCGCGUGAGGGCGCGUGAAUGAUGACAGAGGUGCGUGGUUGACUGGCCGUGGCUUCGGUUGGCGCGUGGGAGCGCGUGGGAAUGUGUUUAAAUGCGAAAGUUUUACAGUUUCCUCACUAAAAACUGAGAAAUUUUAUGGUGUUCUUGGUUUUGGACGAACACACUCUCGGAAAAUUGAUGGGAUUGUUGAUAAAUUUGUAAACUCAAGUUUUUUACGUAUUGGUGGCUUGUUUCUUGAUCGGCAUGGAUAUCUGUAAUGGUAGGAAUGGGUUUAAGAAAGAAAAUGGUGGGAAAAAUGGUUGUGGGAGGAAUUUGGUUUCCUCUGUUUUUGUUACAAACAGAGCAACGGAACUUGAAGAAACUUGAGCGUAUUCAUGGCUCUGAUACCAUGAAGAAACGUGUUUUCAUUUCUUAAAUAAAGCAUUAUACAUUGAGAGUUAUUUAUAGAUGCAGAGGCUACAUUUUUUCAAAGAUUACAUAUGUGAAUACGGAAGGAAAUGUGUCAAUCCGUUCGGCGCGAAUCUUGUCUUUGACAAGUGCAGAUUAACCCUUUGACAAGUGCAGAUUCUGUCUUUAAAAGCUUCAUUCAAUGUUGUUUUAUUUGAUUCUCAACACUUGCACAUAGAGAUUUGCAAGGGGAGCGAGAGAUUCAAUAGCAGCAAUUUAAUUUGACGGGACUUUCAUUGAAUAAUGAAAUUAAAAACUAACGAUUAUUGAAUUUUUUAUAUUCUCUUAACUCUUGUGGAAAUGUCAGCUCUAAAUAGGACAGCUUCAAGAAUCUUUAUCUGAAAGUGUAAUUGGCAGAGCAGAAACUUGUGACACUAUCUAAAUCACAAAGACUCAACGUCUUCAAUUUGCUGAAAACAAUCUCUCGUUUUGAAUUUACAUUUGGAGCUCCAUCUUCUUCUUCGUCACCUAUUACCAUAUCUGUCAUUGCCCUGCAUCCAGCCACCUUCACUGAUACGAGCCGCACUAGACUUUUAGCUGCAGUGGAUUUUACAAUUCUUUGCAAUGGAAAACCACCAGUUCUGUUAGAUUCCCACAAGAUAUAGAUGAUCAUGGCAAUAGACUUAAAAGAUUUUUACAUGCAGUAAUAUACUCUUAAGUGGUGUUUGGUUGGGAGGAGAGAAUAGAAGAAAGGAAAGUAAUUUAAAUGCUCUUUUUAUUUCCAUUAUUUGGUUUGACAAAAUAGAUAAGAAUUUAAUUUCCAUUAGAAUUUGAAUUCCACACCAAGUAGUGAAAAAUUUAAAUUCCUCUUAUGUUAAAAACUAAAGUUUCCAAAAUUAUCCUUCAAAUUUUUAACUUGUUUAAUGUCAUUAAUAAUUAUUAUUUAUAAUUUUAUUUUAUUGAUUUAAUAUUAUAAAUAGACCUCCACCGGUAAGUCGCCGGACCACUGUCGGACUUCACCGGACCACCGCUGAACUUUCGCCAGACCAUUGCCGAACUUCCACCGGAAAGUCGCCGGACUUCCACCGGAAUAUAGUUUUUCAUAGCGAAGAGCUUUACUUUGAUGGCUUAAGGAUUUGUUCUAGGCAUACUGCUGUGAUUAGAUUUCGUUUAUUUUUAACUUUUUUUAAUCUUUUAUCCGAUGAAUGAUUUUCAGCUGUUCUUAAUUAUUUGUUCAUAGGGAAGAGCAUUUUCUAAGUACUUCCUUGCCUUCUAAGUUUCCGAAGAAAGAUAGGUGUGAAGCAAAGCAAACCAAACCAAAUGAACAAACAGAGCACAAACUAAAAUAACAGAACAGCAAUGAUGACAAUAAAUAAUUGGCAAAAAAAGAAAAGAAAAAAGCAUGCACAUUUUCAAGGAAAUAUAAAAUAUAAAGCUUUUAAUGAAAUUUUAUCAUAAAAAGUAUGCAAGUAUUUAACAAGAUGUUUGGAACGAUAGAAAAUGAAAGAAAAUUGAUUAAGAAGAUUCUGGAACAAUCAUAAUUCUUAUUGAUGAAACUGAUCAAAAUCGUACAUUGUGAACGAGCUCAGCACUAUUUAUAGUUACACACAUGCUGAUUAGAAAGUGUAGAGCUCAAAACUGCAAUAUUAACAAACUAAUUAACCUUCCAAUCAUAUUAAGCCAGCUGGACAGUUAGUUACAACCAAUCAGUACAAAUAACAACCUAAUCCAGCUUGGCAACUUUGUUACACAUCAUCAGCCAGCUCAGCUUAGCAAACUUACACUCUUAACAGCAAGGAAUUAUAAAAUUUUAGAAAACAAGGGGAACCCUAAAAAAAAAACUCAAAUUAAACUAGGCUAAAAGACAUUCAAUGAUGCAAAAUCUGUCCAUAAAAUUCUGAACGAAUCAUUAAAAUAGCAUUCCAAAUUUAACAGUAAACCGAGUGACCCAUUCUAAAUAAUUCAGAUGAAAUUGUGAAACAAGCCAUGAGAUCAAAUAAAUGAAAUAAAAAUUCGCAACUCCAAGUCAUAAGAAGCCUAUGAAAUUAGUCGUAAUGCGUAGACAACGACGACGGCACCGCCAACAGCUGAAAAUAAGAUUCUUAUUCAUCAAUUUAAACUUUUACUUUAUAACAAACAUCUUAUCUAUAUUUUAUUUAAAAAAAGCAAAUUUUGUAAAAUUUUUCCAUGGGAGAUAGAGAGUAAUAUGUAUAUACGUACCUUCUCAGCAUGUAAUUGUUGUAUGGUUGUGUUCAGAUCAUUAUUAGCCCAGCGCCGUUGAUCCGCUGUCUCUCCAUAGCAGACGUUUACUCUUGGAGGCGUGAUUGAUUCUCCUGUAGUGAAAAUCUUCAUCUUGGGACAACCAAUCACCCACAAAUCUUGCAAAGAUGGGAAUUUGAAGGUGUAGUUGGCAGAGCUGAAACUUGUGAAGCUAUCUAAAUCAAACAGUUCCAACGUCUUCAAUUUGCUAAAAACAAUCUCUUCUUUUUCAACUCCAUCUUUGUCAUUUAUUACCACCUCUGUCAUUGCUCUGCAUCCACAUACUUGCACUUUGACGAGUUGCACUAGAGUUUUUGCUGUGGAGGAUGUUACCAAGUGUAUCAAUCCCUUGCAACCGAAAGCCACCAGAGCUGUUAGGUUCUGAAAAGAUACCGAUGAUGAUGGCAAUAGAAUUAACAGACUUUGACAAUGAUGUACUUUUAGAAUUUCAAGAUACUGAAAAAUGGGGCCAAGUUUGGAGUCUUGUUUGCACAGGUGCUUCAGAUGAUAGUGCCGUUUUAGCUCUAAUGUUUUUAUCAUUGCCAACUUCCCCACAUGUUUCUCUAAGCUUCCUUCCUCCGAAAAUACCUCUUCGUUGAAUGAAAAAAAACACAGUAUGAGCAUUUCCAGAUUGUGAAAUCUCUCCAGUACGUUCCAGACUGGAAAACAAGCUGAGUCAUCUCCAGCAAUCUCUAGUUGUUUAAGACUGCCAAAAAGGUGUUGUGGGAAAUCGGCCUGCAAAAUCAUCUUCACAUCUUUUCCACUUAGUGAUAGUUCCUUCAAGUUGGGUACGAUCUGAUCAUCAUCAAUCAUAAUAACUAAUGAGGUCAAUUGAUGAUCUACGGUCACAUGCAGUGACUUUAUAGUAUUUGUUUUAUAUUAUAUUUUAAAAAAAAUUGAAUUAUUGAUAAAAUUUAUUUUAUAUGUUAAUUUUAGAGGUAAAAAAGAAAUUAGGGAAAAAAGGUUGAUUUAUACUGACUCGAAAUUAUUUUAUUGCACAAUAAUAAAUUACUAAUUUAUUUAGUAAGUUCUUCUAUAUGGAAAGAUUAAGGAUUCUUUUAUAAAUGCUAUACCUAAAACAGUUCAUAUAAUUAUUAAUCUACCACAUUGAUCCCUUAGUCUAGACUAGCAAAGAUUAUUGUAUAAUAAAAAUUUUUAAUUUAUUGAGUAUUAAUUUAUCGAUGCUUUGUCAUAUUUUUCAAAGUUAAAAAUAAGCUAUUGAUAAAAAAUCUAGAAAAUGACUUCAUACCUUUUCCAACGGCAAUAGGAGCUGUUGUGCAGGAAUACCAAGUUGAUCAUUCUCAUUAUUCUGCGAUAAAUCAGCGAAUAUCUUUAAUUUGUCACAACGAUACACUAAAAGACUUUCUAGCGCGGGCCAUUCCAAAGUAUGCAUUCCAGGGUACAAACAUCUAAGUUUUGGUAGAUGUUGGAGUCUCAGAGUGGUGAGCUGUGGAAAGACAAAAUAAGGGAUCACUUGAUCUGCUCUGUUUUCAGAAAUGAUCUCCUGUAAAUCCUCACAGAAGCGUAUAUCUAGGUGUUGGAGCUGCUUAAGGCUUCCGAUCAUAGACGCUGAAAAUAGGUAUUUUAAUUUGUGACAAUGCCGCACAGUCAAUCGUGUUAAAUUUUGAAAGCGAGGAAACAUGACCGGAAGAUGAUUGUAGUGCCAAAUCUUGUCGACAUUAAUUUCAGAUAUCUCCAAAGCCUCCAAGUUAGGCAACGCAACC
rnacentral:lncRNA from 1 species